UAAUCCGCACAUCAUUAACAUAAACAUAAAUCAAAUUGCAUAUGAUAUUAUCAAAGUACGAACAUUAUGACAUACAAAUAAAUUAUAUGUAACAUAAUUAUUUUACAUAUUGAUAGUUACCUUCUCAAGCACCUACAAACUAAAUUAACGCAUCGAGGUUUUUCUCUUUGAAGCCUACACCCAACUUGUAGUCUAUUUUCUAUACAAUCAAAGUCAUCUUUGCAAUGAAUACGUACUGCAAUGUCAAAUAACAAUAAAGUAUUUUUAUUAAAAGAGUAUGAAAUAUUAUGUGUAAUAUAAAUAAGAAAAUGAGAAAAUAAUGUCAAAAAUUACUUACUGCAGUCAUUUACCGCGACAUAUAUAGAAAGAAAGAUUAUCAAAGCAUAGACAAACUUGAAAAUGUGAGUCAUUUUUCCUUAGUUUACAUGUAAUCAGUAAACAUUGGAUUAAACAUUUUAUAAGUACAAUUUUAUUGCUUUGUUAACGUCGAUUAACUUUUUUAUUAAGUUGUCUCUAAAGUAUUGUUAUUUAAAUUGCUUUGUUAAAGUCAAUUAAAUUGUCUCUAAGUUGUCUCUAAGGAUUAAACAUUAUGUUGUUUAUUAAAUUGAAGUUAUUGUUAAAUGUCUCUAAGGUAUAACAAUGUGUCGAGCUUAUUCUUUAGCUCACUCAAUUAACUAGAUAAGCAUAAUAAAGUUCUCAACUAAAUUUUUUGAUGCCCAUAAAAAAUUCAUUAGUUUUUAUUUUUUAGCCUUUCAUGAUAAAGAAGGGACAAAAUACUCGAAGAAAAACAUUCGUGAUGAACAAUGAAAAAAGUUAUCUUUCAAAAUCAUGCAUCAGAGAGGUUGAUAGAUGUUUGGAAAGUCUACCAAAUUGGGUCAAUAAAUGAUAAUUUUUUUUGAAGGUAAUAAAUGAUAAAAUUUGUCUCCAUAGAGAUUGUGAUCAAUCAAUAAACCCAUCAAUAAGAACGGAAGUAUCCUUAACAGCAAUAAGAACGGAAGUAUCAUGGAUAACUCUAUAGUUGCAAAGAUUCGACGUCUUCUUCAGAUGGAUUGUGAGGUGGUAGUGCGUCACUCUUAUCAAGAAACAAAUCAGUGUGCAGAUGCUUUAGCUGAUCUUGGAUGUUCCUUGCAUACAAAUAUUUGUUUUUAUGAGUCUUGUCCGACUCAGUUUAGUCAUUUAGUAGUAGUUGAUGCUUUAGGGGUUUUUAUCCCUCGUUUAAUUUCAGUAUAGUUUUUUCUCCUUCCGGGCUUUUUAGCCCUCUUUGUGAUAAAAAAAUAAAAAAUAAAAUCAUCAAUUUUAACAAUACUUAAAUGAUAGCUUAAGGAUGGGGUUUUCAUAACAGUAUGGUGUGCAGAUUAAAAUUAAAGUGAUUAAAGAAGGUGAAUAAAAACUACAUGGGUUGUUUGAAUCCUUAAUUAAUUUGUAUUAAAGUGAUUCUGGAAGCAGCUUAUGUCGGUUUGCCUAUGUCGUAUUAUUUGUAUUUAAUGUCCUAAAAAUUUUAGGAAACAUAUAUAGGUGUGAGGAAGAGACCUUGGGGGAAAUUUGCUGCAGAAAUCAGAGAUACAGCAAGAGGAGGAAGAAGGGUUUGGCUUUAUGCUUCUUGAAGAUUAUGGCUGAAGACUCUACUGGAUCAGAUGUAUUUGUUUAGCCCGAUGAAUUAUCAAGCCCAUGCAUUUUCUGGCUCUAUAAAGGAAGACCCAAACCUGCGAGAAGACUACUGAAGUCGUAAUUAAUAAACAAUCUUAAUAGGGUUGUGUAUGUCCUUGUUAUUUGUGAGUCACUAUAUAUCUCCUUGAUGCACUGAGCUAGACUGUUUUAUUGAGUUGUACGUUGUUAUUUGUUAACAACUCUAGAGAUUUUAAGCAAAAGUAGGUAUUGUGUAUUGAAGUUGCUCUCCUAUUUGAUUGUAAUUGUUGAUUGAAAUCAUGGAUUGUUUGGUUGAGAGAAAGUGAGAUGGGCUCUCAUAUCUAAGGUGAGUCUUAGGUAGAAUACGACGGGAUAGUGAUUAGGUAAGAAGGCACUGAAAAAACCUCUUAAGUUAUGAUGUAUUAAAAGAUCAAUUGGAUAUGCUAAUAUUUGUUAAGGUGUGCAGGACUGUUAUCUCGAUUUUGGGGUAUCAAGUCAUUAAUUAGGCUUGAACCUCUCAAUCUUUGAUAUUCUCUAUUUUUUUCUUAGGAAGGGUAAAAUUGAGAAAACCCUUAGAAACUCUAAGUUCGGGGGUCGUUUUUGUUACGGGAAGGUGUUAAGUACCCGUAACGACUAUAGUAUUCUAUAGGAACCGCUUUCCUAGCUUUAUGUCUACACUUUACUUUUAUGCUUAUUUAUUGAAAAGAAAGUUUAUUUAGUUUAAGAAUGGAGGGAGGAAAUGUUUGAGAUUUUAUUUUAUUGGACUUGGAGAGGUUUUGACCUCUUGCCUACAUACCCUUUUAAGGGAUCAAAAUUCCAUGUAGUUCUCUUCCAAAAGUAUUUUUGGUGUGUUUCAAUUGAUUUUAGUUUUUGAAAAUGGUUUUGAAGAAGAGAAAGAGGCCGUAAAGGCAUGAGAGGAAAAGAUGGUUAAUUGUUGGUUCAAUUAUUAACGAAAAAAAUGUCUAAGUAGAAAUUAAGAUUCAUUGAAGUUUUGAUUAAGAAAAUAAAGGAAAAUACAAUGGAGUUUUGACUCCAAGGUUUAUUAGGAAAGAUUUGAGUUAUGGAGUUAUUUCCGGGAAAAUGAUAUUUUUUCUAAGUAUUGCAUUUCCUAAACAUACAUCUAAGCGGUAAACAUACAACGUGUGUGCGUGUCGGUGUACAUCAUUAUAGAGAGUCCAUUGUCCUUUACACUUUGCCCUAGUUUACAUGCUAUGGUCUUGCAAGAAGCUAAAAGGAAAUUAAACUACCUAGAAUUAUUACAUGUCCAUUUAACAUAAAAAUGAAUAGGAAUGAAAUGAUGAAAUGCUAUAAAAUGGAUGAGACAUAGAACAAAAAAAUGGUUAGUAAAAUAAAGGCAUGAAAUGGUAAGGAAAAAAAGUAAGCAAUUGAAUAUGAGAUAAAACGGCAAAAUGACGACAAUAACCAAAAUAUAAAAGGAAACACAUUACUUGAAACACGAGAAACUAAAAAAAAUCACAUCUAAAACAGUAAAACAAACACAUGAUCAGAGGCAUAUUCAUCACAAAAUUGCAUAUCAAUCACUCAUAGCAUAUAUCAAAAUAUUAUGAACAAAAAUGUGGCAAAAAUUCCCAAGAAUCAACUUAAAAAGAAAAAAAACUAAUCAAGAACUAACACACACAUUUUUAUCAAUUUCUUAACAUGAAAAAAUAUCACAAAAAUAUAAAAAAUGUAUCAAGAAACACAUAGAAAAUUUUUAGGAAUUUUAUAAAAAAAAUAAAGCAAGCAGGAGGUCCACAUAGCAAAAAACAGGGGUGUGCAUAGCAAGAAAAUAGCAAAAAACAAGGAAAACCAAAAGGAAAAAAGCCCAAGCCCAAGCCUAAAAGGUCCGGACGCACAGGAACCACAAGAUUGAUCCAGGGGAUCAAACCCUAGAUCCAACGGCCAGGAAUGAGGGGGAUUGGACCGGUCCGGUUCACUGGCCUAUAAAAGGAGAGGCGCGCCGGUUUUUUUCAUUUUGCAAUACUCCUUCUCUCUCUAACUUAUCACUCUCUCUCACUAGCCUCUCACUUCCUCCGCCUGAUUCAUGGAUGAACGGCCGGGGAAGAUGAAGAUCUGGCCGGAAUCUUCAUAGGUCCGUCGGAAUCUUCAUCUUCUCCGGUGAGAUCUCCAGUUUCCGGCGACCUCUAACCUCACCAGAACUUCAAGAUUUCUACAUCAAUCAACUCGCCUUUAAACCCUAAACACGAAUCUAACGCCAGAAAUCACAUGCAAGGCUUGAACCUUUGUAGAUCUACAUUUUUGUUACGGUUUUGAAAAUUAUUUUUUAGGUUUUCAAUUUUUUUGAAAGAAACUGUUUGAAACUUUGAGGAUCUACAUAGAUUCGUCCUUAUUGAUGCUUUUUAAGAAAGAACGGUGGAGUUGUAAGUUUACCUGUGAUUUAAUCGGAGAUUUCGAACAAGAAACUUUUAGAAAUCUUCGAUUUGAUUCUGUUUGUUGAUUUUUGACUUGAAACCGAAAAUAAAUAAGUGUUUCUUGCUGGUUUGAUUCCUUCUUCUUCUUCACCGGUUCAGAUUCUUCAUCUUUUUCUUUCUUCUUCUCAAAAAAAGAUAUGUGAUCGUGCUUGAGUUUGUCACCACUUGGUGAUGAAUUCGCACUUGAAUUGCAGAGGAAAAAAACGAUUCAAUGAUGAAGAUUCACCAUGAAUCACUGAGAAUCGAUGAAAAUUUGAUGAAUUUGUUCAUGAAUUUGGUUCUGGAAAAUUAGGGUUCUUCCUUGUUCUUGAUGGUUUCUGAGUUUUGAUCUAACUGAAUGGAGAGAGAAAUUGGAAUUCUGUUUUUGUGAUGUGGCGUGUGUUGAAUGGGUCUGUGUGGAUUUUCUCUGACACUGUGCACUAUUUAUAAGCUGCCACUUGUACUUGAGAUCCAAUGAAAUGGUGACACCUGGACUUGUAUGGCUCGGCCUUGGACUUGUUGUGACCUAGGGACCUUUCUGCAAAAAAGUAAAAUUGAGGACUAAACUGCAAUUAAUAAUAAUGGACUAAAAUGCAAUUUUAAAAAGUUUUGGACUAAAGUGCAAUUCUAGAAACUUGUUUGAGGGACCAGAAUGCAAUUAAAAAUAAAAUUGAAUUAAAAUUGAUAAAUUGGAAAAAAAGUAAAGUGAAAUCGAAAAUAAAAUCAACUAAAGGACUAAAAUGAACCAAUUACAACAAUGAGGUAUUUUAAAAUACCUCUCUGUCGAAAUUUUGAUGGGAAAAGACCAAAAUGCCCCUAGGGACUAAACUGACUCAAACUGACUCAACAAUGAUUUGUAAAACAAUGAUUUGAAAUGAUUUUUUAAUAAAGACUCAACAAUGAUUUGUAAAACAAGUUGAAAAGACUCAGAGACAAAUACAGGGACUAAAAUGGGUUCCACUGCAGGAAAUGACCAAAAUACCCUUCUUGUAUGAUUUUUUGCAAAUAUUUGAAUUAAAAUGCAAGAAAACAAAGCAACGAUUCAGAGAGACUUUUUUAAUGACUUGUAACACAAGAAAGGACACUUUGGAUGGUUUUAUGCAAGAAAAUCACAGACAAAAUCACAAUUGAAAAUACUUUGAGACAGAGACAGUAAAAGGUGCAGAUGAAACAAAGUAAAGGUUCAGAGUAAAACAACAGUAAAUUGACAAUUAUCAGUAGUAGAAAAGAAAUUUGAACGAGUAUUUUUAGGUCCAAAAUCAGGGUAUAACAAGGACCAUAUGCAAAAAUUUACAAAGUCUUAAAUAUGCAUUUGUUAGCUGAUGGUUCAAGAGCCAGAGGUAUUUGCUGCCCUAUGAAACCAACCUCACGCAUUGCCCUCUCGAAUACUAUACCUAUGCAAAGAUUUACAAAGUCUUAAAUAUGCAUUUGUUAGCAGAAAUGAAUUCAUAUAGAACAACUGCAAAAGCUUACACAUCUAUCUUGCGAGAAAUAUGUUCGUAUGCAUUUCAGUACAAAAGGAAAUGGACUAGUCUUAUGUCAUAAGCUCUCCCAAACAGUCACACAAGUACUUAUGGCAGUAGAUAAAUUCAAACAAGUCCUAAAAAUGAGUGUGAAUCUUAUAUAGAAUACAAUAUUGGUUACAUUUCUUUUUUCGGUAAAUUCAGUUGGAAUCGCAAAGUCUUAAUCACCGUGAAUUUCUUACAUGAUGUUCUGCGUUUGCGGUUCUGGAAAAGCCGAGGACAAUUGAAAUGGAAACAUGAACAAUUUAGGUAUAGAUGUUGCAUCUGUAUUUUGUGGUUGAAUGAUUGAUAUUAAAUCUACCUGUUUAUGCUUUUGUUUGAUCAGUUUAUUAAUGUGUCUAAUCCAUCUAUUUUUUUUUUUGGUCAAGUAGCCUAGUGGCUAGAGCUCACACAAUUUAAUUGUGGAGAAGUGGAGUGUCCGGGGUUCGAACCCCGGCUCCUGCAUAUAAUAUGCAAUAUCCCUACCAACUGAGCUAAGCUCACGGGGAUGUGUCUAAUCCAUCUAUAAUCCAUAUAAACCUCUCUUUUCCCAAAACUCUGUAGAUGUAAACAAAUAUAUCUUUCAUUUAUAUUUAAUAACAUCUGUUAAGAUUACAAAGCCAAAAAAUUAGUUUGUUAAUUUCUGUUAGAUAGUUAGUUUUGCUCUAACAAUUCUCUACGCUUGACUGGUGCAUAUAAAUAUUUUUUGGACAAUGAAUAAUGUAAGAUUCCUUUUUACCAGACAUAACAAAAAUAUUGUAGUAUAUGACUAAAAAUUGUGAAGUUGGGAAAACUUGGAAUCGUGACACGAUUUGGGUGGUGUGUCACGAUUCUCCAGGUCGUGACACGAUUUUGAGCAAACGUGGCUCGAUUUUGGGAAACAUUUUUAGGAUAAGGUUGGUCGUACCUUGGGUCGUACGCAUCAACCAUGUCUCGAUUUUGGCAACCAUGACACGAUUUAGACAACAACAGAGUACUAUUUAAUUGUUUCAGCUUAUUUUUGAGAGAGGGCUUCAAGAGAGAAAAACUUGGGAAAUCAAAAGAGGUAACUUUAGGGUUGAGGGUCUUUGAUUAGAGUUCUCUUGAGUUGGGAAACAUUGUAAACACCUUGGGUGAGUGAAAAUCAUUGAGUGUCUUGUUCUUUGGUGAUAUUGGAAAGAUGGGUAAAAAUUAGGUUUGUUCUUUGUGAGCUUGUUGAAGCUAAUUUCUUGUAACACAUUUGUAUCUCUUUUUAAGAACUCAUUGAUAGUGCAUUGAAGAGAUAAAUCUCUCAUCCAGAGUAGGUCAAGUUGGAUCGAACUAGGUAAACAUUUAUUGGUGUGUUUGUUUCUCUUCUCUCCUUAUCCAUUGCUUGUGUUUAUGAGCUUUUCUAUUUGAUUCCUAUAUUAGAUCUAGGUGUUGUUGUUGUUGCUUGUGUUUACUUUGAUAUUAGUUACUACUUUCCUUUGCUCCACACAUCUAAGUUUAUUGGUGAGUUUUGAGUCCGAAUUCACAAUUAUUAUUUGAAAAUUUUUUGGCCAUUAUAAUUUGAAAAUUAUUAUUUGAACACUCAUACACCCACUAUAGCUUGAGAGAGAUCACGACGGGACAUGUUGAAGAGAGAGAGAGAGAGAGAGAGAGAGAGAUGGUUCAAAGGCUAGGCUCACUGGGCUUAAUGGACUGAAAGUGCUGCAGCCUGUAAUCCCUCCACUGUCAGGAGCCAGAUGUAUUCAUUGCUCUGUGAAACCAGCCUCAACAGACCAACCCAACAAGCCAUAGCCAUGUUCAAUCAUUCAAAUGCUUCCACUUGGGUUACAAGUUGGCGCUACCCAACUCAACAAACUUCCAAGCCUGUCAGAUUAUUGUAUAGACUUGAUUGUGUUAUAUUUUAUCCGAUGUGGGACUUACAAAGGGUAUUACCAGCAACAAUUUGAAUUUUCUGAUUACCAUAAUAAGAAUGUAAUUGUGCAAGUAUUCAGAGGAACCCGUCAUGUGAUUGGAUGCACUCGAAUCAAGAAACCAUGGACGAGAAACAUUAGGAGACUUACCAUGAAUUCCAAUGUUUGAAAGAGCAGCAAGUACAAUUUGUUGAAUCUUUUCAGCUGUAGAGAAUCACCAUCAGAUGCACUAGUAAUUAAGGUAUCAACUGCAGAGAUAGUAGUGACAUGUAAAGCUUGUGUCAGAUGUUGUGUUCGCAGUGGAGGACGGAUGGGACAAUCAGAGAUGAAAGGACCUUUUUGCUUGCAGUAGUUGUAAAACUUAAUGUUACAGUUGGGAGCAACCUGUCCAAAUUGUUUGCAGGUGAAAUAUUGUACUUGUCGCAUAUCACAUCCUUUACCUCUACUCUGAGUAACAUAUGCAAUUGGCACAGGUUCAUAUAUGAAAGCAUCACAAGACAUGGUUCCUCGAGUAAGGAGACGUUGUUCCUCUCUAAGAAGUUCACCAACACAAGUAUCCAAAGAAGGAACACUAUUCCUAUUCAGCAAUGCAACUCUAACUACCUCAAAUUCCGGAUGAAGCUUCAUGAGAAAUUGAUCGCGCCUACUAGUAUUGUAGACCUCUUGGACAUCCGCGAGAGAAGCAGCCUUGGGAACAUUAACAUGUAUAAUAGUAGAGUGUUCUGUCCACAAAUUCAAAAAACCAAAUAAUACUCUUGAACAGACAAAUUACCUUGUUUGUAAUUGACUAUCUCUAACUCCAACUGAAAAUGGUUGGCUGCAUUAUCCUGAUUAUAAAUACGCUCCAAAUAGGUCCACAUCUCUUGAGCAGUUGAAAAGGAACGUAAAUUAUUAAUCAUCUGAGGAUCAAUGGAGUUGAGAAUCCAAGUGAUAAUUUGAGCAUCUUUGUAUUCCCACUUUUUUAAAGCAGCUUUUUCUGUCGAUGCCUUAGAAACAUCGUCGAGGUGACUUCCUAAUUUAUUUCCUUUGACAUACAUCCUAAACUGAAAUUCCCAAGCAGGAUAAUUUUAUCCGGUAAAACGGACACAAAAAUUAUGCUUUUCUUUUUCGGAAGCCAUGAAAACGGUGUAGCAAACAACAAAAAAAAGAACACGUGAUGAAAUAAAUAGGCAAGGAAAGUGAACGUGGAUUAUAAGAGAUGAAGGCACGUAAGUUAACAAAAACGGUGGCUUUGGCUUUACUUGUUCUUUUCUUUCUUUUCGGGAACAAGUAGUGCUGAAGAGUUUAGACUAAUGACUCAAGGAAUUUGUGUAGGUAUGUGGAUUCUUAAAGUCUUGAAGGAACUAGAGAUAGUGGUAGAACUCUCAUUGAAAUUGUAACAACAAGGCUGCUUAAGCAUAGCUCACAAUCCUGUACAACAUGAUCGUACAAAAUAUAUUGAGAUCGAUCGUCAUUUCAUCAAAGAAAAGAUAGACUUUGAUACUCUAUACUUGCUGUUUGUUACUUCAAAUCAACCUAAAGCCGAUAUAUUAACCAAAAGCUUGGAAAUAAUACUUGAUCAACAAGCUGUACAUGAUUGGGGGAGGGAGGUGUUGAAAUAUUUCAUAAUUAAUAUUAGGGAAAAUAUUAACCAAUACCCUUAAAAAAAUAUUGUAUUGAAAAUUGUGCAUUCUAUUUUUUGAAAGUUAAAAAAAUGUUGUUUUGAAUGCAAAAUUUGAUUUUUUUCUUUCUACUUUUAGUCCUUAACUAGUGCCCCGAGACACCAGUUAAUAAGACCCUUAAUCUUAAUAUUAUUAUUAUUAUUAUUAUUAUUAUUUAUUUUUCUAUUUUAAUGGUUAGUUAUGUGUCAUUAUAUUACUCCUAAAAUAAAGGAGUUGACUCUUGUAUUUUACUCUUAUAAAAGGAGUCCCGUUUCUUCAUAAUAAUAUAGACAGUUAUCAUCCGUAUACUCUAUCCGUUUUAAAAUGAGAGUCGUUUUAGUCAAAAGAAUUUGUUUUAAAAUGAAUGUCACUUUCAGUUUCCAAUGCAAUAAUAACUUUUUCUUUUCAAUUGUACCCUUCAAUUAAUACUAUGUUACACUACUUUCAAAGUAUUAUUUUUUCUUUAAUGAAAAACAAACCAUUAGUUGAUUAGGAUAAUUUGGUAAAAUUGCUAUGACAUUUAACUAUUUUAUUCCAUUUCUUAAUAUGUGUGCAAUUGGCUAAAACGAUACUCAUUUUAAAACGAAGGGAGUGAUUUUCUACAUGUGAGAGUUAACUUAAAAUCAGGAUCUGCAGGAAUCGUGGCACGAUGGCUGGGCAACGUGGCACGAUUGGAGGUUUCAAGUUUGAGGCAAAGCACUAGAAAAAUCGUGGCACGAUGGGGUCGCAUCGUGGCACGAUGGUGCGCUAGCAGCAAAUAACAGAAACAUAUUUUUGGAUGCAGAUUUGUUCCAAAUUUUAAGCGAUACUUUUACUAUAAAUAUAGACCUUGUAUCAAAGUAAACUUAGAGAUAAAGGGGGCUGAAACAAGGGUUUAGAAAGGCAACAACAAAACUAGGGUUUGUAUAGAGUUUGUCUCUUUGGAACAAACACUAGGGUUUGUGGGUUGAUUCACCUUGGGAAACACUAUUAAUAUUGAGUCUCUUGGUUACGGGAAGAGGCUGAGACUUUGGGUAGAAUUAGGCGGGAGACUUAUUCUUGUAACCCAUUGAUAUCUCUAUUGUAACGUUACUCAUCAUAUAGUGGAACAGAGGGCUGCUCUCUCCCCCAGACUAGGUCAAUUUAGACCGAACUGGGUCAACAAAUUCUUUUGUGUUCUCUCUUCUUUUUUCUCUUGUUGUUGUUUUCUACUUUUGCCUUGUGAUUAUAAUUGUUCCAUACACUUUGAUUUUGGUUGCCUGAUUACCCCUUACUCCACACAUCAAGUUUGUUAUUGGUGUGAUUUUUAAAGGAAUUUGCAACACUACACCAUAUGAACUAGUAAAAAAUAAACUAUAAACUCGCAAGAAGUGACAAUUACAAAACAUAACUUUUUUAGUGAGAUGAACUUGUAAAACUAAUUCAAAAAUAGGUCUUAUCAAACAAGCAUCAUACUCCCUCCGUCCCAAAUUGUAUGAAGUUUUGGGCAUUUCACACAUAUUAAGAAAUGUAAUUAAUAUUGUGUGGAAAAGAGAUAUUAUGAGUUGUUUUACAAAAUUGUCCUUAAUAAAUAAUAUGAGAAAGAUAAAUAAAAGACUUGAAAGAAGAGAGAGUAAUAAAUAGUUAAGGUUAUAAUAGGAAAAGUAACAUUAAUGUUUCAUUAGUAUUGUAAAGCGACAUACAAUUUGGAACAAAUAUUUUUUCUAAAAUAACAUAUAUUUUGGGACGGAGGGAGUAUGAGGUAUCCACGAAUAUAUAAAUAUGUAACAAAUUAAGAGUACAAAUAUCAUUUAUAUCCAACUUUUGUAAGUGUAACAAAUGAGCACUAUUGUAAGUUGUGCCUUGCCGAAGUGUAAGUGUAACAAAUUAAGAUACUCCUCCUUGUUGUAAGUUGUGCGUUGCCUUUCUCGGGAGCUAAGUCGCUCGUACAAGUAAUUGUAAUGUUCUUUUUUUUUGACACAAGUAAUUGUAAUGUUCUUAAUUACCGCUAUAAUUGUAAUAUUACUAAAAAGUGAUUUUUUUCUUAUAAUAUUGACCCGAGGGAGUAUAUAAAUAGCUGUGCUGGGCAACCGUUAAUAUUCACUUUUCCUAUGUGUGACGGGUGCUGGGCUCUAUAGUGUCGUUAAUUAUCAUGUAAGCGAUCAACUUGAUCUAUGUAUUAUGUACUAUGUUCUUAGUAUUUGUCUUGAUUUUAAUAACUAAGCAUUUUUCACCAGCGGUUUUUUUUCAAUUUUUUUUUUUUUUUUUAUCACCAGUGGUUUUUUUCAAUUUUCUUAUCACCAGCGGUAUUCGUCAUGGUUAAUCAUCAAUUUCUGUUAAUUAAGAAUUGUUUCUAUUUUUUCUUUGUGUGUUCUUCUUGAGUUUACAGCAAUGGACGGUCAAGAAACUAGUCUUGAGAUAUUUGAGAAGUUCACAUGGAAGAUUGAGAAUUUUUCCCGCUUGAAUGUUGAUAAGUUAUACUCGGAGCCUUACGUUCUUAGUGGAUAUCCAUGGUACGUCAUUUGAAUGAAUCACAAUUUCCACUGGUGGAUAGAUAGAUUAAUAGAUUAUAUACACUCUCUGACAUGAUUUAUUACAUUUGUGUUUUGAUCUUAUUUGGUUUUGCUUUAGGAGGAUUGCUCUCUUCCCAAAGGGGAGUAGUAGUGCAGUCGACCAGUUAGGAAUAUUUUUGGAGGCUAUGAAGACUGCUAAUAUGUCUGAGGGAUGGAAGAGAGAUGCGAAAUUUAAGUUUGCUGUAUUCAAUCAAGUCGAAGACAACAGAACAAUCACAAAAGGUUUUUUCUCUCCUCUUCCUCCAUCUUGCAAAAUUAUUAAGUGUAUGUUUGAUAUCGGCUAUGCUAGAAUUAUGAUGAUCCAAUAGGAUUUUACAGAACAUGGGCGGAUCCAGUGUGUUACCUUGCACCAAUAAUCCUAUGUUUAUGUAAUUUGCACACCUUGAUAUGUUUAAUUUGCACCUUUAGUCAAAGGUUUUUCACUUAGACCCUAAAAUCUCUCACAUGAACGUUAACUUAUGUAUCAAUUUGGUCCCUUAUGUUUUACCUGUUACUAGUUUAGUCAUUUCUGUUAACGUUUUUUUGAGAGAAACUAAUAAAAAGGACUAAAACUAAUAACAAAGCAAAACAUAGGGGACCAAAUUGGUACAAAUUAUAGUUAGGACCAAAUUGAGACAAUCAAUUAAGUUAAGAGACCGGGUGAUUGAAUAAGCUUUUUUUUCUUAUAUAUUUUUCCGUUUUCUAUAUUUUUUUCUUCAUCUCAUGAGAGAGUAUGGCACUAUGCCUAUAAUCCACAGAAAAAGACUAAUGACUAUAAUCAUUUAGUACCUAUUGUUGGUGUUAUUUCUAUUUUAAAACUUUAGCUAUUGCCUUAAGGGCACUCGUUAACAUUUGUUUAGUGAUCCAAAAUUCGGCUGAGAGGUAGCUAAAGUAUCACAAAAAAUCGUGUUUAAAAAAUAAUUGAACUAGUGUCCGAAUGAUUCGUCAUAUGAAACUCCUUAACAACUUGAGCUCAAUCACUUAGCUAAAAUAAAUGAGAUAUGCUAACAAAUGUUCUUGGAGCACUUGUUUAGAAGUCAAAAUAAGAAUUUUUUUCUUAGAAAUUGUGUAUUCAACCUAUUGAAACUUUGAAAAGCAAUUUUUCUACAUAAAACAUGUAAAUCAUUUACUCUUUUGAAUGUUUAACAAAUGUCCUUGUUAACAUAACCCUAAUAGUAAUAUAUAUCUUCUCUAUUUUUUCUCUUGGCUAAAAUUAACACGUUAUUAAGAGUUUAUAGACAUUAAUUUUAAUUUAUCUCAUUGACAUAUCAAAUAAUUUAUGAUUAAUGUCAAAUUUUAUAUACACAUGAUUUAUAUUAUAAUAUCUAUCAAUCCAAUGGUCAAUUUUAUAAUACAUUUAUAUGGUAAAAAACAUUAUCUAAGAUCAUGUGAUUAAGUUUAACACCAUGGUGUCAGUUGCUCAUGUCCUUAUAUAUAUAAAUUGUGCUAAAAAAUUUGCACCCCUGAAUCAGGGUCCUAGAUACGUCAUUGUUGUAGAAGCUACAAAGUGAAAAAGAGACUGGUGUGAUAUAUAUGAUAGUUUUAUGAUGUGAUAUAGAAGCAGAGAUAUAGAGAGAAUGUGUUGUAUUUUUUUAAUAUAUGUUCAUAAUGUGAUGCUCGCAUUUUCCCUUUUAAACAAGUAAUUUGAUUCAAGUAAGAAAAAAAUAAACUAAAUUUUACUCUUAUGCUUUAUCUUGACAGAAACUAGCCAGGAGUUCAGUGCAAGUGAGGAUGAAUGGGGAUAUUUUUCUUUCAUGACAUUAGCUGCGCUUCGUGAUCCUGGAAGGGGGUUUAUUGUGAAUGAUACUUGUAUUGUUGGUGCCGAAAUUUUUGUUUGUAAGUCAGCUCAUGAGAAACAAAUAAAUCAAACCGUUAAAAUGGAAGUGGAACUCCCAAGACCAAAGCCUGAAGAUCGAGGCCCAAAUAUUGAAACUGUUUCACCAGUUUCUUCCCUAGUUUUUAUUGAACCUACUAAAGAUCCUGACGCAGAGUUGGUGUUUGCUGCAUUAGGUAAAGUUCUGUAUUUCCUUAAGACUAGAAAAGCGAGAGACAUGAAUGAACAAGCUUGUAAGGAUCUUCAAGUUUUAUGGGAGGAACUAGCGAAAUUUAAAUUUGAUAUUACUUGGCUAGAAUCGCAUGUUCACUAUGCUUUAGGAAUAAAAAGAUACAUGGAGAAAGCUCUGGAGGCUGAAAAGAUGAAGGAGAACAUGGUAGUUUUAGAGCUUGAAAUGGAAAGGCUAAAGGUUAAGUCGCUUGCAGCUGAGAUGAAUCUUGACAUGGAAAGAGACUUGUUGAAAUCCAAAGGUUUCAAAGAAUUAGAUUUAGAUUCUGAAUUGGGACCAUAGAUUUAUAGCUAAAUUAGGAUUUAUUUCGAUGUCUUUCAAGAUUUAUCUUCAAAAUUAUUAUAUGAAAACGUGUUUCCUAAUCCAAUAUAUGAUACCUUUAUUCUCCAUCUGUUCUUUGUUUUAAGUCCUUACUUGAAAAUUACUACGCAAAAUAUGUGGAUUCACACGGGUCUGCAUUUUUUUUUUUGCUUGAUAGAUAAAAUUGAUAUUGUUCUUGGUCAUCGUUACAAAAAGGAUAAAGGCAUUAUUAUUGGCGAGAGAUAUGAGUAAACUAAAGGUAUUAAAAGUAGUCAUAAUCUAGGCUACAAACAAAUAACAAACUCAAAAUAUGAAAGCACAACAGCUCUCAUUCAUGGACGUCGUUUCGAUCUCGGUUUUUGCAAGCCUUUGCAAGCUAUGCCAUCUUCCAAAGGAAAAAAAGGUAAAUCAGAAACAGAAAUGUUUAUGAUAAUGAUACAUAAUACCUUGUUAAUGGAAUCAAUUGAAUAGUCAUCUCUUGGCGUAGGAUCAACCGGUUUUCUUAGACCUAUAGGAUCUCUCUCCUUAUCAAUAAAUUCAUCAAACUUGCAUACACAUCAUAGCUUUUUUAUAACAAAAGCACAAACACACACACACACACACACACACACACACACACACACACACACUAAUUACUUAUGUAUAGCUAAGGAUGCUACAAGGCUCUUAUACUCAUCAAUAUAUUCAAUGGUCUUAACCUCAAGGAUCUUGAACUCAAACUCGGUUCAGAGGCUAGGCUCACCGGGCUUAAUGGACAGAAAGUGCAGCAGCCUGUAAUCACUCCACUGUCAGGAGCUAGAGGUAUUCGCUGCUUUGUGAAACCAGCCUCACACAUUGCCCUCUCAUCUAGGAACCAAUAGACAUCGGCCUUCGCCCAUGUCCCGUGGCACAACUCUCAACUUGGAGCGGGCAGACCAGCAUAUUGAAGCUAACUGACCAGCCCAACAAGCUGUAGCCAUGUUCCAUCACAUUAAUGCUCCCACUUGGGUCACAAGUAUAGACUUGUUUUGGUUAUAAUAUAUCCGAUGUGCGACAUAAUACUUUGACAAGUGAAGUAACUGAUCCAAAAUUUGCUGCUAGCCAACAUUGUUCUAGACCAUUAAUGUUAUUUGGUUCCACACUUUCUUUGUAAUUAAAAACAAAUCAUGUAUGCAAAUUUCAAUAAAUAAUAAGGUUUACAACCAUUUCAGAAUACAACUAUAUUAUGUUUCACAUUUGAGUUUCAUUUCAAUUUAAGCCAUACUUCAUGUAUAUGUUUGAAUUGUGUUUUAAACAUGCCUUUGUUAUGUUUCAUUUUUUGGAUAAGUUUCCAGUAACAUUUGUACUUUUCAUCAGGUAAAUUUCAAUUAUGUUCUUAACAAACCAAUUAGUUUGUUGCAAGCUACUUUGAGAGGUUUCAAAAGCCAUUUUAGUCGAAGCAAUAAAAGUUUGUUUUUGGCAAGGUUCUCAAGUGAAGAGUUAAGUACUAACUCAACCUGGCUCAUAGCUUAGGAACUCUCUAUGUAAAACUCUAUCUAAGUUCUCAUAUAGCACAAGCUAAUGAGCCACUUGAGUCAUGUUCUAGAUGUGGACUUUGCCUAUUCUCUUAUGGCGUGACGUCUUUCUAGUGUCCUUUUCAGAAACAUUUUCCCUCGUUCUACUGUUUCCGACUUUCGACACCACUGUUUCAUGCAACUGAUCCCUACUCCUCAAGACUGGCCAAACCCACCUAGAAGGACCUAGGCACGGGCAAGAAACAUAUUGACAUAACUCUAUAAUAAGUUCUACAACCAGUGCAGAAUACAAAUGUAUUCAGAUUCACAAUAUAAUUUCAUUUCAAUUUGAGUAACGCUCCAUAUAUAUAGAAUGCCUCAAUGCUUCGAUAUAUGUCCUACCUCCAUCAUCAUACCAUAAUUGAGUUUCAUAAGAUAAAACAUAACACUCAUUCUUUGACAAAGUUCCAGAGCUAAGUUUAUGUAAGACAUGGCAAGCAAUGCCAUCUGCCAAAGGAAAGACAGGUACAUCAAAAAUAGAAGAAAUGUUUUUGAUACAUAAAUACAUUGUUAAUGGAAUCAAUUGAAUAGUUAUUUCAUAACCUUUGACCCAUCAUCUUUCUUAGACCUUCUACCGGAUCUACCUCUUGAUAAAAAAACUUCAUCGAGCUGCCAUACAUAUCAUCAAUUGUUUUUUUAUAAUCAAAAUAGAAUAUUAUGAACACAUAUAUUAUCGCAACCGUAACAACCGUGCUUGCUAUUUAAUUAAAUUUUUCACAAAUAAAUGGAUCCAAUAGAGAUCAUAGACUUAAUAAUCGAGUGGCCGUUAAUGUUUUUCUUUCCUUAACGAGCAAAAACUGACCACUAAAAAGUGAUGGUUCAAAGGCUAGGCUCACCGGGCUUAGUGGACUGGAAGUGCAGCAGCCUGUAGUCCCUCCACUGUUGGGAGCCAGAGGUAUUCGCUGCUCUGUGAAACCAGCCUCACGCAAUUCCCCCUCGUCUAGGGACCAAGAGACAUAGACCUUCACCCAUGUCCCGUGGCACAACUCUCAACUUGGAGCGGGCAGGCCAGCAUAUUGCAGCUAACAGACCAGCCAAACAAGCCGUAGCCACGUUCCAUCACUUUGGUGCUCCCACUUGGGUCACAAGUUGGCGCUACCCAACUCAGCAAACAAUCAAGCAUGUUAGAUUGUUAUAUAGACUUGAUUUUUUUAUGAUAUAUCCGAUGUGGGACGUACAAAUGCUUAGAACAAUCAUGCCAAUUCCUUCCUUAAUUUGUUUGUAAUUACAAACAAAUCUUCUAAGCAAAUUUCAAUUAACCAUUAUCAAUAUUAUUGUGUUCGUCAAUUCUUUUCCUUCUUCUCUUAUAAUAAGUUUUACAACCAGUGGAGAAUAUAAAUGAAUUCAGAUUCACAAUAUAAUUUCAUUACAAUUUGAGUCACGCUUCAUAAAUAGAGAAUGCCUCAAUGCUUCGCUAUAUGUCCCACUUCCAUCAUCAUACCUUAAUUUAGUUUCAUAAGAUAAACCAUAACAAAUCUCAUUCUUUGACAACGUUCCAGAGCUAAGUGUGUGUAAGACAUGGAAAGCAAUGCCAUCUACCAAAGGAAAAACAGGUACAUCAAAAAUAGAAGAAAUCUUUAUGAUACAUAAAUACAUUGUUAAUGAAAUCAAUUGAAUAGUAAAUUCAUAGCCUUCGACCCAUCAUCUUUCUUUGACCUUCUACAGGAUUUCCCUCUUGAUCAAAAAACUUCAUCGAACUGCCAUACAUAUCAUCAAUUGUUUUUUAUAAUCAAAAUACAAUUUUAUGAACACAUAUAUAAGGUACUGAAUAAUUAUGUAUGACUAACUAUAAGGCUGCUAAUUUUCUAAACACAUUCAUAUGGUACUAGAUUAUUUUUUGAAUAUAUAGUUGAAUUGUUUGCACUAAAGAGAGAAUUAAACUAAGGCACGGCGGUUUAAGUCUUACAAAACAUAUAGAAACCACUAAAGAGAUGCAAAAUGCUUUGAUUACAACUGCUUUAGGAGAAAUUAGUUCUUAAGGAAAAACUCUCGAACCAUUUUUAAUCCCUAUAACAUUUCAGAAUUAUGAGUUUAUUAUGUUACAAAUUUAUUUUCUUUGUUUUUUUGACUCUAUAACAUUAUAGGAGUUAAACAUAUUGAACUUGAAAAAACAAAAAAUGCAUAACGAUUUCGAGAUCAUUCUCAUCCAAUGUAAUAAAAUGUAGCUUUGUCAAGCCAAUGCACAAUUUGCUAUGUAUCUCUCCAUAAAUUAAAAAAAAUAAGGAUAAUACAUAUGGAGGUGACGAAUGACAAUAAACUUUUACUUCAUGUAGUAAAUAUAAUAACUUUUUUUGGGGAAAAAAAUAAAUAAUUGUUCUCAAAAUAAUAUAAUUUUUUGAAGUUGAUCAUAUUCUCACCACAAAAAAAAAGACCUUAAUCUUUUAUUUGUAAACAUAUAUUAUCGCAACCGUAACAACCGUGCUUGCUAUUUAAUUAAAUUUUUCGCAAAUAAAUGGAUCCAAUAGAGAUCAUAGACUUAAUAAUCGAGUGGCCGUUAAUGUUUUUCUUUCCUUAACGAGCAAAAACUGACCACUAAAAAGUGAUGGUUCAAAGGCUAGGCUCACCGGGCUUAGUGGACUGGAAGUGCAGCAGCCUGUAGUCCCUCCACUGUUGGGAGCCAGAGGUAUUCGCUGCUCUGUGAAACCAGCCUCACGCAAUUCCCCCUCGUCUAGGGACCAAGAGACAUAGACCUUCACCCAUGUCCCGUGGCACAACUCUCAACUUGGAGCGGGCAGGCCAGCAUAUUGCAGCUAACAGACCAGCCAAACAAGCCGUAGCCACGUUCCAUCACUUUGGUGCUCCCCCUUGGGUCACAAGUUGGCGCUACCCAACUCAGCAAACAAUCAAGCAUGUUAGAUUGUUAUAUAGACUUGAUUUUUUUAUGAUAUAUCCGAUGUGGGACGUACAAAUGCUUAGAACAAUCAUGCCAAUUCCUUCCUUAAUUUGUUUGUAAUUACAAACAAAUCUUCUAAGCAAAUUUCAAUUAACCAUUAUCAAUAUUAUUGUGUUCGUCAAUUCUUUUCCUUCUUCUCUUAUAAUAAGUUUUACAACCAGUGGAGAAUAUAAAUGAAUUCAGAUUCACAAUAUAAUUUCAUUACAAUUUGAGUCACGCUUCAUAAAUAGAGAAUGCCUCAAUGCUUCGCUAUAUGUCCCACUUCCAUCAUCAUACCUUAAUUUAGUUUCAUAAGAUAAACCAUAACAAAUCUCAUUCUUUGACAACGUUCCAGAGCUAAGUGUGUGUAAGACAUGGAAAGCAAUGCCAUCUACCAAAGGAAAAACAGGUACAUCAAAAAUAGAAGAAAUCUUUAUGAUACAUAAAUACAUUGUUAAUGAAAUCAAGUGAAUAGUAAAUUCAUAGCCUUCGACCCAUCAUCUUUCUUUGACCUUCUACAGGAUUUCCCUCUUGAUCAAAAAACUUCAUCGAACUGCCAUACAUAUCAUCAAUUGUUUUUUAUAAUCAAAAUACAAUUUUAUGAACACAUAUAUAAGGUACUGAAUAAUUAUGUAUGACUAACUAUAAGGCUGCUAAUUUUCUAAACACAUUCAUAUGGUACUAGAUUAUUUUUUGAAUAUAUAGUUGAAUUGUUUGCACUAAAGAGAGAAUUAAACUAAGGCACGGCGGUUUAAGUCUUACAAAACAUAUAGAAACCACUAAAGAGAUGCAAAAUGCUUUGAUUACAACUGCUUUAGGAGAAAUUAGUUCUUAAGGAAAAACUCUCGAACCAUUUUAAUCCCUAUAACAUUUCAAAAUUAUGAGUUUAUUAUGUUACAAAUUUAUUUUCUUUGUUUUUUUGACUCUAUAACAUUAUAGGAGUUAAACAUAUUGAACUUGAAAAAACAAAAAAUGCAUAACGAUUUCGAGAUCAUUCUCAUCCAAUGUAAUAAAAUGUAGCUUUGUCAAGCCAAUGCACAAUUUGCUAUGUAUCUCUCCAUAAAUAAAAAAAAAUAAGGAUAAUACAUAUGGAGGUGACGAAUGACAAUAAACUUUUACUUCAUGUAGUAAAUAUAAUAACUUUUUUUGGGGAAAAAAAUAAAUAAUUGUUCUCAAAAUAAUAUAAUUUUUUGAAGUUGAUCAUAUUCUCACCACAAAAAAAAAGACCUUAAUCUUUUAUUUGUAAACAUAUAUUAUCGCAACCGUAACAACCGUGCUUGCUAUUUAAUUAAAUUUUUCGCAAAUAAAUGGAUCCAAUAGAGAUCAUAGACUUAAUAAUCGAGUGGCCGUUAAUGUUUUUCUUUCCUUAACGAGCAAAAACUGACCACUAAAAAGUGAUGGUUCAAAGGCUAGGCUCACCGGGCUUAGUGGACUGGAAGUGCAGCAGCCUGUAGUCCCUCCACUGUUGGGAGCCAGAGGUAUUCGCUGCUCUGUGAAACCAGCCUCACGCAAUUCCCCCUCGUCUAGGGACCAAGAGACAUAGACCUUCACCCAUGUCCCGUGGCACAACUCUCAACUUGGAGCGGGCAGGCCAGCAUAUUGCAGCUAACAGACCAGCCAAACAAGCCGUAGCCACGUUCCAUCACUUUGGUGCUCCCCCUUGGGUCACAAGUUGGCGCUACCCAACUCAGCAAACAAUCAAGCAUGUUAGAUUGUUAUAUAGACUUGAUUUUUUUAUGAUAUAUCCGAUGUGGGACGUACAAAUGCUUAGAACAAUCAUGCCAAUUCCUUCCUUAAUUUGUUUGUAAUUACAAACAAAUCUUCUAAGCAAAUUUCAAUUAACCAUUAUCAAUAUUAUUGUGUUCGUCAAUUCUUUUCCUUCUUCUCUUAUAAUAAGUUUUACAACUAGUGGAGAAUAUAAAUGAAUUCAGAUUCACAAUAUAAUUUCAUUACAAUUUGAGUCACGCUUCAUAAAUAGAGAAUGCCUCAAUGCUUCGCUAUAUGUCCCACUUCCAUCAUCAUACCUUAAUUUAGUUUCAUAAGAUAAACCAUAACAAAUCUCAUUCUUUGACAACGUUCCAGAGCUAAGUGUGUGUAAGACAUGGAAAGCAAUGCCAUCUACCAAAGGAAAAACAGGUACAUCAAAAAUAGAAGAAAUCUUUAUGAUACAUAAAUACAUUGUUAAUGAAAUCAAUUGAAUAGUAAAUUCAUAGCCUUCGACCNNNNNNNNNNNNNNNNNNNNNNNNNNNNNNNNNNNNNNNNNNNNNNNNNNNNNNNNNNNNNNNNNNNNNNNNNNNNNNNNNNNNNNNNNNNNNNNNNNNNAGGAUUUAUCACACAGACUUUUAAGGAUUUCAAAGGAUUUUAUGUCAUUUUAAAAUUUCAAAGGAUUCAAUGAAUUUUAGGGGAAAAAGAACAAACUUACAAGCGUGAAUGAUAAAAAUAAUGAACAAAUAAAUUCUAGCGUUUGAAUAAAGAAAAAUAAAACCAAUAAAAAAUUCUUUUACUAUUGAUUUUCAAAUUUUAAGAAUUUUAUGAAUUUAAUAAGAUUUUAAAGGACUAAAAAACACUCUAACACAUUAUUCUCAAUACACACUUUUUAUUUGUUAAAAAUGUUAUUGCCACAAAAUUCAAUUGUACAUAUUUAAAAUUAUGCCAGCACUUACAAAUCUUUCAAAAAAAUAUAUUGUGUCAGCCAUUACAAAUCGGUCGAGUUACACGAGUUUACCGAGUGUUAACUCAGUCAAACUCGUUAAACCUUCCAAUUUUACCAAAAAUCGAAUUUACCUCAGAGUUAACACGAUUUUUGUACCUAAAAAUGUAAACUCGGUAAUCUCGGAGAGUUAACACUCGAUUUGCGGAACAUUGAUUACGACAUACUCUCUAUCAUAAUAUUCUCAAUACAAUUUUUUAUUUUUUUAUGAGAUAGAGAGAGGGAGAGAGGGGGGAUGAGAGAUGAGAGAGAGAGAGAGAGAGAGAGAGAGAGAGAAUGGAGAGAUAGAGAAACGAAGAAAGAAAGGAGAGAAUACGGAGGGGGAGAGAGAGAGAGAGAGAGAGAGAAGGGAGGAGAAAGAGAUAGUAACUUUUAAAACAAAAACAAUCUCAAGAAAUCUCAUCUUUUCAUGAAAGACUUUUUCUUGUUAAAAUUACACUACAAAAUCCCAUAAAAUCCAUCAAAAUCCAAUUUAUUAAACAAUCCUUUGCAAUUUGAAUGAUUUUGAAUACCACAAGAUUUUUUUUAAAUGAUGAGAAGUCUUGAUUGAAUACCUCAAGACUUUUUUAAAAUGACAAAGAGUCUUGAUUGAAUACCACAAGACUUUUUUUAAAUUGCAAAAAGUCUUGAUUGAAUACCACAAGACUUUUUCAUAAUUAAAAAGUCUUUUAAAAUCCCAUAGAAUCCUAAUCCAAUACAUCCCUCUAAAAUAGUCUUUUAAAAUCCUAAUCCAAUACACCCCCUUAGUAGACAUUCUUUACAAAAAAAAAUAUCAUAUUAGAAUUUUAUAUUAUAUAAAGACUAAAAAUAUUUAUGCAACAAAGUUGUUGGCUUCAAUCAUGUCGGAAUAUGAUUUGUUCAAAAAUCUAAAUUUUAAUGAUAAUUAUUUCGCUAGUAUUAAUAAUAAUUAUUUGAUUGUAACCGAUUAUAUAUUUUAAGUACAAUUAAAUUUUAAAUAAAAAAAGGUUUUUUAAUAAUAGUAAUUAUUAAGUAUGUAUUAAAAAUUAGGAGAAAUUUUUGAAAAAAAUAUCAAGUAAGAUUAGUAUGAUUUUUAUAAUUAAUUGUAAUAAAUAAAUAUGUUUAUAUAUUUAUGAUCCAACCUUUGCCACGUGUAAUUUUUAUAAAAAGUUGAGUAAUAAAUAAACUUGUUCAUUUUAGUGAUCCUCGAAUGUAUGUAUAGUUGAUAGAUGAUUUUGUUAAAAAAAAAAAUGCAUGUAUAAAGGAUAGAUGAUAUACUAUGACUAAAAUAAAGCGGUAUUUAAAGGUUAAUAACAACUAGUGGGAGGAAUUGACAUUUUAGUCAGCUCUAUUAUUUUAGUGUGAGAAACUCGUUUCUCUCUUAACUUUCUUUCUCUUUGAUUCAUCAAGGAGAGGUGGUUUUAGGUCAUUUUUUGACCUAGAAUCACCGCUAUACAUAUUUUUCUCCUUUUCUAUCAAUUUAAAUAAGUGGUUUUCACAUACAUCAAGUGUUUCGUUUUGUGUUUUUCGUGAUUUUGUCGUCUAAGUGUGACAUUGUGUUGUUCGUCGUCUUGUGCAGCGUUUGAUUUCGCGUCUUCUCGUGUCUUGUUUGCAGUUUCUCCCUUUACGUUUUUAGCGAUGUUUCCGAUGUAAUCUAUCAAUUUGAAUGAAUAAAUAUCAUUUUGCUUUUGUCAAAAAAAAAUAAUAGUGGGAAUAAGUUAUUACUUACUCCUUCACCUACCAAAUAUAUAAAAUAGGUAAUAAAAUAGAUAAGUCUAACAAUUGGAUUUGAUCUAAAAAUAUAAAAGAGUACGUUAAGUAGUCUACUUCCACUUUGGGAAUAAGUUAGCAACCAUUCUCUCUAGGGGUGUUCGUGGGUGGAUUUGGGCUGGGUUUGGCUAAACCCAAGACCCGAAUCAAUAGGAUACUCCGGUUUAGGUGAGAAAAAACGUCCACCCGUUAUAUUAAUGGGUGGGUUUAGGCAAAUCCACUAGCUUUCGGUUUGAUUUGGGUUGGGUUGUGGGUCACGCAAAUUAUUUUUCUUCUUUUUUUGUUAAUAUUAAAUGACGCGUGCUCGUAUUUUUUCUCAUAAAAAUUACUCAACUUUUUAUUUUCUUAAAAAAAAUUGUGUAACCUAUUUCACUAUAUUUUUGCGUUAUUAAAUAAUAAGCUAUAAUAUUAAAUAACAAAUUUCAUCAUAAAAUCCUUGCAACAAACUAAAGUUGGAUGACGUAAAAUUGCUUUAACAUAAAAAUAUCUAAAAAGUGCAACAUCAUAAUUGUAACUAUAACAUGUUUUGAUUUUCGAUAUAGAGAAUUUGUUGUGUCAAUUUUUCAAACUAGACUUGAUUUAUAACCAAUUUUUUUUUUUUUUCUAAAGAAAGAUUACCUUUGUUAUUCUCCUUCCUCUCUAUGAAUAUGAAAAUGAAAAUGAAAAUAAAAAUAUGAACAUUACUGGGUAAGUGAAUUUAUUGGGUCUGGAUCUGAUUUUACCCAAAACCCAUUAUUUUUAUGGGUUUAUCAUUUUUUAAAAUCAUAUUCACCCAAUCACCCAUCCUAACCUACUUUUUUAGGUUUUUUUGAGUGGAUUUGACGGAUUUUUUGGGUUGACCCAACCCAUGAACACCCCUAAUUCUCUCACAACCUUAUUACCAAAAAACCAACUUUUAUUAUUUAAAUCUAUAAGGGUUUAUAUGUAAAUUUCUUUUAAUUAAUUAAAAAAAAAAAACAUAAACCUUUCUAAAACCUAUUUCUAUCUUCUACCAAAAAGAAAACCCCUUUCAACAAAACGCAGUGUUCCGUCGCCUCUGCUCUCUGUCAUGCAAUCGCCGUCGCCAUCUCUAAUCACCGUCCCUUCGUCUGUCUUCCUCGGAAGGUCUCAAAUAGGUUAGUUCUCUCUAAUUGUUUGAAAGUCUAGUUGCUUCCCUUCUCUUGUUAUGCAACAUAUUGAUUUGUAUAUUGCUUCACAUAUAUUCAUUAACACAAAUUGGAUUCCAUUAAAAAAAACAUUGCGAAAUGAUUAUUAAUUUGUGUGGAUUGUGUGCUUUCUUCACUGAUAUUGAUAAUUGUGUUUAGGAGUUUUAUAAAGGUUUUACUAAAACUAAAGCAAAAAAUACACAAUAUAUUGAGAGCUGUUGUUUGAUUUAACGCAUCAUCCCAGUACAAAUUUAAAGGAAAUAUGUUUUAAUUUAGGGUACAAUCUUCAUAGCGUGUCUUUGUGUGUACAUUCACUAACAGAAAUUGAUUGUUCUGCAACAAUGGCAGCUACAGAAACAUGUUUAGAUUUGCCAGAGGAGCUUUGGGAGCACAUCCUCAACUGCGACAACAACACUUUCAAGUCCCUCUCGAUGGUCUCCAAACAGUUUCUCUCCAUCACCAACCGUCUCCGAUUCUCCCUCAAAAUCAUAGAUCAAACAAUCCCUUUCAUUCCUAACCUCUUCCAAAGGUUCCCUAACCUAACAUCUCUCGACCUAACUUACUUCUCUGGAGUCAGUACCCUCCAAGCGAUUUUUACCGAAAUCUCCACUUUCCCUUCAAACAUCAAAUCGCUCAAUGUCUCCCACAGAAUUGCCAUUCCUCAAAAUGGGUUUCGAGAUUCGUCCCAAAGGUUACAAAAUUUAUCAAAAUCUUUCAAUUGCACGAUAAUGACUGCCAUCUUCAAGACGGAUAUCUUAUUCAUCGCUGAUCGUUUUCCUUUACUCGAAGAACUCAACCUCGAUUAUCAUUACUAUCAUGGUACUAAGAAUAAUUUUGUGCUGAACAUUGAUGAUCAAUACUUGCCACUUCCCAAACUCCGCAAGAUUAAUUUAUCUUGUGAUUUAGAUCUUUUCCAUCGAAUAUGUGCAUGGAAGAAUUCUGAGCUGGCCGCUCGUGGAGUUGGCAAAAUGGAAAAAAUGGGUGGUGUCUUUUAAUUUAGAGUCAUUUAAUUUAGAGUAUGCUUUUGUCUAUUUACCAAUAUAGAGACUAAUGGUGGGUUCUUCCUGCAGAUAUAUGUAUUGAAUUGUAUUAUUUUAUUUUUUUGUUGAACUAUUGCGUUAGAUAUUUAUCCAACUUUGAGUGUUUUCUUUGAGUGUUGAAAACACUUAGUGUUUUCUUUGAGUGUUGAAAACAUAUUCCUUGUGUCUAUUGGAUAUGAAAAGCAUGUAAAUGCAUUUUAAUUGGACAUAUUCCUUCUUACUUAAAGUACAUAAACACAUCGGAUGCAUGUUUGAAUUGGAAGCUUGCCAUGAGUUUCCCUGUUAAAGAGACAUUCCUUCUUUUGAUGGCCGUCGAUUUUUUUCUCAAAAUAGUAACGGAAUGAGGUUUGAAAGUUUGAAAAAGGAAAUACGAGGGAGUUUUUCCCUAAAAUAUUUCUGAUGCGUGAUUCCUUAAUAUGUUUCAGAUAUAAUGAAAAGAUAUUUCUUUAACAGUCUAUCAAGUGUGUAUUUUAAGGAUUUUCCAAUUAGUAUUUACCGAGCAAAGUCAGACUCAACUAUAGUGCAUAAAUUGGGUAGUAGCAUGUUGUUGUCGCUUUAUGUACUUGUGAAUUUCUGAAGUAUUUGUAAUGUUCUGAAACAACAAAAGAGUUUUGCUUGUUUCGACCCUUCAUGCGAAAUACAAUCUUCCAAUAGAUGUUUUACACCCAUCGCUUUAAAUUGAUAAAUGGUUUAACUUUUCUGCAUGCGUACUCUUUAUUACCAACUUGUUUAUAUGAUAUGGAUGCUUAUAUAAUGCAUUGCAAAGUUGGUGUUAUUUUAAUUCUAGGAAAGGUAUACUUUGAUCAUAGGCUAACUCCUAGUAAAUUUUACUUUAGUCGGAAAAGAGAUUCGAGAUAGAUUAUCUGGUGAGACGGGGGGAAUUUUCAGGAAGGAAUGACUCUGGGGAUGGACUGCAACAUAGGUCUUUGCCUGUUCAAUCAUAUGCUCCUUCAGAUGUUCUUCCAUGAUUAUCUAAGCUUGGCUCCGUUCAUGAAGAGCCUUUAUCGUUAGGAAUUUGUUUAUAGAAUUUUUCUACAAUUUGUAAUAAAUACGCAUUCUCUACAGUGUUUCGGUUGUACAAAAGAAAAAAACCUGAAAAUUCUAAUAUACUUUGCCAGAUUUUUCACUAUUCAAUUGUAUCAUUGGCACCCCUCUGUUAGUGGGUAGCUCCUAAUUUAUAUUGAGAAAAACAUGUGACUGAUGUGUAACAGUGCACAAGUGGGAAACAUUGUUUAGAUAAUGAUAAUUAUGUAUUGUUAUUAAAAUUGCUUUAUAACUUAUGUAUUAAUGUUUAGAACAAGGUGUCUUUCGACCAAUGUGUUUGCAGGAUUGCAGUUCAACAUAUUGAACCUUUACGGUAUGUUAAUUACAAUACCAAUACUAGUAUUAGUAAAUUUUAGACCAAGGAAGUAUCAAAAUCCUCCUAAGUUUGUCAUGUCAAACUCAGAUCUUAUCUACCUUUUAAGUCUUUAAACUUCAUCUAAUUUGCUUCAGUUAUCAAUAGAUUAUCAAAAUAUAAACAAUCUAUUUGAUAUGAAAGUGAGAAGGCAAAAUUAUUUAAGGUUCUGAUUCUUUAUUUUUGAAAACAGUUACUCACUAUUGUUUUAUACUAAUAGUCCUCCAAAAGCUUAAUGAAUUAUUAUGAAAUUAAUUCAUGAGCAUUUCCAUUAUGUUCGUUCACUCUCUACUGCAAUUAUAAUAAAAUCCAUGCAUGAUUCUCUUGUCAGAGUUUUAUACGAAGAUUAUAUUGUUCAAACUUAUUUAUAUAGUAGACAUGAAUUUUAUUUCAUUUUCCGUUAAUUGAUAUUUAAUCUCAAAUUGAUUCAAAGAUGUGAUGCAUGCAAUUUUGCAAAUAUUAGCCAUUAAGAUAAUUUAUCUAUCAUGCAUGGGUCCAACUACUAGUUUUUUUUUUUAACAACCAAAUUUAUUAAUCACCAAGUCCCUGCACAAGAAGAACAUGGAAUGGUAAGACAUAAACUACAAAGAAAAAGGCAACGUAUAUAGGCAGAACACCCAAAAUAAAAUGCAUACACCGUACUUCUUAAACACCAAUAGAAAUCAAACCUCCAAGACCAAUAUAAACCCCCACAAACCAAAAGUUGUGCCAAAACCUCAUACCUCCAUCGUGAAUGGCCACAGAAAACAAAAUCCAAACAUCUAUCGUUCGUUACUCAUACCAAAGUCACUCCAAUAAUGCAUCACCCUCGCUGAAACCCCUAAUAACAACUCCUCAACUUCGCAUCACCACAAACGACACCUCCCAUUAUCACCACAAUUGAGCCAAAUUUCCGCCAACUAAUCAAUCCUUGGUCUGCCGGAAAAGACACUAAGACAAGUCAAAAAACUUGAAUCAAGAAACUGACUCCCGAUCUCGAAUCAAAAGUGAUCAGCCCACCAGACUCUAGAAACAAAUCCCUAAGGAACCCCUCAUCUCCCGGACAUUCGGAGAAAACACCUUAACCAUCACAAAAACUUGAAACUAGACGCUAACUUCCGAUCUCGAAGCAAAAAUGGUCAGCCCACCAUAAUCUAAAGACAUGUCUCAAGGUAGUAUAACAACGCAAACAAAUCCAGCACAAAAAACCCAAAAAUGAAGCACCCAAAUCAAGACACGAACCAACACAGAAACAACCCAAAUACAACAUGAGCAAGCGGCAACGAAGAUGGGCUCGGAUCUAAGGUCACCACAUAAUCAUUUUAAUACCCAAAACAAUGCGAGAUUCUAGUCACAAACAACUGACAUCAAACAAAACCACACCACCAACGUAAGGUUAUGCCUCCCUUAUCAACAUCCUCAAACUUUAUGAACAACACCCUCAUCAACACCCCAAUCUCAAAAAACAAAACCUCUAUCCAUAAAACCUAUUGAGAGCGAGACCACCCAAAAGGUUCAACCAUCACUACUUUCACCAAUGCCGCCAAACGAGCAACAAUAGCACAACUGCACCCAACACCUCCUAAGCUAACCAGAAGCGUAGUUGCUUCAGACAACACAUGUGAGGCAAACACCAAGAUGAUCAAAUUACCGCCAAAACAAGAACAAGAUCCAAUGACAGCAACCGUCGCCGAUGAGAACACCCGAAAAGACCAAACUAGAUUGUCGGACGACGACAUCGCGAGGAAAGGAACACCAAUGAGCUGGUCAAAAAACUACGCAACCAACACCAUCCACACUACAAAACUGACCCAUACGUUAAAGACAACAACAAUGGGUCAAGCACCACCAUCAUGAACUGAUCUCCCGUGAACACCCUUCAUAACCAAAUAUAAAGCAUAAAAACCAGAAAACAAAAAGCAUACCACCUGAGAAGACACCCGACGACGAUUCAUCAGCAACCCACGAGAAGUGAUGAAAACACUACAAGGAAACCGGUCAUAGUGGAGAAACACCGACUACCAGGGGCGGACCCUUUCAUGGGCUGGGGUGGGCCACGACCCACCUGGAAAAAUUAAAAAAUUAACGACUGUAGCUCUAUUUUACGAGAUUAAACAAUUUUUUUGCAGUUUUAGUGAUCGACAGAUCUAAAUCCCCACUAAUUGGUGUAGUGGCCCAUCUAAAAAAUUAAAAAUUAUAGGUCUAUUUUACAAUUAUUUAAACAAAUUUUCAACAGUUUGGGUUUUCGGCAGUUCGAUAAUGGAGGUUUACUGACCUUGUAAUUUUUUGGGGUUUCAAAUCUUCUUUAUAUAGUCUUGUCAACUGAAAAUUCCACCAAUCAACAGUUGUAUUGUAAAAAAAAUAGAUUCGUAAUUUUUUGUGGUAGUAAACUAUGUAAUUUAAUUUUAUAAGUUACCCAUGCUUAACUUUGAGUGGCCCACCCAAAACUAUUUUUUCUUUCCACCACUGCGACUACUAGUGGGUGGUGCAGCCUAGACGUCGAAACUUACCACCACCAAUCGAAUUCUCAUGGUGAACAAUGGGAUUUGGAUUUAGAAGGGAGGUUUAGCGGCGGCGGUAAGCAGUGGUCCUUUUUGUCCAACUACUAGUUCUUCGUAUAACUUGUAUGUUUAUUCCCUCCCAUCAAAAUUUAGUAAUGUAACAAAUCUCUUAUUUAUGAGAAAUAUAUUUGAUUUUUUUUGGAAUGAUCUAGUUGACGAUAAACAAAGACAUGUCGUAGUGCUGUUGUGUUAUUAUAUUAAUAUUAAGAACAAAACAAUCUCUAAUUAUUGUUGUGUGUAUAGUAUUCUGUUUGUAUGUUAUAAGUCAAGGACUGCUUUAAGCUUACGUGAUCCACAACUAAUUUUUCCAUACACUUACUACUCGCCUAUCCCACUGUCAUCGUAUAAAAUUUGUGUAAAACGAAGAAGAGAAUAGUUUCAUUAAAAGGAAAGUAAUGACAAUUACAUAGGAAACAUUUGUUGGUACAAACAUAGGAAACAUUUGUUAAGCCUUAUAUACUAAACUAAAAAAGAAAUAAAGCAUUCUACCAAAAACCAAUUAAAGAGUUUUAUAAGCCCUUGCAACUUCUAAGAAAUCAAGUGGGUUGAAAGCCUUAUCCAACGAAUGAGACAGCACGCACAUACUUCACAAAAGGAAUAUUUUGGAUUUCUUCUGUUUCUAUUGUUGGUAAAUAUUUGGGCAAUUGUGAACCAAAAUAUUCUUCGUCAGUCCAAUCUGAAUAUUGAUUUAGGCCAAUUGUGUAGCCCUCGUCACCUAUAAAAGAACAAGAAAAUACAGAAAAAAAUAUUAACGAUACAACUCAUCUAUUUUGUUGACUAGGUCAGAAAUUAACCUAUAGAGGAAAAAAAUAUAAUCAAAUAUUAAGUAUAAUAUAUUACCAGCUUUGUUAAACUUUUUUACGUAUUUCAACUCCUCCUUGAAUAUUACUCUGCGUUUGUUCAUCUCGGUGGUGUUUGAAUAUGUUCGACCAUAUUCAUGGAUCCAUUGUUGAAAAGCUUUGUUAACAGAGGAAGAUGAUUUUGUUGAGAGUUUUCGAGACAUGGCUGUAGGGUAUGCACAUGCCAACAAGAUGAUGAUGAUGUAAACUGUAACAAGCUUCAUUGUAUUAUUUGAUUAAUAGCGGAGGAUGAGUAGUAGGGUAACGAUUGCACAAGCUUCUAUAAAACUUUAUGAAUAGCAAAGGAUGUUAAUUUGAGAAUAUGAAUGGGAUUAGGGUUAUUUAUAACGUCAAUAUAAAAGUUUUUGGGCUUAUCUAGCGGCAAUUCUCAUUAAGUAACAACAUUGAGGUAACAACAAUAAGAUUAUGCAACAAUGAAUGAGUCAACAACAUUUUAGAUAAAGAGAAAAAUAAAUAAUUGACAAAAGAUUAAGGUAACUUUUGUAACAAAAAAAAUAUUUUUUUUUUUUUUUUAAGGGAAAAAAAAUCUAUAAAAAAAUAUCUUUUAUAUAGUUAUAUUUAAACAAAUAAAUAUUUUUUAAAAAAAAUAAAUAUUAUUGUUACGAUAAACAAACAUAAAAUAGAUUUUAAUUUUUUAAAAAAAUAUCUAAAUUAUUAAAUAUCAAAAUCAUUUUUAUUUUAAUAUGUAACAAACAAGUCUUAUGAAGCAGUUUGUUAUAAAAUAUUAAGAUUUUUUUUUUAAGAAAAUAAAUAACUUGAUAUGCAUUUUUUUUUUUUUGAAUAAAAGACCGAUAUAUAUUAAUUCAAAAUGUCACGGUAAUACACCUCUACAACUUCUGGAGGCACCUCCUCUAUCCAUAUUCUAUCUGGAUUAGAAUGAGCCAAAUGAGCCAGAGCAUGUGCCAGCUUAUUCCGGAUUGCACCUAUAAUCUGACCUAAGUAAGAUCUAUCUUCUUGCUUCUCAGAAUUUACCAGGCGAGAGACCUUCUCACUAUCAACCUCAAAAGUUAAACUUCUGAAGCCACACUCAAUAGCCAAACGAAGAGUGAGGAGAAGAGCGUAAGCUUUUGCAGUCAGAGCAUCUUCUAUACCAGGGAUCCUCCAAGUUGCUGCAGCCAUCACCAAUCCUUGCUCAUUACGAACGAUGGCGCCUAAACCCCACCAACCAGCCAUUUGGAGAUUCGUGUCGCUGUUUGCUUUGAAGAUACCAGGUUCCGGUGGUUUCCAACGACGGUGACAAGUUAAAAAAGAAGGUUGUUGACCAGGAGAUUGAAUAUGUUGGAUGGCAAGAUCGGAUGUGUUAGCUUGGAUGAAGUCAUUGAUACAUCUAUUAGUGCGCUGUAUAAUAUCUUCUUCAGGUAUGAAAAUUUCUUCAAAAAUGCUCUGAUUUCGAGCUUGCCAAAUAUUAUAGACUAAAGAAGCUAUUUGAGUUAUAGCAUCUUCCCUUAAAUUGAGAAUGGAAUAAGUUAUCUAGUCUUUGAAGUUAGAUAUAGGUUGAUCGAUAUGCAUUGUAUCCGUUUGUUAUAGUUUAAAUUUUUUUGAAUUUAUAUAAAAAACUAAAAACAAGUUGAAAAGGAAUACACAAUUUUGGAUUAGUAACAUCCAGUUAAGGAAGUGUGUUAUUGGAGUUUUUUCUUGUUAUACUCACAUUGCGAUCGAACCAUAAAUUCCUAUUUUUUUUAAUACAUUUUCUUUGAUAAGAAAUUUAAUGUGAUAUCUUUCUUUACAACAAAAUAAUUGUGAGUUACUCUCCCUCUUUCCAACAAAUUCCCUUUUUUUAUACAUAUUAUAUUAUUUUUUAAUCAAAACUUUUAUUUUAUUUUGCACUUGAAAUAUUUAACAAAGUUACCGAUCUUCAUAGAACUUCCUUCAAAAAAGAAAAAAAAAUUCUUCAUGGAACCAAUAUUAUAGGUAAAAAAAAAUUUGUUUAACUUUGCCGAUAAAAAGAUACAAACUUUUUGUUUUAAAAAGACAAACUUGAGUUUUCCAAAUAGAUAACACUAAUUUAGUUUCAUGGAAAAAGAGCACGUUUGACCUAAAAUUUUUUCUACUUCUCUACAUUUUUAAGGAGAAGGUAGACCAAACACAAUAUCAAUUAAGUACUUACUAAAAAAAAGUACUUUUUUAAGAAUGCAUAAAAUUGAAUGGAAUGAGCUUUAAUAAAAAGUUGUUGAAUACUACUUUAGAACUAUUGUUAGUAACAAACUAUACAUAUCUUUUUCUUAUUAAAAAAAAUAUAUAUACAUAUCUUUUUCAAUGACACUAACAAUUUAACAAAUAUAAUAUCGUAUAAUAUAAAUUCUUAUAUUUCUUAAAGACACCAAAAAUAAAAUAUUUUUAUAACCAAAUUUGUUAUAGGGUAUAAUUGAAAAUGAAAAAACUAACUAUUAGAUUCAAAGCUUUGUAUAAUAUUUUGCCAAACAACUUUAACUUAAAAAUAGUUGUAAAACUAAAAAUAAAAAAGUAACCAAACAACUUUAACUUCUUUCUUAAAGCCUUUAAUUUUAACUUUGUUUUGAAGUAGGUUUUAAACUGUAAAAAAGCCAGGCCAAAUGAUGGCUUAAUAAGAGUAAUUGAAAAAUGAUAUAAUUGACGUAUUUUACCCUUAAAUAUAUUGUCAAAAUAACCGUUAAAUAUGAAUGCUAAAUUCGUACUCAAACGACACUUUAAAAGAAACAAAUGGAGAAUUAUUUAAAUCUUUAAUUAAAAAUCAUUUUAAAUAUCAUUUUUUAGCAAAGUCAAAUUUAGUGCAUUUCACUCAUAAAUAAAGAGUACAUAGUAGAUGGUAUAUCAUUGAAGACAUAGGGGUUAGGGUAAUAUAAGGAUGUUCUAGCAAUACUAUGAGAAACCUUGUUAACUUGCCUCUUAACAAACGACGCUGUAAAGUUGGAAUUAGUAGAUAAAAGGAGUUAAAUAUCAUGAUAAUAGGAACAUACAGAAAAUCAUUAUCCUACUAUAAUAUUUCAAAAAAGUUAUAACCAAAUACGAUAAAAUAAGCAUACAGUUAAAGCGUGAUAGAAUGGCAGAGCAAUAUAAAAGGAGAAAGACAGGCACAUUAGUUCCCGGUCUUGUCGCUAAUAGUAGUAAUAAUAUUAAUAAAAAUAUUUUAUUAAUUAUAAAAUAAGGAUUGGGAGGAAAUUUGGAUGCAUGGGCGAUAGUAAUUUCGUUAAUUAGAAUUAUUUUACUUUAUUAUAGAUGAUGAUAGAGUGAAGAAAAAUACAAAUAAGUAAUUUACAUCUUAUGAUAAAAAAAUAAAAAAAUAAAAAACAUAUACAUCUAAAUGAACAAAAGUUUAUACAAGAGUCACUAUUUAUCUCAUUACUUAUUGGUUAAGAGAUGAUAACUGAGCUUUAUUCUUCGGUCCAACUUAAAAACAAGUUGUUAGUGCAUUUUACCCAAACAAAAACAGAAGUGUGCAUGGCCAAAAGCGCAGGGGUGCAUGAGGGAGUCCUCGAGCCUCUGAAAAGCGCAGGGGUUCAUGGGACAUCUUCUAGGGUGCGAAUAUUGCAGUUUUCUUUUCAUUUUUCGAGUGUUCUUCCUUUUUAAAAUGGCUUGAAAUUUGGGAUGAAUUUUCUCAAAUUUGUAUUGUCUUCAAAACCUUCUCAGUACAAUUGAAAUUCAUUCUUCACAUCCCUUAAUCCAUCAUAUGGUGUCUUGCUUUGCCAAUUUACAUGAUUUCUCAAUAAAAAUCAGUUCAGUUUUCGUUUUCGAUUUUUAUUUUUUUUUGGAAAAUGAUUAUGUGGAGUAAUUUUAAAUAGAUGAAGAGCAAGACCCAUUAGCAUGUAAUCGUAGAAUAUUGUGGUGGUGGGAUGGAAUGUUGGAAUUGGGAUGGACAAUAGUUUGCAAUUUGUCCUCUAAAAAAAGUUGUUUGCGAUUUAUCUCUGACUUAAUUCUGAUAAAUAUUGCAGCCAAUUUAAGUUACUUUGAAUCCAAUUGAAGUUAUUUGAGGCAAAACUGUAUUUAACGUCAAAAUAAAAACUGAAUUCAGAAAAAAAAAUUAAAACAAAAAUUGUGAAGGGUAUUUUAGGCAGUAAAAAUAGGCUACACCAAAUCCAUGUUUUGCCUUUAUUAAUAGGUAUAGAUUAAGAACAAAACAAUCUCUAAUUACUGUUGUGUGUAUAGUAUUCUGUUUGUGUGUUAUAAGUCAAGGACUGCUUUAAGCUUAAGUGAUCCACAACUAAUUUUUGCAUACACUUACUACUCGCCUAUCCCUCUGUCAUCAUAUAAAAUUUGUGUAAAACGAAGAAGAGAAUAGUUUCAUUAAAAGGAAAGUAAUGACAAUUACAUAGGAAACAUUUUUUGGUACAAACAUAGGAAACAUUUGUUAAGCCUUAUAUACCAAACUAAAAAAGAAAUAAAGCAUUCUACCAAAAACCAAUUAAAGAGUUUUAUAAGCCCUUGCAACUUCUAAGAAAUCAAGUGGGUUGAAAGCUUUAUCCAACGAAUGAGACAGCACGCACGUACUUCACAAAAGGAAUAUUUUGGAUUUCUUCUGUUUCUAUUGUUGGUAAAUAUUUGGGCAAUUGUGAACCAAAAUAUUCUUCAUCAGUCCAAUCUGAAUAUUGAUUUAGGCCAAUUGUGUAGCCCUCAUCACCUAUAAAACAACAAGAAAAUACAGAAAAAAAAUAUUAACGAUACAACUUAUCUAUUUUGUUGACUAGGUCAGAAAUUAACCUAUAGAGGAAAAAAUAUAAUCAAAAUAUUAAGUAUAAUAUAUUACCAGCUUUGUUAAACUUCUUUACGUAUUUCAACUCCUCCUUGAAUAUUACUCUGCGUUUGUUCAUCUCGGUGGUGUUUGAAUAUGUUCGACCAUAUUCAUGGAUCCAUUGUUGAAAAGCUUUGUUAACAGAGGAAGAUGAUUUUGUUGAGAGUUUUCGAGACAUGGCUGUAGGGUAUGCACAUGCCAACAAGAUGAUGAUGAUGUAAACUGUAACAAGCUUCAUUGUAUUAUUUGAUUAAUAGCGGAGGAUGAGUAGUAGGGUAACGAUUGCACAAGCUUCUAUAAAACUUUAUGAAUAGCAAAGGAUGUUAAUUUGAGAAUAUGAAUGGGAUUAGGGUUAUUUAUAACGUCAAUAUAAAAGUUUUUGGGCUUAUCUAGCGGCAAUUCUCAUUAAGUAACAACAUUGAGGUAACAACAAUAAGAUUAUGCAACAAUGAAUGAGUCAACAACAUUUUAGAUAAAGAGAAAAAUAAAUAAUUGACAAAAGAUUAAGGUAACUUUUGUAACAAAAAAAAUAUUUUUUUUUUUUUUUAAGGGAAAAAAAAUCUAUAAAAAAAUAUCUUUUAUAUAGUUAUAUUUAAACAAAUAAAUAUUUUUUAAAAAAAAUAAAUAUUAUUGUUACGAUAAACAAACAUAAAAUAGAUUUUAAUUUUUUAAAAAAAUAUCUAAAUUAUUAAAUAUCAAAAUCAUUUUUAUUUUAAUAUGUAACAAACAAGUCUUAUGAAGCAGUUUGUUAUAAAAUAUUAAGAUUUUUUUUUUAAGAAAAUAAAUAACUUGAUAUGCAUUUUUUUUUUUUUGAAUAAAAGACCGAUAUAUAUUAAUUCAAAAUGUCACGGUAAUACACCUCUACAACUUCUGGAGGCACCUCCUCUAUCCAUAUUCUAUCUGGAUUAGAAUGAGCCAAAUGAGCCAGAGCAUGUGCCAGCUUAUUCCGGAUUGCACCUAUAAUCUGACCUAAGUAAGAUCUAUCUUCUUGCUUCUCAGAAUUUACCAGGCGAGAGACCUUCUCACUAUCAACCUCAAAAGUUAAACUUCUGAAGCCACACUCAAUAGCCAAACGAAGAGUGAGGAGAAGAGCGUAAGCUUUUGCAGUCAGAGCAUCUUCUAUACCAGGGAUCCUCCAAGUUGCUGCAGCCAUCACCAAUCCUUGCUCAUUACGAACGAUGGCGCCUAAACCCCACCAACCAGCCAUUUGGAGAUUCGCGUCGCUGUUUGCUUUGAAGAUACCAGGUUCUGGUGGUUUCCAACGACGGUGACAAGUUAAAAAAGAAGGUUGUUGACCAGGAGAUUGAAUAUGUUGGAUGGCAAGAUCGGAUGUGUUAGCUUGGAUGAAGUCAUUGAUACAUCUAUUAGUGCGCUGUAUAAUAUCUUCUUCAGGUAUGAAAAUUUCUUCAAAAAUGCUCUGAUUUCGAGCUUGCCAAAUAUUAUAGACUAAAGAAGCUAUUUGAGUUAUAUCAUUGAAGACAUAGGGGUUAGGGCAAUAUAAGGAUGUUCUAGCAAUACUAUGAGAAACCUUGUUAACUUGCCUCUUAACAAACGACGCUGUAAAGUUGGAAUUAGUAGAUAAAAGGAGUUAAAUAUCAUGAUAAUAGGAACAUACAGAAAAUCAUUAUCCUACUAUAAUAUUUCAAAAAAGUUAUAACCAAAUAUGAUAAAAUAAGCAUACAGUUAAAGUGUGAUAGAAUGGCAGAGCAAUAUAAAAGGAGAAAGACAGGCAGGGGUGGGAAUAGGCCAGGCCAGGCCAGGAUUUGAUAGGCCUGAGUCUGGCCUACGAAAUAAAUCACAAGCCUGAGCCUGGCCUAUGACCUAUCCUAGGCCAUUUUUCUAGGUCUGGCCUGACCUAUUUAAAAGCCUGGACUGGCCUGAAAGCCUACUUACAGGACUACUUCACAUUAAGGCCAUCAAAUAGUUCAUUUGGCCUACUAAAUAGGUUAAACAUGUCUUAAAGCCUACUUAAAAGCCUAUUUCACUACAAGUAAAUUUCAACUAGAUUAAAGCCUACAUAAAAGCCUAUAACAACAAAGCCUAUUAAGGGACUAAUAGAUAGAGAAAAAGAUGUUUAUAUUUUUAAUAUAAGGAAUUAUUUUAAUAUAAUUUUUUUUUUAAUAAAUAAGUAUUAAUAGGCCGGCCUAUUAGGCUUAACAGUCUUUUUUUGAAGCCUAAGCUUGGCCUAUUUAACUAAACAGGCUUUCCAAAAAGCCUAAGCCUAGGCCUAUCUACUAAACAGUCCAGGCCAGGCCAGGCCAAAACAGGCCAGACCGUAGGCCCCUGUAGGUCGGCCUGGCCUAUUCCCAAUCCUAACAGGCACAUUAGUUCCCUGUCUUGUCGCUACUAAUAGUAAUAAUAUUAAUAAAAAUAUUUUAUUAAUUGUAAAUAAGGAUUGGGAGGAAAUUUGGAUGCAUGGGCGAUAGUAAUUUCGUUAAUUAGAAUUAUUUUACUUUAAUAUAGAUGAUGAUAGAGUGAAGAAAAAUACAAAUAAGUAAUUUACAUCUUAUGAUAAAAAAAAACAUAUAUAUCUUAAUGAACAAAAGUGCAUAAAAGAGUCUCUAUUUAUCUCAUUAAUUAUUAGUUAAGAGAUGAUAACUGAGCUUUAUUCUUCGGUCCAACUUAAAAAAAAGUUGUUAGUGCAUUUUACCCAAACAAAAACACAAGUGUGCAUGGCCAAAAGCGCAGGGGUGCAUGAGGGAGUCCCCGAGCCUCUGAAAAGCGCAGGGGCUCAUGGGACAUCUUCCAGGGUGCGAAUGUUGCAGUUUUUUUUUCAUUUUUCGAGCGUUCUUCCUUCUUAAAAUGCCUUGAAAUUUGGGAUGAAUUUUCUCAAACUUGUAUUGUCUUCAAAACCUUCUUAGUACAAUUGAAAUUCAUUCUUCACAUCCCUUGAUCCAUCAUAUGGUGUCUUGCUUUGCCAAUUUACAUGAUUUCUCAAUAAAAAUACUCAAAACACAAGUUUUUGUCCUUUUUUGAGCAUUCUUCCUUCUCUAAAUGCCUUGGAACUUAUGAUGAAUUUCUACAAACUUGUAUUUUCUUCAAAAACCUUCUAAGUAUCAUUGGUCUUCAUUCAUCAUAUCCCAUGUGUUGAUCUAUAUGACAAGGUAAUAUGCGCUAGAGGGGUUUGAAUAGCGUUUUAAACGUUUAUCGAGUUCAUUGCAAAAGCGAUUUUUGAAAACAGAGAUGACUUAUUGGAGUUAUGCUUGAAUCAAUGGCAAUGACAAAAGUAAUAAGACUAUGUAGUAAUAAUAAGAUCCAAUAAGAUUGAGAGAUUCAAUGUAAAAUCUUAACACAAUUUAAGAUUGAUAAUUCUCAUACAAUGUACAAUGCUGGAAAAAUCUCAAACCAAACCUAAGAGUAAUUCAACAAUUAUACUAAUGAACACAAGAUUGACAAUAGAUUGAAUUCAAAUGUCAUCAAUGUGGAUUAGAAGUAAAACCCUAAUUAACUCAAUGAAAUAUUAAGCAAAGUUUAACAAAUUGAAACAAGAUCACAUUCAAUUCUAUUAAUUUAUCGAACAAGCAUACACACAAUUAAACGAAAUUAAAGAGGUCUGGGAAGAGAAAAGAAAUUGAGAUUUAUAGGGGUUCUCCCUUUCAUCCUUGCUUCAGAAUACCUCCACUUUUCUUGAUAGAAAACGUCUCUAUCUUCUAAUACCCUUUGAAAUUGGUGCUUCUUGAAGUCUUUGAAUCGUGAAUCACCCGUGCAACCCAUGAAGCUCUUCACUUGAACUCUUCUUUGCUAUGUUUGGGGACUUGAUCCCCUUCGACUCAAGAACUUUAGAAAGAACCCCUAAUACCCUUGGAGGUCAAAUGAAAUUACUCAAUUCACUUUUGAUCCUUUAUUCCCUAUCAAUAUCCUUGAAAGUAAUCAACUUACAAUCCUUAUAUCAUUGUAGACAUCUAUGACUCAAAAGACCACAAUGAUUCUUAGAAAAAGUGUUUAAUCUCAAGAACAAAUGGAAAACGAGGUUCGGAGACUCUAGGGAGAAUAGAUUCAAAUGAUUUAGUGAUUUGGGAGUUGUGAGGAUGAUACUAUAUAUAGAAAUGAGUGGGAAGUACAAAAUUUGCCCAAAAACAAUUGAGUGAAUCAAAUCACUAAAGGUUGAAUGGAUUCAGACACCUGGAUUUAGGAAAUCAGAACAAUGCAUAUUGAUAUGAAUCAACCUAUAUGUGAAUCGAUUCAAAUGAGCUCAGAUGAAGGUUGAUACGAAUCAUAAAACUUUGAAUCGAAUCACACAGGCAAAGAAUAAGGUCCAUAUAUAAACAAUGAUAUGGAUCACUACAAUUUGUAUCAAUUCAAUAGUGAUACAAUUCAGGAAAUCAUGAAUCAAAUCAAACAAUGUGAGACAUAUGAAAACAAGUCGUAAAGAAUACUUGAUACGAAUCAAUGAACCAUCAAUCGAAUCAAGCAUCUCAAGGAAGGAUCUUUUCACACAAAAAUGAAGUACAACAACACACAAGACAUCUAAGGAUCACAUGACACAUUGAGGCAAGGAUUACUAGUAAGGAUUCUCUGCUUCAGUUUGAAUUAUAUUAAACUCAAUGUAGUUUAUAUCAAUUUUAAUAGAUAAUUCCCAAUGAAGGCUGACUGUUGGUAAAGAGUUGACUCACACGUAAGGUCGCGAGAUCAAUUUGAGUUGUCCAUGUGAUGGCAUCUUUGGUGGAUGAUCUCUAACUACCUAUGUAAACGCUCUUCGAGCUUGAGGCAUGCCCUGAUACUUGUGAGCAUCUGAUGCACACAUAAUUUUUUACAACUAAAUUUUUUAAAUAGAUAAUUUAUUUCUUGAGUUUUUCAAUUGAUAAUGGCAAUUUUAAAUAAUUAUUUUAUUGAAAUUAAAUUAUUUAUUUAAUCAAUUUUAUAUACGAAAAAAUAUAUGUGUCUAUUCUAUUUAUUUUUUUUGGAUAGGCCAAGAGCAAAAUGACAUAAAAAAGAAUAGUGUCCAACUAAGUUGGGACCCUACUCUAAUCUGUUGUCAAUUGCUCAUAUAUAUUAUUAAAAAAAGGAAAUAAUUACAGGAAAAGUUGGGGGGCAUAAAACCUGACCCAGUCAACAACCCUAACGGGCAAAACCAAAAAAUAAAAAAUAAAAAAUCCACAAAGUGGAUCCAACCCUAAAGAUUUCUAACAAUUGAGCUCGGGUCUAAAAUUUGGCGAAUGAACCGAUCGUCAACACGAAAUUGGAUCACGUACCAUCAACUCCCUGCAAUAAAGACAACAAGCAUUGACGAAUCUUUCGAGUCCAUACAAUAUUACAGACAAAUGCUUGAAAAUAGGGGUGGAUUCGACCGCCAACACGGUAAUUAACGAAUUCACGCGCACCAACUGAUUAAUUACCAUUUCUGGCCCAUAUCAAGCGAACAUACAAACACAGCCGAGGCACAUUGAGGAUGGCAUAUGAACUUGACCGCCAAUACGGUGACGAAUAUUGCACAUCCACAAUUUACUGUGACAAACCACACAAAUUAAUGGCCAUUUCUAGCCCCAUAAUCCAAAAUCGAUCACGAGACCGAAUCAAAUUUUUAAAAAACGGCAACAACCCAAAGCAGUCCAAUCCUUUGACGUGGUAGAUGCAAAACUGAAUCGUGAAAACCAGCAGAGAACAGAGAAACCGAACCUGCGAAAGACAAACCUAAAUCUGCAGCAACCGUCCAAACCAAAUAGAUGUAUAUGACAGAACCUCAAACCCAGUCACGGCGGCACGAUUUGAGUGAACCCAAAUCGUCGGCGCUACCAACAGACCAAAAUAAACCACGCCUAAAACCUGUACCACCGACGAACCACCGUCGAGAGAACAGGGGAGAGCUACGAUGCGAAUGGCAUACCCACCACCAUCAUCGCAUCGCCAACCACCACCACCGGCGUGAUUGGGAUUUAGAGAGAUGAGCUGGAUACGACGGCGAGAGAACAGAGAGGAAGGAGAGUGUUUGUGUUGUGUUUGUGUCUAUUCUAUUUAUUCUAACACAUGUUCUUGAUUACUAUUUCAACAUUUUUUUGUGGUGGCCGAGGUUUGAAUCCUGGAUCUUGCAUAUAUUAUGCAUCGUCCAUACCAACUGAGCUAAGCUCAUGAGGACCAUUAUUAUUUCAACUUGUACAGCUAGGACUGAUUUUUUUUAGGUAGACGUUAAUUCUUUUUUUGUUUUGGUAGAAGUAGAUGUUUUAAGAGUUAAUUUAACAAAUUAUGGGUUAUAAUGUGAGUAAUAUUUUUUUCUUUUAUUAUUUAUUAGAUAUAUAAAUUUUAUAAAAGAUAUUGUAUAUAUAACCCGAACAAAUCUCAUGUAUGUAAACAAGGAAAUACACUAGUUUAUUAUUUUUUUUGGAUGUGUAUACACUAGUUUAUUAAAAAGAGAGAGAGUGUGCGCAAAACAAAUACUCCUAUUAGUUUUAAUGGUAAAUUUAAUGGGGGUAAAAUAGGAAAAUAAAUGCCUAAAUAUCUUUUUUGAAGAUUUUAGAUUUAAAUAUAUUUUAGUUUUAAAAUAAAAUAUUAUUAAGAUUCUUUCAAAAAAUAAGUAUUAUUAAGAUAACAUUAAAAUUUAUAAUUUAUAUUUCUAUUCAUAAUAUUUUUAAGAUUUGGUUUAUAUUUAAAUAUAUAUUUUAGAAAUAUAUAGUCAUAGUAAGAGAAUUUUCCAUAGGGAAAAAGUUUUUUCCACACAAAAACCCCAUCACAAGAAACCUUUCAGUUUAUUUUUUUAAUAAGAAUCGAACCCUAAUUGUGAUUGAAGAAGUAUGAAGGUGAAGUGUUGUGACGGCGUUGUGUUGGAGCUUGAAGAUGCUUUGGUGUAUGCAUCUUCGACUGUCCAAAAAUUGAUAGAAAAAAAUAUAUCCAGCAGAGGAUGCAUUAGUGUAUGCCACUUCGGCGGCGGCCAGGGCAAUAAUUUUGAGAUCAGUUUUGAAGAAGAGAUAUCUAGAAAAACUCUGUUGAAGAUCAAAGAGUAUGUAAAGAAGCAUGAAGAUGCUAGAGAUAAUGAAAAAAGUCUCCGUAUUUGGGAUCAAGAGUUCAUCAAAGUUGAUCACCGUACAUUGUUUGCUAUAGUCUUGGUUAGUUAUUUUAGCUUCUCUCAUACUUAUUUCUUUACAUGUAACAGCAUGAUGAUAUAGUUUAAGUAUUUUAGAGUUAAAAUUUUACACCUAACAUUAUGAUGAUGAUAUAGUUUAAGUAUUUUGGAGUUAAAAUUUAGAUUCUGUUUGCAAUGUGAAAUUUAUACUGAGAUAGAAUCAAUAUACUAACUCGAAUGGUUGAAGUAAUUUAGAUUCUGGUACUUACUCAUCAUGAUAUUAAUUACGAACAAUUAGUGUCUUUUGGUCAUAACAAAAUAAAAUAAAGAAAUAAAAAAGAAUAUUGAAAAAUCAUAGUUUGGUCAUAAGCUAAAUAAAAUUAGUCAAAUAUUGUUAUAGUUUGGAUCAAACUUGGAUACCCCGAGUAUAAUUGCAUAAUUGAACGUCGCAAGUAGUUAGCUAGGUUGGUGAACAAGGGGACCAUAAAGAAACUUUAAGCAAGGUGGUGUAGGGUUCAAACCCUUAAAACUUGCACCAUAACAACAAACUUGUUUAUUCCAUCAAAAAAAAAAAUUAAGCAAGGAGGUUUAGGAAAUUUAUCUGAAAUAGUUUGGAUGUGUUUGCCAGCUUUUAUAGACUAUGCUAUGCUACGUUAUCUCUAGUUUGCGGUAUUAUUGUUUCGGUGUAAUCUGUAAACUGUUAUAUUUUCUUUGAUCUUUUCUGGUUUUUUAUAUUGUCAUAUAAAUUGGCUUCACUGGUUUUUCAGGCAGCACACUAUCUCAAAAUUAGGGACCUUGUUGAUUUGUCAUGCGAGACUGUGACGGCAAAGAAUGAUAUGACUCCUCGAGAAGAAGAGGAGUAUCAAAGCCAAACAGUUGGGAAAAACAAAGGAAAAAGUAUAAUAAGUGAAGAGGUGUUGGGCCAGCAGUGUAGUAUGGAAGAAAGAGUAGGGUUCCAUAGAGUAAAUCUUAUAAAAGGAGGGAGCUCAAAAUGGGCAAAGGAAGGUGAUUUGUUUUCUAGCAAAGAUGCCAUAAAAUUACAGUUAGAAAACAUGAGUGUUAAAAGACUCACUGAUGUAGAAGUGGCACAGCUGGCCAGAGACUAUAAAGCUUCCAUAAUCCAACAAUGUGUAGCAACAGUCCUCAAGCCAGUGAAGAACAAAAUGAGGCAUAAAAGAAGGGGUGUACAAACAGUAACAAACCGAAAUAAGAAGCGGAAAGUGAUUUCUACAAAGUUUGAUCGAUUUGUAAAGGUUGCAAGAGGUCCUUACCGUAGAAGGAAUGUAAGGGGGAGGGGAAAACUCCAGCAACAGUCUUUUUAAUAUAAUUUUCCAUUAAAAAGAAAAGAGUCAUACAUGGACAUGCUAUGUUUAAAAUAGAGUAGUUUAUGCAACUUUAAGCUUGUCGUUUUGUUCUUAUUCAUAAAAGAUCCUACAAACUCCUAUUAAUGUCAUAGUACAAUGCAUUGGAUGGCAUUUGCUUAGUAUUUAUUCAUGUCUGCAAUUUGAUUACUUUUUUUGUUUUCUAAAUUCUAUAUCGAUGUCUUUUUAACUCAAAUUGCUAAUGGAGCAACAUUAUGCCUUGUUUAUUUUGGAAAAGAUGUGAUUGCCUUGAGUUCAUGAUAAUAUUUUAUAUGGAAUUGUUCAGGACAAAAGUUGAAGGUAGAUAUAAUUUUCAACGAUUUAAUAUAUUGAAAAGAAUGCAAUCAUGCAGAAAUUUUGUAUGAGUUCAUUGAGAUGGAACAUUAUAUUUGUAUUAUGUGCUUAAGACAUGCCUAGUUAUUGCUAUUGCUAUGCUUAGGAAGUUCACCACCAUACUAUUCUACAUAUACUAGCAUUCAGACAGGCACUAUGCGUCCGUCUGUCCACUCUUUUUAUUGUGUUACUAUGUUAUACACACUCUACGGGUAGCGUUGUCACUCCCAUAGGGUCCGUAUGCCUAGGUAAGGUUGUUAGAGUGGGACCUUACUCUCUCAGCGUUAAUUGAAACAUAAAAGAAUUGAGAUUCUUAAAUUGUCAUCUAAAGGCUCCAACUUCGUCUAUGAAUCUUAGAAGUACAUCACACACCCUUUCUUAUACCUUAUUAGUUCUACAAACAGAUAGCUCUAUGUCAUCUAUCUCACCAAUGUAAGAGAAUAAUGUUUAUAAUGCAACGUGUAUGGAAAGUUUCUUUAUAACGCAAUGUUCGGAUAAGAGACAAGAGCUAUCCACCAUCGAUCCUAAAUAAGUAUAGUUAUUGUUUCCUAAACUUUCUAUUAGCCAAAUAUUUGUCUUGUAAAAUGACUCCAACUUUUCCCACAUCAAUGUUGCGAUAGCUUCCCUAGCGAAAUCCAGAAAAAGCUUAUAUUCGAGACAUAUCACAAUAGAAAUUUUUGCUUUAUCUACCAUCUCUUGCUUCUCUGCUUGUGUCGAGACACCCUAUAAUGCUUCCACAAUUUUAACGUGUCAAAACUGCUUGCAUCUAAAACUUCUACAACCCAAAAUUAUUGCUUUCGGUGAAAUUUUUUGAUGUCUCCCUUUGAACUCAUGAUACUCACUUGACCAAUUUACCCCCUUUGUUCUGCAUUGGGUGCCAACUGUCGUGAAUUCAAACUUAAAUCAUAACAAUAAACUUAGAUGUGUGGAGUAAAAAGGAAGUAGCAAUCAAAUUAAAGUAUCUUCAAGAAAUAACUACAAAAACAUACAGAUAUCUAAGUGUGAAUCAAAACCACAAUCAUAACCAAAGAAACAAAGAUAAGAGAGUAAAGAAAAAGAAACACAUCAAUAUUUGUUUACCUAGUUCGGACCAAUAUGUCCUAAACCGGAGGGAGAUAACAUCUCUCCAAUCCAUUAUGAUAUGAACGACACCAAGAGGUUAUAAGAAAUUAUAUUCUGAUGACUAAAUUUGACAAGUGUGCCAAAUCGUUUUCAGGUAAUAAAGUAGUAACUAAAAUCAUCUCCACAUGGAUUGUCAUUUCAACUAGGCAAUUAGCUAAAUUGAUCAAAAGAGUAAAUUAAAAAACAAUGAAUAUGGGGGGAGUUUUAAAGUUUGAUUUGAUUGCGCAAAGCAUAUGAGUUUAUUGUAAAAAAAAAAAGAUUUUUAUUGUAGAUUUUAGCAGCCAUUAAGAUUCUUUACAUCCCAUUUAUUCCCAUGUUGGAUUAACACAAACAGUUAACAGUUAUGAGAUAAGGGUUCUUAUUUAAGAGAUUAGUUUGGGGAAUUUAAGGUCCCUCUAGAUGUAAGUUGCUCCUGCUAGUCACCUAAGGUCAUACGUGCGAUAUGGCGAACAAAGUCGUCAAGCCUAUAGGGAUCCAUAUGCGAUCUGAUGGUUAUUAGGUGGAGACUUACUCUCUCAUAGGUAAUUGAAACAUAAACGAAGUUUGUAUUCCUAAAGGAGCCACAUAAGCCUAUGAAUCUUAGAAGUUUAGCAUAUACUCUUACUUAUCAUUAGUAGAUUAAAUGAAUAGGCUUAACCCUAUCUUACUAAGAGGAAAGAAUAAAGUUUAUAUUCAACAUUCGGAAAAGUAGACCACAAAUAUCUUAUGUAACCUUUUAUUUCUAUGACCAGUCAGAGAAUCUAGGUAUGCCACAUUUCGUAAAAUUCGUAAAAGCAUUAAGCUUUUGCAUAUAAAAAUUAAAUAGAUCUCAAAACAUAACUAAAUAAAAAACUUGAAUUAAUUUUAUCCAACAAACAAAUAGAUGUUCAUCUUAUAACCCUUACCAAUUAAGGUUUAAUUACUCAUGGCAACUACAAACAAAUUACAAAAGAAAAAAAAAUACUCUAAGAACAAAGGUUGAGGAGAGAUGUAACGCCCUCUUUGAAUUAUUUGUUUUAUUUAUUUGAGUUUAGAGUCUGUUCUUCUAGAAUUUAAUUAACUUAUUUGAUAAGUGAUAUUUUGUUAUGUGUUGAUAUCUAUAUAUUAGUAGCCUAUAUUUGUUUAUUUAAUUAUUUUAAUGAGAUAGAGUCGAAUUAUAUGAUUUAUUUGAUUAUGUGGUAUGUUGAUAUUUUAUUAAGUGGUUUUAUUUUCUUAUUUAUUAGAAUAAUGAUUAAAUAAUAGAAUAAGUAGACUUGGGGGGCUGAAUUAGAAAUUAAAGAAGUUUAGUGGGCUUAAGUAGAAUUAAGAAAAGUGGUUAGUGAUAUAAAAGAUUAUAAAUAGAAGAGACCUAGUUUAGAAAAACGGAACGUAUGAUCAAUUUUGGAGAAAAGGGAGAAAAAGCCAAGAGAAGGGAGAAAGACCUACGAAGCUGCGAUUUUGAUUAUUAAGGUAAGGGUGAGACUAGCAUUUAAUUCUAUUAAGUCUGUAAUUCUGAUGAUUAUUUAACAUGUUGUAGGUUUAGUUUUUGAGAAUUUGAGAAUUAGGGUUAAGAGUGAUGAUUGUGAUGAUUUUGAAUGAAAGUGAAGUUGAAUAAUAUAGGUUGCUUUUUCUGAUUUUUUCUUUUCAUCUCUAUCCCGAAUUUGAAAUAAAAACUGGUAUUGAUUGGUACAGAAUUGGUCUUAGGUGUAUACACGAAAGUUGUAGGUAUGAAUGUUAGCUUUCUAAUGUCGUUGGUCUGACCUCAAAACUAUUUAUAGAACUUGAGUUAUGAUCAAAUUACUGCACGUAGGUCACAGUGAAUUGUCACAGUGAAUUUUUAUGAAUUUCAGCACAACUUUGUCCGAAUUUGAAAUGAAAACUGGUAUUGAUUGGUACAGAAUUGGUCUUAGGUGUAAGCACGAAAGUUGUAGGUAUGGAUGUUAGUUUUCUAAUGCCGUUGGUUUGACUUCAAAAGAAUUUAUACAACUUGAGUUAUGGUCAAAUAACUGCACGUAGGUCACAGUGAAUAAUUGAAUAUGAUUGAUGAAUUAGUAUAUGUAUGUAUAUCUUGCGAAUACGAUAUUGUCCAUGGUUGAUGAAGUGUUAUAUGUAUAUAUGAUGUCUUAAGAUGUUGAUUACCAUCUGAUGUUGUUAUAUUGUGAUAUAAUUGUAUGUGCAUUGAUUGAAUUAUUUGUGAGUAAUUAAGACGUUGAUUGACUUGCAUUUAAUAUUAUUAUGUCAUGUUGUUUUUGUAUACUGCUGUGUCGCUGUUGUUAUUUAACUAAGCUGCAUGAGUCGGUCCAAGUUGAUUAAGAUGAUGAAGUCCAAAUUAUUGGAUUAUAUAAGAUUAAGAAGUCGAGUCCAUGCAUUAGCAUUUCAGCGAUAGGGGCUUGAUGCUCUAGAGUAUAUUGAUACUCAAAUAGCGAUAUGGGCUUGAUGCUCUGGAGUAUAUUGAUACUCAAAUAGCGAUAGGGGCUUUAUGCUCUGGAGUAUAUUGAUACUCAAAUAGCGAUAGGGGCUUGAUGCUCCGUAUUGGUACCACAUGCAUAUAAGAGGUCUAAGUUGCAUAAUCGAGUUGGAGUCACAUUUGUCGAGUCAAAGAUGUUUAUGAUUGAUAAGUUGUGAAGUUGUAAUUGUUUAUACAAACUAUGAUUGAAGUGCUAAAUGAUAUAUUAUUAUAUAUAAUGAAUGUUAAGAUGAUUUGAUGUUGAUUAAAUAUAAUUGUUGAAUUAUAUGCUUAAUAUAAUUGUUUUGUAAAAUCUUACCCCUUCUGUUUGGAAAUGUUGCUCUUCCUAUGAGUAACUUGCAGGUGAUCGUUAGUAGGUUGUUGCUGUUGCUGUCGUGAGUGACUUAUUCCUCACUGAGUCUUAGGAUGCUCUGAUACGUAACGGGAUGGGAUCUUUUGUGGCUAUUUUCUAUUCCUUUACGUAUUGUUUAUGUUUUAAUAAGGCCUGCGUGUAACAACCCGAUUUUUAGCUAGAUUUAAUUUAAUUACUUUUAUUGUGUGUUUUAUAUGUUUAUGUGUGGUUAAUCAUCAUUGGGUGCAUUUUCAUGGGUUUCCGUGUUAGAAGGGUAUUUUAGUCAUUUUGAACUUAGGGGUAUUUUGGUAAUUUUAGUGAGAACCCUUAUUUUACUAAGCUAACAGUGUAGUGAUCAGUUUUUACCGUUAGUGAUCGUUGGUUAUAUUUUACCGUUGUUAGUAAUUACCGUUGAGUGUAUAAAAACUUUUUAGAAUUAUGUUAGAAUGGGUUAGACCCAUUAGAAUUUAGAAUUGAGCCCAUUAAGGGAGAUAACAUUAGGGUUGUCAUAGAAGAUAUCAUUCAUUCACUUCACAAAAUACCUUUCUAGAGAGAGAGAGAGGUAAAGAGAGAAAGAGGUGAAGAGAAGAACAAGGAAUUAAAGGGAAUAGCUUGAGGAAUCAAUUGGGAUAAGUCUAGGAGCUGAAUUGAAGCAAGAGUUAGGGUUAAUCAUCUUCAAAGGUAAGGGGGUUAGUCUUUAUCAUAAUCAUUUGGUUAAUUCUUUUUCUCUUGUUCUAUGCAUAAUUGAUUAUGGGAAUAAGUGAUUAUCAUGAACCCAAUCUUUGAAAUUCGUGCUUAUGUUGUAGAGAUAUGUUUGAAUAUGUUAAUUUGAUGUUAAAUGAAUUGUUGAUGAUGAAAUUGCAAGUUCAUGAUGUAUGAAAAUGGGUAGUUUGUAAAUUAUGCUCAAUUGGUGAAUUAUGCAUGGUUGUUGAUGAAUUGUGAUAUGUUUCAUGAUCAAUGGUUGUUGUUUGUUUAGUCAUAUUGUUGAUGAUGAUGCAUGACUUGGGUUUGCAUGAUUCAUGAUUUGUUGUUGAGAAAUGGAUUGUUGUUGGUGUUUUGGUGAAAAUGGGUUGAUUAUGAUUUUGGAUGUGAACUUGAUGAUUUGAAGUGGUAUAAGUGUUAUUUACAAGUGUUAUGAUUAUGGAUAAUGUUUGAUUUAAUUUGGGAGUCUUGUAUUUAAAUCUAGUGAUUUAAGAGUGAUUUUUGAGUGAAAAAUGCAUUGUUAAGCUGAUUUUUGAACUGCUGUGAAGCCCAAAAUCGGCCACCGAUUUGCCAAAAUCGGCCACCGAUUUCUGAGCUGAUUUUUCAGUUUUGGUUUGACGAAAAUCGGCCACCGAUUUUCUGUCAGGAAAAUCUGGAAAACAUUCACAUUUUUCACCUAUUUCCGUUUUGAAUUGGUUUUUCGUGUAAACAUGAAAGUUGUAGACAAUUUUGUUAGUUUUCUAAUGGCUUGGGUUUGAUGUCCAAAUGAUUUUUAGAACUUGAGAUAUGAUUAAAUUACUACACAUGGGUCAUGUGGAUUUUUGUGAAAACUUAUCAUAACUUUUUCUUUGAGCCGUGGAACUUUUCCAAACUUGAUAUCGGGUCUAAUGAAGUACUUAGAGUGAAUAAUUGAGUAUGCAUUUUAUGUAUUUGGGAAUGUGAAUGUGUUGAUGGUUUAAGAAAUAUUUUGGGCGAAGUUGAAUCGGUGAAAACGGGUUUUGAGCUAAAUGUUGUUUUGUCUUAGAAUUUCUCAUACGAACUUAAGCUAUCCUUUGAACUAAUUUCUAAUAGUUUGUAAGUGGCUGAAGUCCUUGACUACAUGAUUGAUUAAGAUUGAAUUGUAGGAUUUCAAACUUAAAUAAGUUGCCUAACUUUGAAAAGGAUCAAUGUUGGCCGUUUGCCACAUGAUUUGGAUUUUUGUCGGAAAUGUUUCUUUAACAAAUUGUCUUGUGAGUUAUUGAGAUUAUUCUUGCAUGACUAAGUGAAGUUGUAUGAAUGAAUGAUUGUAUUGAAUAUGAUUUUUAUCAUGAGAUGUGUAUGCUAUCUUACUUAGAAUGUAAGGAAUGCUUGAAUGGUGAAACUAUAUGUGAUAGUUGAUGUUGAAUGACAUUGUUGAUUAUUGAUAAUCAUGUUGAUGUGUGAUGGUGAAUACUAUGAUUUGAUUGUGUGUGGGCAUGUUUCCUUGAUAAUGCAAUGUUGUGGAGAUAUUCAAUAUAAUUGGGUGUUGUCCUAUAUAUUGAGUUUGAAAUUGUGAUUGUUGUCGCAUUAUCGAGUCCUUAUACAUGUCCAUGCAUCAUAGUCGAUGUUGUUGUAAAAGAGUUCGGCUCUUUUACUUCGGAGAUUAUGUAAGGAGUGACCCCUUACAUACGAUGUGUUUUAUCAUCGGAGGUGACGACCUUUUGGAGAUUUGGUACCACAUGCAUUUAUGUGUCAAUAAGUGCAUAUCAUGACAUGAGUCUUAUUUGGAAAUGUGAUUGGAGAUUGUGAAUGAAUAUUUGUGAAUUGAUAAUUGUUCAUGAAAUAUGAUUAAUGAUUGUUCAUGGCUUAUGAUUGGUGAUUGUUCAUGAUGUAUAUGAUCGGUGAUUGUUCAUGAUGUAUAUGAUUGGUGAUUGUGUAUGAAUAACUGUGAAUUGAUACUUGUUCAUGAUACAUGUAAUUGGUGAUUGUUCAUGAAAUGUGAUUAAUGAUUAUUCAUGAUAAAUGUGAUUGGUGAUUGUGAAUGAAUAAUUGUAAAUUGAUAAUUGUUCAUAUGAUUGAUGAAUAUUGAUGUGAGAUAUCGGGGUGUGAUGUAAGUAUUAAUGUGUGAUUAUUAUUGAUCAAGUGCAUGAUGGUUAAAUUGAAAUAUCCAUGUUAACUGUUAUUUGGAUUAUGAUAAUGUAAUACUUACCCCCAGUGGAUCUGUUAUGGACCGCCUACUUGCCUGUAUGGGUGAGUAGACGUUGUGCAGGAUUAGUAGCUUGGUGAGUUCCUGAUGUUGGUGGAUAGUGGGAGCUUUCUCCGCUAUCGGGUCUUAGAGUAGAGUUGGCUCUGAUUUAGGAUUUUGUUGUUAGCUCUAGAUCUUGUGGAUUAUUUUUAUACUUUGAGAUUUUGUCCAUGUGUCGGACUUGGAGAUUUUAUGCUUAUGCAUUUUUUUUUGAGAUCACAUGACAUGUAUGUUUGAUGUAUGAGAUUUGUAUCCGCUGCGACUGAUGAGGUUUUAUAUACAUGCAUGUUGACCGUUGAUUUGCUUUUGUUUUUCUUUGAUUUGGUGAAAGUAGCGACUAUUUCUUGAAUAUAUGAAUUAUUCGCAUGUUUAAUUGCUUUAAUAGAAAUAGGGUGUUACACUGCGUGCCAAAGACUUAUCUUAAUGAAUUUAAUCCGCUGCAAAGUUUGGAAUAAUAUGUUAAUGAUUUUUGGAAAGAUAAUUAGUUAACUAUCUCAUUUAUUAUAUUUUAGAAGUAUAGCAUUCCGUUAUAUGUUGUUUACUUUGAUAAAUAUUUAUGAAAUUUUUAAGUUGGGAAAACAGGGUGUUACAAGAGACUCCUCCUUUGAUACUCCUAGCGUUUGCCUUCCUCUUUAACCUCCUACUUCUGAAUGAAUACUAAUGCAUGAGAACUCUUGUAUUUAUAAGCAAGUUUCUAGCUAGGUCUGGGUUGAAAAACUCGGCUUUUUCCCCAAACCCGCAUAGAAAACAAAGACAAAAGCUGUAUUAAUUUUAUCAUAAUUGCAUGUGUCCCACGCGUGGGUUGGCACACUCGUUUGUGUGUACUAAAAACGGUGCUUUUCAGCAGUGUUUUAAACACCUGGAGUGCGUGGUAGCAUACUCGAGGCACAUGGCAGCACACUCGGGCAGUGUGGCUUCUGCUUUUAGUGCAAUUUUUUUCCUUUUUCUUCAUCUUUUUGAAUGUUUUCUUCCUCCAAACUAGUUUCAGACUUGAGAUAUAAUUUCCCCAGCUUCGAAUGUCCUUACAAGCCUCUUGAACCUUAAAUCAUAAGCAACUUAUGUAAAACUCCUCUUAAAAUAUGUUGAAAAUAAUGUAAGAUUACAUGUUAUAAGAUCCCAAGAUCACAGAGAAACAAAUCAUAAUGUCUACCCAUUUUUCAAUCACUCAAACCCACAAUGAAUCCUAAGAAAAAACAAUAGAGAAAGCAUUUUGAUCAUUUCUCUAAUGAGAUCUCACUACCCAAGAUGUUUAUGAAUUGUUUUUCAAUCUAUAAGUCUUACCGAAAGAAACUCAGUCCAUAGCCUAUAAGUUCCCGUAAAGUUUCCUCCAUUGAUUUGAUAAGAUUACACGAAAAAUGAUGAAUGAAAACUUAUACAUUGUCCAAACCAAGACAAAAUUGUGUCGCGUUUGCACCACGAUUUGAAAUUCAAACAUUGUAUUGUUGUCAGCUGCAGACAAAAUCGUGCCAUGAUUUUCGACAAAUCGUGCCACGGUUUUUGAUGAUUUAAAAUCAUGAAAAAAUAGUUGCAUCAAAUCAUGUUGCAAUUGCACUAAAUCGUGCCAUGAUUUUUCCGGGAAACUCAUCUCCAAAUUUUUAGCCAAUUUUCAAUAAUAUUCUUAAGCCAACGGAAGAAGUGAAAGAUAUUUUUUUAUAGAUUCCUAUAAAGCCUCUGGUCCGAAUGACUUAUGACCUAUCUUCUUCAAGAUUUACUGGCAUAUGGUUUCUUAUUUUGUUUGGCAGUUGGUGUCUAAUGUUUUCCUCUCUGACUUUAUUGACUCUGAGCUUGAUCAUCAAAUUCACAUAUGAAAGGUUAGAGUGGCUUUAUUUAAAGGUUAUAUUUAAAGUUCUUGUUACAAGAAUCCGAUCCAAUUUACUUGGUUAACUUUAGAGUAGCUUUAUUUCCUGUUGGUAAACUUCAUAUAAUGAUAUUCUUGAUAGCUUCACAUUGGAUGAGAGAUGGCCUGAAGAAAUGUUUCUAAGUGGAGGCAAACCUCGCCUUACAAGAAAGUUUUAUAAGGAUGAGUUAGGCCCAAUAUCAAAACUUAAGAGAUAUCAAUGCUCACGACUUUUUCCACCACAUGCAUAAGAAAAAAGGUAAUAAAGGGUGCCUCAUGUUUAAAUUUAACUAUGAGAAUGUCAACAAUAGAUUGAAUUGAAAUUUCUGCAUUUACUCUUCGGCAUUUGGAUUUCAUCCUUCUAUUAUUAAUCUUAUGAGUUGUAUUAUCUUUGAGAAUGGAAGUGAAAGGAGAAGCCAACAAGGAGUUUUGAGACAAGGAGAUAAUAUGUUUCCCUAUCUCUUUGUUCUCUGCUUUGUAUGGAGAGGCUAAUACUUUCAAGAGAAAGUUUGUGCUAAGAAUUGGCAUCUAGAUAUUUCAAAGAACGAACAAGCCAUCAGUCAUCUAUUCUUUGCAAACAAUUGCCUCCUCUUCAAGUGUUACAGACCUUUCGCUCAUCCUCAGAAUUGCUCAUUGAUAUUCACAAUUUAAAGUUCUUAUCUAUUGUUCAUAUCAAGCAUACUCUUCAUCUUGGAAAAUACCUCAAACUCCCCAUGCUCAAGGGAAGAAUUCAUAAAUCAAAGUUUGAUUAUAUUUUAGAUCGUGUUUCUCUUUCUAAAUAUGGGAUAUCUUGCAUGCAUAUUUACACCAUGAAAAUUUUAUGGCUCUCUACUAAGUGUGUUUUCAACAAGAUUGACACCAGUAUCUGGUCUGGUCCUUUUUAUGGAGGGGGAAGACUUGCCAUUGGAUUAAUUGGGAGAAUGUGAAUUUGGCUAAGAAUAAAGGCGAGACUUGCUAAUAUCAUCUUGGGAAACAUGUAUGGGAUACGUUGCAAAAUCAGUACAAGCUUUGGGUCAAUCUUAUUUCCAAUAAGUACAUGUUCAAUGCCUCUAUUCUUACUUGUUUUAGUGUCCCACGAUUGUCUUGUAUUUGGAACUCUAUGAUUAAAGUUUGUGACAAGCUUGUAGACGGUUUUUUUACGACAAGCUUUGGCACUUCAGAAACAAUGGAGUUUUUUAUAGCCCUAAAUUUGCCGUUAUGGAAGCUACUAAAUAACAUUUGUUGUCGGGUUGAUCUUGUUCUUCAUGCUCUUACCUAGCAUUCCGUUCACCGCCCUCCUCGUAAGGUUUCUUGGCCCCGUCAUGGUAGGAGUGUUAUCAACAUUAAUGUGGAUAAUAAUUCUUUAGGUGAUCUUGGAAAUUUGAUUUUAUAAUCAAUUAAUGUGGAUAUAAGUAAUCAAUUAAAGUUCCUUAAUUGUGAUGAAGUUCUUAUUUAUAUUGCAGAUUUAUUAUCACUGAAAUUGCUUAAUUUUGCUUCAAUAAAAGUUAUAUACAAAAUUAUAAUAAUGAAGGGAGGAAAGUUUGAACUCUAAAAUGAAACAAUUUUUAGUUAGAUUUUGCUUGUUUUUCGACUAAACUCCAUAUUAUCAAGGUCUUUUUCCAUGAGAACUAGUAAAAAAAAAAAAUCAUAGAAGGACAAAAUGGCUAAAAUUCAAAAGCAGGAUUUGAGGGGUAAUGUAUGGGGCUUGUAAGUUGAAACUAUUUAGGAGAGUAUGUCCUAUAAGUACAAACCAAUAACCAAUCUAUAUAUAUAUAUAUAGCACAACAUAAUAAAAAUAUGUGAAUUGUAGAUUUUUAUCACACUUCGCCAAUAGCAGUUACAAUUAAUGAAACUAUAUUGAAUAAAUUGUAGCUUCAUAAAAGGUCAAUUAAAGAAUUUACACCUUAAAAGAUUUCUCUAAACCAUAAAUAUCCCAGCAAGCCAACAAAAAAAAAAAAAACAAGCUAUCCAUAAUAUGAAGUUUUCAGAACCUUUGUUUACAAAAACUAUAAAAAAAAAAAAAACCAAACAAACAAAGAAUGUACUAUACAACAGAAGUCAUCAGCAUUUGGUCAUAGCCUACUAGAAAACCUGUAAGAUAUAUUAAUUUGGAUCAUUGUGAUUCAUAUUUCUCUCUCUCUAGCCGGUUGAUGAGAAGAAGCCUCGGCUGAUUCAUCCUCUGUAUCAUACAACAAAAAUAAUUUAUUAAAAAAAUAGAACUUGCAAUAAAUCAGAUAAAUGAUGUUAUAAAUAGUUAUGAUUAAAGUCAAACAGUUUUAAUGAUAUGACGAUUAUGAUUGAUUGACGUUGUAAAAAAUCUUUACAUUGACAUUGUAUAUCGAUUGAAUCCAUAUUUUUAUUGGAUAGAAGAGAGGAAGCUAAUAAAGAAUAAAGAAUAGGAAAACAGGAAGGAAAUUCUUACCAAAUAACGAGUUGAUAGAUGGCCUUUGAGGUUUUGGCUUCUGCUUCAGUUCAACUGAUAAAGUAAACAAACCGAAAUUACUUGUAAAGAACAUUGCGAUGAUGAAUGUAUUAUCACAGGUAGACUUAAUAAAAAUGAAAAAGUUCAUGUAUGCAAAAUUUCAAAAAAAUCACAGUAUAUUGAAAUCAAAACUACUCGAUGCAUCAACAUCCAAAAGUAGUUACCAAGGCUUGUUUCUCAUAGAAGCACUUCUGUACAAUAAUAUUUCAUAUGAAACGUGCCAGGAUGAACAACUUUUUGGAGAGAAAUGCGUCCACAAAUUUAUUCAAGACGUGCUAAAUUAAAGGCUUACUAAAAAUGGACAUUAUUCGGCAUUUACUUCAGGAAACUGUAAAAUAAGAAGCAAGUCGAACGAUUUUUUCUCAUGGCAAAUAAACAUAUCAGCUAAGAAUUGAACCAAUGAGAUGUUCUUUGGGAAAAUAUUUAUCCUCAAUUAAACAAUUUCGAAUAAAUAGAAUUGAUGGAAAAAAAAAAAAAAAAAAACAGAAAAGAAGAACUACAAGAUGAAAGUGUUAAAUCAAUUAUACAAACACACUUGCAAGAGUGAGAGAGAGAGAGAGAGAGAGAGAGAGAGAUGAACAUACCAAAUCCAGGUAUUGCAUUUGCAUCCACCAUUUCAUAAUUCUUGUAUGUGUAACCAACAAAGUUAAUAUCUUUAGAUUGAAGCAUCUACAGCAAAUGAAUGACACAACUUAGCAUGAAAUCUAGACUUCAACAGACAAACCAUAUAAACAAUUAAAGUUUGUAAACACCGACGUAGAUGAUUUUCAAAUCAAGAGGUGAUGGUAAUCAAUGUCACUGUUAACAAAACUUCUGUUAUAUUCCAGUUUCAUCCAAAGUAAAUUCCAUUACAGCUAAAAUAUAACAAUGUAUCUUUUCAACCCCGACAUAGUUAAACACACUAAUAAGCUUUACCAUUCAAAGUAGGAAUAAGAUGAUCCAAAAUAGAAUAAAAUCCAUAAACAAUAAAUAUCCGGUGCUACAACAACAAAAGAGUCGGACUCAUUGUCGGUGUAUUAUUGAAAGCCUUAUGUUGCCAGAGAAAUGCAUUUGCAAGAGAUUGAUUUAUAUAAUACAAAUAAAAAAUCUUAAUUACGAGAUUGAAAACCUUAAAGAAUUCAGAAAACUAAUAGCCGGGUCUACAUCAGUGGUAUAAGCGAGCAUUAUAAUUAGAGCACUCUUGUAGACCAAACUAUAUACAAAAUUUUGAAAAACAAAAACUAACCUUUCUCCACGGACCUGCCUUAGGCGAAGGUUCAGUUUUCUGGUCCUCCUACACGGUAUCAUUAAAUAGAGCAUGUUAUUAUUUAAUUUCAAGACAAAAAUUUAUCAACUUUCUAUAUCAAUUAUAAAAAAAUAAAAAAAAAAUAAAAAAAAAGAAGAUAAAAUACCUCUUCAAAUUUAUCGAAAUUUCGAGUAUCCAAUUCAUCAUUGACCUUAGGAAUAAAAGGAGCUCUCAUUUGGUACAAUUUCUCCCAUUCAACUACUUUGAACCAUGGGUGAGCCUGAAAAUAAAAUCUCCAACCAUGUUAUAAUGCAACAGUAUUCACGGAGGUUAAAAGAAAACAAAACACAAUACCUUUAUUUCAUCAGCUCCUUUAGCUCCUAGCCUCUGCUUCACAUUACAUAGGAGACGACAAAUAAGAUCCUUUGCCUCUGGUGAUAGUUUAUCUUUUGGAAAUUUUAAGUAAGUUUUCCAAUGUGCUAUCUGCAAAUUGAAGGUGAAAUAGAAUAGUAUCAUUAGCAACAUAAACCAAAAUUGAUACAAUAUAACGAAGCCAUGCAAGCGAUCAACAUUUUCACGUUAUUGUUAUUAAUAGUGUUGAAAAAAUAUCUGAAAAUAUAUUGGUUUAUCUCUUAGGAUCAGUUUUCAAUCUUAGUGUAUCUUAAAUCAUCUCGUAGGAUUAACUGCCAGCCACCAAAGGAAACGGUGUGACACGCAUGAUGUGCAUGUUGGGAAAAUACGUCCACAAGUAUGAACUAGAAAUAGUAGACUACAAUAUGCUUAUAAUAGGAAUUCUACGACCUUAACACUCAAGAAAGAAAACAAUACCAUUCCAAUAAAUUUUGCAUUCAAUCGAUCAAGAAGUGAUCAAAAGUCUGGACAUUACCUUUCUACACGUUGUCCUUGGAUCGUCUGAAUGAAAUGGUGGAUACCCUACAAGCAUUUCAUACAUUAUGGCUCCAAGAGACCACCUGGAAGCAUUGAGAUGAAAUCAGAAUAUAUUGAAGAAAUGAGUAACAAAAAAAAAAAGCAGUAGAAAACAUAUACUAUUAUACCAGUCACAUUCCACGCCAUAUCCUCUCUUCAGAAUAACUUCUGGAGCAAUAUAAUCAGGUGUUCCAACCGUAGAAUAGGCCUGCAAUAUUACAAAGAUAGAAAAGCUUAAAAUGUCAGUAAUGAUAAAUCUAAGUAGAGCAGCCGUACAAUCAAAAGAGAGAAUAGACUCCAUAGGAGAAAAUAUAUAGAGCAAUAACCCAAAUUGAUAUAUGAUGUAAAUGAUGCUACACUCUAAGUUACUAACCAAAUAAGGUAACAGAUAACUUAUUAAAGAUGACAAAAGAACCAAAGUUCAAACAUGACUAAAGAACAAUGACUUAAUUUUUAUAAUAACUGAAGAAAGGGUGUAAGCCGCUAUGGAUAACGUAAUCAUGCGCUUUGUGAGUCUUGCCGUUUUAUAAUAAAGUUUGAUAUUUCAAAAAAAAAAAAUCAUGCUUAUUUAUAAAUACAUUUAUUUGAGAGACUUACCAGCAUUCUGCUGUGAUUUUUCCGCCAAUGCUCCAGUUGCUGCUGUUGUGAUUGGUUGGGAGAUAAAGUAAGUUCAUCACUUUGAAGGACACCACUUCUGUUAACUCCAUCAGAUAAGUCUUUUUCCUGAAGGUUACUGCAGUCUAGCGGCUUACAUAAUCCAAAAUCUGAUAAUUUCACGUGACCAUUUCUAUCCAGAAGCAAGUUGUCGGGCUUGAUAUCUCUGUAAAAUGAAACUAAUUAGAAUAUCAAAUAUUUCUUGAUUAACAUGAAUACCUCUGAAUGAUCUGUGUUCAAGAUCCAUGUCGUAAAGUUAAGUACGCUACAGUGUUGUCAAUCGUGGAUCGGUGAAAACAACAGUUUGUCAUAACCCUGUUAAACUACAAUCUUAUAUUAAAUAGCAUUUCGCAAAACUAUAGUGAUUACAGAUUAAGCGCACCUAUGAAUAUAAUUAUGUUUAUGAAUAGACUCUAUGGCUAGCACAGUCUCCCCGAUAUAGAACUUAGCUUCAUUUUCAGUCAGUACUUCUCUCCGCAUCAGCAACGUCAUCAUAUCUCCACCGGGUAGAUACUCCAUUAUGAGAUAUAAAUACUCGUCAUCUUGAAAGGAACAAUAAAGUUUUACAAUGCAAUUGCUAUCAACUUCUGCAAGAAGGUUCCUUUCAGAUUUGACAUAUUCAACCUAAUUAAAAACAUAAAAGCACAUGAUAAGUAAAAGAAAAUAAUAUUUACUCAAUCUAACACUGCGAUAAUUCCAAUACCUGUCCUCUUCGAAGCAUCUCUGAUUUCUGAAGCUUCUUCAUGGCAUAUACCUGACCAGUUGUCUUCUCCCGACAGAUUCUAACCUAUCAAAAGAUGAAAUUGCAAACUCGUAACGGAUUAAUCUGAUAAAAUAUAUUUAUGAGAAACAUUAAAAUUUUCAAGUUACAGACGUUGACAUUAAAAUUACUCCAUAAAGCGGUAAUGCAAUAAAAAACCAUUUUACUUGUAUACCUCUCCAAAUGCACCCUUCCCAAUCAUAGUCAGUGGCUCAAAGUCAUCAGCACCCAUCUUAAGUCUCUGACGGCGCAUGAUUUCUGUCUCCAUUUCCUCAAAAUUCUUAAGCAAGUUUUUCUUGUCUUCCUUGGAUACUUCAGCAUCGGCCAAUUUGUUUUCUAGGAUAUUACGUCUGAAAAGAAGAACGAAUUAGAAAUUAUUACAGACUUAAACAAUUUCCAUUUGCAGCCAUUGUUUGCAUGUAAUGUAUAAUGCUACAGAAGAAACCAUAAAGGAAAUCAUUUAUUUCAAUAAAAUUAGAUUGGAUUGUAAAUUUGUAGUCAUGACCCAAUUAUAAGUUACCUUUCUUUCCUCUCCUGCUGGUUCUGCUUCUGGUUCUUAUAAUAACUUUCUACGAAAUGCUUCGCAGCUUCAACCUUCAGUUUAGUUUCAUUUGAAGGUGGUUCCUCAUUUACUAAGUCCAGCGCCAAACACUGAUGAUCAUUUGACGUGCUUGUAGCUUCCUUCUUUUUUAACCAACGCUUUCUAAACCAGCGCCUUGCAGUUUCCAUUUUAAAGGUCUACUUCAAAUUUGAGGUACUGUUGUUUCAGAGAAAAAUAAAUGGCAACUAAUCAGCAAAAUUUAAGCAGCAUAUAAACAGUUAUUAGCUGAUCUGAAGCAAAACUUUAACAAAUUGAUAACACUAAUAAAAAAGUAAACAAAGAAAAGAAAAUGAAAGGCUCAUUUGUUAAUUGUUUUCUACUGCAACAAGAUUGUAAAAGCUUCAAUUCCAAGUUUCCACACUAACAAUGCUUAAAAAACAAGGUUGUUUUCAGAACAAUAAAAAAAACCAUGGUUUUUGAUGUGUCUGCAAUCACAUUCCAAUUUAAAACCCUAGAUUUUCAAUUCAAAACAGAUGAACCACUCGUAUGCAGUUCAGACAACUAAAAAAAUACAAUUAAAAAAAUGCAAUUCAAAACAUCUAGAGUUCUACCAAAUCACACAAAAACUAAAACAAUGGAAUUAAAACCCUAAAAACCAACCUAUCCAGCACACUGAAAUUCAACAGUUCACGGUGUGCAUCAAAAUAACUCUUCUUAGCAAUUAUACCUCAUUUAAAAAAAAAUAAAAAAAAAUAAAAACACAUCAAAAUCCAAGUCAAAACUGAUCAAGCAACAGUAACAGAAAACUAUAAAUCAACUAUAUAUUUAAGAAAACAACGUACACGUGAAAAUCCGAAAUUAGUCUUGCUAAUCAUAAAAGCUGUCACCUCAUCAAUCUAAAUCUCUCCCCUUCUUAAUUGUUUUUCACACUGCUUUCUUUCUCUUCCUUAUUUUUCUCAAGCUGUCUUUUUUGUUUUUCCCUAAUUCCUUUACUUCUCCCUAUUUUCUUAAUUUAUGUCUCUUUCUUUCUUUCUUUCUUUUACUUCCUCUCUCUUUUACACUCUUAUAAAAAGUAAGAAGUUGAGUUAAAAAAACAAUUGCCCAUGUACUUCAAAUCGGUGCUCAUCUUUUCUUUAUUUGAUUUUUUCAUUCACUUUUACUCUCUUUUCUUUUACCCUUGUAUGAAAAACAAAAGGACAAAUGCAUGUCACUAAUACAUAAGAAAAUACGGCAUAAAUAUUUGUAAUUGAUAAAUAUUAAAAAAAUCGUAGAAUAAAUUUUUGUCAUUGACACACAAAAUAAAGAUAAAUAGUUGUCGCUGUAAAUAUAAAAAAAAACGUAGGACAAAUAUUUAUCACUAACACAAAAAAAUACAAUCUUGAAUAGAUUACUUGGCUUUGUCCUAGUCAGCUCUUGAACGGGCGAGUACUAAAUGUACUUCAUCACAUUUUUUGGGUCUAGUACUUCUUGUACUUUUCCCAUUUUCUUAAUGAAAUUUCUUUAUUGCUAAACAAAAAAAGAUGUUUGACAUAUAAAAAAUAAAAAAUAAACAUUGUUUGUCAUUGAUGAAUGAAAAAAAUGAAAUCAAUAUUUUAUAUGAAAGUGUACAAUGACUUCACUUAUAUUUUAAUAACAUUUUAUUAUAAAUUUUGAAAGAAAAAAAAAAGUUUAUUAUAUAUUUUUUUACCUUAAUAUAAUGUUGACCUAAAUUAUCAAGUAAAAUUUGGUAUAAUCAUGCAAAUGUACAAGUCUUGUAUUAGUCAGGGUUGGGUAGCUCAACUGUUUUGAGCUAAAGGUUGGUCAGUUGGACGUUCAAGGUUCCAGCCCUAACGAAGAGAAAAAAACUAACAUAACAAUUAACAUACUAACAUUUGUUAUUAAAAAUAAAUAUUGUACUAGUUUAAAUAAAAGAAGCAAAAGAGUGUUGUAUAAACCUUGAAUUAUGAUAAAUCUGAAAGUUUUGCUGAAACUCAAGGAGUGUAAUGCUAAACAUUAUCAUACUAAGAUUUAUCAUUAGAAAAACAAAUAUUGUCCUAGUUUAAAUAAAAUAAGCAGAAGGGUGUUGUAUAAACCUUGAAUUAUGAUGAAUCUGAAAGUUCUGAUGAAACUCAAGGAGUGUGAUGGUGUUGUAUGUCUUUGAAAGUAAAGUCUAAUGAAAGAGAUGAAGAAGGUUAUAUAUAUUGUUGUGAUGUGAUGACGAUGAUAGAUGUGAUGAAAAAUGUGAGAUUAUAUACUAUGGACAUAUUUCAUUAAAGACGCUGGUUUUAGUAUUGGGUUUUGGUUUGUUUUUUUUAGGAUGGUUUUGCUUUGAAAUGUUUAAAGACAAAUGUUAAUUAAUAAAUAAAAAUAAUGAUGUUAUUAAAUAAAAUGUUUUUUUUACGCGGUGUCAUAGUACUAAUAUAAAGAAAGUAGUCCGUUUUGGGCAGGCUUGUUCUCAACUGCCUCAUUUAUUCUAUAUUAUAUAUAAAGAAAAUAACCUCUUUCAAUUUUUGUAGGUUGGUUUUUUCUCUUUCCAAGAAUAUCCUCAAUUUUCAAUUUAAAUAACACAUGUAAUAAAUAAGGAUAAAUUUAAAUAUUAAAAAAAUAUGAGAUUAUAUACUAUGGACAAAUUUCAUUUAAGACGCUGGUUUUGGUUUGUUUUUUUUUUAGGAUGGUUUUGCAUUGAAAUGUUUAAAGACAAAUUUAAUUAAUAAAUAAAAAUAAUGAUGUUAUUAAAUAAAAAGUUUUUUUACGCGGAGUCAUUGCUAGUACUAUAUAUAAAGAAAGUAGUCCGUUUUGGGUAGGCUUGUUCUCAACUGCCUCAUUUAUUCUAUAUUAUAUAUAAAGAAAAUAACCUCUUUCAGUUCUUUUAGGCUGCCUUUUUCUCUUUCCAAAAAUAUCCUCAAUUUUCAAUUCAAAUAACACAUGUAACAAAUAGAUAAGGAUAAAUUUAAAUAUUAAAAAAAAUGUGAGAUUAUAUACUAUGGACAAAUUUCAUUUUAGACGCGGUUUUGGUAUUGGGUUUUGCUUUUUUGAGGAUGGUUUUGAUUUGAAAAGUUUAAAGACAAAUGUUAAUUGAUAAAUAAAAUAAGGUUUAAAUAUGUCUUUAGUACUAGACCCAAAAAAGACAGAUUUUGGCAUUGGUCCCUACACUUUUUUAACAGAAAGUUAACAGAGGGACCAAUGCCAAUAUUUUUACAAAGUGCAGGGACCAAUGUCAAACAAAAAAAAGUGCAGGGACCAAUGCCAAAAUCUGAUAAAAGUGUAGGACCAAUGACACAUUUAAACCAUAAAAUAAUGAUGCUAUUAAAUAAAAUAAAAAAUUACGCUGAGUCAUUGCUUUCAAUUUCAAUUUUUUUAAACUUAUCAAUCUACUAUCUUUACCACUUAUCAAUCCACUUAUCAAAUUUCAAUUUUUUUUUAUCAGUUUAUCAAAUUUUUCGACCAUAAAAUUUGAUAGACUGACCCAAAAAAAAAAAAAGAAAUUGAUAGACUAUUCUAUAUUAUAUAUAAAGAUAGUAGUCCGUUUUGGACAGGCUUGUUCUCAACUAUCUCAUAAUCAUAAUUAUAAAGACAGAACAAAUUCUUAUUUAUAUUCAUCAAUAAACUGUGGGUAAAAUACUCGUAUUGAGUUGGCAUCAAAUUUUUUUUUUAUAAAGGAUUGAGUUAGCAUCAAUUAAAAAUCAUUUCUCGAAAGGACCAAUGAAAAUCAUUUAUUUGAAUUCUACUAUUUGAGAUUAAUGAUUUUGCUACCCUUCAAAAAAAUAAGUAUUUGUGAAAUAAAAUAGCAUAUCAUAUAAAAUAAGGUUUGGUGGAAAGAAAAUAUAUAUAAAAUAAGGUUAAAUGCACUUUUGCCCUUUGUCAUUGUAAAAAUUCAUAUUUAUCUUUUGUAAUUCUUUUUUAAAUUAUAAUCUUGUAAUUUAAAUAUAUUUUUUUUAUUAGCAAAAGUAUAUUCAUGAAUUACUUCAAUGGACCAAGUACAAAUAGUACUACACGCAAGUAUAGGAUAAAGUACAAGCGGUACUUUGCCAAAUCCCAAAAAUACACCAAAAUAUGCACUUGGCCCCAAACUAUUUACAACAACACUGCCUUAUAAUACAAUCAAUAGGGUUGUGAAACCAUUCAUAAUACAUACACGCAUUCGAAGGACAUUUAGCCAAAAAACUCUUUCAAGAGGCACAUUUAAUAUCAUCAACCAGCUCUUCCCCCGAAAGUUCCUUAUAAGAAAAGAGGGGUGAGUUUCUUGCACACCAAAUUGCCCAAAUGGUUGAAUGUAAUACCAAUAGUAGUCCCUCCAAACCUUACCCCUUCCAAAAUUGUCCCAAAAACACUUCUAGAAGUGCGAACACAUCUCUAGGUAUGGUCGUAGACACACCAAACCACCCAAAAAUGGAAAACCAAACCCCCCUUGCAAAAUUACAACGCAAAAUAGGUGGUCCUUCAAUUCAACCACUAAGGGGCACCAAACACAGCCGCCUAAACAUGAGUGAAUGGUGAAAAACCCGCCAUCCGAGUAAUCCCACUUCCACGAAUCACAUCUAGGCCACAAAAAAACAACUAUUAGUAAAUUGUUUAGAUUUACAAGUAUCCCUCUUCCCAUAGAAAGAAAUGAUGACCCCUCCACAAAAAAUUCCACUUCCACUCACUUGCCUCCCAUAUUGGAUACUAGGGUGUCUUGUUGUAAUGAUAUUGAGUUCAACCUUGGAAAUACCAACCGAAGAGGUUCGCUUCCACGCCAUGGAACAUCCCAAAAAUCAACUUUUGAGUCACCAUUCCCAAUCACCAUUUUACAUCCUUGUUCAAAUCAAUCAACACCAUUUACCGAACUCUUGCCUUCCCACAAAGAUCUCUCCACCAACUUUAUUGAAUUAUCAGCCCCAAGGUACUAUGGAUAUCCACACAAGAUGUUAUUCGAGUACCAUAUCUAGACAUUAGCACUUUCUUCCAAAUUGGUGGUUCACCACCUUGAAGUAAACUCCAUAUCUACUUAGUUAUUAAAGAAAUGUUCAUUAUUUGGAGAUCUUUUACCCCUAAACCUUCAUUCUCCUUCAGCCUACACACAUUGAACAAUUUGACCCUACUAAUUUUGUUGGAUCACAAUGAACCACUUGAAAGGAGUAUUCUUUGUAAUCAUACAAGGGAUUUCCAUACAAGGGAUUUUCCAACAGUAGGCUGGGUAAGACCCACUUCAAAACAUACAUAGAAAAAUCUUUCUAUUUCGACCUUAUAAGUGUUAAACUCCCCUGCUAUAUAUAUGGACGAUAACUAAAAAAUAGUUGGUUAUCACAUUACAUUUAUCCCACAUAAUGAACAAUAAAUUUAAUGAAUGCAUUGCCUAAAGCAUCUAAUCAGUGGCUUUCUAGGAUUUUAUAGCUUUAAGUAGUUUUUAGUGUUAAUUAAUCAUUUUGAACUAGUAAUGAUUGUUGUGGAUGUUUGAUUAUACAUGAUGAGGAAUGGCUCUGGAGAUAUGGGAAGGUCCAGCAUGGAUUAGGAUUGCUUUGUUGAAGAUAUGGAAAUAUGCAGCAUUCUGGAUCGCUAGUCAGGUCGUACAACUAGUAUGAACCCAUGGGACAAAUUGUCAUUUCUUAAGGAGUAAGAAUUAUGAGUGUGCGCCAAUGAUUGGAGUACGAGGAAUUAUAGAGAAUAUGCAUGGAUUAGGUAGGAUAAGAUAAGGACAGCUCAUAGAGAAAUUACCAAAGGGUACAACUUGUAGAGGUUGGCCUUGUACUAUAAAAGGUCAACCACAUGUUGGUGCCAUGAGUCUGAAAAUUUGAUAGUGAAUUGGAGAGGCCAAGUUCUACCUAGGGUUAGCAGCUUUGGAGUUCUCACUCCAUCUCUUUUCUUCAUAGAUGAACAUGAGUUUUAGUUUUUAGAGAAUUAGAGUUAGAUUACUUGGUCAUGCUUUUAGCUCAACACUCUCCUUCAAGGAUUGUAAUCUUGUACUAGAUCUACUCAAUCUAUUAAUUUAGCUUUUCAUAUUUUCAUUUAUGUUUUAUUUCAUCUUCAUCUUCAAGGUUCAGCUCACCAUGAGCUAAACCCCUUCUUGUGGUUUAGACAUGGUGAGGUUAUGAUACUCUUUACUCACGAUUUAUAAAGUUGUCUUCGUGCUUCUAUCAAACAUACUAAUUUAACUCAAAAUAUUUAAACGUAAAACUUGAUCUCUUUUACUUCUAGUGUUAUAGUUCCUUGAGACCGACAAAGUAUGGGAAUGGAAUAUGUUUGUGAAAAGGUGAAGGGAUCAAGAGAGACUACUUUGCACGAGUACUAGAUCAUGGAAGAGGAUUUAGGCACCAAUAUCUAACUAGGACACUUGUCAUAUACCAAAGGCUCAUCAGCAAAAUAACACUUUAGUAGGAAAUGUUAAUGACCUAACCUGGCAAACAUUGCAUGUUAAGAUUACGUGAUUGUACUCUGACAUGUAGUCUGCCUGGGCUUAACAUGAAGGUUGAGUGCACAACAUUCCCAGUGGCCACCAAGUUUCCAGGAAGUAAUAGAAAUUUAUACCUCUGUAGAUCGUAGUAAAGCUCUGUCAUAACCGAGCUUUGUUUAAACCACGCUUUUUACUUUGAGAAUUUUAAUAUCUUUUUAACUGUUUUCCCAAACUUGUAACUUUUAUUUUUCGUGUUAUAACAAAUGAUUUAUUUCAUUUUAUUGCAAACAAGUUUUCUACUAGAAAGCUACAGAGAGCUAUAGCUCCCCAAUCCCAGUGGGAUUGAUAUAUUUUUUAUAUUAUAACAUGGACAGUAUAUACUGGCACCAAGUCUUUCAAUCAUAAAAUACUCUGUGUUUUGAGAAACACCAAUGGGUCGUCUACUGAAGGAAGUCAUGGCAAAAAGGAUACUCACGUCAAAAUACACAACAUUUACACCGAUGAAUCAAAUCCAAACCACUGACAAUCCAACUAUAUAUAUAUAUAUAUAUACAGCAUUUAUUGUCUCUGGCAACAAUUGGAAAGUGUUGUCAUAACUAUGAAAAACGUUUCCUAUACGAGGGGAUGUUUUUCAAGCUUCCGGUAUAUGAGUGUUGCCUAUUUUCUAAGGCAACACUUUUCUCUCUCUCUGGGAACAUUAUUCAUAAGAGUUGCCAAAACUAUGGGAAUAGGGGACGUUUUAAUGAACCUGGGGCACCGUUUUUCAACAUUGUCAAAGCUUACAACAGUUAGUAAAUAUUUCCUAAAAUAAAAAAAUUAUAACAUUUACAAAACAUCCCCAAAAGCUUGUUUGCAACAUUUUUAAAUGGUCAUUGCAAAGACUCUGCCUAUGAGAUCAAAUACAAUUUUUCAAAACAUCCUCCAAAGAAAAACCUUGGUAUGAAGAAUUAUAACAAAAGCAAGUGUAGCCUUAUAAAUAUUGUAAGCUGGAAAAGUUUCCAAUCCUCAAUGAGAGAGUGAUGCAUAAGUAAUAUAUUUUGAGAACAUAUUGGUUCCACUUCAUAAGAUAUAUUUAAGUAAUAUAUAUAUAUAUAUAUAUAUAUAUAUAUAUAUAUAUAUCACACCAUAUAUUUGUUAGAAAAUAACUUAUAACAAAAUACAUGCAAAAUCUAAUCAUAAACUUGCAAAUGAAAAUUUGUACUUGAUCAAUAAUUUCUUUAUCAACAUUAGAACAGUAGCUAAAUUGUAACUUCAUAAGUCCACGAUUGAUUCUCCAAUCAAAAAGGAUCAUAGUGUCCAACCAAAACAAUCAAACAUUCUUGGCAUCUUGCCAAAAAAAAAAAUAGUUUCCUGUUAUACCCCAGUUGGAUAUUUACUCAUAAAUGCUUAGAAUGAUUACAAAGAAGUCUUGAUUAAAAUACCUGCAUAUAUAUUUGAUAAUUGUCUACUGCGUAGCUUGAGAUAGCAUGCACAAGGAUAAAAUAUUUUUUUUGAUUUACCCCCCCUGUAAAUUUAUUUUUUUUGGAAUACCCCCCUAAUAGCUCAUAAAAAAACGAAAAAAUUCUGAAAAAAAAUAAAAAUAAAGUCGUUUUUUUAUAACCUAUUAAGGGGGUAUUCCAAAAAAUAUAUAUUUUACAGGGGGGUAAAUCAAAAAAAAUAUUUUACAGAGGGAAAACCAAAAAUGACCUAUAUUACAGGGGGGUAAAGCACCAUUAAUCCUAAAAUUUAAAACAUUGUUAGAAACAUUGCUGAAAAUAUGUUGUGAUUUACCUUUUUAACUUGAUUUUAAUGUUGGAAACAAAAAAUUGUGUUGUCUAAAAAAAAUGCACCAACCGAUCCAACCUAAAUCGCAUUGAUUUGAUUUGAUUCCAUUUAUUUUAAAAGUCAAUCGAACUAAACAAAACCGCAAGCUAUUUUGUCUUACAAUUUAAAUGAUUUCUAGCCUCAAAACUAAACCAAGCAGCACCAUUGACACCCUAAUAUUGAAGGGUAUGUCUUAGCUUGUGAUGUAGUCUAGUGGAUGGCAUUGUACAUUUAAAAUAGUUGUAUAGGCAGGGAGAAAGGUUAAAUGUAAUUUGAAAAAUGACCCAUUAAUUUAUUUAGUUUGGUAUUAUAGUACGACGAAGAAAAUUCUUGUUGUAUCAUUAACUAAAAAUUAAGGAUUGCCCUCAUUAUGAGGCAAGUCAUGCCUAGAAUAUUAGUAUCAAUUAGGAGUUAGUAACUCAAUUAUUUAGUGCAAUAAUCAAUAUUUAAAGGUGAAAACUACAUUAUGCUUCAAUAAGGGGUAACAUAAAUAUUAAAAGACAAAUGAAUGAUUUUGAUUGGUGUCAACUCGACAUAAGUAAAUUUGUCCAUCUUUUGUUGAUGGUUAAAUAAGAAUUUGAAAUAUUUAAAACUGGUAUAAUAGUACUAUAAAAGCUUAAACACUUUUUUUUUUAUCUCUAUUGUGAGGUUCUUAUUCAUAACCUAACUAUAAAUAUAUACAUAUUUAUCAUUUAGUUUGAGUAAAUGGUAAUAAUUUAGUCAUUACAUCCAUUAUGUUAGUUAAAGUUAACAUUUGAGAGUUGUGACACAUGUCACUUUAAUUGAGUGUCUACAUCAACACCAUGUGUGCCAAAUGUUGGUUUUGACUAACAAAAUGUAUGGUAAGGGCUAAUUUGCUACCAUUUAAGCAAUUAAAGGAUCAAUAUGCAUCUUUUCUUUUUAGGAGACCAUUAUGAACCUCACAAUAGAGAUAAGGGACUAAAGAAGUAUUUCAGCUUAUAUGUAUUCUAUAUAUAAAGAAAGGGUCACGUUAACUUGUACCUUAAGGGUACAUAUUAAGCAUUAAUUUCAUUCCAUUAAUGGUAAGAAUUUAAUUAAAAAAAUUAAUAUUAAACAUUUUGAACAAUAAAUACACACAAACUCCAAUAUAAAAUUUCUAUUAUUAGAAUCUUAACAUGUGCCCUAAGGGCACAAGUUAUCAUUUCCCAUAAAGAAAAUAUAGAAUUUUGGACUGGUGUUUUCAUUAUUUUAAUUAUCCCCUUGAAAAAAAAAAUUAUAAUAAUGUUAUAUUGUUGGUGUCAUAAAAAAAUAUAAGAAUUAAUAUUAUAUUUGUUUUACUAUUUGUGUCAUUGAAAAGGAUAAAUAUUGUUUGUUAAGUUUCUUAUAAUUUGAAAUUCACAGACAAUUAAUAUUUAUACUUUUAAUUAAAAUAAAAAAUUUAAAAAAAAAUGUCGUUCAUAAUUUAUUAGCUUUAAGCGCAAUAAAAAGAGUUGUGGCUUGUUAGUAUAAAUUAUAAUACACAUUACUAGUUGGUUUUAUCCCCAUCUCAUGUAAUCUCAUAAUUUACUAGGGGUGUUCAAAAUCGAACCAAUCCAAUAGAAAAACUGCAAACCGAACCAACUCAACCUGAAAUCACAAAAAAUCGCAUUUGGUUCAAAUGUAUUUGGAUCAUAUUUUUACUCAACUACAUGGUUUGGUUCGAAUUGUGGUUUUUAUAUUUCCAACUUAAUCAAACCGCAACAUAAGAAAAACACUAAUUAAAUAUAUUCACCUACAUCAAUACUCAUUGAAAGUCAAUUGGAAACUUUUAUAAAAUGACUUUUUUUUUUCUUGUUAAGUUUCUUCUUUGCUUUUUAUUUUAAAAAUGUAUUUAUGUGUUACUUUUACUUUUUGUCCACGUUUUUAUGGUCUAUCUAGCAUGGAACAUUGUUGGAUAAAAAUGAAAUUGUAAUAUUUGAUGAAAUUUAAAACAUUGCUGGAGACAUUGUUGAAAAUAUGUUGUGUUUUAUCUUUUUAAUUUGAUUUAAAUGUUGAAAACAAAAAAUUGUGUUGUCUAAAAAAAACUGCAUGAAUCAAUCCAACCCAAAUUGCAAUGAUUUAAUUUAGUUUGAUUCGGAUUUAUUUUAAAAAUCAAUCAAACCAAACUAAACUACAUAUUUUUUUAUCUUGCAGUUUGAAUUACUUUUAACAUCAACACUAAACCAAACAACACCGUUAACACCCCUAUAUGGAGGGGUAUGUCUCAGCUUGUGGUGCAGUCUAGUGGAUGGUAUUGUAUGUUUAAAAUAGUUGUAUAGGAUAGGUAGAAAAUUUAAAUGUAAUUGGGAAAAUGACCCGCAAAUUUAUUUAGUUUGGUAUUAGUACGAUGAAGAAAAUUCUUGUUGUACCAUUAACUAAAAAUUAAGGAUUGCCCUCAUUCUGAGGCAGGUCAUGCCCAAAAUAUUAUUAUCAAUUAGGAGUUGGUGACUUAAUUAUUUGGUGCAAUAAUCAGUAUUCAAAGGUGAAAACUACAUUAUCCUUCAAUAUGGUGGUUAGAGUUUUUUUGACAAAUAAGAUGGUAGAGUUAUUCAUGUUGAGUUGGUAACGAUCAAAAUCAUUCAUGGAUAAUAGAGCAUGGGUAACAUAAAUAAUAGAAGACAAAUAAAUGAUUUUGAUUGGUGUCAACUCAGCAUAACUAAUUAAUUCAUCUUUUGUUGAUGGUUAAAUAAGAAUUUAAAUUAUUUAAAACUAACAUAAUAGUUCUAUAAAGGCUUAAACGCAUUUUUUAUCUAUUAUCUUUAUUGUGAGGUUCAUAUUGAUCUUCUAACCAAAAAAAAUGUACAUAUUUAUCAUAUAAUUUGAGUAAAUGGUAAUAAUUUAGUCAUUACAUCCAUUUUGUUGGUUAAAGUCAACAUUUGAGAGUUGUGGCACAUGUCACUUUGAUUGAGUGUCUACAUCAACACCAUGUGUCCUAAAUGUUGACUUUGACUAACAAAAUGAAUGAUAAUCACUAAUUUGUUACCUUUUAAUCAAUUAAAGGAUCAAUAUGCAUCUUUUUUGUUAGGAGAUCAAUACGAACCUCGCAAUAGCGAUAAGGGAUCAAAAAAGUAUUUAAGCUUGUAUGUAUACUAUAUAAAGAAAAUAUAGAAUUUUGGACCGGUUUUUUCAUUAUUCUAGUUAUCUCAUUGAACAAAUUUUCUUAUAAUAAUAUUAUAUUGUUUGUGUCAUUAAAAAUAUGAGAACUUAUAUUAUAUUUAUUAUACCAAUUGUGUCAUUGAAAAGGAUAAAUAUAGUUUGUUAAGUUUAUUAUAAUUUGAAAUUCACAAACAUCUAAUAUUAAUACUUUUAAUCAAAAUCAAAAUUUUAUAAAGUUAAAAAAUCGUUCAUAAUUUAUCAGCAUUAAAGCAUUAGAGUCGUGGCUAGUUAGUACUUGUUUGGUAACCCGUUUUCUAGGCUCAAACGGGAGUUUGGAAAAGUGAAACGCGGUUUUGCCUUUUUUUUUUAGUGUUUGGGUAACUGAAAAAAUUGAUUCACCUGAACGUGCUUCUACCCCCAAACCCACGUUUACUAAAAGCAAUUAAGGAAUUAAGGAAUUUAAUUUUUUAUGGUUGAUGUGCUUUCCCAAAUUAACCUUGCUCUUCUUUUUCAUUUUCCUACAAAGUUGAAAAUAACACAGCCAAAGUGAUGACUUUUUUUUUUCUUCGGUUUCUCAAUUUAUUUUCAUGUUUCUGCUUCAGCCUUCAUGUUGAACUGCAAACUUCAACAUUCUCUCUCUGGGUUUGAGAAGAAGAUGGAAUUUGGUUUGUAUUUUUUUUUUCUUUUCACAAAAUGGAGUUGGGUUCUAAUGGCCCUUUAAUUUCUCCUUCUUAUGCAAGCCUGUUAAACUUUUGGCAGAUUAUUUUCUAAGAAAAAACUGUUUAACAACAUUUGUUAAUUUUUUUUAGCCAAAAUUUGUUAAUUAAUAUGUGUAAAAAAUUGAUAUAAUAUACCUAGCUCAAAUUAAUAUGCAUUUUAAAAAUAAAAAAAAAUUUACUAAUCUUCAAUAAUUAAAUUGAUGAUGUAACAAAAAUUUGAAUAAUUUAAGAAAAUAGAAAUGAAAUCCAAUUUUAAAUAGAUAUUGAUACCCCAAAUAAAAUAGAUAUUAAUACCCAUUUUGGUAAUUAUGCAUUCAAAAUCAAUUUUGAUCCAAACUAUCCAAACAACAUGAAUUUAUAAAAAUCACUUUUUACUUUAUUGUAUCCAAACAUAAAUCAAUUCACAUCCAACUCACUUUUAACCAAAAUCAAUUCUGUCAAACUCAACUCUAUCAAAAUCAAUUCUCUUCAAUACCGAUGAACCAAACACACACUUAUUAUAAAUUAUAAUACACAUUUAGUUGGUUUUUCCACAUCUCAUGUAAUCUCAAAUCCUUCUAUUUCGUUUUAUCUUUGUGAACCUUGACAUUUAUACUACACCUUUCUCCAUGGAUUCCAAAAUAUUUGCCUUACUAUCCUUUUUCCUCUUCAUGCUUGUAGCACUGAAAAUAAGGAAGAAUCUCAAGAAAAAAGGCUCAUCUCCAAACCUACCCCCAGGACCAUGGAAGCUACCUAUUAUAGGACACAUACAUCAUCUAGUUACCUCUACACCACAUCAAAAAUUAAGAGACUUGGCCAAAAUACAUGGACCCUUAAUGCAACUACAACUAGGAGAGAUCUUUGCCAUUGUUGUUUCCUCACCAGACUAUGCUAAGGAGGUACUUAAAACCCAUGAUGUAAUAUUUGCAUCUAGGCCUAAAAUUUUGGCCAUUGAAAUACUAUCAUAUGGAUUCACAAAUAUUGGUUUUUCACCUUAUGGAAAUUAUUGGAGACAUUUACGAAAAAUAUGCACAAUGGAGCUUUUAUCGCAAAAACAUGUGAGUUCAUUCCAUCCAAUAAGAGAAGAAGUGUUUACCAAUCUCAUCAAAAGGAUUGGUUCGAAGCAAGGGUCAUCCAUCAACCUCACUGAACUUGUAGUUUCAUCGACAUUUGCUAUCCUUUCAAGGGCUGCAUUUGGAAACAAAUGCAAAGACCAAGAAGAGUUCGCGUCUUUGGGGAAGGGAGAAUCAAUUGCUGGAGGUUUUGACAUAGGUGAACUGUUUCCUUCAUCUAAAUGGAUUCAACUUGUUUCCGGUUUGAGGCCUAAACUUGAGAGGUUGCAUAGACGUAUUGAUCGAAUACUAGAAAACAUCAUCAUUGAACAUAAAGAAGCAAAUUCAAAAGCAAAAGAAUGCCAAGAAGAAGCAGAAGAAGAUUUGGUUGACGUUCUUCUAAAAUACCAACGUCGCAAUGAUAAUGAAAAAGAUAUAUGCUUAACUGACAACAACAUCAAGGCUGUACUCCUAGUAAGGAUAAUAAACCCCUUGAAGUAUAAUUUAGAUGAAUGUUAGAUACUUAUUAUUAUUAUUAUUAUUAUUAUCCACAUCGAAACAUAGUGUUUUCAUGUCUCAUUAGCCACAUGCAUUUUACUUUUCAGGACAUGUUUGGUGCUGGAGGAGAUACAUCGAGUACCACCAUAGUUUGGGCAAUGGCAGAGUUGGUAAGGGAUGAAAGAGUGAUGAAGAAAGCACAAGAUGAAGUAAGAGAAAUGUUCAACACAAAAGGAAUUGUUGGUGAGAACUAUAUUAAUGAGCUCACUUAUUUGAAGUCAGUUGUGAAAGAGACCUUAAGGUUACACCCUCCAGCUCCUCUUUUACUUCCAAGAGAAUGUGAACAAGCAUGUGAGAUUGAUGGUUAUCAUAUACCAACCAAAAGCAAGGUGAUAGUCAAUGCAUGGGCGAUUGGAAGAGAUCCAAAGUAUUGGACUGAACCAGAGAGGUUUUAUCCAGAGAGAUUCAUUGGUAGCUCUAUUGACUAUAAAGGGAAUAAUUUUGAGUACAUUCCUUUUGGUUCUGGAAGAAGAAUAUGCCCGGGCAUAACAUUUGGUUUGGUAAAUGUUGAGUUGGCACUUGCAUUGUUGUUGUAUCACUUUGAUUGGAGGCUUCCCGAUGGAACGAAAGGUGAGGACUUAGACAUGACCGAGCAAUUUGGAGCGACCGUCAAAAGAAAAGAUGACUUGUACUUGAUACCUACUGCUCCUCUUCCUAUAUGGUAAGAUAAACCAUGCAAGCAAAAGAAAACUUUGUUGGAUUGUAGUAGAGCUAAGGACUUUCUAAAUUUGUUAUUUCACAUUUACUUUUCAAAUAAAACUUUGUUUAUCUUUGUUGGGUUUAUUAGGGUUGGGAAUAAACAGCAUAUGAAUAUAUACUUUUGUAAUAAUUGAACAAAGAAAACGUGAAAAUGAUUGUUCUUUCACUUAUACGCCCUUUCUUUUUCCCCUCUUAAGAACUUAUAUAAGGUCAUUCAUACGUGUUGGGACUAAUAAUUUGGUCCUUAGAGCAUCCACGAUGGUAAGUAAAUCAAUGAGUAAACAUUUACGUUUUUCAUGUAUAUGGCGCAUGUGUGAACAAUGAAGGUGUUGGACCCAUUGCUUCAGUUUUUGGUGCCGGAGGUGUUCGAAUUAGGGAUGGGGUGGUUGGUGAAAGAUUAGUCUUUUUUUAAGGAUUUUUUUUUUUAGGAAUUCUGAUCAGAUUUAUUGAUUAUUAUAAAAUAAUGACAUAUGUAUACGAUACUAGUAGAGCUAGAAAUGUUGUUAUUUUUACUAACUCUACUUUGCCGUAUUGGUUCUCUAUUUAUUUAAGCCUAUAAACAACGUUUGGGAAAUAUCUCUCGAAUGGCUUAUAAACACACAAAAAAGUCGUUCGAAAUUUGCAAACCGAAAUGCUUUAGGGACUAAAAAAGCAAAAUUCCUAGUUUAGGGACUCUACCUUGGCGUGUUCUACUCAACAUAUCAUUUGUGAAGGUAAUGAGUUUGCAGAUAAGCAUGUAAAAUUUGGAGCUUCUUAUGGUAGAUUUAAACAAAAGCAAAAAAUCAUUCUAGUUGAAAAGUAUAGACGCCAUAAGUUAUGUUUUUCUCUCCCUUCUAUUAGAAAUGCUUUUCUUCAAAAGAUAACCAAAAUAUUAUUUCAUUGUCAACAUAAAUCAUUUUUCAAGAAAGUAAUUAUUGAGAAAAGCCUAAUUCCUGGAUCACCCGGUAAGAAUGUGGAGAAGAACCAAAACAGAAUGGUUCCACCUACUCAAAACUAAGCGGGGAUGCCGCCUAAUACUAAAAUCCCGGUUUUUGCAACAACAGUUGCGUUAUUCUAUGCAAGAAGAAGACUUUGAAAGAACAAAGAAGUAUCUAUGAUGGGGACAAUGAAUAGGAUCCCAAGGUCGGCCUACUACAACCCCAACAAAUCAGCAACUUUAUAACGAGGCAAGAAAAGGAACAAAGUCGAAGAAGAAGAUUUCAAUUGGACUGAUCUUUAAAUCGCUUUCAUUCGCCGCUUUCAUGCAUUAGUUUUGGCUAGACUAGAGAGGACUCGAAGUUAGCGCAGUGAAAGAGAGAGUCAAUCUUUAAACAUAAGUAGAACAUCAAAAAUGACUUUUUGAAAAAUCUAAAACAAACCCUUAAUCUUGGACUAAAAGUCAUGAAAAUAAAGGGUAGAGGCCUUUGGAAGACAUUGUAAUUCAGAAAUAAUAUUCUGAACUUUUCAUUUUACAGAAAUCUCAUAAAGGAAAAAUUGUGAUGAGGUUCUUACUUAUAUUGCAGAUUUAUUAUUGAUGAAAAUUGCUUAUUUUGCUUGACAAAUUUAUAGCGAAGGGAGAAAAGUUUGAACCCUAAAUGGAAUAAUUCUUAGUCAGAUUCUACUUAAUUCUCGCUGAACUCUAGAUUAUCAAGGUCUCUUUUCCUUGAGAACCAGAUGAUUAAGUAAAAAACAAUAUAAGGAGAAAACGGCUAAAAUUCUUUUAGGGGUAAUAUACCAAAGGGGAAAACAGACAGGAGAGAGUAUUAGCCUACAAACAAAUAAACAACCUCUAUAUAUACCAAAGGGGAAAGAAUACUAUGAAGGUAUGUGAAUUGCAGAAUUUUAUCAGCACUUCACCAAUAGCAGUUACAAUAAAUUUUAGGUGAAUUAAAGAAUAUACACCUUAAAUGAUUUCUCUAAACAAUAAAUAUCCCAGUAAGCCAACAAAAAAACCAGCUAUCCAAAACCAGAAGUUUUCAGAACCUUGGUUUUCAAAAACUAUAAAAUCAAACUAACAAAGAAUGUACCAAAAAGAAAACCAAUCAGAAGUUAUCAGCAUUUGGUCAUAGCCUACUAGAAAACCUGUAAGAUAUUAGUUUUAGAUCAUUGUGAUUCAUUUUUCUUUGGAGUUUCCAUUUGUGGAGGCAAGAGACUUAAGAAGCUCCCUCUUACAGGUUGAUGAUGAGAAGAAGCCUUAGCUGAUUCAUCCUCUUUAUCAUACAACAAAACCAAUAUAUUAAAAAACUUGGAACGUAACCGUACCAACGAUAUCAAUAGUCACUGUCCACAAAUUAUGAUCAAUCAUGUAAAUGAUUUUAGAAAUAGUUAUAAUUAAGUCAAACUUUUUUAAAGAUCUAACGAUGAUGAUUGAACGACUUUUUAGAAAGAAACCCGAUCGCCAAUUUAUUCAAGACAUGUUAAACUCAAGAGCUUACUAAAAAUGGGAUUCAUUUACUUAAGGAAACUGUAAAACUGGAAGCAAGUUGAAAAUGUUGUCAAAGCAAUUUUCUCAAGGCAAUAAACAUCGCAAAUAAGAGUUGACCCAGUGAAAUGUUCUUCCCCACAAAUAUUUAUUCUCAAUUACACAAUUUUUGAAUCAAAUAAAAUUGAAAAGGAAAAAAAAUAAUGAGUACGAGAUGAACAUUUGUGUGUGUGUGAGAGAGAAAUAAAUUUAUACUAAUUCCUCUCAAAAAUCGAGAGUAGUCUAGUCCCGUUGUAUUUCCAUGGAAUUUUUACUAUAAUCACUAAAGAUUACAAAUGCUCAAGCACACAAACAAUAGACUUCUAAUGUUAAAUCACAACUGAAAGAAACUUCUGACAAUCUAACUUAAUCAAAUAAAUUAUUUUUGAAUUUUACACUUAAUGAGAUGAAAUGUAAAUAUGUGUAUUUAUACUUGAAUCUUAAAGAUUAUGUGUGAGUUCAUAUCCUCUUUAUGGUGAAUGUAUAUCUUACCCUCCAGUGAAUUUUUUGGUUGAUUGCAUUUCCAUGGUGUAGACGUGCAGGUUGAGGACGCUUGGUCGACGUGAGUUUUCGAGGACGGCGUGAUGCCCAUCCUUCUUCUUUGCUUAUGCUUUUAGAGUCUUAGUAGUAAUGCUCUGAUUAGGUGUCGGGGAUUUAUUUUAUCCGUUGGAUUUAUGUUUUGAGGAACCCUUGAGUUCUUAUGAGGAAGUAUAUGGGAUUUUGAGAAUCAUGUCUUUAUGUUGUUUUAUGUUGAGAUUCCGCUGCAACUGUUUAUGAAUUAUAAUGGAUUAUGAUUGUUUUGGAUUAAUGAUGAAGUAACAUCUUGAACCUUUGUGAUUAAUCGUUGAUUUCAUUAUUAAAUAUCGUAUGUGGGGUUUAAGGGUGUUACACUUUUCACAAACAAACUUGCCUAUUUCCUGGUUUAACUUUAUUUAUUUAUCAUCUCAACUCACUUAUUUAUCUCUGCAAUAAAUAAGAAGAGGUAAUUUUGAAAAAGUAAAAUUUAAUGCUACUUUGAAAUUUGAAAACGACAAUUAUAAAGGAUCAAUUAUUUUAUGAAAAAUGAAACUUAAAAAAGAACGAAGACAAUAUAUACAUACUACAUCUUUCUUAUACUACUGUAAAGAAAUUUGGACGGGUUAGGCCUUUUAUGUCCUAAUGUUUUGUCUUUCCAUGGCAUUCUCUAUUGUUGCGUUUUUCUCUUAAUUUUGACAUUUAUGUAAUAUAUUAUCAUUAGAUGCAGGGAUGGGUGUAUUCGGAAAACAUGGUGUAGAUGCCCCACCUAAAAUUUAGAUUGUUUUGAAUUAUAUAGUUCCGCUGAUUCCAAACCCAAGCAAUAUCUCCAAUAGAAACUUUUAACAAUGAUUUCACAAAACACUAGCACACAGGCAUAACAUGCAUACCAUUAGUCCAAAUAUAGAUAUUUAAUUUUUUGAAAUAAAAAGAGUGAUCCAUUAAACAAAUAGAUAAUAUAGUAAAAGAAUCCCUCGAGUAAAAUUACAAUACAAGGUACUUGACAUGCAAGCCAAUCAAAUAACAACAUAAAUAGAAAAUAAAAGAAAGUCUUCCAAACAUCAAUAUAAAUAGCUUCUUGACACUACUUCUCACAUGUUUCUUGCGCCUGUGCGUCAUCGCAAUCGUCAAACACAAAUACACGAAAGGAUGAGUAAUCAAGUUUCAUAAAGUAUAAUAAUAAACAAGACAAACACGUAUAAAUAACAUCAAUUCAAUUCUUUCAUAAGACAUAAGUUUUCUUCCAACGGACACAUUAUCACUCACAUGAAUACACAUUUAAUCACAAGACACGUGCAUGCACAAUUCCUGUAACACUUCUAAUUUACACAUUUAACAAAUAUCACAAUUAACUCAUUAAAAGGCUAAAUACGGUUUUUCAAUUGGCCAACUCCGGACAAUGUGGGAAUCAUACUUGCCAUAUGUCAUAUUAACUAUUAUACACAUAACUUAAUCGAACAAUUAUCACCCUUAUCUUAACCAUAUUAUGUCUAUUUGUUGUUACCAAUUUUAAUUAGUAAUGCCUGUUUAAAACUCCAAUUCUUAAUUAGGGUUUUUACCCUUACUCUCUAUUCUAUACCUCGUUUUAUUGUCAUCUAAGACUUAGGAUUAACCAUACUCAGAAAAAUUCAAUAUCUAGAAGAUUGAGUGAGAGCUUACGCAAGUUACGUCUUGUAGGAAUUACACAAUAUAAAGAUGUCUAUAAGAGCAAAUGCAAGACAAGACUUCACUAUAGGUGUUGUGCCCCUUUUGAAUACAAUCUGUUCCAUGUGUGUCAACUUCGAAUGUAUGUUAUGUUAUGUUGUUGUAUUUGGCUAACUUAGGUUAUUUCUUCUUUUACAACAAAAUAGUUUUCAUAAAACAACAAAAAAAAAAAAAAGUAAUAUAUGGGAAUAUAUAGAAGUAAUUUAUUUAAAUAAUUGGGUAUCUUAACAAUUUUUUUUAAUUUACAAAAAGAAAUAGAUAUCUGCUGAUACAUAUACCAUUAUAUUUGCAUUUGUAUCAACUAACUAAUGGGUAAUUAAAAUAUCAUUUUAUUUUAUCUGCAGACUGCAGAUACUUGAUAAACCAUUUGUCUCAUGGCCAUUGCAGAUUUUAUCACAUAUCCAAAAAUAAGAAAAAAAAUUCCAUCCCAAUAUGAAGGGUAUAUCUUAGCACAUCAACUCAUUCCCUUUAAACAAAAAGUGAUAACUUUGUUUUUACAAGAAAACAGAACUAACUUCUAAAGCAAUAAGUUCUAAAGGAUAUCAGUUCUGAUAAAAAAACAAAUUAUUAUUUUUACAAGACUCAAAAUUAUUAAAAAUAUAUAUAUAUAUAUAUAUAUUAUUACAAAAAAAAAAAUGGAAUUAAAAAUAUAUUUCAACCUUAAUAAUUUUAAUAACUGGUGAUUCAAAAUAGAAGGAAAAAUAAACAAAAUAUGUUCCAAAAUAUUUCAGUCAAGAAUAAACAAAACACUCCACAAUUAAAUGAUACUCAGAAUAAUUCACUAGUGAAAAAAAUAAAAUGUUUGAAAAGAGAAGAAUUUCGUGUUGGGUACCUUGCAAAUGUGAGGAUAGAUUAUGGUCUCAUUCAACAUAUUAAUUAGAAUGUGGGACUUCCUGUUGACAAAAUGUUAACAUUAAUUAAUUAACAAAUAUAUCAGCCCCUAUUGGUAACGUUUGCUCAAAAAGUUCACUAUCCACUCUUUUAAUUUCGAAGUACUUAAAUCAAUUGCAACCGUAAAUCGAAAAUGGUAAAUUGAUUUUAAGAUAAAGUCUGAAACAUAAUUUUAAAAUCACGUAACAACUUUUUUUUGAAGAAUAACUUAACAAUUUAUAUAGUUUUAUUUUUCUAAAAUAAUAAUAAUAAUAAUAAUAAUAAUAAUAAUAGUAGUAGUAGUAAUAAUAAUAAUAAUAAUAAUAAUAAUAAUAAAAAAAAAUAAUAAUAAUAAUAAUAAUAUUCAGUUUGAUUAUUAUACCAUAUGUUUUUUUUUAUAGAUAAAACAAGGGUCAUGUUAACCUGGUUAAGGAAGUUAAAAAGAGGAAGUUUUAAAUUAAAAAUAUCACUUUUUAUACUUUCAAGACCUUAAAUGUACAAGUUUCAACGUAACAUUACUACAUUUGGCUUCCUUAAUCAGUGUCCCCGGGAGCACUAGUUAACAUUUCCCAUAAAACAAAAGUACUAUCUCUGUCCCUAAUUAUAAGGUCCUUUUGAAAAAAUAACGGGAAUUAAGAUAGUGGAUAUUUGUAUUAAAUAUGUUUGUAAUUACUAUUGUUUUUACAAUUUUAUCCUUUAAGAAAGAGUGUUGGUUUAUGUUUUCAACAUUCUAUUUAUUACUGAUUGAAAAAAAAGAUGUAUAAUAAAUAGGAGCAUAUAUGUAAAGAAAUAAUUAAUGUAGUUGGAAAUAGAAAAGAGGUCUUAUAAAAAGGGACAAAAAAAUUUUCAAAAGGGUCUUAUAAUUAGGAACGGAGGUAGUAACUUGUAUAGAAAAGGCACUCUCUUUCUCAAUUUCUAUGACAUAGUAUGUUUCAUUAUAAUUUUAAAAUAUAAAAAAUAAAAAAAAAAUAAAAAAGUAUGUUUCAUUAAACUUUUUUUUUAAUAGAAAAGGAGCUAAAGCCCUUUCAUUAGAUCAUUUUGUUUUCUAAAAAUAUUCAGUUUUUUAUUUUUUUUCUCGUGAGCUUAGUUCAGUUGGUAUGAACAAUGCAUAAAAAUAUGUAAGGUCCGAGGUUCAAACCCUGGCCACCACAAAAAAAAAUAAAAAAAAUCAUUUUGUUUUGCGAAUUAGGUCUCAAACAUUUAGUGCUAAACUUUCAUGCAUAGGGAAAAUAAAGUAGAAUGAACAAAAAAACUAAUUAAUGAAUGUAGAUAUUAGGAUGUUUGUAGCUAUUUAAAUUUUCUUUUCAGGAACUUGGAACUUUGAAGUAAAUCCAUAAUUAAUUUUAAAGUCAUCGUCCAAACAUGCACCAAAUUAAUAUUGUGAGCCUUGUUUAAUUAUGUGAAUAAUAAAGUAAACAAUUUUCAUAAAUAAUAAUGACGUUGUGUACCUUUUCUAUGAACAUUUGUUCAAUAGUUGUGUUAAGAUCACCUUUCCAUAGCAUAUUUUCUUCUCCCACAUUGAUUGUUGUGAGGUACGGUGCUACUGUGAGUGCAAAUGAGAAGAUCUUCAUUUGAGGACAUCCUAUAACAAUGAAACUGAGCAAAAAUGGGAAUAUGAAUGCUUGUUUCCCAUAGCAGAAGCUUCUCAAACUUGGCAACAAAGUAAAUUCCAAGUUUUCCAAGUUUUCAAAUACAAUGUUUUCCUUUUCUUUUUCAUUGUCAAUCUUCACGACAUCCAACAUCUUCUCACAAUUCUUUAUUUUUAAUGUUUGGAGUUGAACUAAGCUUUUUGCUGUUGAAGAUGUUAUCAAAUAGGUCAGUUCUUUGCAAUUUUCCACUUCCAACUUGGUUAAAUUUGUGAAAGAUGUUGAUGAUGGUACCAAGCUUAUUAAACUUGGACAAUUCGAUACAUAAAAGUCUUCAAGAUGUUGAAGCAGAGGAUGAUCCGGUGGAAAGUUUUCCUGCCAUAUGUGCUCGAGCUUUUCCAAUUCAAAAAUCCACAAAUUUCUUAUUUGCAUUGAAAUUUGCGUAGUGAGAUGAUAAGUGGUUCCUUUAGUGGGGAACAAUAUUUCAAAGGAACCAUUACAAACAUGAAAUGUUUCAAGAUUAGGAAAUAUUGUAUGGAAAUCAUUUAGGAGAAUAGUUGGAGUUUCAUCGAAGCAUUGCAAACGAAGACGUUCAACUUUAUGAAAGAUGUCUUCUUGACAAUAACCAUUCAAUAUUCCCAACAUAUCUGUGCCAUUUACUGCCAAUUCAUCUAGGUUGGGGCUCAACUGAAAAAUAAGCAUCCAAAAUGAAAAUAAAUAAAUACUAGCGUAUUAUUACACUCAUAAAUAAAGAAAAACAAGGUAUGUUGGGAUUUACCUUUUCAAUACAAAACAGGGCUUGUUGCAAGUCUAAAUUGUUGAAAGAAAACAUUCUUAAUGCUUCACAACGAUAUACAUUCAAAGUCUUCAAUGAAGGGCAAUCUAAAGUAUGCUUUCCUUGAUAGAAACUCUUAAGAUUUGUCAAAAGACAUAGUACCAUAAUUUUUAACUUGGGAAAAUUAAAAUUAAUUUCCAUUGACCUAGUUUCUUCCAUUGCAACAAUUUCCUUCACUCCGCAAGAAUUUAUCUCAAGCAUUUCAAGAUGUCCAAGUUCUAGGCAUAGUGAAUAUGGAAAGAUAUAUAACAAGCUUUGGCACAUAGAAGCAUCCACCUUGCAUAAGUUUCCAAAGCUGAUAAUUUCAUGAGGAUCCUCAUUCCAUAUGUGCUUCAAUUUAGGUAAGCUAGACAAAGUCAAUCUUUUCAGCUGAGUUUUCUGUUUAAUCAAUAUUUCUUGUGACUUCAUACCUUUCACAUCAAACACUGCUUCUAAUGAAUCACAAUCUUUUACUUCUAGUUCUUCCAAUCCAAGUAGCACUUGAAGAACAUUUGAUGGAAAAAGUACAUGUGAUAAAAAAUCACAUCUUUCUACCACAAGAUGUUUCAAAUUGCAGAACACGCUAUGAUGAAGUUGACCAUACCACAAAUCCUUUAGCUCAGGAUAGUCAGAUAAGGCUAAGUACUUGAAUUCACCAAAUGCAACCUGAUUAUUCAAAUUAAUAAAAAUUGCUUUUAAACAAUAAUCUUCCACCUUCCAAAUGAACAUGAUCUAGAUAAAUAGUCUUAAAGUAACCCAAAUAUAAUAAAUUAAAUUAAUGGAUGAAAGUAAAACAUACCUUCUCAUCAAACAUCUUCUUUAUGGUUCCAUUGAGGUCACCCUCCCAAUGAUUUCCUUCCUCAGUUUGUACGUUUUGAAGAUUUGUUGUGUUGGUAACUCCUAAUGAAAAAAGUUCCAUUCGAGGACAUUCUUUGACAACUACAACUUCCAGCAAUGGAAACAUAAUCGGGCAUCGGCAUGAGCAAAAUCGACAGAGCCUUUGUAAAGAAACUAGUUCUAUCUAUUGUAAACUGCAAAAGGAUAUCUCGUUUGUCUCAUCUUCUUUACCGUUCACUAUAUCCUCAAGCCAAUUACACAUUGUAAUCUUCAUUGUUAUGAGUUUGACAAGACUCUUUGCUGUUGAGUGUGUUAUCAAAUUUUUCAACCCAUUGCAGCUUGUUACCUCCAAAUAGGUCAUGUAACUAAAGGUAACUGAGGAUGGAACCAACUUUAUCAGACUGGAACACUGGUAAACAUCAAUGCUUUCAAUAAAAUGUAGAAAAGGAUCCAUUUGAAAUCCUUCUUUACAUAUAUAUUUAAGCUUGUGCAACUGCCAUAAUUUCAAUUCUUUGAGUCGCGGGCUAAAUCGAGGUGUACUCUCCACACUUGUAAGUACCUCCUGCAAAACCAAAAUUAUACUUGAGAAACAUAUAUAUAUUUUCCCCUAUCAGUUUUUGAAACAAUUAAAAACAUUCUACCUUGUGUUAAGUAGAAUAUUAUCACAUAAAACUAUCAAUCAAUAACAAUCAACCAACGUAAUAGACAUGUUGAAUAUAUAAACAUUGAAAAGAAAGAGAAAAAAAAAAUUGUGCAUGUAGAGGAAGAAUAUGAUAUAUAUUUGACGCUACCCUUACUUCUUCGAUCACAAAAAGAGGUUGAUAUGUUGAGAUAUUUUGCUCAUCAUUUCUGAAACUUUCUUGGUGUCUCAAAGUUUCUGCCUUAAAUAGCUCUAUUUUCGGACAUCCAGACAAGAUGAUUGUUUUCAAUGAUUUACAUUGAAGGGAAUGGACCCCGACAAAGAAUGCCUUCAGUUGGGUCAAACAAUCAAGUGUAAUGGAUGUUAAAUGAGGAAACAUAAAUUGAACUAUCUCAUCAAUUCCUUCCUCCUCGGCAACAAUUUCUUGAAUCUCACACUUACUUACUCGAAGACUUUGAAGUUGCAUCAUAUCUCUACCCACUGAGAGUGGAAAGAGGCUUAUCAAGCUUUCACAUUCCACAACAGAUACAUAGCUUAAAUUUUGAAACCUCAUAGUGUAAUGUGGGUCCUCCUUCCAUACAUGUUUCAGUUUUGGAAGAUUAGAUAGUUUUAAUUUCUUCAAUUGACUAUAAUUCUGCACAACAAUUUCCUUGACAAAUUCACCUUUCAAAUCAAAAACUGCCUCCAAUGAAUUACAUUCUUCAACGUCUAAUUCUUCCAGAUUCAUCAACACUUCUAGCAAGUUAGGAUGAAAAAGCACAUCUGAUAAAAAAUCACAUUUAUGAACAACUAGAUACUUCAAACUCCUAAAUGUGUUAUGCUGAAGUUGACCAUACCACAUUUCUUUUAACUCAGGAUAAUCAGAAAGUUUUAAAUGCUUGAAACUACCAAAUCCGAUCUGUUAAAACAAUUGUAUUGUGAGUUAGUUCAACAAAAGUAGUAAAAUAUAAUGCACUUACAAAAUAGUCUUUUACACACUAAUUAAUGUAAAACUCAAUUUAACAAUUCUAUUCAUUUUAAAAUUAAGGAUAAUAAUAAUAAUAAUAAUAAUAAUCUUCCCUAAUGAUAACUUUUAAAAUUAGUCUAGUCAAAAAAAAUAUUAGUAGUUGGUUGUUAGUGUGUAGAUUGUUAGUAUAGUGCUCUAUAUAUAUAGGAUGUAAUCACCUCAUGUAAAAAUACUUUUCAUCAUUUUGUACCAAUUUUACAUUGAUCUUAUGACUUUAAGCUUUUUCUCUUCUUUCCGUGGAUGUCAUGUUUCUUAACAAUAUUUUUUAACAAGCCUAAAAUUAUGCUAUUAAGAAUUAGUAGUCAAGUUCAUAUAUGAACGUACGUUUUGCUAUCCAAAAAAGACGACAAACUCUUGAAGUUCAUCAUUUUUUUUGGGUAUAUGGGCUCCAUUAUAACCUUAGGUUCUAUUUCUUUUUUUGGUGUUAAACCUCCAGUUCUUAAAGAAAAUGAGCUGGGAGGCUUGGCCAAAAAAUAUUUCACCCAUGAAUCGAGCUCAUUUUCUCACGAACGGUUCGUCCUUGGUAAAGCUGAAUAACUUGGUUCCUAAAGGAAAUGAGCCCUUGUAACCACUUGAGCUCAAUCAUUUGGUUUUCAGGGUCCAUUUCUAUGAUUUUUUUGACAAAUAUGAUUUUCUUUCUUUUGAUACUAUGUAUCUCUUUUGCUUUUUAUUUUUUUACAGUAUUUGCGAUAUACUUUUAAAAUCUCCAAAUAGUUGUUUUUCUACAAAGUUUCUAACGUAAAUAAAAAAUCAACUUUAUACAUCCAAAGAGAACAGAAAACUAGAAACACAAUUCAUGAUAUUGUUACACGAGAAAUAAAGUAGUGAACCAAGCAUACCUUAACUUCAAACAUGUUGUAUAUUGUAUCGUUCAGGUUUGCCUUCCAUACCCAUUCUUCAUCAUUUUCUGCAAUUUUAACUUUUUGAAGAAUUGGUGUACUUGUGUUUCCCGUUGAAAAAAUCUUCAUGCGAGGACAUUCCCUCACAGUUACUUCCUCCAACAAUGGAAACUUCAUGAAACACUUACUAGAGCAAAAUUUGACGAGGCUUGGCAAACAUUCCAGUUUCAAAAUUUGUAAACUUAUAAAAGCAAUGUCAACAUUUUCUACUCCAGUAAUUAUUUCUUCAAGUGAACUGCAGUCUUCUAUUUUCAACAUUGUGAGAUUACCCAAACUUCGCGCUGUAUGAGUUGUGAUUAAAUAUUUUAGCCGAUCGCAUUUCAUUACCUCUAACUUAGUGAGAUGAUUAAGGGUGACGGAGGAAGGCAUCAAAUUUGACAAACUAGAACAACUACGAACCAGUAAGCAUUCAAGGAACUCAAGAACUGGGUCAAUUUGGGAUCCUUCCUCACAUAUAUGUUGAAGUUUAGGUAAUUCAUUCAAUGACAGAUUUUUUAUUUGUGUAUGAGUCUUCUCACUUAUUUCUCCUUUAUCUUGAAAUAUCUCCUUGAAGUGACUCACCUCAACAAUUAGUGACUCAAGAGUAUGCACAUUUCCAAGAAACCAAUGAGGAAAUCUAGCCCCUUCAAUCUUAUAGCUAGUCAAGCCUACACAGGUCAAUCUGCUAAAGAGGGCACUUGAGUUUUGGGUUUGCAAUAUCAUGUCAGCAUUUGCCUGUUCCAUCCUCAACUCCUCCAAGUUUGGAAUCACCUAAAAAAUAUUUAAACAACAAUGUAACAGAAUUACACAUUUUAUUACUUUGUGAAACUUUAGUACUCCAAAAAAACAAAAUUGCAUUUUUAAUUUAGAAAUCACAAAUAAAUAUUUUUUAUUGAUAAAAGACAAUAGACAGUGACUGUGUUUACACCAUCUAAUUCAACUGUUAGAGUUGAAUGAACCAGAGUCAUUCAAUUGAAUAUAAGUAUAAUAACUGUUUGAUAUUUCAAAUGAAUAACACUAAUCCCUUACUGUAAAAAUUAUGAUAUUUAAAAUUUAUAUGAUAUGCAUACCUCUUCGGCAAUGAAAAGUGGUUGCUUUGUUGAAACCGAUUGUUCUUCAUCUCGAAAAUUGGAGUUUUUUGUAGACAGAGUUCUGAACAAAUUCAAAUUUAUACAACCAGUAACAUUAAUUUUCCUCAAAGAUGGGCAUGCUAGAGUAUGAUUUCCAACAUAGAAACCAUUGAGUUUAUCUGAGCCCCAAAGCAAUAAAGUACUUAGUUGAUUAAACUCAAAUAUGGGAGCUUCAUUCGCUCUAGAUUCUUUCUCCUCCGCUGCAACAAUCCUUCAUGUUUACACAAUAUUUUAGACUAAGUUCCUUGAGAUGUGAGCAACGAAUGGCUACGGAGAGUGGUAACAGAUACUCCAAGCUUAUACACUUAACUAGAUGUAUAUUUAUUAGAUUUUGAAAACUAAGAAUUCCUUGAGGAUCUCCACUCCAUAUCUUGUUCAGCUUCCACAAUCCAAUUAUAAUAAGCUCUUUCAAAUGUGAUGUUUCCUCUACACUGUUAUUUUCAUUCAAAGUCAGUUCAAAUAUUUCUUCAACUGAAGCACAAUUUCUAACCUCCAACAUCUCAAGCUCAUUAUAUGUGUUUUGCAUUGAAGAAGGAAAAACCACCACAAUUUUCUUACAAUUGUUCACUUCCAACAUCUUCAAUGUUUUAAAUUGGUGAUGCCAUACUGUCUUCAAGUUGUCCAUAUCCUUCAAUAUGAUUUUCUCUAAUUUCAAGAAAUGAACCUAUGAAUUCGUAAAUAACCACUAUUAGUAUAAAUAAUUAUUUAAAUUGCAAGUUCCCGAUAGUAGAAUUACCAUACCUCUUUUACUGCAUUAUUUCUAUCUUCUUUAACUAUUAUCUCCUCCAUCAUAGAACAAUUACUUAUUUCAAGGUGUUUAAGGUUCAUAAAACUUUCAACCAAAGUAGAGGAGAAUAAAUACUUCAAUCCAACACAAUUAUCCACAAUCAAGCAAGUCAAGUUGCACAUAGAUUGAUGAUUAUCAUGCCAAACUUGAUUCAAAUUGAGAAGUGAGCUCAAUUUAAGGGUAUCCAAAUUCGGAAACUCAACCUACAUAAAACCAAACAAACAGAAAUCAUUACUGAAGGCUUAUACAAUACAAGAGUGAUAUGCAAUAUAAGAGUAAUACAAUUUCAGAGAUGAGUAAUACAAUUUGAUAUACAAGAAUAUGAAAAACUAAUAGUUUAAUGAAAAAGUAAAAACUAUGAAACAAUAUGAAAUAUUUAAAUACAAGAAUCUAGUUAAACAUUUCUAAAGUAUAAAAACUAACUUUUAACAUUGCAAAUCUUGAGCAAGAUGUAAUCGUUAUUACUUUUAUCAGUUCUUGAAAUGGCGAUAUACAUCCACUAUAGUUUUGUAGUUAGAAAAUAAAUAAGUAAGCAUAAUUGUUUUUUGAACAACAAAUAUUAAUCUUGCUCAUUUACGUUAUUUUUGCUCAAUUGUUUUUUCACUAAAAGUACCAAUUUAUUCAUUAAUUAAUUUGUCUGUUCACAAAAUUAAAAAAUACAUCAUUUGUAUCUAAUGAAGCUGAAGACAAAAUAACAUACCUGAGCAUUGAAAAAUGGUGUAGAAGUGUAAGGCUCUAGACCUUGAUACUUUUGCUUACUUCUCAAAUGUGUCAAAUAGUAAGAGGAAAAAUUAUCAAGUGUCUGCAAAUGUUCUAAAGUCAAAGAACGCAGUAGAAGAAACUCAAUUUUUUCAUCGGUGAUAUCAUUAUUUGCACUUGAAUUGUUGUCUCCGAACACUAUCUCCUUCAUAGAAUUGCACCGACAAACUUCAAUCUUAGAAAUGUGGGAAAGUUCUUUAACCAUUGCAGAGGAGAAUAGAUAUUUUAAUUGGACACAAUUUUUUACUUUGAUAACACUGAGAUUUCCAAAAGAAGUAUUUGAAGGUUGACCAUGACAUAUAUGCUCCAAGUUUUUAAGACUGUGAAGUACUAGUGUUUCCAAGAUGGGAAAGGACACAUGGAUUUGAUUCCUCUUAUUUUUAAAGUCAACAAUGUGCUUCAUAUUUGCAUUAUUUUGGACGUGGAGAUGUUUCAGAAACGGAAAUCCUUCCCCAUUUAGUUGAUAAAGCACAUUUUGAAUUCCAUCUACAUCAUCCAGGUACAAAUUCUCAACACCUUUAAUCAAUACUUUAAUUCCAUGCUCCAAAUGUAUGUUUGUACCAAGUUUGAGCAUCAAUGUUUUUAAAGUUCCAUCCUUAAUGUCAGACCAGUCCCAUACAUCUCCAAUAGCUAUUUUAUAUUUUUCCAGCUUCUCAAACACCAGUUGCAAGUCCCUUGGCAACAUCCAAGUCUCGCGAAUGUGCAAUUCUAAAGCUGUCAAGUUGGGUAGUUUUCGAAGCUCGGCAAUGCUAGCAUUUCCAUUUUGAACUGUUGAAUUCACAUCUUUCCAAUUAAUAGAGGUAUUUCCCAUGUACAACUCCUCCAAGUUAGUCAAACUUGAUAUGAUGUUGGGUGGGACCACUUCUAUUCCUGAAUGGUUUAAAUCAAGCAUUCUCAAUUGAGUCAAUUUCCCUAUUUCUCUUGGCAACUUUGUCAUUGAAGAUUUCCAGAGGCGAAGAAUUUCCAAAUUUUGCAAAGCUUCUAUUGCAUCCAUGUUUUCCAAAAUGCAAUGAUUCAAACACAAUGUUUGAAGGCCUGUUAGAAACCGAAAUGAUGUGGGUAAUGAUGACAAGUUCAAAGACGUUAAAUCUAGCGCUACAAGGCUUCUCAUACCCUCAAAAAAGGUAUCAGGGAUUUCUAAAGAUUGAUUGUUAUUGCAAAAAUAGAAAAGCUUAAUGUUUGGACAAUCAAUCGUUUCAGGAAGCUCUUGCAUAUAACACCUAUCGAGAACGAUCUGCGUGCACCUUUUCAAAAAAUCCUUGGUUGGCCAUUUCUCAUCAAAUUGUUUUCUUAUAAAUAAAUGUUUGUCCCUACAUGCUAUGGAGAUAGCAAAAUCACGAACAAAGUCAUGCAUUUGGAUCUUUGCAUCUGUUUUAACUUCAAGCAGAAGACAAGUCGCCUCCAAAGAUUUGAUUAUUGUGUAAAGUUUGUUUCUUGCAUCAUCCACUGUAUGCUUCAAUAUGUCUAAUCCCAUUGCAACUUGGAGAAAGUAUUCGAUAUCAUUACCUGGCAGUGAUGCAAAAAGUAAGAAGAGAGCCCUCAUUUCAUCACUUUGCAAUGAGCUGUAGCUUAAUUCCAAAGCAGAAUAAGUUUCGGAAUCCAUCUGAUCUGUAUGAUCAUUACUUUGUAAUUGUCUGAAUGCAUUUUUCCAAGACCGGAUAUCCCUUUUAUUUUUCAUUGCACCCGCUACCGUCACUACCCUGAGAGGCAAACCUGCACAUUUUUGGGCAACUUGAAAUGGUAUACCUUUCAAAUUGCUAUCAUUGACCACAUCCCCAAGCAUAAAUUGAAACAAGCUCCAUGUCUCGUUUUCACUCAUAAGUUCAACUUUGAAAGAGAAAUCCUUUGGAACAUCCAUUUGAAACAACACAUCUUGAUCUCUACUUGUCAUCAACAAUUUACAACCUUUAUGUUCAUCACCAAAUGGAAUCCCCACUAUUUUCAAAUCAAGUUUGGUCCAUACAUUAUCUAGAAUGAUAAGGAUACUUUUCUCCAUCUUGAUUCUCUGUCUUAGGCGUUGUGCUUUGCCAAGAAUAGUCGUCUCUUUGAAUUAUAGAUUCAAAAAAUCUGCAAUCUGCUCUUGAAUUAAUUUGAUGUCUGGAUUUUUCGAUACUUCUGUCUUAACCACAUUAUCGAACAACUUACGUUGCUUGGCUAUUUGAGCAACUUUCUCCACUAGAGUGGUCUUGCCGACCCCACCCAACCCACAGAGCCCAAUAUUGCGUGAAGUAGGGUCUGCUAAAGCCGUCACAAUGUCCUCCGUAAGCGACUCCCUUGUGUCAUACUUUUCACCAUCUCUUGUUGGGAAUGAGGCUACUACAUCUAGAGGGGGAAGGUAACCAACUUGAUCAAAAAUCCCUUUUCCUUGAACUUGAACAACAUCUGUUGCAAUUUUUGUGGCAUUCCUACUUAGUUGAUGACGUAAAACCAAGUUAGGGAACGACAAUGCUGAGCACCCACCAUUGGGACGGCGAGGAUCGUUUUGAAGCUGAUUCGCCUCUUUAAUGACCCCGUCCACUUUCUCCAACCAAUUCAGAACAUCUUUUUCAAUUUCUCUACCAUUUCCCCUUUCACUUGCAACUGAAUGGUUCACUCUUUCUCUUGCAGCCUCAAGGUCUCCAACAUGAUUGUUUAAUGUCUUGAAGUUAUCUUUGUAGAAUAUUAAGUAACUUGCUAGACGUCCGAUAGGCACAACUGUAUAUUCUGCUAUUUUUCCAACAACAGAAAUUAAGAUUUCCAUUGAUUUUCUUUUCUUCUCUUCUUCCUUAUGACUUGAGUCAAAAUCUGAAAGUAAAAGUAAAAGAUACUAUUUAUGGAUGAGGGCAAAAGAAACAACAGGGCCGGAUCCUGGGAGGUGCAAGCAGCUCUACAUAACCGGGCCUCCAAAAUUUGGGGGCCCAAACUUAUAGUAUAAAAUAACAAAGCUCUAACAACAAAAUUAUAAUUAUUUUCGUAAAAAAUAAAACAAAACAAACGUUAUAAACAUUGUUUUCUCUUUAAAAAAAAAUUGAGUUUUUUCUUAUGGGCCUCUCUUUAUUUUGAGAAUCGGACCACAAAUUUCAUAGGAACGGCCCUGAACAAGGGUAACAUUUGGAAAUGUGUUGGAAAUGUGAGGACAUUAACACAUUACUCUCUUUAUUUGAAUAAAAGAUGUUUAUAGCAUUUCAUUAAUAAUCAGGUGAUUAACACAUGCUUUGGUUAGAAUUAAAAAAUGUAGACUGUUUAAUUGAAUUUCAUUACAAUCAUGGGUAACCAAUAAAAAAUUUAAGACUUGUAUUUUUAUAAAAAGAUUAAAUUACUUUUUAUCUAUAUAAAAAAUAAAAAAAAACCGAAUUAAGUUUUAAGGUGUUGUUUUUAUCCCAUGUACAAUGUGCUAAUUGUUUUUUUUGGGUUCUUGGAUAAUUAUGUUCCUUUGUAAUACUCUGAACUCAAUAUUUUGUCCUAAGCAUUUUAUUUUUGAGAGAUAAAUAUAAUUCAUUUUAGAGAUCAAGAAAAUGUUUUCUAGUAGUCACAUAGAUUGGAUAACCACAAUCUAUGUGACUUUAGAGCUCACAUAGAUGUGAUUUCUAGAGUAGUCCGUUUGAGAGGUAGACAAACCCUCUAACAAAAAAAACUAGAUGAAUUAUUGUCGACUAGAGAAUAAGUAGCGGACCCAUGUUUGAAAGAUAUUAAUAUGGUUAAAGAUACUAAAUUCGGUAAGUAAAAAAGAAAAAUGAUCGAGUUCGAACUCAGGUUUGGGCAUGCAACGUUGUUAUAAUUGUUAAUGUGAGUUUUUCGUUAAUUGGUAUAAAAACUUAGUUACAACGGUUACGCGUCGAGAAUACAUUAUUAAAUUACAAAAAAGAAAGAUCAUUAGGCGUGUUGGCCAUGGCCAUGUUUGAAGAACAUGAACCCUCUUAAAUUACAAACUAUUAGUGAAGAAGAACAAAUUAAUGCCUUUUCAAAACAAACAAAAAAUGCGUACUUACUUGUUCAAGACACUCCAACCUUUUUUUUUUGGAAGGAAGAUACUCCAACCAUUGAAAUGAACAGAAUAUAUGAGAUAACCUUUAAAACUGAAUGAUUUGAAAAGAACGAAAACAAAAAAAUAUUAAAACAAACUUCAAUAAAAAAAUUGCAAAAUAUAUGAGAUAAAUUUCCAUCGCUAUUUUUCAGUUUUGGUGUUAGGAUUUGACACUAGUUUAUUUAAAAAUAAAAAAUAAAAAAAACAAACAAACUAGUGUCAAAUCUAAAAGACAAUGUGCAAAGCUCUUUUUUGUUUCAGCUCAAAAUCUCUGAUGUGGGUUUUAGGAUUUGGACUAGACUGUUUAGUAGAUGCAUGCUUAGGAAGAGUAACAUAAUAUUCAAUCGGUCUCAUUUUAAUUAUCUCUUUGCCAAUUUUUCUUUGUCUUAAAAUAACUUUUUUUUGAGGGAUUUGUCUCAAAAUAAUUGCCCCUUUAAAAUAAUUAUAGUUGCCCCACUUAGGUUGGUCUAGUGGUAAUUGGCUUAGGACCUGGGAGUAUCCUCCUCCUCAAAAUCUCAGAUUCGAUUCUCUCUGAUGUCAAUUUGGAUGGGUUAAUUUAGUCUCUUCAAAAAAAAAUGAUAUUUUAGUAGAUAUUUAUUGAAUUUCACUUCACUUAACUACUUCACUAACUACAAUUAAUAAGGAUAUUUUAAUAAAUAUUAUAUUUUUUACCAUUACGAUAUAUCAACUCAACUAAUUAUUUUCUUUAAAACCGUAUACAAAUUUUAAAAGACAAAUAGUAUAAUGAGACGGAGGAGUAAAUUAAUUUAAUUAGUUGUACUUUGUACGUAAUACACCUACUCCCAUAAAUAUAGUUAUUGACUUAUUGUUAGUUAGUUAUACUUUGCAACUUCAAACCCUCUUAAAUCCAAUUAAUUUCCAUGGUCACAAUUAUUUAGUUAUUGACAAGAUCGGUUUUGAUUGGUUCGAUUCGAUUUUGAACCAAUCCAGAUAAGGAUGGAUAUAUUUUCAAUUUAGUUCGGUUUGAACUUUCGGUUUCGUCAAUUUUAUCCAAACCACUUACACCUCUAUAUUUGAUGGGUCUAAUAUUUUAUAUAAUACAUUUUCAAAACUUUCGAAACUAUAUAAUAAAAAAAAAAAAAUGGAUACAAUCCCAACUCAGACCAAAGACUCACUUUUUUAACACACCCUCAAUUGUUGAUUUACGUCACCCAAUAAAAUAAAAAAAUUACGUUAAAAAUACUAAAAUUCAUUUAUUUUACAUGAACUCACAACACAUUUAAUACGAAACAAAUCCUAACUAAAUAUUUUAUCAAAUAUUCUAGAGAUUAAAAACUUACCUCAAAAAAAAUGUAGGGUGAUCAGAUUCAAACAUAGAUUCAUGUAUAUAUUAUGCAACAUUUCUACCAAUUGAGUUAAGUCCCGAUAACAUUUAAUUAUAUUAAGUUUAAUUGGUAUAUUAUUAUUAGACCUAUUCAUAAUUUUUGAAGAGCAUGGACCUCUUACCUGCUGGAUUACGAAGACUGAUACAAAUUGGCUUUGAAAUGAAAAAACUAAAUGAUCUGCAAAGAACAACAACAACAAAGUAUUAAAACAAACUUUAAUCACAAAUUGCAAAAUUUUACUAUCUAUAAGUGAAGGAAAACAAAUUAAUGCGUACCACUUGUCGAAGAAACUCCAAUCUUUGAAAUGAACAAGAAUAUAUUUGAGAUAACUUUCGUUCACUAUUUUUGAGUUUUGGUUUUUUUUUUUUUUUUGUAUUGUAAUAGGAAUGGGAAAUAGCAAAAAACUGAAAGAAAAUUAAUAAAACAAAAAAUAGUAAGAGAUUAAUUCAAGAAUGAAAAGUGAAAGACAAUGAGCAAAGGGAUAUUUGGAUAUGAGCUGAAAACAUAAUAACUCAAUUCAAUCGGUGGAGCACUGUUAUCGUCUGCAACUGCAAGUGGUAUUAACCCAAUAAAAAUUCUACAGGAAAAAUUAAUUAAUUAAUUAAUCUAGCGGUUGAUCACGUGGUCGCUUCGUCCCUAUGUAUAAACAUCUUUUUUUUUUUUAGAUAGACGAAAUGGUAAAGCCAUUAUAAACUCACACACAUAAGUGGAGGUACCGGGGUUCGAACCCUGAUCAUGGCAUCUGGCCUAACAAUUUCGGCAUUUUGCUAGUUGAGCUAGGACUUCUGGAUAUGAAUAAACACCCUUUUAUUAGAGGCAAAUGAUGUUUAUAUAUAGGGACGGAUGAAGUAUAAUAUUAAUAUUAAUUGAUACUAUAUUCCAAUCAAAAUUAAUAAAUAAAACAGUAAUGCUAACGACACUCAAUUUUUAACACUUUCUCUAGUACUUAAUAUUUUAUUGCAUAAAAUCAAUGUAUGUCCAUCACUUUGUGUGAACUCAAUUUACAAAAUGUAGAUUUACAAUGAUUUAAAUCAAUAAACGAAUGAGUAUUAGAGAUAAUGUUAAAAAGAGAGUAUUCAUUCUUUUAUUUCAUGAAAUCAAUGAUUAUCCACCAUUUUGUGUCGAGUCAAUUUUCAAAGUGUAGAUCUACAAUAAUUUAAAUUAAUAAGAGAGUCAAUAAUAUUAAAGAUAGUGUUAAAAAGAGUGUUGUUAGAAUUAUUUUAAUUUUUUUUUUUGGUACAAAGAAUUAUUCUAAAUUAUUUUAAACAUAAGAGAAUAUUUCAAUGGCUAAAAAUAUAAUAAAUGAUAUUAAUACAAUAAUUUUGUGACAAUUUUUGAAUUCUCAUUUUUAUACUCGUACUCUACGCGUUAAUUUUCUUGGUGAGAAUAUUAAUUGAUCCCAUAAACAUAAUUUAUUGUGUAGUGUUUUGUUAGGUGCAAGUUCGUAGCAACUUUAUUUCAAGAAAGGUGCAAACUUCAAACCCUCUCUGAUUUAUAUCUUUCUAAAAUUGAAAAUCGUGACAAAAUUGUAAAAAGGGAAACAGUUAUGAAGUGUAUAGUACUCAGUCCCUAAUUAUAAGAUCAUUUUGGAAAGAAAAAAAAUGUCCCUUUUUAUAAGACCCCUUUGAUAUUUUUAAAUACACUAAUUAUUUCUUUACCAACUUAUCCUUAUUUAUUUUGCAUCUUUUUCCUCAAUCAACAAUGACUGGUGCUAGUCACACCAAAAAAAAAACAACUUACAUCAAAAUUUAUUUAAAAUUUUACAAUAAUACCAAAAUUGCCCUCUUCAUGUAAAUUUUUAAAAACCCAUCUUUUAUGAUCAUUUUGAACCCUUACCCCCUUUCAUCCACAAAUCACCAUAGAUGUGCAAUCAAUAUCUGAAUCAACAUCUUUGUUAUUGAUCUGUACUAUAUUCAUAAAGGUUAGUGAAUUUCAUGAAUUUCAUUUUCGAUGAGUUUCUAUUUGUUUAUUGUUUGUUUUGGUAUGAGAUAUGCCUGUCAAUUUGAUUUUAAGUGAGAGGUUAGUGUAAAUUAAGUUUACGUGUAUGUAUAUACAAGUGAUUAGUGUAGUUUACGUAUGUAGGUUAAUGUAAAUUCAAGUUUACGUAUGUUCAAUUUAGGUUAGUGUAAAUUCAGUUUACUUACGUUCAAUUUAGGUUAAUAUAAAUUAAGUUUAGUUAUGUUCAAUUUAGGUUAAUGUAAAUUUAGUUUACGUAUGUAUAUAAGAGGUUAGUGUAAAUUCAGUUUACUUAUGUUCAAUCUAGAUUAAUGUAAAUUAAGUUUACUUAUGUUCAUUAAGUUUACUUAUGUUCAAUCUAGGUUAAUGUAAACUCAGUUUACUUACGUUCAAUCUAGGUUAAUGUAAAUUAAGUUUNNNNNNNNNNNNNNNNNNNNNNNNNNNNNNNNNNNNNNNNNNNNNNNNNNNNNNNNNNNNNNNNNNNNNNNNNNNNNNNNNNNNNNNNNNNNNNNNNNNNNNNNNNNNNNNNNNNNNNNNNNNNNNNNNNNNNNNNNNNNNNNNNNNNNNNNNNNNNNNNNNNNNNNNNNNNNNNNNNNNNNNNNNNNNNNNNNNNNNNNNNNNNNNNNNNNNNNNNNNNNNNNNNNNNNNNNNNNNNNNNNNNNNNNNNNNNNNNNNNNNNNNNNNNNNNNNNNNNNNNNNNNNNNNNNNNNNNNNNNNNNNNNNNNNNNNNNNNNNNNNNNNNNNNNNNNNNNNNNNNNNNNNNNNNNNNNNNNNNNNNNNNNNNNNNNNNNNNNNNNNNNNNNNNNNNNNNNNNNNNNNNNNNNNNNNNNNNNNNNNNNNNNNNNNNNNNNNNNNNNNNNNNNNNNNNNNNNNNNNNNNNNNNNNNNNNNNNNNNNNNNNNNNNNNNNNNNNNNNNNNNNNNNNNNNNNNNNNNNNNNNNNNNNNNNNNNNNNNNNNNNNNNNNNNNNNNNNNNNNNNNNNNNNNNNNNNNNNNNNNNNNNNNNNNNNNNNNNNNNNNNNNNNNNNNNNNNNNNNNNNNNNNNNNNNNNNNNNNNNNNNNNNNNNNNNNNNNNNNNNNNNNNNNNNNNNNNNNNNNNNNNNNNNNNNNNNNNNNNNNNNNNNNNNNNNNNNNNNNNNNNNNNNNNNNNNNNNNNNNNNNNNNNNNNNNNNNNNNNNNNNNNNNNNNNNNNNNNNNNNNNNNNNNNNNNNNNNNNNNNNNNNNNNNNNNNNNNNNNNNNNNNNNNNNNNNNNNNNNNNNNNNNNNNNNNNNNNNNNNNNNNNNNNNNNNNNNNNNNNNNNNNNNNNNNNNNNNNNNNNNNNNNNNNNNNNNNNNNNNNNNNNNNNNNNNNNNNNNNNNNNNNNNNNNNNNNNNNNNNNNNNNNNNNNNNNNNNNNNNNNNNNNNNNNNNNNNNNNNNNNNNNNNNNNNNNNNNNNNNNNNNNNNNNNNNNNNNNNNNNNNNNNNNNNNNNNNNNNNNNNNNNNNNNNNNNNNNNNNNNNNNNNNNNNNNNNNNNNNNNNNNNNNNNNNNNNNNNNNNNNNNNNNNNNNNNNNNNNNNNNNNNNNNNNNNNNNNNNNNNNNNNNNNNNNNNNNNNNNNNNNNNNNNNNNNNNNNNNNNNNNNNNNNNNNNNNNNNNNNNNNNNNNNNNNNNNNNNNNNNNNNNNNNNNNNNNNNNNNNNNNNNNNNNNNNNNNNNNNNNNNNNNNNNNNNNNNNNNNNNNNNNNNNNNNNNNNNNNNNNNNNNNNNNNNNNNNNNNNNNNNNNNNNNNNNNNNNNNNNNNNNNNNNNNNNNNNNNNNNNNNNNNNNNNNNNNNNNNNNNNNNNNNNNNNNNNNNNNNNNNNNNNNNNNNNNNNNNNNNNNNNNNNNNNNNNNNNNNNNNNNNNNNNNNNNNNNNNNNNNNNNNNNNNNNNNNNNNNNNNNNNNNNNNNNNNNNNNNNNNNNNNNNNNNNNNNNNNNNNNNNNNNNNNNNNNNNNNNNNNNNNNNNNNNNNNNNNNNNNNNNNNNNNNNNNNNNNNNNNNNNNNNNNNNNNNNNNNNNNNNNNNNNNNNNNNNNNNNNNNNNNNNNNNNNNNNNNNNNNNNNNNNNNNNNNNNNNNNNNNNNNNNNNNNNNNNNNNNNNNNNNNNNNNNNNNNNNNNNNNNNNNNNNNNNNNNNNNNNNNNNNNNNNNNNNNNNNNNNNNNNNNNNNNNNNNNNNNNNNNNNNNNNNNNNNNNNNNNNNNNNNNNNNNNNNNNNNNNNNNNNNNNNNNNNNNNNNNNNNNNNNNNNNNNNNNNNNNNNNNNNNNNNNNNNNNNNNNNNNNNNNNNNNNNNNNNNNNNNNNNNNNNNNNNNNNNNNNNNNNNNNNNNNNNNNNNNNNNNNNNNNNNNNNNNNNNNNNNNNNNNNNNNNNNNNNNNNNNNNNNNNNNNNNNNNNNNNNNNNNNNNNNNNNNNNNNNNNNNNNNNNNNNNNNNNNNNNNNNNNNNNNNNNNNNNNNNNNNNNNNNNNNNNNNNNNNNNNNNNNNNNNNNNNNNNNNNNNNNNNNNNNNNNNNNNNNNNNNNNNNNNNNNNNNNNNNNNNNNNNNNNNNNNNNNNNNNNNNNNNNNNNNNNNNNNNNNNNNNNNNNNNNNNNNNNNNNNNNNNNNNNNNNNNNNNNNNNNNNNNNNNNNNNNNNNNNNNNNNNNNNNNNNNNNNNNNNNNNNNNNNNNNNNNNNNNNNNNNNNNNNNNNNNNNNNNNNNNNNNNNNNNNNNNNNNNNNNNNNNNNNNNNNNNNNNNNNNNNNNNNNNNNNNNNNNNNNNNNNNNNNNNNNNNNNNNNNNNNNNNNNNNNNNNNNNNNNNNNNNNNNNNNNNNNNNNNNNNNNNNNNNNNNNNNNNNNNNNNNNNNNNNNNNNNNNNNNNNNNNNNNNNNNNNUGUUCAAUUUAGGUUAAUGUAAAUUAAGUUUACUUAUGUUCAAUUUACGUUAAUGUAAAUUUAGUUAAUUUGAAAUUUUUAUUUUAGUUAAAGGGUAUAUUAGUCAUUCUGGAGUGUAACUUGUUUUUUUUUUUUUGUGACUAGCACCGGUCAUCAACAAUAAGUAUUAUGUUGAAAGGGAACGGAUCCUCUCCUUCAAAAUUGUCUCAUUCUCUCUCCUUCGGCAAUUCUUAGUCAUUGGAUUAAUCUAACGGUGUACAAAUUAAAAGACAAAAUAACUCAAGGGUUUCUUUUGUUGGUUGUUGGAAACCCCUAAAUCUGAAAUAACUCAAACCAAAUCUUAACUCCGCCGCUAGUGUCUAUCAACAAUUCUAGAAAUCUGAAUGUGAUUCCACCAAUCAUCGAAGCCAUUGUUUUGUAAAAAUGCAAUUGCAACAAAAAUGAAGAUCCGAGAGAGAAAAAAAGGUAAAUUGACAACAAUUAAUUUCAAAGAUGAAGGCAUGUUAGUCACUUGUCUGUCAAUCCCUUAGUUGCACCUCCCACUCACAAAAACUACUCAAAAAUACGGGGAUCAUGAGUUUGAUUGGCUAUGUUUAAAUCAUUUAUCCUAUCCAAAGAUGGAAUUCACAGACACAAUAAGACCAAUCCCAAAUUCAAGCUAUUAUGAACUUACGAUUAUAAAGUUUGUAGUGAUGAGAGUGCAGAAAUGAGAAAACAUAGAAAUGGAGGAAUUGAGACCCUGGAAAGGAAGAUGAAGAAGCUUCUCGCAGAGUUGCAAUAUCCCACCCAAUUAAUUUCAGUGUUUUUUUUAUUAUUUAUUUUUGUUUUCUGUCUUUUAGUUUGUGUACCAUUAGAUUGAUCAGAUGACUAAGAAUUAUGGAAGGAGAGAGAAGGAGACAAUUUUGAAGGAGAGGAUCCAAUUCCUAAUACCACAACCAACUUUCUUAAUCUCCGCAAUUUUUGCAAAAGGCUCCUAUAUUUAGGGACGGAAGUAGUAAAUCAUAUGUAUUUAAUGACUACUUUCCUUUUUAUCCAUCUACUAGGAAAAAACUGUCUGAAGAUUGUUGUAAUUAUAUACUCCCUACAUCCUUGUAUUUACGCAUCUAUUUGACUUUAAAUAUAAACCCCUUUUCAAAUUAUUAGAUGCAUGUAUUAUUUUUUUCUAAACAUACCUUUAAUUAAUAUUACUAACUUGUCUUGAAAUAUGAAAUGUCACAUUUAAUACACAUACAAACAAAUGGUUAUUUGGUAAUAUUAACACACAAAAUAGACACAUUAAGUACACUAACAACUUUUCUUAAGAAAUGUGGAAGAAAAAAAAACAAGGCUUAAUUGCACUUUUGGCCCCCUAUCUUUUCAAAAGUUGCGAUUUUUGCCCCCUAACUAAGUAAAAUACAAAACAGUCCCCUAUGUAUUGGAUCUUUGGCAGUUUUGGCCCCCAAGACCACUUUUGACUUAGUUUUCGCUAACGUGGCACCCACAUCCCUUAAGUGAGGUGCCAUGUGUCGACCAUUGUAGGUGCCACGUCAGCGAAGACUAAGUCAAAAGUAGCUUUGGAGGCCAAAACUGCCAAAGAUCCAAUAUAUAGGGGGCUGUUUUGUAUUUUAAUUAGUUAGGGGGCCAAAAUCGCAACUUUUGAAAAAAUAGGGGGUCAAAAGUGCAAUUAAGCCAAAAAAACAAAAGGGACUUACAUACAGGGACGGAGAGUGUAAAAAAUAAGGGUCAUGUUAACCAAUACUCCUUCCAUCCCAAAUUAUAAGCAAAAAAAACUCAUAUUCUUUGUUCCAAAUUAUAAGGAAAAAAACAACUUUUAUCAUAUUUAAUUAUGUUAUUUCAAAAAAUCAUUUUUUCCAAAGAAAAAUUAAAUGCAAACUGCAUUCAAUUUGCUCUCCUUUUCAUUUUCUCUGUAAUCAACAAUCAAUGAAAAUUGUUUUUACAUCUUCCUAUAAAACUUAUUUCAAGGAUAAACAAGAAACUAUGUUACAAACUACUAUUCCUUCCGUUUCAAAAUGCAUGUCCAAGUCAACCACUUCACAUAUGCCAAUGCACAAUUUUAACCGUAAUAUAUUUAAUUAUCUAAAGUAAAAAAUUAUAAAAAUUUAAUAUUUGAAAAUAUUUAUCGAGACAAAUCAAACAACAUCUUACAUGCUAAUAUUUGUAUUUAAAAAUAAAUAAAAAAGUAUGGUCAAAGUAAGUCAAGUGAAUAGUGCACAUUGUAAAAAUUGGACAUGUAUUUUGAGACAUAGGAUGUAUGUUUUAAUUUUUUUAAUAAGUAUGAAAUUAUUUUUUUUUACUUAUAAUAUGGGACGGAAGGAGAAUCUUUGAAGCACUAGUUAUGCAACUAAAAAAGGUAAAAAAAAUUAAAUUGGAAUUAAAAGAAAUAUUUUUUUUCAAGUUUUACAAUGUAACCUGCACAAUUUUCAAAAAUAUAUUUCUUUUUAUAAUUUUUUAAUUAGUGUCCCAGACACUAGUUAACAUUUCCCAAAAAAUAAUUACAUUAAUACUGUUGCAAAAUGUUUAAAGAUUUUGAAUGAAAAUUAUCACAUUAAUGUAUUUUUCUAUUAAAUGUUUAUAUACAAAAACCCGUUAAAUACUCAUUUAUGUGUUUAUAUAUGCCGACGUAAGAAAGUCAAUAUAAUACAAUUUUAAAAACUUGAGACUAUUUCUAAAAUAUCAACAUCAAUGUAGUGUCUUUAUUAAUUUUUUUUAUAUGUAAAACACAGUAAAUAUUUGCACCGCACUUGUUGAGAAUUUUAUGUGCUUAUAUCGCGAAAGCAAAUUUGUAUGUAUCGAUAAGGCGGAAUUUUGAAAUCUAUGACUAUUUUUAAAAUAUCAACAUUAAUGUAGUUUUUCUAUAUGCAAAACAAUGAUAAAAUAUUUGCACCGUGCCCGUCGAAUUUCGCAUGCUUACAUUUGCUGAAGCAAAUUUUUAUGUACUGAUAUGAGAAAAUUGAUAUGAUAAAAUUUUAAAAACUCAAAAUUACUUUCAAAAUAUCAACAUUAAUAUAGUGAUUUUAUUAAAUAUUUCUUAUUUAUUUUAUAUAAAAAAAAAACCGUUAAAUAUAUGCAGAAGUAAGAAAGUCGAUAUGAUAAAUUUUUCAAAAUAUCAACAUUAAUAUAGUGUUUUCAUUAAAAAAAAUAUUAAUUUUUUUUUUUUUGUAAGCCAGAAGAGAGGACAUGCACCAAGAGGAAGCAACUACAUCAUCCUAACUAGGUUGGCACCCCGCAGAACAUCCAUCAUAUGCCGCCAAUCUCAAAAAUUUAUUAAAAAAAAAAGGAAAAUUGAACAAGAGGGGGCGACCAAGCCAAAACCCUCAAACAAGAAAGAAAGGAGAGAAAAACAACAAAUUAAGGAAAUGUAAGUAGGAACACCAUGUUUGUCUCUAAAGAAGUGAAAGUGUAAAGCCGGUGGUAAUUCAGACAGCCAAACGGAGUCCUGCACAAAAUGACCUAUACUAGCAAGCAUAUCGGCACAACCAUUUCCUUCACCGUAGAUAUGAGAUGAAAUAACCUGAGAACCCAGAUUACAGGCAUUAUGCCAUCAGUUAUGAAGUAACACCGGAACUAAAGUGGAAUUUUUAAAAAUCAUUAGAGCACCAGUGGAGUCACUCUCAAUCCAUACUUCACCCAUGUUUGGCGGCAAACGAUCCAUAGCGUAUAUAAAACCAAAAAUCUUCGAAUUGAAAACUGUCUAGUUACGCAAAUUACAGGUAAAGGCACCAUUAAAAGUACCUAAAUGGUCACAGAAGAGACCACCGCAAGCAGCAUUACUGCCAAUGAGAUAUCUGUCUGUGCUAACCUUCAACCAAGGCGCGUUAGGGGCCUUCCACUGCACCAAAGUAAUAUCCUUCAACCUUAGCAGCAUGAAUAGUCACUUUGUCCGAUGAGAACCUUAAAGUGUUGCGAGGUAACCAAAUGAUGUGCAAAGUGUGCACCACUGCCGCCACAUAUAAAUCAGCAACCUGAGAAGAGCAUCGACGAGGAACACAAUCAAGGAGAGAAAGUGACGAUGAAAGAUCCAACACGCAACUCAUUUUGUCACCAACCCACUUCCAAAGCUCAACCACAAAAGGACACUCAAGGAACAAAUGAGAAGAUAUUUCCUCCAUCCUCAUACAGAAAAUGCAAACCGAGACAACAACACACCCCCGGGAUUUGAGGUUCUCAUCCAUGGGCAUUUUACCAUACAACAACCGCCAAAGAGUAAAAGAAUGAGAAUGCGGAAUACAUGUCUUCCAAAUCAACUCCGCCCAAGGCAAAGAAACGACGGUAGGUGUUAGAAAGGAGAAAAUACCAUUAGUUGAUUGAGGCCAAACCAGAGAAUCUAGAAGGUGUAUCCUAGGUAAAGUCAUAGAUUCCAAUAGUGAUGACACUCCCGGAGUUCCCCACAGUGCGAUCGAGACAUUCCAAGCACCGCCAACAAUAGCAUCUGCAACCUUGUUGUUGGAUAUUUGUAUGAUGUUGCAACAUCUUGACACGGUUCAGUGUGCCUUGUUUAUGUGUCUAGUUGUACACACGCUUUAUCUUAUUAAGGAAUUCACGCCUUAUUUCUUGUUGGUCAAGUAACACGUUUUUGUCCAGAAUCUUCUGUGUUUUUAAUUCCUAAAGGAGUAGCAAUAUUUUAGGGAAGAUGGUUCAGAUUUAUGUUGAUGACAUUGUUUUUGGUGGGAUGUCGAACAAGAUGGUUCAACAUUCUUGUCCAGCAGAUGCAAUCAAAAUUUGAAAUGCGUCUUGUGGGUGAGCUGAAUUACUUUCUUGGUCUUCAAGUCAAGGAAAUGGAAGACAACAUUUUUAUUUCUCAGAGUAAAUAUGCCAAGAAUAUAGUGAAGAAGUUUGGUAUGGAUAAUGGUAGUCAUAAAAGAACACCAGCAGCUACUCAUUUGAAGUUGUCCAAAGAUGAAAAUGGUGUUGUUGUUGAUCAAAGCAUGUAUAUAUAGGAGCAUGAUUGGAAGUCUAUUGUAUCUUACUGCAAACAGACCUGAUAUAACUUUUGUAGUAGGGGUUUGUGCAAGAUAGCAGGCUGAACCUAAAAUGAGCCAUCUUACUCAAAGGAUGUUAAGAAGCUAGUCGGGAUGAUUAAGAACUUUAUCUGGAGUGGCAAUAUUGAACAAAGAAAGAUAUGUACAGUGGCAUGGAAUGUUGUUUGUAAGCCCAGAGUUGAGGGGGGAUUGGCUGCCAAAGACCCGACUCUUGUAAAUAAAGCUUUUUUACUAUUCCUAUGUUGGAAAAUGUUAACUGCUUCUGAUCAGCGGGCUUUGUUAUGUAGAGAAAUAUUUUUGCGCAAUGGUAAGCCUAAGACCCAUAUAUCACAUAACAUCUUCUGUUUAAUGGUAUGAAACCAUAUGUCCUUAAGAUCUAUUAGAAUGCAACUUGAACCAUUGGUAAUGGUACCAGAGUUAACUUCUGGGCUGAUAAAUGGUUGGACAGCGGCACCAUUGUGGAACAUUGGCAAGUUCCUACAUCCCUUCAUCAGUAUCUUGACAUGAAAGCAGCUAAAGACAUUGUGAAUGGAGCUUGGAGCAUACCAGAUUACUUCUAUCACAGAGAUAGGCAACUAGUUGAGAAGAUUCUUAACAUUACUCUUCCUUUGGAACAGAUGCCUAACAAGCUUAAUUGGACUAGCUCAGUUGAUGGGAACCUUAAUAACAAACUUGCUUACAAUCUGAUUGUUGGUUUGGGUCAGAGGUCUUUAUAGCUCCAUCCAAAUCGUUUAUUUUUUCGAGGGUAGCCUACAACAAACUUCCUACAUAUGAAAAUUUGAGAAUGAAGGUAAGCUGCAUAGUCUCAAUAUGUUGCUUUUGUAAAAAAAAUCAUUAUGAGACCUCAAACCAUAUUUUCUGCAAUUGUCCUGUAACUUUUCAGCUAAGGGAUUAGCUCAUGAAAGGAACAAAUCAGCAGCUAGAUCUUUCUAAGUGUCACAGUCUAAUAAUGGGGAGAGUGGGAAUUGGGAAUAAGUUCGUGCAGCAACUUAUGGUGUCUGCAAUUCUACAUGUGCUUUGGAUUAUAUGGAUUGAAAUAAACAGCCGAUAUUUUCAAAAUUCACAGGCGUGUAUGGGGACAUUGAUCAAUGGUGUCAUAUCUGAAUUUCAUCUCAAUUUUGAUUUAGCUAUGGCUAAGAGUUCAUCAUCUGUGACAAAUUUCAAAAUAUCACUGCUUUUCCAUACACCUCUGAGGCUAGAAUGGUUAGCAGUUUUAUCUGACAUUCACUGGAUUCAUCUUGUAACCCAUUGAUAUCUCUUUUAUAAAGUUACUCGUCAUUAUAGUGGAACGGAGGGCUGCUCUCUCCCCCAGACUAGGUCAAUUUUGGACCGAACUGGGUAAACAAAUUUUGUGCGUUCUCUCUUUCUUUUUCUCGCUGUUUUUCUACUUUUGGCUUGUGUUUAUAACUUCCAUACACUUUGUUUUGGUUGCUUGAUUGUUACUUGCUCCACACAUCAAGUAUUUAUUGGUGUGACUUUUCAUCGAAUUCACAACAGCUUUGUGCAAAAUAUAGGUUAUGCUACUCCCAUAGAAGCUGGAUGCAGUGCUCUGAUGUAUGCUAUAGAGAAAGCUGUGGAAUAGCAAUUAAGGGAUAUUUGGAUACAUAGUGAUUCUCUUAUGGCUGUCAAAGCUUUUCUUGCAGAAUCUGACUCUUUGGUACCUCGGAGGGUGCGCAUUCGGUGGCAGAAUUGCAAAUGGUUAGCCUCACAAUUUAGAUGCAGGUGCUCUCAUGUUUACAGAGAGGGCAAUGGUGGCUGAUGCUCUCUAAAAAUGGACAGGGACUAGCUCUUUAUUCCUCUCAAUGGUGGAGAAACCCUCCUCAAUGUGAUAUUUGUAUUCGGUUCAGACAUCUCCUGCAUUUAAUGCUUUCUUUGCUUGAUAAAAACAAAACAAAAAAAACUCGAGUUUUCUUUGUAUAUCUUCACUUCAUGACAAUGAUUUUUGGCUCACAAACUUCACCAUAACAUGAUGUAACAGACAUAUAGUGAAGUUUAAAAUAUGGUGAAGUUUAAAAACGGUAAACUUUCACAUCAUGUGGGACAAAAAGUUGUAUUAUGGAAUAGUUUACUGAUAAUUCGUAGUUUAUGGUGUUUUUAGCAUUUAAAUUCAAUAAAAUUUAAGUUGUUUUAGUUUUAUUUACGAUUUAUUUUACUACAAAGCAUUAGUUUUUGUUUUCAGACUCAAAAAUACGAAAAACAAUGUACAUGGAUCAAGAACAAGGGUAAAGAGCCAGGAGAGAGAAGAAAAAUCAAUGAAAAAGCCAUAAAACAGUAGCACGAUCGUGCUCAAUUUUAGUCAGGUCGUGCGCCCCAUGUUUUAGACCGUGCUCCCUAGCACUGUGCUAACACACGACCGUGCGCCUCAUAAGCACGGUCGUGCACCUCACUCAACACAGUAGAAUUUCAAAGGAUAUGAAGGCAAUCACUACUGUGCAAAGGAAAACAGCUUUUACAAACUCUUAGAAUUCUUUGGUUGAUUGCCUGUAACUCGUUUUUAAUGUAUUGUCUGAGGGUCUAGGCUAUAAAUAGACCUCACUUCUGUGGAAAAAGGGAGCUUGGAAGACUUGUAAACUUACUCUAAAGUUGAAAGCAUAAUUUUGUAUUGUUCUAAGUUAUUUGUUCUUUGUUUUUCAGUUCUUUACAUUCUUGUUCUUUACUUUUCUGUUCUUUACAUUCCUAGUCAUUUAUUUUAUGUCUUUUACUUUCACGUGUUUAUAUUUUAAUAUCUUAUCUACUAUGAUCUUGAUUGAGUAGACUUUCCUUGUAUUGGGAUUGUUGGAAUAAUCUAAUGAUUGAAUCCUAAUCAACUCAAGUCUAGACCCUAUUUUACAUGAAUUUAUGUUUUAAUUUAAUCUCAUCGUUAUUAAAUUUUAUAUCAAAUGAAGAAGUUCUAUGUUUGAUGUUCUUGUUGUGUCAAAAAUGUUGAUGUUCUGGUUAGGUUGGGCUAUACACGCCCAUUUUCUUCUCUCAAUUUCCUCAAGAAAAUUAGCAAAUUCCGCUUCAAAAUCAACCUAUCUCUUUUCCCUCAUAUAUCCAUGGCAUCUUCUCCAAGUGGUGGUAUCUCCUUUCAUGUUCUACGCUUAUGAACCUUGUGUCAUCAUAAUUUGGAGGCCUCUGUGAUGCAGUUGCAGUGGCGUUUCUUUGAGGCCUCGGUCUGUACUUGUUUUCUUAGUCCCAUCUGAAAUGCAAACACACAAAUUAUACCAAUAAUUAUAUGCUCAUCAUGGUGCAUUGUAUUUAUACUGUAAAUGAGUUAUAACGUUUGCGACAUUAAUCUGGUUUUUUUUUCAAAAAAAAACUAUGUAAAUGGCUUAGCCAUUCAUUCUGGCCUAUGAGAUUUUACCCAGAAAAUGGUUUCGUGCUAUUCCUAUUCUUUAAUUGCAAAAUAGACAAUAAGAAAUUAAUUGCAAAUGAAAUUUUAGCACUUGAUUAAUGAAAACUGCACAACAGUGGAAGUUUUGGAUGAUUUUUGAGUAAGAGAGAGGGUGGCUCAAGUUUGAGAGAAGGAAUGAGAGAUUAAAGUGAAUUUUAGGGUUUGAAAGAGUCUUCUAGGCAGGGUAGAAUUCAAAAUUAUUUUGAUUAUAUUUUAGAUUGAAUUACUGACAAAUUGGUGGGUUGAAAAACUAAUCUUUUAAGCAGGGUUGAUCAUGUUUCUCUUGCUAAAUAUCCAAGAAAAAGUUAGUAGUAUUUAUCUGAAUCAUGAUAUUAUAGUUUAGGGAGUUUCCUCAUCAGGUGUCUAUUCAACCAAGAGUGGCUCUAUAUUUGGCUUUCUUCUCAUUAUGUGGAUUUGCAUGAUGAUACUAGCUAAAUGUGGAUGUGGAUGCUUAAGAUUUCAUAAAACUUGAAGCAUUUUCUGUAGUUAAUUUUACAUCAUAUUCUCCCAACCAAUUACACUGGUGUCGAGAAGGAUGUUUCCUCUGUUGGUUCGUGUCAUAGAUGUGGUCAUGUGGAUGAAACGAAUUCUUCAUUCUCAAAAAUUGCCAGAUUUGGACUUGUGGUUGCUUGUGCCGUAUUGGCCCUUGAUUUGCUCUUUAAGCCUAUAAAACAACGUUCGGAAGAUAUCUCAUAAAGGAAAAUUUGUGAUGAGAUUCUUACUUAUAUUGCAGAUUUAUUAUUGAUGAAAAUUGCUUAAUUCUUAGUCAGAUUUUACUUACUUAUCGAUUGAACUCUAGAUUAUCAAGGUCUCUUUUCCUUGAGAACCAGAUGUUUAAGUAAAAAACAAUAUAAGGAGCAAACAGCUAAAAUUCAAAAUCAGGAUGUGAGGGGUAAUGCAUCAAAGGGGAAAGAGAUAGGAGAGAGUAUUAGCCUACAAACAAAUAACCAACCUCUAUAUAUACCAAAGGGGAAAGAAUACUAUGAAGGUAUGUGAAUUGCAGAAUUUUAUCAGCACUUCACCAAUAGCAGUUACAAUAAAUUUUAGGUGAAUUAAAGAAUAUACACCUUAAAUGAUUUAUCUAAACAAUAAAUAUCCCAGUAAGCCAACAAAAAAACCAGCUAUCCAAAACCAGAAGUUUUCAGAACCUUGGUUUUCAAAAACUAUAAAAUCAAACUAACAAAGAAUGUACCAAAAAGAAAACCAAUCAGAAGUUAUCAGCAUUUGGUCAUAGCCUACUAGAAAACCUGUAAGAUAUUAGUUUUAGAUCAUUGUGAUUCAUUUUUCUCUGGAGUUUCCAUUUGUGGAGGCAAGAGACUUAAGAAGCUCCCUCUUACAGGUUGAUGAUGAGAAGAAGCCUUAGCUGAUUCAUCCUCUUUAUCAUACAACAAAACCAAUAUAUUAAAAAACCGUAACCGUAUCAACGAUAUCAUCAAUAUAUUUAGAGUUUUAUCUUGGUGCAUUGUCAAUAGUCACUGUCCACAAAUUACAAUCAAUCAUAAAAAUGAUUUUAGAAUUAGAAAUAAUCAUGAUUAAGUCAAACUUAUUUAAUGAUCUCACGAUUAUGAUUGAUUGACGGUGUAAAAAAUCUUUAAAUAACAUUGUAUAUUAAUUAAAUCCAUAUUUUUAUUGGAAAGAAAGACGGGCUGAUAAAGAAUUGGGAAAUAGUAAGGAUAUUCUUACCAAAUAAGGACUUAAUUGAAGGCCUUUUAGGUUUUGACUUCUUCUUCAAUUCAGCUGAUAAAGUAAACAAACCCAUAUUACUUGUGAAGAACAUUGCAAUGAUGAAUGUAUUAUCAUAUGUAGCAGUAUAAAAAAAUGAAAAAGGUAAUGCAUGCAAAAAUUAUAAAAUUUCCUCUUUCAGCUUAGACAGGUUUACUAGCAUAAUCUUCAGAAAAAUCACGGUAUAUUGAAAUCAAAACCACUAAAUGCAUCACCGUCCGAAAGUAGGUACCAAGGUUAGUUUAUAGUAAAAUACAAUAUAAUAUAUCAUAUCAUAUGAAACGGUCAGGAGAAUGACUUUUUAGAAAGAAACCCGUUCGCCAAUUUCUUCAAGAUGUGUGACAUUCAAGGGCUUACUAAAAAUGGGAUAAAAUAAGCUGGCAUUUACUUAAGGAAAUUGUAAAACUAGAAGCAAGUCGAAAGUGUUGAUAAAGCAAUUUUCUCAAGGUAAUGAACAUCUCAAAUAAGAGUUGACCCAAUGAAAUGUUCUUCCGCACAUAUAUUCAUUCUCAAUUAGAAAUUUUUUGAAUCAAAUAAAAUUGAUAAGAAAAAAAAAACAAUGACUACGAGAUGAAAAUGUUAAAGCAAUUAUACACACACACACACUUGCGCAAAGAGGCAUACAGAGAAACAUUUAUAUGUGUGUGUGUCUGUGAGAGAGAGAGAUGAAUGUACCAAAUCCAGGUAUUACACUGGCAUCCACCACUUCAUAAUUCUUGUAUGUGUAACCAACGAAGUUAAUAUCUUUAGAUGGAAGCAUCUGCAGCAAAUGAAUGACACCACUUAGUAUGAAAUCUAGACUUUAAAAAGCCAUAAAAUAGUAAAUGUUCUAUGUAAACACUGAUGCAGACGAUUUUCAAAUCAAGAGGCAAUUGAAUUCACUGUUAUAGUUAAAAAAGAAAUCUGCCACAUUCCAGUUUCAUCGAAAGUAAAGUCCAUUACUGUUAGAAUAUACGAAAGUAUCUUAUAAGCUUUUCCAUCCUAAGUAGAAUAAAAUCCAUAAACAAUAAAUAUCCGGUGCUACAAUUACAAAGCUAUAAACAAUAAAAAAUAUCCGGUGCUACAAUUACAAAGCUCCUACCCAUGCAACGGUCUAAAGAAGCGUCAGACUCAUUGUCGGUUUAUUAUAGAAAGUUUUAUCUAGCACUUGUAAAAUGCAUUUGCAAGAGGCUGAUUUAUAUAAUCCAGAUAGAAAAUCGUAAUUACAAGAUUGAAAACCAUAGAUAAAUUGCAAAAAUAAUAGCCCGGUCUACACCAUUUUUAAUAACAAAAACGAACCUUUCUCCACGGCCCUGCCUGUGAGGAAGGUUCAGUUUGCAUGUCCACCUGCACAUCAAUUGGUAAAUAGAGCAGAAUAUUAUAUCAUGACAAAAAAUACUCAACUCUUCUAUAUCCAUCAACAUAAAAAAUAAAUAAGAUACCUCAUCAAAUUUCUCGAAAUUUUGAGUAUCUAAUUCAUCAUUGACCUCAGGAAUAAAAGCAGCUUUCAUUUGGUACAAUUUGUCCCAUUCAACACCUUUGAACCAUGGGUGAGCCUGGAAAUAAAACGAUCAACUAUUUAUAUUGGCUAAAAUAUAACAGUAUUCUGAGUAAAUUACAGAAUUUAUAAGAAAACAAAACACAAUACCUUUAUUUCAUCAGCUCCUUUAGUUCCAAGCCUAUGUUCAACAUUACAUAGGAGACUACAAAUAAGAUCCUUUGCCUCUGGUGAUAGUUUAGAUUCUUCCGGAAAUUUUAAAUAAGUUUUCCAAUUUACAAUCUGUGAAUCGAAUGUGAGAGAGAAUAUUACUGUUAGUUACAUAGACCAAAAUUGAUGCAAUAUAAGGAAGCCAUGCAGGCAAUCAACUUUGACACGUUAUUAUUAUUAUUAGUGUUGAAAAUAGUAUCUGAUAAUAUCUUAAUAUUCUUCUAGAAUAUCUUGGUUUAUAGAUUCUUAGCCAUCAAAGGAAACUGUGACAUUGUUGAAAAAGAUAUAGUAGAACUUAAUACACGUAUAGGAAUUCUAUGACCUCAACACUCAAGAAAGAAAACAAUAAUCCAAGCCUCCAAGGACAUAAGCCUUGUAGAAUUCAAUGAACAAAAAUUGAUCCAUUCCAGAAGUCCGGACAUUACCUUUCUACAUGUUGCCAUUGGUUCGUCUGAAUAAAAUGGCGGAUACCCCACAAGCAUUUCAUACAUUAUGGCUCCUAGAGACCACCUGGAAGCAUUAACAUGAUAUCAGAAUAUAUUGAAGAAAUGAGUACAAAAAAAAAAUAAAAAAAAUAAACAAGCAGUAAAAAACAUAUAAUGUCAUACCAAUCACAUUCCAUGCCAUAUCCUCUCUUCAGAAGAACUUCUGGAGCAAUAUAAUCAGGUGUUCCAACCGUAGAAUACGCCUGCAAAUGACAAAAUACCGGAUUGAUAUAUGAUGUAAAUGGUGCGUUAGAAAAGAUAAAACAAUAUCCCCUAUUUAUAUUCAGACCAAGGUUAACUGUGAGACUACUAAUCCUAUUCUAGUUCUAAUGAAUAAAUUAACAAGUAACUGGCUUCAGAUAAAAUACAUAGAAAAAUAUAAGGUUACUAAGAUUGUAUGAUCCCUUAAAAUGAGAAAACAAAAUAUCCAGAUUUAUUUUGCAUCCUUGUCUCCCUCUGAGAUAAUCUAUAGAUAUUGUAAUUAAGGCCGGUGUUUAUCAAUAUGACUCAUCUAGAUUAUUAAAGAAAGUGUGAUAAGGAUUGGUUGUUGUUGUUGUUGUUGUAUAACUAUCCAUACUUAAUUGGUGAACAAAACCAACGAGUAACAUCUAUUGGGGUCUUAAUUGCAUGCUUACUAUGACAAACGUGGUGUACCGUAUAGGGAGCAAAGUGCAAACAUGAUGAAAGCUUAAGGACUGGAAAACUGCACAAAAAAGGUUCUUACAGAAUAAAGUAAUUGUGCUUAUUUAUGAAUACGUUUAUUGAGAGACUUACCAGCAUUCUGCUGCGAUUUUUCUGCCAAUGCUCCAGUUGCUGCUGUUGUGAUCGUUUAGGAGGUAAAGGGCGUCCGUCACUUUGAAGGACUCCACUUCUGUUAACUCCAACAGAUAAGUCUUUUUCCUGAAGGUUACUGCAGUCUAGCGGUUUACAUAAUCCAAAAUCUGAUAAUUUCAUGUGACCAUUUCUAUCCAGCAGCAAGUUGUCAGGCUUGAUAUCUCUGCAAAAUGCAAUUAAAAAUCAGGAUAUCAAACAUUACAUUUCUUGAUCAACAAGAAAACUUCCAUAAGAUCGGUAUUCAAGAUUUAUGUCAUAAAAUUAAGUACGCUACAGUGUUGCCAAUCGCGGAUUACUGAAAAAAAUUGUUAUAAUCCCUCUAUGCUAAAUGCUAUAGCUGCUAUCUAACAACACUUCGUACAAAAUAGUGUAUCACAAAACAAUAGCGAUUAGUUCAAAUUCUGAUACACUAUAGCAUCUAUUUGACAACACUGGUAUAUUACCAUUUGGUAUUAUUGUUUAUAUAGAUUAAGUGUACCUAUGAAUAUAAUUAUGUUUAUGAAUAGACUCUAUGGCUAGCACAGACUCCCCGAUAUAGAACCUAGCUACAUCUUCAGUCAGUAUAUCUUUCCGCAUCAGCAACGUCAUCAUAUCUCCACCGGGUAGAUACUCCAUUAUGAGAUAUAAAUACUCGUCAUCUUGAAAGGAACAAUAAAGUUUUACAAUGCAAUUGCUAUCAACUUCUGCAAGAAGGUUCCUCUCAGCUUUGACAUGUUCAACCUAAAACACAAAAGCACCUGAUAAGUAAAAGAGAAUAAUAUUUACUCCAUCUAAGACUGUGAUAAUUCCAAUACCUGUCCUCUACGAAGCAUCUCUGAUUUCUUAAGCUUCUUCAUAGCAUAUACCUGACCAGUUGCCUUCUCCCGGCAGAUUCUAACCUAUCAAAAGAUGAAAUUGCAAAAUCUUAACCGAUAAUCUGAUAACAUGUGUGAGAAUUGAGAAACAUUAAAAUUUUCAAGUUAUGGAUGUUAACAUUAAAAUUACUUGUAUACCUCUCCAAAUGCACCCUUCCCAAUCAUAGUCAAGGGCUCAAAGUCAUCAGACCCCAUCUUAAGUCUCUGCCGGCGCAUGAUUUCUGUCUCUGUUUUCUCCAAAUGCUUAAGUAAAUUGUUCUGCUCUUCCUCGGAUGCUUCGGCAUCAGCCAAUUUCUUUUCUAGCAUAUUACGUCUGCAAAGAAUAAUGAAUUUAGAACUUAUUACAUACUUAAAACAAUUUCCAUUUGCAGGCAUCGUUUGCAUGUAUUGUAUAAAGUUACCUUUCUUUCCUCUCCUGCUGGCUCUGCUUCUGGUUCUUAUAAUAACUUUCUACGUAAUGCUUAGCAGCUUCAACCUUCUGUUUGGUUUCACUUGAAGGCAGUUUUUCAUCAAUUACGUUCACCGCAUUUGACGUGCUUGUAGCUUCCUUUCUUUUAAACCUCAACUUACUAAACCAGCGCCUUGUAUUUUCCAUUUUAAACGCUCACCUCUUAAGAUGUUGUGUUAUAUCUUCUGCUUUGCCAAACACCGAAGAUUAAAGGUUUCGCCAAAUACUAAAGACUGUAGGUUUCGGCAAACAAGGAUCUCAUUUUUCCAUACAUGAUUGUUACUGCUGUCCAACACGAAAAACAAUUGACAACUAAUCAGCAAAAUUUAAGCAUCAUACAAACUACUCGAUUUCUCUCAAAUCACACAAACUAAAACAAUGCAAUGAAAACACUAAAAACCAACAAAACCACCACAUAGAAACUCAAUAAUUCACAGUGUACAUCAAAAUAACUCUACUGAACAUCAAUGAAACUAAUAAAAAUACAACCUUUUAAACAACAAAAAUGUAUAAACAAAUAAAAAGAAGAAAAAAAACAUGGUUUUUAUUCUUUUUUGACAGAAAAAACAUGUUUUUUCUUACAAUAAUUCACAGUGUCUAUCAAACUAGCUCUUCUGGGCAUCAACAAAAACAAUAAAAACACAAUCUUUUCAACAACAAAAAAUGUAUAUAAUCACAUAAAAAGCAAAAAAAAAAAAAAAAAAAAAAAAAACAUGUUUCUUUCUUACCCCACAUGUUUUUCACCUAACCCAAUAAUAGCAAUCAAACCACAUUCAAAAAACCAACCAAAUCCAAGUCAAAAGAAAAUCAAAAACAGUAAAACAAAACUAAAAAAACAUAAAUUUGAUUAAAAUAAACAAAAGGGUGUUGUAUAAACCUUGAAUUAUGAUGAAUCUGAAGGUUGUGCUGAAACUGAAAGAGUGUGAUGUUGUUGUUGAAGAGUAAAGUCUAAAGAAGGUUGUUGUUGUUGUGAUUGUGAUUGUGACAAUGAAAUUAUGUGAAGAAAAAAAUGUGAAGAUUAUAAAUAUUAUGAACAAAAUUCAUACAAUGGUUUUGGUUUGAAAAGUUUUAAGACAAGACAACCUUAAAAAAAAUGUUAAUUAAUAAAUUAUAUUAUUAAAUAAAACGCGUUUUUAAGCGGAGUCUUUGCUUUCAACUUUACAUGAAUUACGGAGAAUAUUUUAUUAUAUAUUGCUACUUAUCCAAAUCUUGUAAUAAUAUAUUUGGAAUUUUUUUUUUUUGAAAAGAAUAUAUUUGGAAUUUAAAUAUUUGUAUUUAAUGUAGACUUUAAUUUUUUAUACACUAAAUAUUUUGUAUGCAAACAUACUGUCAAUCAAAUUGUUAUACGUAAGCUUAACUCAAUUGGUAAGGACAAUGCAUGAUAAAGGUCUGGGGUUCGAUCCCCGACAUCAAAAAACAAAAUUUUAAUCAAUUAUUAUGUGGAACAAUUCUUGAUUAGGUUGUACUUACUUUAGGUCGAUCUCCAUCUGCCCUUAAAUAUAAGAUUUUUUUUUUGUGGUGGUCGGGAUUUGAAUCUCAGAUAUAUACUAUUGUCUAUACCAACUGAGUUAAGCUCACGAGAACUAUAAGAACAUUUUGAAAAAACAUAAGAAUUAAAAAAGUUGAUUGUUAAAUUUAUUUUUUUUUUACAAUUGUUAUUGAUUUACAAGUUUAUACUUUAGGAAAGAGAAUUAUUUAAUGUUUUCAUGAAGUAUUUAUUAUAUAUUGCAAAAAUAGAGGCAUAUUGAUAAAAAAAAAAAAAUCAUAUUAAAAUUUAGGGUUAAUCAAUUUUUUGGUCCCUAUAAAUAUCUGCAGUUUUGUUUUUAGUCCUUAUAAAAAUAAAUCAUACUUUUUAAUCCCUACAAAAUUUUCUGUUAGUGUUUUUAGUCCCUGUUAAAUUAAAAUUUGUUUAAUUAUGCUUAAACUUCUAAAUUUUUGAAAGAUUUUUUUACAUACAUGUUCAUAACAUUGUAAGACACUCUUUUAUAAAAUGCCCUCUAAAUUUUCAAGUUUAGGGGCAUUUUGCACAUAAGUGCAAAAUUUCAGGGGGUAUUUCAUCAUAACCGUAAACAGUUAACAGAAAAAUUUGACGGAGGAGGUAAAUUGAUUAACGUUAUAUAAUUUCAUGAGGUAAUUGAAGUUUUAUUAAUUUCAUGUGGUAAUUGACGAAACCUACAAAUUUUAGGGAGGAAAUUGACUAUUUAAUCAUAGAAACACUGAUAUGAGUUUAUACAAGAAACAUGUAAUGGUUUUACGAAAUUGAAUAUUCAUUUUUAUUGGUAUAUCUUGACCAAAUAAAAAUUUAUAUUGGCAUAUCUUCUCUCAAAAAGAAAAUUAUAUUGGUAUAUCCCUUUUUCAAUAAUUCAAAGAAAAACGCGUUUAUUAGCGGAGACUGGUUUCAACGUUACCCAAUUUACGGAGAAUGUUUUAAAUUGCUCUUUUUUAUGACAGAAUAUUGUUUAUAUAUUGCUAUUGCUAUAUCAGUGCUUAUCCAAUCCAAUAAUCACGUGUGAUAAUAUAUUUACAUGUUGUGCCAAAAACAGGAAAAAUUGGAUUGUUUCGUAAAUCGAGUGUUAAUACUUUGAGUUUAUCGAGUUUAAGUGUUUAAGUACCAAAAUUGUGUUAACUCUGAGGUAAAUUCGGUUUCUGAUAAAAUCGGAAAGUUUGACGAGUUUGACUGAGUUAACAUUCGAUAAACUAUUGUAAACUCAACCGAGUUUCUUGAGUUUUACGAGUUUACAUCUAAAAAAGGUAAAAUAAAAAUUGGCCCUUUUUUCUGGCCCAUUUAUUAACAACCGUAGAAACUUGUGAAACGUGUUUUGUUUGAUGGUUUUAUGGAUGGAAUACUUAUGAAAUUUAUGAUUUUUUGCGUUAAUUUUUAUAUUUUGAUGCUAAAUUGAGAAUACAUUUUAUUAUAGUAGUUUGGUAUAAUUUGUCUUUGUAAUUAAGUCAUAUUUUGCACUAUUGACCUAUUUACAAUAUUAUAUAUAUUUUUUGACUACUCCUUAGGGUAAAGUCUGAUUCUCGAACGUAGAUUUCAUUUAAUCCUAAGGAAUGAACACCAGCAAUCUCUUCCAGGAAGGGAUUCACAAAGUGAAAUCCACAUCGAAGCACCCUCAAUUUCUUUUUCUCAUCCUUCCCAUCUCUCACAUUCGUCCCAUCUCUCACAAGACUUUUAACAAAGUAGCAUUGUUCUUCCUUCACUAAAUGAAAUCCAAAGUUAAAUGGUCUUCUAAGUACAUAACUUGGCCGAGGCUUGGAUCCAUUCGAUUUGAAGUUUGAUCCAAUCGAUUUAAAGAUUGUCCGUAAAGAUGUCGUACCACCUAAUAUAGUAUGAACAAGAUGGAUAAUACUUGGGUGACAUUGUGAUUGGUGACAUUAUCAACCACAAUGUUACAAGUGUACAAAACAACAACAAAAAUCUUGUGAAAGAAAAAGAAGAAAGCCACAUGUGACAUUGUGGUUGGCCAAUGUCAACAAGAUGAAGCAAAUGAGUAUUGAAAACCUCUUUAGAAUAUUAUAUUAGCUUGUAUAUGUCUUGCAUAUAUUAAAUUUUAUAUAAUUCUAAUUUUAGGUAAACUCGUACGAGUUCUCGAGUCGAGUUUACCUAGGCAAAACGAGUUGAGGUAAACUCCCGAGUAAGUUUAGAUGUCUGUGAGUUUUUUUUUUUUAAGAGGCGAUGUCUUUGUGAGUUAUCUCAGACUCGACUUAUGUUUGUCGUUGAUGAGUUAUUUAGGUUUGAAUUUUGAGGGAGAGACUUGGAAAUGACGAAAGUAUGUUAUUAGCUUGUGAGAAAGAGCAUGUGUGAGAAGUAGUGAAGAGGAAUGCUAGCAGCACAUCACUCAAUUUGAACACUCUCUCUAGCACCCACUCUUUUAUUUGAUGGAAUUCAUGUAUGUCUCACCAUUUUGUGUGAGUUCUAUUUUCAAGGUGUAGACUUACAGUGAUUUAAACCAAUAAAAGAGUGAGUAUUAGAGAGUGUUCAAAAGAGAGUGUUGGUAGCACUACUCAUGUAGUGAAUUGUUACAUAACUUUCUUAGUAGGGUGUGGAAGAUAGGUGAAGUUGGCAACUUGAUCCGGCUAAAGGUUACAUAAUAAGCGGUGUUUAUCAUUUGUUAUCAAAUGCGAAUGAGAUCGUUCAUGUCGAGACUACCGACAUUAUUUAGACCAAAUCACUACCAUUAAAAGUUUCUCUUUUUCAUUGACGGUUGUUACAUAAUCGGUUACCUAUUAGGGAUUGGGUCAGCGAUGAAUCAAUUUGUGUAAUACUAAUAUGUGUGUGGGUGGUUGAGAAGUGGAGGAAAGUGUCGAUCAUUUGUUUUUAGGUUGAGUAUUUUUUGUGAGCAUAUGGUAUUUGUGCGACAAUGAUUGUAUUUUAUCAGUAAAUCCACUGCGUGUUGUGGAUCAUCUUAUUCAAUUAGGAAAUUUAGGACAUGUUUCUCUAAAUUUGUUCGGAAUUCUAUUUAAUAGUUAUGCAUUAAACAUGUCCGGAAUCCUUGUUGCAGAUAGGAACUUCUUGUGUUAAUAUACUUUAUUUUGACUUAUUUAAAAAAAAAAUAUCUUGUAUUGUAUGUAUGUAUUUCUCGGUUCGUCGUAACAGGUGGUUGAAGUCUUGAGGUGCCUUCAACGCGAUACUUUUCACUAAUUUGGUCCCCUUGCUUAGCCUUUUCCUUAGCAAGUAAGUGUUUAUUUUGUCAUCGGACCCCUUGACCUGGAUCACUUCUUUGUUAUAUAUAUAUAUAUAUAUAUAUAUAUAUAUAUAUAUAUAUAUAUAUAGAUGCGAGGAGACUCUUCCUUCCCCUAACGAAUGACCUCUAUACUAUCCAUGGACUAAGCUUGUUUUCAUGAUGCGAUGAAAUGGGUCGAGAACCGCCGACUGAGUUCCAUUCACGACGUCACGGACCCCUACCUUAGGGCUUUUGAACCAAACCAUGGCCCUUUCAUGGAGGGUUAAUGAUGACAGGUCCCCUUACAUUAUAUGUUUUUGAGUCACUUUAGUAGACAAUUGGAAUCAUUACAUAUGAGUUUUAGAGAAGUUUAUCACGGUUUAAGAGACAUUAAUUUUUGUAUUGUUUUCAAUUGAGUCAUGUAAUUUUGUUUCUUCCUUAAACCAAAUAGUUUCAUAAGUGUUUUGAGUCUUUUAUUGAUAAACCGUGCAAAUCGAAAAACAAGACACCUCAUGGAAGUUUUGGAAGACAUGGAAUGAAAAUUAUUAUGGUUCUAUAAGGCUUUGAAUACAUUACAAGUUAGGGAAAUUUUGUCCCAAGAACAAGUCGGAGAAGGAAAAUACCUGAAGAAGGAAAUUCUAUCACCCUAAGGGAAUUUUCCAUACCUGAGGUUGAAGCCCCAUGCCUCGUGCAUGACCCACGCACCCCAAGCGCAUGGACAGAGAGAAGCGACCAUGUCCCGCGCAUUCUGUUGUGUGAAAAAAUCGCUUUUUCCUGAUUUUGCCUUGCUUGUUGGAGUAAAAAGCCAAGAAUUUCAACAAAACCUCAGCUGAAAAUAUGCUUAUAAUAAAUAGAGCUCCUUCCACAUAGAAAUAUUCAUUUAGAACUUGGUGGUUCAAGAGAAAGAAAAGUAGUCAGAGCAUCAAAUAAGAGUCUCACACCUCCUCCACUUUUGUUCUGUGUUUUAUUUCUUUCUGAUUAUGCAUUUUGUUACCAUGAGUAACUAAACGCCUUUUUAUUAGGUUUCUAAGAUGAACCUCUAUUUAACACAUGUAGUUUAUUCAGUUAUGAUUUGAGUUAUAUUAAAUGUUCAUAUAUUUCACGCAUUAAUGCUUUCUUGCAUUAGGGGGUGACAUACCUAGCUCGUGGAUUGAACUUAUACUAGGUAAGAUUGGAGUCUUGCUUUAAUCAAAAUUGUUACAUAUGAAUUUUAUUCUAAUAUCUUCAAUUUAUUAAGGAUAUCUAGGGCAUGUGGUAAGGUUAUAAGAUUCAUGUGUAAUGUUUUACCUUUAGAUAACAAUUUAGGAAUUUUAAUAUUUGUCUUGUUUCAAUUAUCUGUGAUUGUGUAAGUCCUUACUUUAAUAACAUUACCAAUGUGUACGAAAACUUAGAGAAGUGACAGCCUUUUACCAUAUUGCAUGUAUGGCUUUUAGGGUGAUGAGGAGAAACAUGACAUGUGGAGGGAUUAUGUCCCACGAAGUUAACCACUUUUAUAUAAUCCUUGGUUCAUAACUGAUAGAUAUAUUUGCAUUAAUCGAACAAAGAGGUAGAGGGGAUUCAAAAAAAUAAUAAUCGCCGCUAUAACUCUGAAUUAAACCCUUUUUUUUCUGCAAUCAAAUCAACCCGCUUUCUGCAAUCAACAUAACUUGCAAAAUCCCCCUGAGUUACUGUUUUAAUUCAUAAGUUUAGUAAAUUACCUAGUUGGAAACGAAAAUCCAUGUGAAGAUGAUAGCUUACUGCUUGGAACAAUUUGGCGCAGUUUCAAAUUCGUCGUUAGUUAACACAAAUAACUUUCAUUUUUAGUAGACCUUGGGCUCCCCUAAAUGAAAGUAGGGUGUCCCUUGUCUCAAGGUGGUCAUUUGGGUCCAAAGUUGUCGUACAGGACUGGAGGGCCAAUGAGUUCGAAGAUCCCGUGGAAUGGAGUAGUCGUUGAUCCUUCUUAAGAAAUAUAUUCUUUGCAACAAAUCCUCCUCGUAAUCAUUGGGUUCCAACGAAUUGGAACAGUGGCGGUGGUGAUGAUGUGAGUUUAUUCUUAUGCACCUUUCUCGAUACUCCAAAGGCGAUUUGGACCCGCAGUCACUUAUGGACCCAUGUCCCUUUCUGUCGUGGUGGUCCGUCCUUUUUUUAAUCUUGUUUGUGACAUUCUAGAGCGUUGGUUCCUAUCGUAUUGUCGAUUUGAGGUAUGAAUGGUUGAGCUGACCGGGGAAGAUAUGGCAGAGUUUCCUAUCACUAGAAGAAUAUUUGGGAUGAUUCUUCCGUCACUGAAGUUUCGUGAUGAAGGAUUUAAGGUUUCACCAUUUUCAACGUGAGCCAAGCGUUGGCCUUGAGUUGCGAUCAACUCAGAUUGGUUAUGAAAAGCUACAAACACGUUGUGAAGUAACUUGUUAGUUUCACUUUCCCCAUUAUGAACCAGAACGAUGGGAGUUAGCUGGGCUGUUUGGAGGAGGAUAAGGUUCAUUGCAUAGGUUGUCAUAUUGAGAGUUGUGUUUGUGAAAACUUGAUGGAGUGGUGGGAACGUGAUGUUUGUUGGGCGGCAGUCUGGUCGAGGGAAUAUGGAGGCCCCAAAAUUGAACGAGAUAAUAUGACAUUGCUGGAGCAUCGUCGUGUUGUCAGCGUUCCCCUGAUUAGGAGGGGUGAUGAGGAGGUUGUAGUGUCGUCCUUUAGGUCAAAUUGCGGGAGAUAGUUGUUGCAAGCAGUUGUUAAUAAGAGGCAUGUGUUAACCAUGAGAUCUCUUUAAAAAGAAUUGUUAUAAGGUUGGUUCCCCAGUGGAGUCGCCAUUGAUCUUUUCGGACCUUCGAUCCUUGGGUUGAUGACAUUGAAUGACCUUUGUAGAGGACACCUCCCUCAAUUUCUGCCUUCUUCUAUGUUGAAUGGUGGUGGUGUACAUACGCAUACUCCAACACUCACGAGUGUGAUAUGAUAUGUAUUCUAUUGAGAAUAGUGAACAUACCUAACUGAGGCUUAAUAGACAAUAUUUAUAGUGGAUGAUUAGGGUUUGAGGCUUAAUAAACAAUAUGUAUAGUGGAUGAUUAAGGCUUUAGGCCUCUUGCACCUAUGUUUGGAGAUAUAGAGACAUACUAUAAUAUAAUUAUAUUUUUUCAUGCUAUUAACGAGGAUGAUGCGAGUUUGUUUACAAGUUUAUCCUUUUUAUUUUAGCAAUCUUGAGGUAUUGAUGCAUUGUGUCAUCUUGAAUGAAUAAAUAUUAUUUAUUUUUGUAAAUGGUCAUGUUAACUAGUGCCCUAAGCAUUACUUAAGGAAGUAAAAAAAGAAAUAUUUUAUUAAAAACAACAAUUUUUUUUCUUUUAUAAAGUUAAACAUUCCACUUUUCACCAUUUUUCAAAAAAAAAUUCUAUAUUAAUUUUUAACAUUUCCAUUUUGUAAAAAAUAAAAGAGUUUUUCUACUUGCACCCUAGUUAAUCAUGGUUGCACCCCAAAAUGACAAGAUUAUCCUUUCAUAAAAUUUGAUUUUCAAAAAGCCUAUUCCUUCUUUUUUGGUUACACCCCAAAACCCUUCUUCCAAAACCAUAAUUCUCCAAUCGAUCGAUUGUGUUCUGCGAAGAUUUUAAAAACCAUACUUUCUCACGUCCAUUCAUGAUUUCAAAGAAAAUUCGAAGCAAAUCAGGUUAGCAAGUGUUGUUNNNNNNNNNNNNNNNNNNNNNNNNNNNNNNNNNNNNNNNNNNNNNNNNNNNNNNNNNNNNNNNNNNNNNNNNNNNNNNNNNNNNNNNNNNNNNNNNNNNNNNNNNNNNNNNNNNNNNNNNNNNNNNNNNNNNNNNNNNNNNNNNNNNNNNNNNNNNNNNNNNNNNNNNNNNNNNNNNNNNNNNNNNNNNNNNNNNNNNNNNNNNNNNNNNNNNNNNNNNNNNNNNNNNNNNNNNNNNNNNNNNNNNNNNNNNNNNNNNNNNNNNNNNNNNNNNNNNNNNNNNNNNNNNNNNNNNNNNNNNNNNNNNNNNNNNNNNNNNNNNNNNNNNNNNNNNNNNNNNNNNNNNNNNNNNNNNNNNNNNNNNNNNNNNNNNNNNNNNNNNNNNNNNNNNNNNNNNNNNNNNNNNNNNNNNNNNNNNNNNNNNNNNNNNNNNNNNNNNNNNNNNNNNNNNNNNNNNNNNNNNNNNNNNNNNNNNNNNNNNNNNNNNNNNNNNNNNNNNNNNNNNNNNNNNNNNNNNNNNNNNNNNNNNNNNNNNNNNNNNNNNNNNNNNNNNNNNNNNNNNNNNNNNNNNNNNNNNNNNNNNNNNNNNNNNNNNNNNNNNNNNNNNNNNNNNNNNNNNNNNNNNNNNNNNNNNNNNNNNNNNNNNNNNNNNNNNNNNNNNNNNNNNNNNNNNNNNNNNNNNNNNNNNNNNNNNNNNNNNNNNNNNNNNNNNNNNNNNNNNNNNNNNNNNNNNNNNNNNNNNNNNNNNNNNNNNNNNNNNNNNNNNNNNNNNNNNNNNNNNNNNNNNNNNNNNNNNNNNNNNNNNNNNNNNNNNNNNNNNNNNNNNNNNNNNNNNNNNNNNNNNNNNNNNNNNNNNNNNNNNNNNNNNNNNNNNNNNNNNNNNNNNNNNNNNNNNNNNNNNNNNNNNNNNNNNNNNNNNNNNNNNNNNNNNNNNNNNNNNNNNNNNNNNNNNNNNNNNNNNNNNNNNNNNNNNNNNNNNNNNNNNNNNNNNNNNNNNNNNNNNNNNNNNNNNNNNNNNNNNNNNNNNNNNNNNNNNNNNNNNNNNNNNNNNNNNNNNNNNNNNNNNNNNNNNNNNNNNNNNNNNNNNNNNNNNNNNNNNNNNNNNNNNNNNNNNNNNNNNNNNNNNNNNNNNNNNNNNNNNNNNNNNNNNNNNNNNNNNNNNNNNNNNNNNNNNNNNNNNNNNNNNNNNNNNNNNNNNNNNNNNNNNNNNNNNNNNNNNNNNNNNNNNNNNNNNNNNNNNNNNNNNNNNNNNNNNNNNNNNNNNNNNNNNNNNNNNNNNNNNNNNNNNNNNNNNNNNNNNNNNNNNNNNNNNNNNNNNNNNNNNNNNNNNNNNNNNNNNNNNNNNNNNNNNNNNNNNNNNNNNNNNNNNNNNNNNNNNNNNNNNNNNNNNNNNNNNNNNNNNNNNNNNNNNNNNNNNNNNNNNNNNNNNNNNNNNNNNNNNNNNNNNNNNNNNNNNNNNNNNNNNNNNNNNNNNNNNNNNNNNNNNNNNNNNNNNNNNNNNNNNNNNNNNNNNNNNNNNNNNNNNNNNNNNNNNNNNNNNNNNNNNNNNNNNNNNNNNNNNNNNNNNNNNNNNNNNNNNNNNNNNNNNNNNNNNNNNNNNNNNNNNNNNNNNNNNNNNNNNNNNNNNNNNNNNNNNNNNNNNNNNNNNNNNNNNNNNNNNNNNNNNNNNNNNNNNNNNNNNNNNNNNNNNNNNNNNNNNNNNNNNNNNNNNNNNNNNNNNNNNNNNNNNNNNNNNNNNNNNNNNNNNNNNNNNNNNNNNNNNNNNNNNNNNNNNNNNNNNNNNNNNNNNNNNNNNNNNNNNNNNNNNNNNNNNNNNNNNNNNNNNNNNNNNNNNNNNNNNNNNNNNNNNNNNNNNNNNNNNNNNNNNNNNNNNNNNNNNNNNNNNNNNNNNNNNNNNNNNNNNNNNNNNNNNNNNNNNNNNNNNNNNNNNNNNNNNNNNNNNNNNNNNNNNNNNNNNNNNNNNNNNNNNNNNNNNNNNNNNNNNNNNNNNNNNNNNNNNNNNNNNNNNNNNNNNNNNNNNNNNNNNNNNNNNNNNNNNNNNNNNNNNNNNNNNNNNNNNNNNNNNNNNNNNNNNNNNNNNNNNNNNNNNNNNNNNNNNNNNNNNNNNNNNNNNNNNNNNNNNNNNNNNNNNNNNNNNNNNNNNNNNNNNNNNNNNNNNNNNNNNNNNNNNNNNNNNNNNNNNNNNNNNNNNNNNNNNNNNNNNNNNNNNNNNNNNNNNNNNNNNNNNNNNNNNNNNNNNNNNNNNNNNNNNNNNNNNNNNNNNNNNNNNNNNNNNNNNNNNNNNNNNNNNNNNNNNNNNNNNNNNNNNNNNNNNNNNNNNNNNNNNNNNNNNNNNNNNNNNNNNNNNNNNNNNNNNNNNNNNNNNNNNNNNNNNNNNNNNNNNNNNNNNNNNNNNNNNNNNNNNNNNNNNNNNNNNNNNNNNNNNNNNNNNNNNNNNNNNNNNNNNNNNNNNNNNNNNNNNNNNNNNNNNNNNNNNNNNNNNNNNNNNNNNNNNNNNNNNNNNNNNNNNNNNNNNNNNNNNNNNNNNNNNNNNNNNNNNNNNNNNNNNNNNNNNNNNNNNNNNNNNNNNNNNNNNNNNNNNNNNNNNNNNNNNNNNNNNNNNNNNNNNNNNNNNNNNNNNNNNNNNNNNNNNNNNNNNNNNNNNUCACUUUAUUUAAAAUGCUUUGAAGCUGUUUCUGACUGGUGACUUAUCCUACAGAGACAUAAAACCAAGAAGGAAGUGAUGAACGAAGUUAUUGCAAAAAGCAAGUUUUACAAGGUGUGUGAUAUUUCUUAAAUCAGGGCUCUGUUAGUUUAUUUGUCUUCUACAACUUGUUCACUUUCUUUUCUUUCACUCUAAUAUUUUCCAGGCUGAAAAAGCAAAAGAAAAGGAAAAAGAUGAAGACCUGCUGGAAGAAUUAGAUAAGGACUUCACUUCUCUGGCUCAUUCCGAGGCCUUGUUGGCUCUGACUGAACCACACAAGAUGAAAGCUUUGAAGGCUCUGGUGAACAGUAGUAUUUCAAAUGAAAAAAGUGAUAAAGAUAGCUUGUCUGCUAAACGGACAAUGAAUAAUUCUGUUCAGGUACCAUUAUUUAUCCUCGAGGGUCUUCUUGCCCUGAUAUCUUCUUUUAAUAAGAACAUUCUAUAUUCCAACUUUCUCUUUAUGGCAGGAAAAGCCUGAUGAUUAUGACCAACUUGUCAGACAAAUGGGAUUUGAAAUGCGUGCUCGCCCUUCAGAUAGGCUGAAGACUAAGGAAGAGAUUGAUCAGGAGGAAAGAGAACAUCUAGAGGAGUUGGAGGUAUGAUAACAUGACUUUUAGCUAUAAGUUUGUUAUUAUACAAUUAAUAAAUUACUUUUAGUAUUUUAUCACAUUUUUUAAACAUUAACUGAUCUCCAAUCUUGGUUGUAUAUCCGAGCUUCGUUUUAAGAUGGUUUAGAUCACUUGUUCUGGCCAAACUGUAUAGACUGGGAUGAACCCAAAACUACCUAGCUUAAUGCUGGAUUGAUGUUCAUAUUUUAAUGUAAUAUGUAUAGUGUACUAAUGUUGACAAUGAGUGAGCCUUGGCAAUGCCAUCACUUGUAAGGUUGUUGGCUUGUAACCCUGUGGUUCUUGGUGAUAGUCAUGGAAAUGGGAUCUCUGCACAUGAGUGUAAAAUUGUGGAAAUACUUAUUUGUAACGAGUCAGAUACUUAAUACUUUUAUCCAUAAUUUCAGAAAAAACGGCAGAAGAGAAUGACCGCUGCUGAAGAUUCGAGUGAGGAAGACAAUGAAGAAUCAGAAAAGCCAUCAAAAGAGAAACCAAGAUCUCUCUCUGGUGAUGACCUUGGUGAUUCCUUCUCUGUCGAUGAAGAAACUAUGACUAAAAAGGGUUGGGUUGAUGAGAUUCUUGAGAGAAGAGACGAGGAGGAGGGUUCUUCUAGUGAAGAUGAUGAUGGUGAAGAUGAUGAUGAUUUGGAAAGGUCUGAAGAUUCUGAUGAAGAAUCAGAGGAUGAUCUUGAUGAAAACGAUAAGAAUACUACUUUGAAAGAUUGGGAACAGAGUGAUGAUGAUGAUAUCAGUGCAGGUUCAGAAGAUGAAGAUGAUAUCAGUGUUGGUUCAGAAGACGAAGAUGAGGACGAAGAAAGAGCUGCGGAAGAAGUUGAUAAGGUAAAAGGAUUGAAUGUUGGUAUUCAUAAAAAAGCAAAGAGAAAUGAUUCUGUUGAAAGUGUAAAGGGAAAUAAUGGUUCUUUAGAUACCAAGAAGAUAGUCGUUGGAGGGAAAAUGUCGAAAGAGUUAGAGAUUCCUUAUAUAAUUGAAGCUCCGAAGACCUUUGAAGAAUUAUGUUCACUAGUGGAUAAACGUUCAAAUUCUGACACUAUCUUAAUCAUCAAUCGGAUUCGGAAAAGCAAUCCAAUCACACUUGCUGCAGAAAAUCGAAAGAAAGUACAAGUAAGAAACUUAUCUUUAUAUUAACUAUUUGUUUUGAUUCAAAUCUCCAUGGUGCUUGUAUUCAUGUUUACUGAAUCCACUGACUGUUUUACCCGAGUUUUAACUGUUAUAUUAAACUUUUAUGUGGUAUGUUGGCAAUCAUUGAAAAUUCGAUAUUUCAAUUUCUAAAAUUGCUUCCCUCAGCUCAACUGUGCAAACGUAGGGUCUUACUAGUGUCAUGCUUUGUUCUUUGAAUGAAACCCUAGUUUGCGGAUUACUUUGUUCGUCAAAGUCAAACUAUAUUCUAUGUACGAUUUUGCUGGUGCUACAAUUAUUCCCUAUAGGAGACUGAUUACUGUUGCUUCAUACCUACUGCCCUACAAGACUUGUAGAAAUUGAGAGAAAAAAGAAUUGGUUAACAGAUAUGAUACACAGCUAACAGGGGGCUGCUCCCCUGUUUUUUUUUUUCUUUUUCUAGGAGACUGCUCCCCUAGUUAACAACCAAUAAAAUACAAGAAAACAUUUUGUAAUAAAGAACAUCUGAAUAAUCCCAUUAUAUAGCACCCAAAACUAAUCAAAACAAGUUCUAACUCAUUAGAUUGAUAUAACCUAGUUAAUAGAGGUUGGUUAUGUUGUCAUUGAUGUAUUGCAAGGUUUAAUUUGAAAUGUUCAUGGUGUGUAAAGAAAUAUGUAGAAAGCACGUGCCUGUGGUUGUUUGCAUUCUUUGUAGCCCAAUCCAGUUUGCAAUACUCAGAUUUAAUAGACUAUUUUGCUUAGUUGGUUAAUGAACGACUCUCUUACAUCCUGUUCCCAAAUAUUUUAUGAGGAACUUGUGCUCAUGAUUAUUGUACUUCUAAUUAAAUGUACUAAUAACCCUACUUCUCUUUGCAGGUAUUUUAUGGAGUAUUAUUGCAGUACUUUGCUGUUUUGGCAAAUAAGAAACCAUUGAACGUUGAAUUGAUUAACAUGCUGGUGAAACCAUUGAUAGAGAUGAGUACGGAAAUCCCAUACUUCGCUGCAAUAUGUGCUCGUCGCAGAAUAGAAAUCACUAGAAAGCAAUUUGUUGAGAGUAUAAAAAACGCAGGUCAGAAUGAAAUUAACUUGAAUGCUUUCCGUCUCUGUCUUAACUUUUAUCAAGAACUAUGAAUUGGUAGAUAUUUAAGCAGCAAAUGAUGUAAAAUUCUUCUGCUAUCACAGAAAGUAGCAGUUGGCCUUCUUCAAAGACGAUGUGUCUCUUGCGAUUGUGGUCCAUGGUAUUUCCAUGUUCUGAUUUUAGACAUCCAGUUAUGACUCCUGUGAUACUAUUGAUGUGCGAAUAUCUGAUGCGUUGCCCAAUAACAUCUGGCCGUGAUAUUGCCGUUGGUUCUUUCUUAUGUUCUAUGCUUCUCUCUGUAAGUUACCUUGUGUGGCAAGUUACUUUCUCGUUUUUUACUUUUAAAUUUUUUAUAGGCCAAAUAUCUCCCGCGGUCCUUUAAAUUCGACGUUUAUAACAAAUGUCCUUUAAGUUUUUUGUUACAAAUUGGUCCUUUUAAGUUUUUUCUGUUACAAAUUAGUCCUUCAAGUCGUAUAAUAUUUACACUAUUACCCAUUUUUUCAACCAACUUCGUUAAAUAGUGCUUAUGGAUCAUUUAACAUUAAGGUGGUAGUUCUAAAUGUGCUUUCCUUAUUAAUUACCCAUUUUUUCAACCAACUUCGUUAAAUAGUGCUUAUGGAUCAUUUAACAUUAAGGUGGUAGUUCUAAAUGUGCUUUCCUUAUUAAACAUGAUUACCUACGCACAUUUUAUUCUUCUAGUUUUUGAAUUCAACCCUAAUUUUACAUAUAAAUAUUUCAUCAAUAGUAUUAUAAAUCAAGUGUUUGAUCAAUUUUGUUUCAAAUCAAGACUGUAUAUUACACCUAUGAACCCUAGUGUUGAGAGCGAUGAGUUUGGACAUACCAACUUAAGAUUAAACGUCCACAUGCACACUUUUUAACUGGGUUUGAUGAAAAUAUGAUAAUGGUGCAGAUAUUUUAUGAUUUAAAAGGACCAAUUUGUAACAACAAAAAAACUUAAAGGACUAAUUUAUUAUAAACAUCUAACUUAAAGGACUGCAUAUGGUAUUUGGCCUUUUUUAUGUUUUCACCAUUCACCAAUAAGGAUCUGAUGAAAGCAUGUCUGAUUUCUACCAUGAAAAAGUGGCAUCCUACCAAUUGUUUAUGUAAAUCUAUAAGCUUGAUUUGUUUCUACUAAUGAGUUUAGCCUUUGGUCUCUGCUUUCUAAGAUAUUUUUUUAUUGGGGAUUAAAUCUGCUUUCUAAGAUGUUCACUAUAUAGCCUUUGGCCUAUGUUUUUCAUCGAUGGCAUUUACAUACCUUGCUCACGCAAUGAAUAUAAAACACAGGUAUUUAAAGAGUCACGAAAGUUCUGUCCUGAACCAAUAGUAUUUAUUCAAACUUUGCUGCUAGCAACCACUGAAAGUAAACAUAUAUCAUGCGAAAAUUCUCAGGUAUGAUUUUGUCAUUGAUCAUUUGCAGUUCAAAUCAUAUUUUUGUGUGUGUACGUUCUUGUUUGUGUGCAUGCACAUAUGUUUGUAUUUAUUUAUGUAUGGUGUAUACUAACCUCCUCAUUUGUGUGUUAGCGUCUUCCACACUUAGUUGGAUGAGAUAACACUUUGAUAUUUCAUAGAAAAUCAAAUUCCUCAACACUAGUGCUAAUCACUGUUGUCGAACAAAUUGGUGUUGCUUGGUGAGAAAUGUCAAUCAUUCUACUUGUAUAUUCUACUAACCUAUACUAGUACUAUAAAAAUUAAAAAUAGCCAGUAGAAAAAGAAAAUGCUGUUUACGGAAACAAAUAAUGAGGAAAGGUGCAUGAUCUUUAUGUGGCAAAAAUAUCCUCUUUGAUUUGCUUGCUGAAUUCUCAUUUGUACCUGAUCUCUGCUUAACCUACGUCUCUUAUGGAAAUUUUGCUAAGGAGAAACUAAUUGCUGAAAAAGGGGAGCAGAGGCAGGGUGUGCAAGGUUUAAAUGGGAUAAGAUUUUAGAAUAUUAAAUAGGGUUAUUUUUUUGCAAUUUGGUUUUGAAGAAAUGAUAAAUAUCAAACUAAUUUGGUUUUAUAAACAUAAUAUUAAUGAUAUGGACUUCUGGUCAUAUGAUGAAUUUUAUAAUAAGUUCAUUCUACAAAACUUAUUGACUUUGAAUGAUGUAUCUUUGAAAGUUGAUUCAACUUUUCUUUUGCCAGUGUAUUCUAUAUUGAUUUUUUACACUUCGCUGUAGCCAAGAUCUCACUCGUAAUAUUCAAAAAACUGUUCCAAAUAUACAACCUAAUUAACUUUUACUCCUACAAAUUGUGUUUUCAUUAGAUGGAGUGAUGUCCUUAAAAAAAAGGAUGAAGUGAUGAAUUUUUCAUAAAAACCUCUCUUUGGAUGAAAAACAGUGUAUCCUACCUUUAAUGUUGUUUUGAAAAGUGCAAAUCUGUCUAUGCAUUUCCCUUAAAAUACAGAUAAGAUAUUUCUUUGCCUGUAGUCUGUACCUUAGUUCACAAAUAACUCUUCGCUUUCUUGUGUUUGAGAUUGAUAUGUGUGAAGGUUUGCUCGAGUAAUUCUGUAACCUUAGCUAGUUCCUGGAUGAUAUAUAAUAUCAUGCAUAUGGUGCUGUACUUCAUGAUGGCACCAGAAUGUUAUGGUUGGAUAAUGAGUGACCAUAUUGUUGAGUGACCAGAUUGUUUGUUUCUGUCAGUUAUAUCAUCUUAUGGAACUGAAAGAUCUCAAGCCACUAUUGCGCAUUAAUGAGGAAGUAGACAAGAUUAGCGCUUUGAAUUUCUUUAAGUUAAUAGACAUGCCUGAAGACUCUCCAUUCUUCACUACGGACAGUUUCAGGUAAACCAAUUUAUUACCACUUUUUUUGCAAGAAAAAUGUUACCACCAUGAUAUUUUGUAGUCAAUCUUCGUAUUUGAAUUUUAACAAAGAAAAUAGCAGCGGGGUAUUGUAUUAUCUUGAGUUGUACUAUCAAGAGCCUGCCAUUUAUAUUUGUUAUCAUAGCUAUGAUCUUAUAACUGAUAUGGAUGCAUAUAAUGUUGAGGCUUAUCUUUAGAGCAUUGAUCGNAUUGUUUGAUCGAUCGCUUUGUGGGGUGAAAGAGGGUGAAACUCACUGACAAUGAAUAAAAUUAGGGUUUUAAGAAAAUUUAUAUAAAAGGGCAAUUUUGGUAUUAUAAAAAAAUUUUAAGAAAAUUUGGGUGUAACCAGAAAAACAUGGGGUGUAAAUAGAAAAACUCAAAAUAAAACUCCUUAUUUGUUUGAAAUAAUUUUUUAUUUUUUAUUUUUUAAAUUCUCUAUUUUUCGCCAAUUUUUUUUUUAUCUUUUGUUGAGAAAAACCCAAAUUCUUUCUUCUCUAGGUCGUGCACUUCUUCACCCGCCGCAACAUCCUGUCCACCACCCUCUGCCGCUCAAAACCAAACCCAACAAUGGCGAAAUCAUCAAAACGCAGCAUCGCCAACGGAACCAACACCUCCAACAAGAGCACCAGCAAGAAGAAGAAAAACAACAAGAUGGGUCCCGAAGCAGUAGCCAUGAAAGCAAAAGCUCAAAAAACGAACACCAAUCCAUUCGAGUCAAUCUGGUCACGUAGGAAAUUCGAAGUAAUGGGUCAGAAGCGUAAAGGAGAUACCAAACGAAUGGGGUUGGCUCGUUCUCUUGCUGUUGAGAAGAGGAAGAAGACGUUGCUUAAGGAGUAUGAGCAGAGUACUAAAUCGUCGGAGUUUAUUGAUAGACGAAUCGGUGAGAAUGAUGAAGGGCUUGAUGAUUUUGGUAAAGCUAUUUUGAGAUCGCAGCGGGAACGUCAGGUAACAACUUAUUGCUUAAGUGCUUAUCAUGAUAAGUGCUUAUGUAUAAGCUAUUUAUAUAGAAAAAGAUAAAUAGACUGAUUGGUAAAAAACAGUGAAUAGUGGACAAGUUAGCUAAUUGAAUUUGUAGUGUUUGGUAAAUUUAGCUGUUAGCUUAGGUUGAACUAGCUUAUAAAUAUGAAAUGACAUAGAUACAAAUAUUUAAUCAAUAUUUACUAUUUUUUCAAUUAAGGCUACAAGGGUAAAAGAGAUGAAAAUAGCUAUAAGCUACUUGAAUUAGCUUAUCAAAAAACACAAUAACCUAGUAAAGUUAAGCUAUAAACUCGUGUGUCAUGAUUACAAAACAAGUUUUUUUAGUCAAAUGAGCUUAUAACUUUAUAAGACAUAAGCUAGAAGCUCAAAAAUAUGUCUUGCCAAACAAACCCCGAGAGCCUGUUUGGAUUGGCUUAUUUGAGCCUAUCUACUAGUAAAAAUAGCUGCGAGACUAUGCGAGAGAAUUUAUGAAAACAACUUAUGACAUGUUCAUAAGCAUGUUUUCAGCUUAUUUCAAUAAGUUCUCCAAGAUAAAUUAUGAAAACAGUUAUAUCAUAUAUGAAAACAAAUUGACUUUAUUUUAUCUUGUAUAAUAGAAAUAGCUUAUUGAUAAGUGCAGCACUUAUGCUAUAAGCUUCAAACCAAGCUAUUUAUCCAAACAGGGUCAAAAUGAAGUUAUAUUGUUUUGUAUAAGCUAUAAGUUGUUUUCAUGAGAUAUCUUGGGGAACAGAUGAAAUAAGGUGAAGUUAGCUUAUGAACAAUGUCAUCAGUUGUUUCUAUAUGUUCUCCUAAACAGUCUCACAAAGUUUAUGCCAAUAUAUAAACUCAAAUAAGUAAAUUCAAACGGGUCCUAAAGGGUUUGUUUGAUUGUAUUUUUGUUUUUAGUUUUUAAAAUGACGAGCAUUAUCUGUCAACGUUUUGAGUUUAACGGGGAUGCACUUUCGAUCAAAAUCCAAUGAGAAUUUAUCUUGCGACACAAACCCACUUGUCUGCUUUGCAACCGAAGUUUGAAAAUAAAUACAAAAACUUGAUUCUCAUUGGGCAUUAGUAUAAAACAAGAAAGUAAGAAUUUUUCAGUUUUAAUUUUUUGAAAACUAAAAACUGUCUGAAAAGAGAAUUGAAAUAGUCUUUAAUUUUUGAAUUCUUGUCCUUGAAAAUUUUGUGAAUUAAUGAUUGUUUUAUGGUUGUUGAAAUUGUAGUUGAAUGUGAAAUCGAGUAAGAAAAGCAAGUAUCACUUGUCAGAAGAAGAUGAUGACGAGUUUGAAGGAAUUGAUGGUCUUGGAAGGGAUGACUUUGAAGAUGAGAUGCUUGGGGAAGAUGAUGAUGAAACUGAUGGUACAUAGAAUUCAUAUUAGUUUCUGUUUACCUAGUAUAACAUGUUAAUGGUGUAUUUGCUGAUUGGAACUUGGGUGUUUUGAACUCUAAUUAGCUAUUGCAUGCCUGAUAAUUUGAUAAUUAACUUGGAUGAUUAAUUAGCUAUUGAACUCUGCAUACCAUGUUUAUACUGUUUGUUUUAGCUGUCUUCUAUUUUGCUCUAUCUUGAAGUUUUAUUAGUGUGCCUGUUGUGUUAUUUUUGUGACGUAACGUAUGUUAUGUUGAAUAUUGAUUUUGCUGAUAUUUCAGAUUUGGGUCGGCGUCAUAAUGCUCAUGGUAUGCAGAGUCCAGGGGAAGCUGCUGACAAUGGGGAAAAUGUGAGGCCUGUUAUGCUGUCAAUGAUGGCUCCCUUACUAUUUUCUUAUAUAUCUUUUUCUUCUAUUACUGUGACUAUAGGGAAGCAUUAUGAACCAUGGAUGCUUUCUGUAAUCUACCAGUUAUUUCUGUUUCAGUGACUAUAGGGAAUCUUGUCUUGAUAUCAAUUCCUUUUUAAACUUUUCACAAAUAUCACUUUAUUUAAAAUGCUUUGAAGCUGUUUCUGACUGGUGACUUAUCCUACAGAGACAUAAAACCAAGAAGGAAGUGAUGAACGAAGUUAUUGCAAAAAGCAAGUUUUACAAGGUGUGUGAUAUUUCUUAAAUCAGGGCUCUGUUAGUUUAUUUGUCUUCUACAACUUGUUCACUUUCUUUUCUUUCACUCUAAUAUUUUCCAGGCUGAAAAAGCAAAAGAAAAGGAAAAAGAUGAAGACCUGCUGGAAGAAUUAGAUAAGGACUUCACUUCUCUGGCUCAUUCCGAGGCCUUGUUGGCUCUGACUGAACCACACAAGAUGAAAGCUUUGAAGGCUCUGGUGAACAGUAGUAUUUCAAAUGAAAAAAGUGAUAAAGAUAGCUUGUCUGCUAAACGGACAAUGAAUAAUUCUGUUCAGGUACCAUUAUUUAUCCUCGAGGGUCUUCUUGCCCUGAUAUCUUCUUUUAAUAAGAACAUUCUAUAUUCCAACUUUCUCUUUAUGGCAGGAAAAGCCUGAUGAUUAUGACCAACUUGUCAGACAAAUGGGAUUUGAAAUGCGUGCUCGCCCUUCAGAUAGGCUGAAGACUAAGGAAGAGAUUGAUCAGGAGGAAAGAGAACAUCUAGAGGAGUUGGAGGUAUGAUAACAUGACUUUUAGCUAUAAGUUUGUUAUUAUACAAUUAAUAAAUUACUUUUAGUAUUUUAUCACAUUUUUUAAACAUUAACUGAUCUCCAAUCUUGGUUGUAUAUCCGAGCUUCGUUUUAAGAUGGUUUAGAUCACUUGUUCUGGCCAAACUGUAUAGACUGGGAUGAACCCAAAACUACCUAGCUUAAUGCUGGAUUGAUGUUCAUAUUUUAAUGUAAUAUGUAUAGUGUACUAAUGUUGACAAUGAGUGAGCCUUGGCAAUGCCAUCACUUGUAAGGUUGUUGGCUUGUAACCCUGUGGUUCUUGGUGAUAGUCAUGGAAAUGGGAUCUCUGCACAUGAGUGUAAAAUUGUGGAAAUACUUAUUUGUAACGAGUCAGAUACUUAAUACUUUUAUCCAUAAUUUCAGAAAAAACGGCAGAAGAGAAUGACCGCUGCUGAAGAUUCGAGUGAGGAAGACAAUGAAGAAUCAGAAAAGCCAUCAAAAGAGAAACCAAGAUCUCUCUCUGGUGAUGACCUUGGUGAUUCCUUCUCUGUCGAUGAAGAAACUAUGACUAAAAAGGGUUGGGUUGAUGAGAUUCUUGAGAGAAGAGACGAGGAGGAGGGUUCUUCUAGUGAAGAUGAUGAUGGUGAAGAUAAUGAUGAUUAGGAAAGGUCUGAAGAUUCUGAUGAAGAAUCAGAGGAUGAUCUUGAUGAAAACGAUAAGAAUACUACUUUGAAAGAUUGGGAACAGAGUGAUGAUGAUGAUAUCAGUGCAGGUUCAGAAGAUGAAGAUGAUAUCAGUGUUGGUUCAGAAGACGAAGAUGAGGACGAAGAAAGAGCUGCGGAAGAAGUUGAUAAGGUAAAAGGAUUGAAUGUUGGUAUUCAUAAAAAAGCAAAGAGAAAUGAUUCUGUUGAAAGUGUAAAGGGAAAUAAUGGUUCUUUAGAUACCAAGAAGAUAGUCGUUGGAGGGAAAAUGUCGAAAGAGUUAGAGAUUCCUUAUAUAAUUGAAGCUCCGAAGACCUUUGAAGAAUUAUGUUCACUAGUGGAUAAACGUUCAAAUUCUGACACUAUCUUAAUCAUCAAUCGGAUUCGGAAAAGCAAUCCAAUCACACUUGCUGCAGAAAAUCGAAAGAAAGUACAAGUAAGAAACUUAUCUUUAUAUUAACUAUUUGUUUUGAUUCAAAUCUCCAUGGUGCUUGUAUUCAUGUUUACUGAAUCCACUGACUGUUUUACCCGAGUUUUAACUGUUAUAUUAAACUUUUAUGUGGUAUGUUGGCAAUCAUUGAAAAUUCGAUAUUUCAAUUUCUAAAAUUGCUUCCCUCAGCUCAACUGUGCAAACGUAGGGUCUUACUAGUGUCAUGCUUUGUUCUUUGAAUGAAACCCUAGUUUGCGGAUUACUUUGUUCGUCAAAGUCAAACUAUAUUCUAUGUACGAUUUUGCUGGUGCUACAAUUAUUCCCUAUAGGAGACUGAUUACUGUUGCUUCAUACCUACUGCCCUACAAGACUUGUAGAAAUUGAGAGAAAAAAGAAUUGGUUAACAGAUAUGAUACACAGCUAACAGGGGGCUGCUCCCCUGUUUUUUUUUUUCUUUUUCUAGGAGACUGCUCCCCUAGUUAACAACCAAUAAAAUACAAGAAAACAUUUUGUAAUAAAGAACAUCUGAAUAAUCCCAUUAUAUAGCACCCAAAACUAAUCAAAACAAGUUCUAACUCAUUAGAUUGAUAUAACCUAGUUAAUAGAGGUUGGUUAUGUUGUCAUUGAUGUAUUGCAAGGUUUAAUUUGAAAUGUUCAUGGUGUGUAAAGAAAUAUGUAGAAAGCACGUGCCUGUGGUUGUUUGCAUUCUUUGUAGCCCAAUCCAGUUUGCAAUACUCAGAUUUAAUAGACUAUUUUGCUUAGUUGGUUAAUGAACGACUCUCUUACAUCCUGUUCCCAAAUAUUUUAUGAGGAACUUGUGCUCAUGAUUAUUGUACUUCUAAUUAAAUGUACUAAUAACCCUACUUCUCUUUGCAGGUAUUUUAUGGAGUAUUAUUGCAGUACUUUGCUGUUUUGGCAAAUAAGAAACCAUUGAACGUUGAAUUGAUUAACAUGCUGGUGAAACCAUUGAUAGAGAUGAGUACGGAAAUCCCAUACUUCGCUGCAAUAUGUGCUCGUCGCAGAAUAGAAAUCACUAGAAAGCAAUUUGUUGAGAGUAUAAAAAACGCAGGUCAGAAUGAAAUUAACUUGAAUGCUUUCCGUCUCUGUCUUAACUUUUAUCAAGAACUAUGAAUUGGUAGAUAUUUAAGCAGCAAAUGAUGUAAAAUUCUUCUGCUAUCACAGAAAGUAGCAGUUGGCCUUCUUCAAAGACGAUGUGUCUCUUGCGAUUGUGGUCCAUGGUAUUUCCAUGUUCUGAUUUUAGACAUCCAGUUAUGACUCCUGUGAUACUAUUGAUGUGCGAAUAUCUGAUGCGUUGCCCAAUAACAUCUGGCCGUGAUAUUGCCGUUGGUUCUUUCUUAUGUUCUAUGCUUCUCUCUGUAAGUACCUCGUGUGGCAAGUUACUUUCUCGUUUUAUACUUUUAAAUUUUUUAUAGGCCAAAUAUCUUCUGCGGUCCUUUAAGUUAGACGUUUAUAACAAAUAAGUCCUUUAAGUUUUUUGUUCAAAUUGGUCCUCUAAGUUUUGUUCUGUUACAAAUUAGUUCUUUAAGUCGUAUGAUAUUUACACUGUUACCCAUUUUUUCAACCAACUUUGUUAAACAGUGCUUAUGGAUCAUUUAACAUUAAGGUGGUAGGUCUAAACGUGCUUUCCUUAUUAAACAUGAUUACUUACGCACAUUUUAUUCUUCUAAUUUUUGAAUUGAAGCCUAAUUUUACAUAUAAAUAUUUCAUUAAUAGUAUUAUAAAUCAAGUGUUCGAUCAAUUUCAUUUCAAAUCAAAACUGUAUAUUACACCUAUGAACCCUAGUUGGACAUGCCAACUUAAGAUUAAAUGUCCACAUGCACACUUUUUAACUGGGUUUGAUGAAAAUAUGAUAAUGGUGCAGAUAUUUUAUGACUUAAAAGGACCAAUUUGUAACAAAAAAGCUUAAAGGACUAACUUGUUAUAAACAUCUAACUUAAAGGACUGCAGAUGGUAUUUGGCCCUUUUUUUUUUUUUAUGUUAUCACCAUUCACCAAUAAGGAUCUGAUGAAAGCAUGUCUGAUUUCUACCAUUAAAAAGUGGCAUCCUACCAAUUCUUUAUGUAAAUCUAUAAGCUUGAUUUGUUUCUACUAAUGAAUUUAGCCUCUGGUCUCUGCUUUCUAAGAUCUUUUUUAUUGGUGAUUAAAUCUGCUUUCUAUGCUGUUCACUAAUAGCCUUUGACCUAUGUUUUUCAUUGAUGGCAUUUACAUACCUUGUUCACACAAUGAAUAUAAAACGCAGGUAUUUAAACAGUCACGAAAGUUCUGUCCAGAACCAAUAGUAUUUAUUCAAACUUUGCUGCUAGCAACCACUGAAAGUAAACAUAUAUCAUGCGAAAAUUCUCAGGUAUGAUUUUGUCAUUGAUCAUUUGCAGUUGAAAUCCUAUGUGUGUACGUUCUUGUUUGUUUCCAUGCUCAUAUGUUUGUAUUUAUUUAUGUAUGGUGAAUACUAACCUCCUCAUCUUGUGUGUUAGCGUCUUCCAAACUUAGUUGGAUGAGAUGACACAUGUUUCAUAGAAAACCAAAUUCCUUAACACUAGUGCUAAUCAUUGUUGUCGAACAAACUGGUGCUGCUUGGUGAGAAAUGUCAAUCAUUUUCUUGUAUAUUCUACUGGCACCCCUUUUAUCUUUUUCGUUAGUGUUGUCAUGUGUACUAACCUAUACUAUGUAUACUAUAAAAAUUAAAAAUAGCCAGUAGAAAAAGAAAAUGCUGUUUACGGAAGCAAAUAAUGAGGAAAGGUGCAUUGUCUUAUUGUGGGAAAAAUAUCCUCUUUGAUUUGCUUGCUGAAUUCUCUCAUUUGUACCUUACUACCUAAUCUCUGCUUAACCUACGUCUCUAAUGGAAAUUUUGCUAAGGAGAAACUAAUUACUGAAAAAGGGGAGCAGAGCCAGGCUGUGCAAGGUUUAAAUGGGAUAAGAUUUUAGAAUAUUAAAUCGGGUUAGUUUUUUUUUUUUUUUUUUUUUGAAGAAAUAAUCGGGUUAGUUUUUUUUUUUUUUUUAAGAAACAAUCGGGUUAGUUUUUGGGAAUUUGGUUUUGAAGAAAUGAUGAAUAUCAAACUAAUUUGGUUUUAUAAACAUAAUAUUAAUGAUAUGGACUUCUGGUCAUAUGAUGAAUUUUAUAAUAAGUUCAUUCUACAAAAUUUAUUGACUAUUGAAUGAUGUAUCUUUGAUAAGUUGAUUCAACUUUUCUUGUGACAGUGUAUUCUAUAUUGAUUUUUUACGCUUCGCUGUAGCCAAGACCUCGCACUUAAUAUUAAAAAAACUGUUCCAAAUAUACAACCUAAUUAACUUUUACCCCAACAAAUUGUGUUUCAUUACAUGAAGUGAUGUCCGAAAAAAAAAAAAGAGGAUGAAGGGAUGAAUGUUUCAUAAAACCUUUCAUUGGAUGAAAAACAGUGUAUCCUACCUUUAAUGUUGUUUUGAAACGUGCAAGUCUGUCUAUGUGUUUCCCUUAAAAUACAGAUAAGAUAUUUCUUUGCUUGUAGUCUGUACCUUUAAGUUCACAAAAAACUCUUCGCUUUCUUGUAUUUGAGGUUUGCUCGAGUAAUUCUGUAACCUUAGCUGGUUCCUGCAUGAUAUUAUAUAUCAUGCAUAUGUUGCUGUACUUCAUGAUGGCACCAGAAUGUUAUGGUUGGAUAAUGAGUGACCAUAUUGUUUGUUUUCUGCCAGUUAUAUCAUCUUAUGGAACUGAAAGAUCUCAAGCCACUAUUGCGCAUUAAUGAGGAAGUAGACAAGAUUAGCACUUUGAAUUUCUUUAAGUUAAUAAACAUGCCUGAAGACUCUCCAUUCUUCACUACUGACAGUUUCAGGUAAACCAAUUUAUUACCACCUUUUUUGCAAGAAAAAUGUUACUACCAUGAUAUUUUGUAGUCAAUCUUCGUAUUUGAAUUUGAACAAAGAAAAUAGCAGCGGGGUAUUGUUUUAUCUUGAUUUGUACUGUCAAGAGCCUGCCAUUUAUAUUUGUUAUCAUAGCUAUGAUCUUAUAACUGAUAUGGAUGCAGCGAAUGUUGAGGCUUAUCUUUAGAGCAUUGAUCGAUGAAAUGUUUUUCAAAUACUGUGGUUUCAUAUAUCUAUUCUAAUUAUGAUUUUUCGAUUACAGGGCAAGUGUAUUAGUUACCGCUGUCGAAACCCUACAAGGAUAUAUCAAUGCCUAUGAUAACUUGAGUUCGUUUCCAGAAAUAUUUUUACCAAUUUUGAGAUUACUACUUGAGAUAGCAGAACAGAAAAAUAUGCCAAAUGCAUUACGGGAUAAAAUUAAAGAUGUGGCUGAGCUGAUUAAGUUGAAAGUGGAUGAACAUCAUACUUUGAGGCGACCACUUCAAAUGCGGAAACAAAAGCAAGUUCCAAUCAAAUUACUGAAUCCUAAGUUUGAGGAAAAGUAAGUUCUUCUGUUUUCCAUGUUUCAAUUUGGUAAUAUUUUUCUUAGCCAAUCAGAUCAGAUAGGGUACUUGAAUUAAGCACUUAAUGACAUUUUUUUUCUCUCUUGAUGCAGCUACGUUAAGGGUAGAGAUUAUGAUCCAGACCGUGUGCGAGCUGAAAGAAAAAAAUUGAAGAGAGAGGUAAGGCGUGAAGCUAAAGGGGCUGCUCGUGAAAUACGUAAAGACAACUACUUCUUGCUUGAUGUGAAGGAAAAAGAAAGGUCUUUAAUGGAGAAAACAAGAGCUGAGAAGUAUGGAAGGACUAAAGCUUUCCUUCAAGAGCAAGAACAUGCUUUCAAAUCUGGACAACUAGGAAAAGGGAAGAAGAGAAGUAGAUAAAUUGAUAUGAAUUUAUGUUAAAAUUUGUCGGGGCUUUUCUUGCUAUUGUAAUAUUAAUCAAUUUUGUGCAAUCGUUUUUUGAAUACUAAUGUCGGUUAAAGAGACUAGGACAUAGGUUUUUCUAUCCCCACAUAUUAUUUUGAGUAAAACACAAAAUGGUCCAUGACUUUGUAAGUGACUAUCAAUUUAGUCCUUGAGAGAAAAAUGAACAUUUCAGUUUAGUUGUCGGCUAUGUAAAAUGUUUCUCAAAUUCAUCCAACUAUGAAUGUCUGUUUCUAAAUAGCAUGGAUGUUGAUAUGUCUGCUAAGUAAAAUGUUGGCAUCCAAAAGGAUCUCCGACUUUGUAGGAUGCUCUUAAUUUGAUUAGAGAGUGGAUAUUUCAAUUUAAUUUCCUACUUAGUAGAAAAUUUCUCAAAUUCAUUCAUAUGCCAACGUUCGUUAUUGAACGUCGUGGAUGGUGAUGAUGUAACCGUCAAGUGUACCGUUGGUAGUAGACAUAGUCGUAGAGAAGAACAAAUAUGUGCUGUAACCUUUCCUUGUAUUUUCUUCUUUCUCCCGACACUUCAUCUUUUUCUCUGCAAUGUCAAGUCCUUUCCAUCAUCACCACUGCCAUUCAUGGCGGAACUUUCUUUUAUUUGCUUUCGAAAGUAUAAUUUGCUGGACAACUUUAGAAGAAGAAUUUAUCGUGGUCUUAUCCCAGGUUUCAUUUUAGUUCAUUUGCUAAUUUCUGUCACUAAAUCGCAUGUUUUUAGUGGUGAAAUGGCUUAGCCAUGUUUUUAUAUAAAAAAUUCUAAAUAAAAGAUUAAUCAAGCAAAAUUAAGAAAUAUAUAUAUAUAUAUAUAUAUUAGUUGGAUCUCUCCCGUUGUUUGAUAGCUAAGAAAGGUCACCAUAGGCGUAGCUAGGUUGUAUUAUAUAUAUGGUUGGUUGUUAAGACAUGACAUCUAAAUAAAUCAAUACACACUCCUAUUCAGUGAGAAGAUAUAGUAUAGUAUACACGUGACACCAUUUAACAAACCUUAUGUGUUUUUUUUUUUUUCGUAUUCAGCAAAAUGGUAAUGCAAUUUCUGAUAGUGUGAACAAGUCAAUAAGUACAGUACUAGCAAUAUCUAGUGGAAAACAUUAGACAAAGAUGAGUGCUAUUAGGCCAAACCUCAACCCAACCCUAGUGGGACGUUGUCUAAUCUAUACUAAGUUUUAAAAUAUUUUUAUAAAGUUAUUUAAUUGAAUGACUAUGCAAAACUGUUUUUAUUUUUUAUACCAUAUCAUCAUUUAUUUGAACAUUUCACAUAAAUUAAAAAGAGAUUAAAAUAUUUUUGGUAGACUAGUUUAGUUUCCAUAAAUUAAAAAGAGAUUAAAAUAUUUUUGGUAGGUUAAUUUAGUUUCUUAAAAAAGAGUGAGAAUAAAAUAAAAUAUAUAAAUAUCUCGUUUGUGUGAUAAAAAAUUACGUGAACAAUUGAUAUAUUACGAUUUAUAAUGUGAGUUUGAAUCUGUAAUGCCUAUCUUCUUUAAUUUAAUGUGUGUGAGUUUUUGCAGCUAACUCUUUAAAAUUAAAAAACAUUAUAUAUUGAAAGUGAAAUAUGUCACUGAUAAUUGUGUGACAAAUCUAAAUGAAAGUUGUUUAAUAUGUCAUUGAUAAUUGUGAGACAAAUCUAAAUGAAAGUUGUUUGUUUUUUUUAAAAUUUAUAGCUUGGUUGAUUUUUUUAUUUAUUUUUUUAUAAUUUUUAUUAGCAAUCAUAUAUGUAUCCUUUUUUUUUUUUUUGUUACAUUCAUAGAUAUCCUCUGCGCUCAUUUUCGAAGACUAAUCUUUUUAAAAUAACUAAAAUCUAUUUAAGAGGUUGACAUCUCUCAACAUAUGUGUUUUUUCAUAUGCAUCAAUCAAAAAUUGAAUUCUAUAUCAAAUAAUUAAAGGAACAUAUUUUGUUGAUGAAAUUUUAUUUGUUACUACCUUGGCCUCAAUAGUUUUUAUUUCUUUUAACAGGAAGUAUGCAAUUUUAGCUUUUCACAAAAUAUUUCUUAUUAGAUUGAAAGAAUUUAAGAGUUAAGACCAAUCACUUCUAUUAAUAUUGAAGAAUAAUUUUGGAAGGAAAAUUCACAUCAUUAUAUCAACAAAUUUAAUGCAAAAUGUACUUAUCUUAAAUUUACAUUUUUUUUGGUAGAUAGACGAAAUGACAAAACUAUUAUAAAACUCACACACACAAGUGGAGGUACCGGAGUUCGAACCCCGAUCAUAACAUCCGACCUAACAAUUUCGGCAUUUUGCCAGUUGAGCUACGACUUCUAGAUUCUUAAAUUUACAUUUUAUUAUUGAUUAAAUGAGUCUUACAUAAGAUAGUAAUAAAUUUUCAUGUGAUUAAUCAAAAUUUCAAAACCAAAUUAUGACAAGGUAGAUUCAUUAUACUCACUUUCACAUAAAAAAGCAUGGUGGUAGGGACAAAAGAAAAAGACCACCUUAAAUUAACAACCUCAACAAUGUGACAACAUGACACACACAUACUUUCCUCUUUUUCAUCAUUUCUCAAAAUAGCAUUUCAUAAACAAACAAACACACACUUAGAUCCGAUAAUACCUUCUCUCUCUUCUUCUUCACACUCCAAAUCUCACUUCUCUCUCUUCACACAUUUUUAUCCCAACCCAGUAACUUCUUCAUUUCUCUUUCAUUCUUAUUUUUCAUAAAGUUUCUAUCUUUUCUUUGAUCUGGUACAUUUCACUAUCUGGGUCUGUUUCAUUUUCAUUCUGUCGGUGCUUAUGAAAAAACCUUCAUUUUCAUGUUUUUUCAGUUUGAUUUUGUUUCAUUGAAUUGUUGGUGAUUCUAACUUGUUUUAUUAGAUGCUAAUAAUGUAGUUUAUUUAUUACUAUCUUUGUGGCUAAUUAUUAUCAUUAAUAUCAUCAGAUUUCAAUUUAUAGAAUUAGAUUUUGUAUCAUUUUCAUUGGAUCCAAUUCCAUCAUUUUCAGUGGAUUGAAUGAAUGUCAAUUUUCUUGAUGGUUUGAUUGUUACUCUCAUUAUUAUUUUGUGGAUUGAGUUUUGAAUUUUCAUUGGAUUUGAUUAAAUAGCAUAGAUCACAUUUUUUAGUGACCUUAGUAGUUCUUGGAUUGAUGUAAAUUGUUGUACUUGGACAUUUGUUUCUUUAUUGACUAAUGUACACUUUGACUUUGAUUAUGUGAGCCGUUGAUCAAGCUUUGCUAUGCAUUUUCGUUAAUGUAUCAUCAAACUUUGUUACACUAGAAAAGUAAAAAGUUUUAAGUUGGUUUUUAUAUUUGGAUAUGUUAUUCAUUGUAAUUCUUUUUGUGCUUAAAUUUUAUGAAUUGUCGGUGUGAUUUUUUUUUUUACACUGUCAAUAAAUCAGAAUCAAUCGUAUUUGUGACUUUAGAAGUAGUUAUGAUUAAACUUUAAAUGUUACUUUAAAGAUCUGAUGGUUAUGAUUGAUUGACAAUGUAAAAAAUCUUUACGAGAUGAUAUAUAUAAAUUGAAUCCAUUAUCUUUUAUCGCUAUGAUUUGUUCAAAAGGACAAAAUAUUAAAGGAUUUAUGUGAUUGUUUUUCUGAGUGCUGACUACUGUCCCCUUGUUUGCAGGUUAGCCUUUGUAUCGGUGUGAGUCAAUAUCUUACACACUUUAGGAAGAAUCUGGAUCGUGAUAUUAAAUUUUAAAAUAUUGUGGUUGCUAGUUCAGGUUGUGUUUUGGAUGGUGAAUUUGGUGCUUCAUGUGUAUUGAAACAAAGAUCAAUGCUGUGAUCAGUUGUAUUUCAUAACUGAGCAGUGAAAAUUAUAUUUCGAUUCGUCUUACUUUCAACAUAUAAAUGUCGAGGGGCAGAUCUGAUGGAUCGCAAAAGAAGCGUUUAGUUGCUUCCGUUUGUGGUGUGGCGCUUUUUCUCGGUUUUCUAUACGUGUUCCAAGGAUCCAUCUUUGGUGGUCAAAAUAGUGGUUCAUCUACAGCUGAAUAUGGAAAGUCAUUGAAAAGACUCGGGGCAUCGUAUUUGGGUGCAGAUGAAGAUGCAGAUAACAAGCAACAAGAUGAAUCUUCGAGUUUAGUGCAGGGGGAUACGUUGGCUGAUGAUAUUGUACCGAAGAGUUUCCCUGUAAGAUUUUGUGCUAGCUUGAACUUUGUUUUGAUUCUAUGUCUGCACCUUAUGCCUCUUGUAUUAUAUUUGCUGAGAAUUUAAUUGAGAGCCACACCAAAACAAUGGUAGCAAAAAGUCAAAAGUCUAUUAUUAUUUAUCAUCAAUUUUAUCUCUUAUAGAACACAAUUUAAAGAGUUUCCCUGAAUAUCAUUAGCAAAUAUUAAAAUCUUAUCUAUAUAUCAGUUGUUUUAAUUUCGUAAAUUGCAGUUUAUAGAAGAAUUCUUAAUAUAUCAAUAUUUUGAUAAAUAUAAAUAUAUGUAACUGCAUGCUUUGUUGAAUUACUACUAAUAAGUAAUACAUGUUCAUCAGAUAAGAGAAACACGAGCAUAAUGAAUGUCGAGCAACCGAUUCUUAAUUGCAUAAUUAAAUAAAGUUUAUAUGUUCAUGCAUAAGUAAGGGAUGACAGCAUCGCCAAGGUUGUAAUCGUCAUUCUAAGCCUGGCUUUGCAAUCUAAUGGAAUAUGAAAUGCUUUCUGUUUUUGAAGGUUUGUGAUGACCGUCAUUCAGAGUUGAUUCCGUGUUUAGACAGACAUCUUAUCUAUCAAAUGAGACUGAAGCUGGAUCUUUCUGUGAUGGAACACUACGAGAGACAUUGCCCUCCUGCAGAAAGGCGGUACAAUUGCUUGAUUCCUCCUCCCCCAGGAUACAAGGUGAAACAUAUGCCGAGACUAGAUGUUAAUAUUAAACUAUAACAUAUCCUAUCGAAUAUCAUUUUUAUUUUGUUGUUUCUUCGGUGUUUCAGGUCCCUAUUAAGUGGCCACAGAGCAGGGAGGAGGUAUGGAAAGUAAAUAUACCACAUACUCACCUUGCAAAAGAGAAGUCCGACCAGAACUGGAUGGUUGUGAAAGGUGAAAAGAUAUUUUUCCCUGGAGGAGGGACUCAUUUUCACCACGGAGCUGAUAAGUACAUUGCAGCAAUCGAAAAUGUAAGGCUUACGUCAUACCGCCGCAAUGCAAAGCAGCAGAAUGAAAUCCUACAAAUGUUGCAUCUCUCUCUCAAUUGAUUGUAGUGUUAUCAAACUUUGUGUUUUUGCAAAUAUCUAUUAGUGUCAUGCAAUAUUCAUUCUAAUGUUGUUAAAUAGCGGGAUUAUUACGUAGUAGAAUUUGAACAAAUCGUUCUUGUUAUGUGAUACACUAUUUAGGACAAAAUGUUGUCAAAUAGCAUCUAUAAUGGUGCUAGCACUGUUGCUUAACGGAAUUUGAACAAACCACUAUUUUUUCCGUGAUCCAUGAUUGACAACACCGGUUCAUUCAUUUUAUGCAUGGAGAAGAGAUGACACAUAUACAUUCAUACUUUUUACUCCAGUUAAUAGGCUUUUCAGUACCAUGGUAGACAAUGUAGGUUGUUUGAUGGAUUUAUUAUUUAUAUAUGCUUCGAUUUCAUGGAUAAGUCGGUGUCUCAUAGUUAGUUUGAUUUGUUAUUUCCAGAUGCUCAACUUUACCGACAAUAAUCUUAACAAUGAAGGAAGGCUGCGAACUGUUCUUGAUGUUGGCUGUGGUGUUGCAAGUUUUGGGGCGUAUCUUCUGGCAUCUGAUAUCAUUGCAAUGUCCUUGGCACCCAAUGAUGUGCAUCAAAAUCAAAUUCAAUUUGCUUUAGAAAGAGGAAUUCCUGCAUAUCUUGGUGUCUUGGGAACCAAGAGACUCCCUUACCCAAGUAGAUCUUUUGAACUUGCACAUUGUUCUCGUUGCCGAAUUGAUUGGCUUCAAAGAGAUGGAAUACUACUCCUUGAGCUAGACCGUGUUCUUAGGCCGGGAGGUUAUUUUGCAUACUCGUCUCCAGAAGCAUAUGCUCAGGACGAAGAGGAUUUAAGGAUAUGGAGAGAAAUGAGUGCUCUUGUCGGACGCAUGUGUUGGAGAAUUGCUUCAAAGAGAGACCAAACUGUCAUCUGGCAGAAACCUCUCACGAAUGAUUGCUAUAUGGAAAGAGAACCCGGUACUCGUCCUCCUCUUUGCCAGUCUGAUGAGGACCCAGAUGCAGUUUGGGGAGUGAAUAUGGAAGUUUGCAUAACACCUUACUCUGACCGUGAGUACUUUUUCUCAUGAUUUUUUUUUAUUCCUAUGCCUUCAAGUUUUCUUACUACAAUCUAAUUUGAACAAAUUGUUAUUGUUCCGCCAUACGCUAUUUAGUACAAAGUGUUGUCAAAAUAGUAGCUAUGGUGUGUUAUUGUUUGAAAUACUUCAAUGUUUUUUCAUCUUAUGCUGUCUGUAGAAGUUGGACAACUGCUUUUUCUGCAUGUAAACUGUAUUCAAAGCACCUAAACACUGUUUUUUAUCAGAUGACAACAGAGCACAGGGUAGUGAAUUAGCUCCAUGGCCUUCAAGGUUGACCAGUCCUCCUCCUAGAUUAGCUGACCUCGGCCUUUCAAGUGAAGUCUUCGAAAAGGACACGGUAACUGGAAUUUGUAAUUGAUCCUUUUGUGACUGUUUUAAUUAAGUUUCUUUUCCAUUAUUGAAUACUGCCUCCAUUUCUUUUAAAUUGUCAUUUUGAAGGUUUACACAUACCAAGGAAAUGAAUAAACUUUGUUACUUUUGAUGAAGUCGUUUGUCUUUUUUCUAUAAUAACCUUAACUAUUCAUUAUCUCAUUCUACUUAUUUCUCUCGCUGCGAUAAAUAGUUAAGGGUAUUUAUUGACAAAAACAAUAGUUACAGUUGUGAUGAGCUAUGAUAACGAGAAAUAAAUAGGAACACAGUUCUUUCACAAAACGAAAGUUAAAAAGGAAUAGAUGGAGUAAUAAUGAAGAUACAUGAUAAAUAAACUACAUGCUUAACUUUUGUUGUAUGUUACAGGAACUUUGGCAAAAAAGAGUUGAGAAUUACUGGAAUCUCAUGGGUCCAAAAAUCUCAUCGAACACUGUGAGGAACGUGAUGGAUAUGAAAGCAAACCUGGGUUCAUUUGCAGCUGCUCUUAAAGACAAAGAUGUUUGGGUGAUGAAUGUUGUACCGCCUUAUGGACCAAGCACCCUUAGAAUUGUAUUCGACAGAGGACUCAUAGGGACUACUCAUGACUGGUAUUAAACCUUGAUUUCCUGAAACUAAUUUAUUGCAUCUUCGAUAUGUCACUAUGAAUUUGAUAUGUUUCACCCUUUUACUCUAGUUGUGGAGUUCCACGUUGUACAUGAAGGCCUUGUUCUAUAUUAUUUUUCUGAUAAGUCCCUUAAAUUUUUUUUUAUCCUAAUUAUAGUUUAGUUAGUAUUAAAUAUUAUUUUUGUAACAUGGUGUCGGGAGAGUUGCUAACAUGACUCUAACUGAAAAAAAAAUUUGAGUUUGAUUCCUAUAGUCGCCAAUUUGGGAGGCAGCCAAAUCCUGUUUGAAAAAACCUAAUGUCCCACUUUAAAUUCAAGGAUUAGUUCCAUAGUGGGCCCAAAGGGCAUAAGCCAUGGGGAUACCUUGGGACACUUAGUGGGGGUCAAAGAUCCUAAUUAGUUAUGGUGGGUUACUUUCGAUGUUGGAACCUUUUGUUUAUCCUUUUGUUGGUAGUUCCACCCCGUAGCUUACAAAAUCUGAAUUGUAAUGUGAUAAUUGGUUACACUGAUACUCGAGAUGGACCAUCUUUUCUGACGCAUGGAGAAUAUAUUUGAACAGGUGUGAAGCAUUUUCAACAUACCCCCGAACAUAUGAUUUACUCCAUGCGUGGACCGUCUUUUCUGACGUACAAGCGAAAGAGUGCAGUCAAGAAGAUUUAAUACUCGAGAUGGACCGUUUGGUUAGGCCUACCGGUUUCAUAAUCAUCAGGGAUAAACAAUCUGUGAUUGAUUUUGUUAAGAAGUACCUAACAGCAUUGCAUUGGGAAGAAGUAGCAACUGCAGAUUCCAGUUCUGACUCUGACCAAGAUGGCAAUGAAAUUAUUUUUGUUAUCCAGAAGAAAUUGUGGCUCACUACUGAAAGCCUUAGGGAUGCAGCAGAAUAGGAGAAAAUCACAACUACAUGGUUUAUUUUUAUUUAAUUUUUUUUUUCUUUUCAUUUUCUCUUUAAUAUAUUCUCUGCUGUUACAAGGAAUUAACAGCAUUACAUGGCCAUUAGUUCUGGAAGCAGUAUAGCUACAACUACAUUUUGUAGCAUUACAUAAUGUUCUUUACAUUGUUAAAUUUCCUUCUUUUGGUUCUCAUUUCAUUUUCAUUCUUAUGGUCAUAAUGCAGGUUAUUUAUUAAGCCUUAGGCCUAAUGUUUCCAUUGGAUAUUCAUUAUUCUGCCCUUAAAUUUUGGUAUAAUGUAAGCUACUUUAAUAAUCAACACAUAGUAGAUUGUCUUUGUGGUGAAAAAGCUAGGAUUUAUCAUUAUUAUGUAAUAUUUAUACAUGGAUUUUAUUCUGCUUGGAUUGAGAUAAGAUAUGUGUAUCUAUGCAUUUAAAGAAUGUAUCUUAAGAUAUAAUAUACAUACAUUUCUUUUGCUUGGAUUGGACUUUGUCAUUAAUAUGCAUCCAUUUCAAAAAUUAUAAGAAUUAAUAAAUUAAAACUCUUCUUCAAAAAAAUAAAUUAAAACUCAUUAACUCUCUUGGGUUGGUCUGGUGGUGUUAGCUUGAGACCUUGGAGUUUGUCCCUCUUAUCCAAGAUCUCAGGUUUGAUUUCCUACGGUACCAAUUUGGGUGGUCGACUUUAGAUUUUUAAAAUAUAAUAAUAAUAAAACUCAUUUGAUAUUCUUAUCUUCAAUCAAUCUUUUUUUAUUUUUUUAGGGAAGGAAUCAAAUUUUUCUAUUUUUUAAUAAAAAAUUUUGUUCCUUCAAAAAAAAAAAAAGUUUUGUUAAAAUAAAAAAGCUUUGUACAAUUUUAACAUAACUUUUUUUUUUUGACAUGAGGAAAAUAACAGUACUACUCCCUCCGUCCCAAAUUAUAAGUAAAAAAAAAAAUCACAUUUAUUAAGAAAACUAAAACAUAAGAAUUUGGAGUAUAAUUUUUUGUGUUUUCUUUGAAAAAAGUUUUAUAGGAAGAUGUAAAAACAAUUUUCAUUGGCUAUUGGUUAUGGAAAAAAUUAAAGAGAGAGAAAAUUGAAUGUAAUUUGCAUUUAAUUUUAUGAGAAUAAACAAAAGUUUUUCUUGGAAAAAAGAUUUUUUAAAAAAACAAGAUUAAAUAAGAUAAAAAUUUGUCUUUUUUGCUUAUAUUUUGGGACAAAGAAAAUGAGUUUUUUUUGCUUAUAUUAUGGGACGGAGGGAGUAUAAUUUAUUUUGUUUAACUCAUUUUCCUUAUUUAUUUAUUUUGACUCAUAAAUUACCUUUUUUGAGUCAUAACUUUUUUUUAUUCGACUCAUAUAAUUUAUAUUUUUGGCUCAUAAUUUAUUUUAUUUGACUCUUAUGUAACUGUUUGACUCAUAAUUUAUUUUAUAACUCAAAUAAUUUUAUUUUGACUCAUAAUUUGGUUUUUUUAAGGACAUAAUUUAGUUUAUUUGACUCAUAACUUUUUGAAUCAUAUAUUUUUGUUGACUCAUUUUUUGAACUAAUAAUUUAUUUAUUUUCUCGAAACAAAAAAGUGUGUAUUCAAUAUUUGUUAAGGUUCAAACUUAAGCUUCUCCAAUUUUCUUAAGGUACACGUAACAACAAAACUUCCUUCCACAUGAAUCACCCUCCAUUUCCAUCACGACAACGACGUCAACACAAAAUGAUUUCAUUUAUUUUGGAAGAAUUUAUCACUGACACUCUUUCGUUCCUUCCCGUGAAAUCUCUCUUACGAUUUAGGUGUGUACAUAAGUCAUGGAACUCCCUCAUUUCUGAUCCCAACUUCAUCAAAUUGCACCUUAAUCGAUCUUCACAAACUAGAGAUUUCACUCUUGUAUAUACCUCAGAUUGUUGUGCUUUAACCUUCACAGUUUUUCGUUUGCUCGAAAACCCUCCAAUCAUUUUUAAUCUUCCCAAAGAUCCUUAUUAUCAAUUUAAAGACAAGGAUUGUGUCUAUAUUGUUGGUUCUUGCAAUGGAUUGCUUUGCUUGCUCGGCCAUUCUUACACCAAUGGAUAUAGAGAGAUGUGGUUUCGUUGCUGGAACCCGGCAACGAGGACAAUAUCAGGAAAAUUAGGGUAUGGUUGUGACAAAAACGGAGACAUAGGUUUCCCUUUCAACUUUCCUACUAAUUUGACAUUUGGUUAUGACAAUUCAACUGACACAUAUAAGGUUGUGUAUUUCGAUCCUAGUGGAACAAAGGUAAGAGUUUUUAGUUUGAGAGAGAAUGUUUGGAGAAACAUUCAAGAUUCCCCUACGGGUACUCGUGAUUACGCCAUGAAUGUUGUGCAUCUUAGUGGCAAUGUUGAUUGGUUGACAAUUCGCAAUCAUUUCACUCGAUAUGAUUGCGAAGAUAUUUCUAUUGAACAUUUUGUGAUUGUUUCACUUGAUUUGGGCACUGAGACACAUACUCAGUUGGCACCUCCUAAAGGUUUCAAUGAAGUUCCAUAUGUUAAACCAAAUCUAAGUGUGUUAAAUAAUUGUCUUUGUUUUUCUCAUGACUUCAAACAAACACAUAUGGUUAUAUGGAAAAUGAAGAAAUUUGGAGCUGAAGAAUCUUGGACUCAAUUCUUUAAAGUUAAUUAUUAUAAUCUUCAAAUAUAUGAUCACUUUAAUGACUUGAAGUUUGUGUUGAUGCCAUUAUGCCUUUCGGAGAAGAGUGAUACAGUAGUAUUGAUAAGCAAUCUUGAAAGCAAAACUAUUCUUUAUAACUGGAGAUAUAACAAAGUACAGAGAAUCGAUAAACUUUGUUGGUUCAAUGACAAGGGUUACGUUGAAAGCUUGGUUUCAUAUUGUUGAAAGUAAGUUUCUCUACAACGAUUUACUUGUGUGAUAAUUUAUUAUCGUUGAAAGCUUGCACUAUUAAAUUUAGGGUUAAUGGUGCUUUACCCCCCUGUAAUAUAGGUCAUAUUUGGUUUUCUCCCCUGUAAAAUAUUUUUUUACCCCCUUUUUUCGUUUUUUUAUGACCUAUUAGGGAGGUAUUCCAAAAAAAAAAAAAUUUACAGGGAGGUAAAUCAAAAAAAAUAUUUUACAGGGGGGAAAACCAAAAAUGACCUAUAUUACAGGGGGGUAAAGCACCAUUAACCCUUAAAUUUAUUAUCUCUCAUAAUUUCAAGUUUUUAACAUUUAGAUUUUCUAAGUAUUUAAUUUUUUUAAAGGUUGGGAUUUAACUGGACCCUCCAGUCACCGGAGAUGAUCCAUUCCUGUAAUUUUGAUCCACUAUACUAUGAUAAAUUGUAAUUUUUGUCCUCCUAUUUCUAAUUAUUUUGGUCCCCCAUUUUUAAAAUUUUGACCAUCCAAUUUGAUGACAGGACACUAUAUUAUAUGACCUACAUGAAAACGAAAGACUUCAUUUGUGAGUUUUAAAAAAUAUGAUGUUAAAUUGAGUCCUGAAAAAACAUACAUAGAAAAUGAAAGAUCAAUUAAAAUUGCAAUUAAAAAUAAGGGGACUAAAAUUGCGGUUUUGAGGAAGUAAGGGGAACAAAAACUAGAUUUAAGUCUAUUCAGGGGCGAUUGGCUUCACUGUCAUGGGGUAGCCAAUGCUACCCCAAAAGAAGAAAAAAAACUUGAAUAAUUGGUAUAUGUUUAUAUGUAGCUACCUCAUUAAUAUAUUAUUUGGUUACUCCAAUCAAUUUUGUUGGUUUAAAGGGAGAAGAUAUUGCACAAAUAUUCAUAAUAUAUUUAGUUUAGUGUCAAUUAUGGAUACAUUUAAGUUCUUACAACUCCAUAAAGCUCAACAUUUAUAAAUAACUAUGGUUUAACUUUUAUUUUCUUCGUUGUCGUUUCAUUAAAUAUAAGUAAAAAUUAUUGUAAAUUUAUUUUACUUAUUGAUUAAGUUUAAUGUAUUAGUUUUUAAAAUAUAUUUUAUUUCUUCUUUAUAUUUGGCCCCCUCGUAAAAAUUGUGCGAGCUUUGCCGCUGAGUCUAUUUAUUAUAAGUUAGAAGCUGUAUUUUUUUAAGUAAAUCUCCCAAAAAGAAAUUCCUUAUAUCUAGAACAAUCUUUGCUGGGUUUGUCUUUGACAACAGUUUAAACAAAAAUUAAGCAUGACAUAAUCCUCAACAUGGGAGCAUAAUACAUUAUUAAAUUUGAAAUGCAAGGUGAAAGGGGAAAACUUUUUAAUCAGCAUUUUUUUUUUGAGGGAUCUAUUUAAUCAGCAUGUGAUACAUAUUAAUAGACUUGGACAUAUUUAUUAUAACUAUAGAUCUAUAUACAAGAAAACGAAAAUAAAAAUCUUGUACCAAUUUCAAUUACUCCAAAAUUUUGUUGCAGAUAGUAUGCACAUUUAGAGUUUGGUUAUCUAUCCAUAUUGAUUAUUAUUAUUUUUUUGCUAAUUUUCUACAAUUGAUUAUGAUAUUUCUAUAGAAUCUAAUCUUUAAUAACAUAAUCCUCAUAUUACAUGUGAUUGUAGGCUUCAAGUUCAAAGUUGAUCGUGGCAGCAUGGUUGAAAGUUGUUGCAGCACACUUCAACGUUGAUCAGCUCCUCAAAAAGCACAGAUUAAUGAACAUUUGUUCUCUUCAUUUUGUAUUAUUUAUGCCUAAAUAGAAGGUUAUUUGGUUUCAAUUCAGUUUUCUUAAACUUGUUUUUAAUUCAUCUUGGAUUUAUGCUUUAUAUGGAGACAAGACAACUUAGCAUCUAUUUAAUUAUAUGCUGCAUAAAGCAUUAAAAUAUACCAUUUUGUUUCCACAAUUGUGUUGUUGUUAAUUAAUAGUUUGGUAACACGCAUGGCUAUGGCUGCCUGGUGGUGUAGGCUUGAGACAUUAGAUUGUAUUCCUCUUAAGGUCUUAAGUUUGAAUACUUCCAGUGACAAUUUUUGUGGGCUAGUCCAUGCACAUGAACUUUGCUCUGGCUUUAAACGAAACUUCUACAAGUGGAUAGUGAAAUUAAUCUUUUCGAUUAAUCGGUCCUUAAGUUGGAUAUCGAGUUAAAAAAAAGUUACAGGUAGGUUGCACUUGCCUCUCUUUGGCCAGCUUAAUGAGGCUGUACAUGCUAAAGGUUAUUUAUAACCUUGCACGAAAGUGCUGUCAAGUGUGAUGCAUUUCUAUCAAAAGAAAUAUUGUGGAAUGGAUGGUAAUGGUUUUGUGAUAUGUAGUUUAGCAGUACGGCCUCCAAACCAACAUGUCAAAAUUCAUUGGUUAAGUAAUUGUUGUUGUUCAAUAUUUUUAGCAACCUUUAACUUGAAAUGUAGAUUGAAGCAGGUAGAUUGAUUAAUAUCGGUUUGAAUAUGAGAAUUUUGAACAAUGAAGAAAGGGUGUCAACGAUUGAAAUGUUAUUGAUAUGGAGAAUAGAGAGACCUGGAAAUAAAUUAAGAGAAUGGGUUGGAUUAUGAAAGAUUAGAUCUAAAAUAUGUUGAUACUUGGCUAUGGCCGAGUAGGAUGGAGGUAUAUGUUUUGGAAAAUUCUAUGACGAAGUUAUGAGAAUGGCUUUUUUGGCAGUUAAGUGACCAAUCAUUAAGCAUUUGUGUAUUUAAUCUAUGUCACGUCAAAUUAUAUAGUGUAUUGCACAUUUGUCCAUAAGAUGUGUCAUUAUAUACUUACUGAUAUCAAUUGUGUCCCUGAUUAAAUCAAAAUUAAACAUAGAUUCACAUUUGUGCACUAAGAUUGAAAUUCCCCUUAAUAUUUUAUAUGAGGACUGAUUUGUAAUAAGGUAAAAUUUAGUUUUAGAGUGGUACAUUAGUAGGACACUAGCUGACAUGACAUCGACAGUUAUACUAUUGGCUAAACAAAAUAAUUUUUCUAAAAAAAUAAUUUUCUAACUGCAUCGUAGAAGCCCCGUAUGUUUUCGGUCCAUUCCUUUUUUUAGAGCUUUGAUCCGUUCCUUUUGCAUGCAUUAAUUUAUGUGACAAAUUUUUACCUUCUUUUAUCUUGGUCACGAAUAAGUGUGGGAUUUUGGGAAAUUUGUGGGAAAACAAUGCCCUUUCAUAUGUUUGGCUAGGCAUGGUAAUGGGGUGGGUUUAAGCAUUUCCGUCCCCGCCCCCGUUUCCAUGCACCCGCAUCUGCCCCAGUCCACAAACUAUAUUGGGGGUAAAAAUUGAACAUCCAACCCCGCUUCUAAUGGGGACGAGUCUCCCAGCCCCGAUCCCAUCCGCGAAAACUCUAUUUUUUAUAAAAUAUUUAAAAAAUGCAUACUUUUUCAUUUUUUUCAUAGCAACAUAAAACAAUAAUUAUAUUAAUAAUUAAAGAUCUAAUAAACUUUUUUCAAAAGAGCAAAAUAAUUAUAAUAAAUGUGUUCCUAAAGAGCAAUAAUAUAUUAAGAUAUGUUGGUGCUUAUGGAAAUAAGAUUAUAAAAUUUAAUAAAGUAAAAUUCAAAAGGCAGACGCGGGUUCGAUGCGGGGCGGGUAUAGGCAUCCCCCAGCCCCGCUCCCGUACUAAAAACUUAAAUUUCCCCCAUACCGCACCCGCACCCAGUUAAAUCGGCUUUACCCCGUUAAAUUCGAAGCGGGGGCAACCAGAUUUGGAAGGGGGCGGGUUUUGUUGCCAUGUCUAUGUUCAAGAAAUAUUUAUAUAGACACAACACCAAAUCAAAUCAUUUAGACACACAUUCAUUAAAAUAUUUAUCAUUUAAUUCUUUAAUUCUUUUAUCUUUCACUUUUUAUUUUUAUGUAUGUGUGCCUAAGUGACUCAUAUUUAUAUUUGUGAUCAAACAAGUGUAUCUUAUUGUGUUCUCUUGAUCAUCCUUGCUUUGCUAGGUUCUGACUCAAUUGAACCUAUUCACGAGAGCAGUUUUUGACAAUGUAUCAUGGUCGUUUUGUAUUUUGAGGAAAUUUUUUAUGGUCAUAACCACAAAAGUAAAUCAUUUAAGCACACUCAUAUAAAUUAAAAAAGAUAAAAAUAUAAUAAUUUGUAUUUUUAAAUAAUUAAAUGUUGAAUUUUAUUAUUUUUGUAUGCCUAACUAACUUUUUUCUAAAUGCUAAUUUACGGGAGUGGUGUGGUACGAAAUACUUAGUUAGGUCUAACAUUGUUUUUUCUUAAAGGCACACUUUUUUAUUUAUUUAUUUAUUUAUUUUUAUUUUUUAUAAAUGCUUUGGUUGGUCUACAUUGUAUUUUUAUUUCGUUCGGGUCGUCGAAUAUCUUUUGUAUUUUCCCCAUUUAACAUUUUACAGGUAGUCUAACCCUUUUAUCUCCUUCCAAUGGUUUAAUAUGUUCAUUUGUUUUGCCGUUAUUUUUUUUUUAUUUCAUCAAUCCAAGUAAUAUAAUAGUUAGUUAUCGUCUUCAAAGAGAUUGUUGUUUUGAUUGGACAAUCUGUUAAAAUUAUUAAUAGAAACAAAAAAUUGGGGAAGGUUGCAAAUUUGAUUUGAUUCAGCAAGACAAGUUGAUUUUUUUUAUAGCAGAUUAAAUAAAAUGAGUUUUGAUUAUGAUGAUUAACGAUGAUUAGGAUUGUUUGAAUCCCCUCUUACUCUCUAUUGGACUUAAUUCAAAUAUGUCUACCAAUUAUGAACUAAGCAUUAUAUAAAAGUGGUUAACUUUGUGGAACAUAAUUCCUCCAUAUGCCAUGAUGCUCCUCAUCACCCUAAAGGUCAUACGUGCACUACAAUAAAGGGUCGUCACUUCUCUAGAUUUUCGUAUUCAGUUGUAUUUUUAUUAAAGUGGGGACUUGCACUCUUACAUGUAAUUAAAAUAGAGCAAAUGCUGAAAUUCCUAAAUUGUCAUCUAGAGGGACCACAUUGCACACAAAUCUUAGAAUCUAACCACAUACCUUAAUGAUCCCUAAUAAAUUAAAGGCAAUAGAAUAAAAAUAAUAUGUUAAGAUUCUUAUUAAGGCAAGACUCCAAUCUUAAACCCUAAUCUAGGUUCAAUCCUCAGGAUAGAUAUUGUCCCACUCCCAAGUGCAACAAAACAUUAAUAACUAAGAUCAUAACUUAAUAAACGUUUUUCUUUAAUAAAACCCAAAAAAUAAUUCGAGGUACAUUUUAGAGCCCUUAAUCGAAAGGUGUUUAGUUUGCCAUGAUAACAAAAUACAUAAUAAAAAAGAAAUAAAACACACUAAAGACCAAAAGUUGAGGUGUGAGAGUCUUCUUUGAUGCUCUAGAUGCUAGCCUUCCUCUUAACCACCAAUUUUUGAAUGAAUAUUUGUGUGGAAGGAGCUCUAUUUAUAGGCAACAUGCAUUUCUUCUUCUUCACAUAACCGCACGUGUGGUGCGCACGAGGCGAUGCGCGGGGUGCAUGGCAGCUGUCAAAGAGCAGAUGCUCUCUGCCCCAUGCGCCUGGGGCACGUGACCUCAAGUGUGGAUUUUUUUUUUUUCAUUUUUUUUUUUUACCAUUGUUUGAGUAUUUUCCUUCUCAACACUUUUUCUUGGGACUUGAGACAAAAUUUUCUCAACUUGUAAUGUCUACAAAACCCAAUUGAACCUUGAUCUUCUUCAUUUCAUGUCUUCCAAAACUUCAUUGAAGUACAUUGUUUGCCGAAUUAUAUGAUUUAUCAAUAAAAAACUCAAAUUAUCUAUGAAAUUUUCUGGUUAGGAAAGGGACAAAAUUACAUCAAUUGAAUACUCAAUGAUUGCCAACAAAGGCAUCAUUGGCCAUAUCAUUUCGAGAAGAGGUUUAAGAUAAGGAGUAUAUUUUUAUUAUUUGCAUAGAAGUUUUUUCACCCUUAGCUCGAGUUGUAUAAGCACGAGAAGACCUCCAUGGUAUCAACGUUUGUUGGAAUGCUGCUAUUGUCUUUUACUUGUAUUUCAUGACAAGUGUUUGUCAGAAUACUCCUAUUGUCUUUCAACUAUAAUUUGAACUUGCCAUGAAAUAAAUUGUUAUGACAUAUGAAGCUGCCUCUAGAUUUUUUUUUAAUAUUUUAACAAAACAUAAAUUAAAUAAGUUUUAUUAAAAAAAAAUAUAUAUUUUUGAAGAUUCUUUUAAUAUUCUACGUAUCUAUGUACAAUUUCGUUUACAAAAUAUAAAGGCUACACAUGUGAUCACUUAAAAUUAGGGAUAAAAAAUAGUGAUGAAUUUUUUUCAAAUAACUAAAAAUCAAAGAAAUAUUUUAGAGGGAUUAAAACAAAAAUUGAUAUAUUCAUUGGACCGGGAAAACCCGGAUACGAAACUCUAAUACCCUUUAAAGGACAAUAUUACCCUUCAAAAGACAGUAUAAACAAGAACAAACCAAAGCAAAAGAACACGUAACGACAUAUCUCUUAUUCAGACUAAAAACACUUCGUCUUGUCCCAAGACUCGUGCUUGUGGACCGGGAAAACCAGGAUAAAGGACAUCACACCCUUCAUAAGGGCUCAAAUGAACAUAAACGCCCUCCCCAAGGGCCGAAACAAGCUAAGGCGACGCCUUUAUAGGCACUGCCAAUCAGCGUGUUCUAGAAUCAGCUAGAACCCAUGAUAAUCAUCCUUGUCCUCCGAUAAUCAUUCUUAUCCCUAUAACUAAAAUGCUUAAAAUAGAGGGUUUAUCCAACUUCCUAUUGACUAUAAAUACCAACCUUGAGAGCAUUCUCAAAGCAUGACCUAAAUAGACUAAUCCUGAUCUGACAAUCGUACUUACUGCAGGUAGAAAAAAAAAUUAUUUAACAUUUUUUAUUCAAUUUUCUUUUACAUAUAAGAUUGAAGAGACCAUAAGCUUAUGCAAUGAUUGAAACGAAAUGAUUUAUAAACAUAUCUAUGGGGAUUACCAGUUGUAAAAAAGUAACCAUAAUGGUUAGAUUUACUUACAAAACAAAGACCUACUUCUUACUAUUACUGUGCAUGUGUGAUGAUAUUGCCAUAUUGGUCAUUUGUUCUAAGAAGGUAAAGUUGGUGAGAUCAGACAAGAAAGGAUAAAGAAGUAAUUUGAAGAAAGGUGUUGUCAAUCAAGAGAAAAGAGAGAAGCAGGAAAAUCAUGUUAUUCUUUGAUAUAAUAUUUUUACCAAAAUGCUUUAUACUGUCUGCAUCAGUCAUCUUUCAGUGUCACUAUCAACCUAUUUUCAUUUCCACAAAAACCCUAAAGGCCAAAACAAUGUUUCUUUCCUUUCACAAUUACACCCCUCUCUUUUCUCUAUUUGCUCAAUCACUGAGAUAAAGUCAUUCAAACUCAGUUGCUUCCCUUUUUCCGGAAAUUAUUUCUGCCAUAUUCCUAAACAUCUUUUCACUAAAAAUAAAUAAACAAUAGGGUUAGCAAAAAACCACCUUAUAUUACAUAUGUUUUAUUUUGCACAUUAAAGAAAUUCUAUAGUGACAAAAUUAAAUUUAAAUGAAUUAAUUUUUGUUAAUAUUAAGUUUUUUUAAAAGUAAAAUUGAUACAGAAAAAUUUAUUAAUAACGAUGAUACUAAUUUUAUAAUCAUUUCAUGUGAUUAAAAGUGAAAAAAAGAUUAUAUAUUUUUUAUUUUUAAAAUAAUAGAGAAGUGAAAAAUAUUUUGCAAAAUAAUAGAGAAGUUAAAGGAUUUAAAUCACCUCUUUAAGACUAAAAAUCAAUUUUUCAAAAUAAAAACUCGAAAUUCUAACUAAUCAAGUUAAUUCUUGAGUCCUUAAAAAAAGUUAAUUCUUGAGUCAAAAUCAAUUUUCGACUUCAAAAGCUUAGGAGAAAAUGUAUCAUCAUCCGACUUGCCACAAUUUGAUGCAUUUUAGUGAGUAGAAACAAAAUUUUAUUCGAAGGUGGUAAGCCGAAGGAUUUAAUACUAAUUAUUUAAUACUAAUUAUUUACAUUAAAAUGAAUAGUAUUUUUGAAAAGGCGGCAUAGGAAGGGGGUGUAUGUUGGGUGCCAACCUAGUUAGGAUGCUUCAGUCUCUCCCGAAUGCCUCCCCUUUCUCUUGGCCUUAUAAAAAAAAAUGAAUAGUAUUUUGUCUUAGUUGUCUUGUAAAAUCAUAAGUAUGCAUUUUUUACAUUUUGUAAUAGGAUUAAGUAUCUUUUUUAUGAAAGAAGGAUCAAGUAAAUCCUUUGUAUUUCCCUUAAUACCAUUAUUCUCACUAAUUUUUUUUUCACCUCACUUCAAAAUUCAAUUUUGUGUUCUAAAAAAAGUGGAACACAAAGUAUUCAUCCUAGGAGUUAACAAAAACCAAAGGAAUACAUAGAAACCUCUUAAGAAAACAGUUUAUAGUCUUCCACUGUUCUUUUACCCUAUCUUCUUCACCCAUCUCUCUUUCACCUAUAACAUUAUCUUCAUGUUCCUUCAAUCUUCAUCCCCUCUCUCUCAAAACCUCUUGAAGCAUAUAGUAGUUCAAUAUUUUCUUCUUUUUCUUCCAAAUUUUUUCUUGUUUCUACUCCUACCAAGCUUCUAAAACCAAACCCUAUCUUUUAUUUUCACAAAUAGUACUAAAGAUCCAAUCAAGCUAGAUCAGAAAAGAAAGAAAAAAAGACAAGUAACUAUGAAUUCUCUUCAAGAAUUUGAAUCAUCAACCAACAACAAAGACAUGAUGAACACAAACCCUAUGAUCAACAUAACAAACCCAUCAUCAUCGAUGACGAUGACCAUACCAUCAUCCUCUACAACAUCAGCAUCAUCCUCAUCAACAGCAACAACAUCACCACCAUCAACAACAUCAACAACGACACCAAGUAGAUACGAGAAUCAAAAGAGAAGAGAUUGGAACACAUUUGGACAAUACCUAAGAAACCAUAGACCACCACUUUCACUCUCACGUUGUAGUGGAGCUCAUGUCCUUGAAUUCUUGCGAUACCUCGACCAAUUUGGAAAAACUAAGGUUCAUACUCUGAUUUGUCCCUUUUAUGGACAUCCAAAUCCACCUGCAUCAUGUCCAUGUCCUCUUCGCCAAGCGUGGGGUAGUCUUGAUGCACUUAUUGGGAGACUUAGAGCUGCUUUUGAAGAGAAUGGUGGGAAGCCAGAAGCUAAUCCUUUUGGUGCCCGUGCUGUUCGACUUUACCUUCGCGAAGUUAGGGAUUCUCAAGCUAAAGCUAGAGGUAUUAGUUAUGAGAAAAAGAAGCGCAAGCGUCCGCCUCAGCCGCCACCACCACCACCAUCAAAUAAUGCAACUAUAACUGAUCUUCACUAGUGUAAGUUUACAAUAUAACUUAGUGUCAUGAUCCAUCAACUAAAUAUCUAUAUUCAAGAUUUUUGACAACAAUAUUUUUUUAACCAAGUGCAAGAAUAUUGAGUAAUUUAUUUAUAACACAAUCUCUAUGCAUUAUAGUAGGAUGUGUUAAAUAGAUUGGUCAAUGAAAUAAGUUGAGCUAUUACUAGCAAAAAAAAGGAAAUAAGUUGAGCUGGGAGGGACAAAGAGUUUGAGAAGCAAGUUAAGGGUUUAAUAUCUAGUACUAACAUAAUUUAGUAAUGACAAUGUAACUAAUAUUUUUCUUAUUUUUAUUAAAAAAGUUUGACAUUACUUGCUGUUAGCUUUAAUUUGUUUUCCAAGUAUUUUUUUUUUUUGAACAAGCCAAAGCUUUCAGAGUAUACUCCCUUUAAUAAACUCUUUUGCAUAUAAAAAAAAAGUUAGCUUUAAUAUUUAAAUAUACAUAUUUUUUUAUCCAAAAAUGUGCACAUAAAUACUAGUAUGUAAAUAGGAAAUCAUGCUCUGGGGAAAAACCUGCAUUCACGCCGUUAGCAUAUUCAUUGGAUCAAGAUUAGAUUAUCCAAAUUUUAAUACAAAAUUUGAAUGUUUUAAAAACUAAGAUAUCCGGCUUGAAUUUUGAACCGUUCAAUGUCAAUCCAAUGACAUCAGAUAUGCACGCCAACUAUGUGGCUGCGAGCUUUUCCCCAACGUAGGCAAUAUCAAUAUGUGCAAAUAAAAGUCACAACAUUAACAACCGUAACUGCGUCGUGGUUUUUAAUAUUGUGGAGAUCAAUUGUAGUCAAAUGCUCAUUUAAGAAAAACAUUGUAGUCAAAUGCAAUUCAUGUGCUAGUUCCUGUCGCAACUACAUCUUGUGGUUGCAGCGAAAUAAAAAACCAUGAUGAUGUAGUCUAGAUCGCAGUUCCGGUUCAUUAUUUAACUAGCGGCGUAGCUUGUUGACCACUGGUCUUCCCCUCAUGUGUAAUUUUCGGUAUAUAUAUAAUUCAUUAAGGUUUUUCUAUUAAUUAGCUUGUUGCACAUGUAACAUUGCACACAAUAAUUGCAUACCCUAAAAUAUAUGCAUACAUAUACGUACGUGUAGCCAUUCAUUGUUUUACUUUGUUUAUAAUUUGUUAUGAUGCAGAAGUCUUGAGAUCAGUACAUGGGAUUAUUGCAGUGUGAGAUGUGCAAUGGAAACUGCAGUGGAAGGUGGGAAAUAGCAGCAGUGUGAUAGAGAGCAAAUAAUUUGAAGUAGCUGUUAGUAGUAGCAACAGUAACUAAAGGGUUUGAGUUUGUGUGACCAAUUAUUCACGGUCCAAUUUGUAAUAAAUUUGUGUGUACUUGAAGGUGAGUCAUUUAUGACUGAGUAAUGAAUUUGCAGAUCAUGUUUCAUGUCUUUUUUAUAAACGGUAAAUUGCAAUUUCUUGUCUUCUUUUUUUCACUUUUUGCAACUAUACAAUAGUAAGAAUUGAGUUGGGUGGGGUGCAAUCACAAAUCUCGUGACCCAUGUAGUCAAAUACAUCUUAACCGUCUGAUACUGAUCGGACAAUUUAGAUUUCAAGUUUAAUAUUUUAGAUAUAAAAAAAUUGUAUUGUAACUUAGACCCUUUGAUAACCAAACGAUUCAGGUAUGACCGACCGCAUGCAAUCACAAAUCUCGUGACGCACGCAGUCAAAUAUAUAUUAAUCGUUUGAUACUGAUCGAACAAUUUAGAUUUCAAGUUUAAUAUUUUAAAUUUUAAAAAAAAGUAGAAUAUUACAUUGAAAUUUAGACCGUCUGAUAUUAUCAAAACGAUUCAGAUAUGACCGACCGCGUCCAAUUACACUGCACACAAGCCAAAUCCAUACAAUAUAUACAUAUGCCACUUAAUUAUCCACUGGUUUCAAGCUAGCUAGCAUUAUAAUACAUUUAAUACAUAUUCUAUUUUUUUCUGUAUCAUCAUUUCAUGUGUAUGAGUUUUCAGAUCCCAUGGGGGGCCGUUCUGGUAGCUUUAUUUGAUCUGUCUAAAGUUGAGUUCAGGGAUUUCAUGUAGCUGAUAUAGUUACUCUUCAUUCAUUCAUUUUCAUUCAUCAUAAAUAUAUCAACUGUAGAUAGAUAGGGAUGAGAAUUGCAAAGGACAAUGCUUGAAACUGCCAUGUAAUUGGUAGCAUUAUAUAUACAAUUAGGUAAAUAUAUUUCUUUGGAGUUUGUGCAACUCUCUGAUCAUAACUUCUCCUACUUCACCGGGAGUUAUAAUCAGUCAAGACUCAACUGCACUUGGUGAUAGAUAAUUUAUCCUAUCCUUUGCCAUUGGUUUUCUUAAUCUUAUAUAUAUGUUCAAGGUCUUGAUUAAAGGUCUUAACUGAACUAGCUUGAAGUUAUAUAAAAUGAUUUAUAACAAGAGUAACAAUUGGUUUGGAUAUGUCAUCGUGAGGUUAGCUCAGUUGGUAAAAAUAAUGUAUAAUAUAUACAAGAUUUAGAGUUUAAAUCCCGGCCACCACACAAAAAAAAAAGGUUUGGAUAUGUAGAGAUGAAAAAAAUAAGUUGAGCUUUAAAAUUUCAGUCAAAUUAUAAUUUCUAGGCUUUUUAGCACUGCAAAUAAAGAUCCACCAUUGGACCAUUUUUUUUAGGGAAUGAAUGGAUCAACUUUAAAAGGUUCAUACUAGACACAUCAUAAAAGAAAUUUUUUUAAGUGUUUUAGAGGGUUAUAUCUAUAUUUUUGAAUAUAUUUAAAAUAAUUUUUUUUUAAGGAAUAUUUAAACAAUUGAAAAAAAUGAUAUAAUGGAACCAGCCACCAAAAAUAAUCUACCAGUGAAAUUUGAUUAUCAUAAUAUUGUUUCUUUUUUUGUGCAAAAAGAAUAAAAUCUAUGCUACCUAAUUUUUUAAUAUUAUUUUUGUGUAUUAUUAGAAUUAUCUGAAAAUGUUACUUAUUUAUAUUUUUAGUGACGUUUUAUAGUAUUAUAGAAUAAAAUAAUAAAAAACGAAUUUUGGAAAUCGGUAAGAAGCUCAACUUAGAAUAAAAUUUUAACAAGUGUCUGAAAAUGAUCCUUUUUUUUAAUAAGCAAACUUGUAUUUAGGGGUGAACAUCAGCAAGUUUGGGUCCAGAGUGGCAACCCAACCCAAACUGCAGGUCAAGACCUGUAACGAUCCGUAUUUUUAAUCCAAGACAUUACGCCUAAUUCAUUCUCAUUUUGACGGAAUCGGCGGAAUUGUAAUUUUUAAAGGAUAUUUAUUUUAGGAAUUUUUAUUAAAUUAUGUUAAAGAAUUUUCGAAAAAUGAGAAUGAAUUAGGCGUAAUGUCUUGGAUAAAAAAUCCGGGGCGUUACAAGGCCUAUGGCCCAAUUCCGCAAAAAACUAAUAUUCGGUUAAUGCGGGUUUUGGGGUUAUGUGGCUCAAUAGGAAGUUAAAUUCGGGUUAGACCAUAUUUGGCCCAAUAUGACUUUGCCAACCCAGUUAAAAUUUGUAGUUUUUUUUUUCUUUCCAAAAUUUCUCUGUUGUUUUUCUAUCAUAAAAAUGAGCCCAAAGUCUACCAUGUUGAAAACCUAAAAAUUUGUGAAAUCAUAUUGGGUUGGUAGACUUUGUUUUAACAUGGUAGACUUUGGCCUCAUUUUUAUGAUAGAAAAACAAUAGAGAAAUUUGAACUAUAUGUUUAAAACUAAAACUAGACCAAUUAUUGACCAACUUUCAAAUCAUCAAACAUAAUUACAAUGACAUUUAAAUUUAUACUAGAUUUAAACGAGCACGUUAAAAUUAUCAUUACCACACAAUACAUAUGAUGUAGGAUAGAAGAUGCAUAAAUAACCAUGGACAAACCAUUGUAAACAUGUAAAUUUUAUACAAUCAUCCAGAUGGGGAAAGGAAAGUCAUUAUAAUGCAAUUAUGUAGCAGUUGUAGCAGUAUGCAUUAUACAAAGCAUUGUUCAAUAUAGAGUUGAUUCACAAUGGAGCAUCAUCUGCACAAUGGAAAACAAAACAUUAGAUAAACUAUAAUUUUACAAACAGACUAGAUAAAAUAAACAUGAUAAAAUGCUUGUAUCAACCAAAGUAAAAUAAAUCAUGAUACGUUGAAAUUCAAAGUAAAUUUGCAAAUUAGCAUCGUCAAUAGAUUGCAUUGAUAUGCUUAAUUUAAAAUGUUCAUAUUACACACAUCCUAAAAGAAAUUUUUUAAAGAGUUUUAGAGGAUUAUAUCUAUAUUUUUGAAUAUAUUUAAAAUACUAUAAAUAAUUGAAAGAAAAAAAAAAAAGAUAUAAUGGAACCUGCCACCAAAAAUAAACUACCAGCAAAAUACUUAUAUGAAUUUGAUUAUCAAUGAUAUUGUUUAUUUUAUUUUUGUAAAAAGAAUAAAAUCUAUGCUACCUAAUUUUUUAAUAAUAUUUUAGUGUAUUAUUAGUAUCAUUUAAAAAUGUUAGUUAUUUAUAUGGUUAGUGACAUGUUGUAGUAUCAUAAAAUAACAUAAUAAAAUAAAUUUUUUUGAAUAUUGAUAAGAAGUUCGAAAUAGAAUAAAAUUUCAACAAGUGUCUUAAAAUGACCCUCUAUUUUUAAUAAGCAAACUUGAAUUUAGGGGUGAAUAUCGGACGGGUUCGAGUCCAUGGUGGCAACCCAAACCAAACCGUAGGUUCAGACCUAUGUUCCAUUUAUGUCUAAAACUAAUGUUCAGCUAAUGCGGGUUCGGGUACGCGGGUUAUGCAGGUCAAGAGACCGUUGUAUUCAGGUUGAAAGAUAUCUGACCCAAUAUGACUUUGCCAACCAAAUUGAAAUUUUUAGUUCCUUUUUUCUUUCAAAAUUUCUCCGUGCUUUUUCUAUUAUAAAAAUGAGGCCAAAAUCUACCAUGUUGAAAACCUUUUGGUUUAACUUGAUUUUUAACUUAUUUUGUGAAGUUAUCAAUAAACAAAAUUUGAACUAGAUGUUUUAAACUAAAACUAGAUCAAUUACUGACCAACUUUCAAAUCAUCAAACACAACAAUGACAUUUAAAAUUGUACUAGAUUAAAACUAGCAAGUUAAAAUUUUCAUUGCCGCAUAGUACACAUAAUGUAGGAUAGAAGAUGCAUAAAUAACCAAGACAAGACCAUCGUAAACAGGUAAAUUUUGUACAAUCAUCCAGAUGGGGAAAGAAAGAUCAUGUUAAUGCAAUUAUGUAGUAGCUGUAGUAGUAUGCAUUAUACAAAGCAGUGUUCAAUAUAUAGUUGAUUCACAACGGAGCAGCAUCUGCACAAUGGAAAACAAGACAUUAGGUAACCUAUAAUUUUACAAACUGACUAGAUAAAAUAAACAUGAUAAAAUGCUUACAACAUCCAAAGUAAAAGGGAUCAUAACACUUUGAGAUUCAAAGUAAAUUUACAAAUUAACAUCAUUAACAGAGAGUGUUUGAUAUGCUUAAUAAAAGUUGCAAAUGUAAAAAAGUAAGCCGCAAACAUGAAAAUGGUGAAAAUAUUGAAUCAAAUUCAAACCACAAGACAUUGAGCAAAAAUACCUAUGUGUUUUCAACAAAUGCAAAUCACAAGCUGCUCAAAUUCACUGAAAUCAAACUUAUGGUUCUGCAUAAUCAAAACUAGAUGAUAUCAGUUCUAAAGUUUUUAGCCAACAACCUAUUUGAUAUAUAAUUAUUAGUAUUUUAAAAAUAAAAAUGCACCAAUGAUUCAAGUGUCAAUAAGGUGCUUUCCAAAUCAGUCACAACCGUAAAAAAAACCACAAAAUAGUCAUUGUGAUAACAAAUCAGAAACAAGGUAUUCAAGAUUUUAUAAAAAAUAAAAUCAAUCACAACGGAGUAACAACUGAGACAAUAAAAUGAUAUUUCAUACCUCUAAAACCACUCAUCAUCAUUGAAAUUACACUACUAAUUCUGCUCAAAGAGUCACAAAACAGUCUAUGAUAAAAAUGUUGUCAUCCAAAAAUUACAUCCAUAUGCCACUCUAAAUUAUAUGCAUAAGGAAACAAGAUUGCACAAUAAAAUAGGCCAUGUUAGGCUUUCAACAUAAGUAACGAUUAUUAGAUUAAAAAGAAGGUUUACAAUAUACCUAUCACAAAAAGUUAUUAUACCAAGUCAAAGAAUCAAGAGCUGCAAAAACAAUAACUUACUAUUAGACCAUAUUGAAAAUAAAUUAAAUUCUUUCAAACCGUUGAAAAAUGGACAUAAAAACAUGUAAACUUACAUCCAAAUUUUUCAAACAUAUCCAGGAGGUUGUGAUGAUGAGAAACCAGCAGAUGUGUUUCCAUAUCCUUCUCCGACAAAUAUUCUUUUAAACUCUACAAAUAUUGAAUUAUACAAAAUUUUAUUUAUUAUAUGAUUGUUGUUUAGAAAUAACAUAUAUAUAUUUCACAUGUUAUGAUGUCUUCAAAAAGCUCAGCAUCCUCCAUAAGUUGCAAGUUUUUAAAGUAAGUGAACGACAAGUUCAACAAAUUUUUCGAACAGAUUAAUUCAUGUAAAAUUUCUUCUUUUAUUGUGCUCUUGUAGGUUUCUAUAACUCUCCCCUUGUGCUGAAAGCACUUUCUGAAGCAACAGUAGACACUGGUAUGGCCAAAAUAUCUUUUGCCAUUUAGAUAAAAUGGGGUAUUGACUUGAACUAUUUUCCCCUCACACAAGAAUGUCAAAAUUUUCAAUACGCGUAAUACAAUUGCUAUUAAUAUACCCAUCAAGCUCAUUAUGUAAAUAAAUUGAGUUUUGCUACUAUAAAUGUUGGUGAAAAUCAUUGGCCCUUGCCAUACGUGAAGGGCGAGCAACAUAAGCUGCAUUGGUUUCAUCGUGGGAAACAUUUUCUCCACCACUAGCAAGUGGUUGUCCAUAGUUGACAAUUUGGUCAUGGGUUUUUCUAUACCAACAAUAAAGUUUUUUUAUACUCUCCCUAAUAGUACCAAGCAAUUCUUUGGCAAACACAGAUUUAUCAUCAUACAUAUAUAUAAUUAUUAAAAAUCCACGUAAUAUUCCUCAACUUGGAUCGCAGAUAAAAAAUAGUUCCAAAAUACAAAAGAUUGUUCAUGUUAGCAAUUUCCCCAAUACUUGUUGUACUUAGCCAUCAUUUUUGCAUCCAUAGUUGCAAAAAUUAAGUUUAAAUUCUUAGUGGCACACUUCAACUCACAAUAAAUUGAGGACACUUGAUUAAAGGUUGUAUGCAUACUCACAUGUUGGGAGGUUGAAAACAACUUUUGUUGCCUCAUUAAAUAACUCCAAAAAAAUAGAAAAAGCCCUUGCAUUCUCCCAAUUAUCACUCAUCAACGGACCAACAGCUCCAAAUAAUUCCCUAUAACUAGAAUCUUCAUCCUCAAGCUUUUCAAAAAACUACUUGAAACUUUUCAGCAAUAUCUAGCUUCAAAUAUGUUGAGUUCCAACGAGUGGAAACAUCAAGACACACAAAUUUUUUUAAUGUUCCAGCAAAUUCAACACAUUCUUUAAACUUGACAGUCCUAUGAGGAGAAGUUUUUACAAACCUAUUAGCAUCCCUAACGUUAGUAACCGACAUAUGUUUAUAUUUCAAACCAUCCAAAACCACCAAAUUCAAGAUGUGGGAACAACAGGUCAUACGAAAACAAGACACAUGCCUCAUCAGCUCAAAGUGAAAUGUAUUGAAUUGGGAGUGAUGAAAGUAGAGAAACAGUUAUUUUAGGACAUGUUUUUUUUUUGGCAAAUGGCUCAGUUAUUACGGGACGGGUGGAGUAACAAUGUUUAAGGGUUUGUAUUAAAGUUUUAAGGGUGUGUAUUUAAUCAUUUAACCUAACAUUUAGAGCUGUAAUAAAGUUCAAGGGUGUGUAAUAAAGAUUUAAGCAACCUCAAACAUCAACAAAAUAGCAUCAAAGACAUAGUUUAACUCAACACACAUAAGCGUCAACAAUAUAGCAUCCAUAAGCAUAAAAAAUCAUGCAUAAACUCAACAAAAUGUGCCCAAAAACAUAGAUAAACUCAACAAACAUGAGCAUCAACAACUCAUCAGCUAUAUACAUUAAAAAUUGUGCAAAAACUCAAUAAAAUAUGUAUCAAAGACAUGGAUAAACUCUUUAGAAAAACAAUUUGUUAUGUAAUUCUUCAACACAAUUAAAUUAGUCAAUAAUCAACUUAACAAUUGAAUUCUCAAAAACAACAAAAAAAUCAUUAUGUAACUUACGAGAAAUCACUUCAAAUGUUCAAACAUAACAUAUUAAUUUUUAUAUACAUUUUAUAGUAAAAUAAAUGAAAAUCAUAAAAAGUAAUUUAAUUUUUUCCUAACAUAAUAAUAACCGUGACUAGUUAUAAGAUAAAUUAAUGAGACCACACUAUUACUGUACCAUUUUUAAUCAACUAUCUGAAUAAAAAAUGUUAGGCUUAAUUGAACCUUUGGUCCCCUAACUCAUUUGUUGUUUUUAAUUUGGUCUGAUAACUAAAAAAAAUUCUAUUUGGUUCCUCAAAUAUACCUCCGCCAGUCAAGCUAGUCAUGUUCUGUUAGUUUUAACAUUAAAUGUCUAAGGUGGAUCAACCUUAAAUGUGGUCCACCAUAGACCAUAUUAUUUUUGGGAAUUUAAACUGUUUGAUCACUUUUUUUUAAAAAGACCGUUGGAUUACGCGUAUCUAUUUUAUGCUAUGGUGAGCCAACAACAAUUUAUUUUAUUUUCCUUUCUUCAUCUUCUUCCUUCCUUUUCUACACCACCUUCAACCUCACAUUCAUCAAUCUUCAAAUAUUAACACCCAAAAAAACAAAAAACAUAAAUUAAAACAUUCAAAUUGUUUGAUCAAACCUCUAAAUCAUUACACCAUCGUCAGUUUAAUUGAUGGAAGGGAAUUGUGAUGGUUUUUUUUAUUGAUUUAAUUCAAGGAAGAAAAAUAAAUUACAAUGAGAUAGAAUUGAAAUAAAACUGUUUUGCAUGUGUGGCCACUACUCUACAGUGGAAGAUGUAAUAAAUGUAAGAAUAUUGAGACAUGUGUUGUGUUUUUGACAUUGGAGCUACUCAUUAUCAUUGUUCCAUAACAAAUGCUCGUCCUUAUCAAUCUUCGUAGCUAAACUAAAACACUUGAGUGAGAAAACAAAUUGAUGAAUUAGAAACACCACAUAUGAAUUGAGAGAAAAAAAAAUUCUGAGUUUUAAUGGUUGAAGAGGUGAAAGAAAGAAGACGAAGAAAGGAAAAAAAAAAAUUAGUGUUGGUGGUUCACUAUUACCUACAAUAUAAUGGCUGAAAUCAUAUAUGAAAUAAUAAUUGGUUUCUUUACCUUUUUAUCUCUUGAGUUAAGCCUGUAACCCUUAACUCACUUCUAAUAUUAUAGUGCUUUAUUAUUCUCUAACUAUUGGUCACUAGAAAUUGUUAAUUACAACAUGAGAACCUAUUUUUGUAGGUUAAACAUCAUAACAUGACUCGAAGUAGUUUUUAGAUAGAGCCUUAAUUUUACCUAUGUUGGUAUCAAUGCCAAUAAGCUUGGAUUCAAAAGGUUGCAUAAGACAUUUGAUUUCGAAACCAAUAAAGUAUAAUUUUUAAACCAACAUGCAGCAACUUGUUUACAAUGUUUUCACAAACACUCUUUACAAAACUUGGGGUGUUUAGAUUAUAAAUAUAAUUUUUAUUUAAGGAUUUUUUUUUAUCCAAUGAGUUCAAUUUUACUAAAGAAUGCAUACAUGUCCAAAAAUAGGGCAAACAUUUUUAUCGAUCUUGCAUCUAGGAUUGAUCAUAUUCUACUCAAUGGAGUUAUACAUUUGGUGUUUGUAUACCGUAUGUAAUUUUGUCUACUUUCUAAUGGUAUAAAUCUCACUUCCAAAUGAUCUAUGUAGAAAACGUUAUUCAUAAUUUAUUACCAAAAUAUCUAAAUUAUGAAUUGCAGAAUUUAUUCUCUCUUCUCAUUAUUUCCUACCCGAAUUUUCAGCAACUUGGGAUCUUUUUUAUGACCUAUAUACUUGUCCUAAACAGUUAUUACACAUAGGGAACAAUCAUAAAAUAUAUCAUACUCAAUUAAUACAUACAUCAACAUACACAUUAACAUUCAUAACACCAUUUACUUAGAACAAAAAACAUAAUUCAUGGAUUAGCUACCUUAACUAAAAUCCAUAAAUUCACAAAUUGAACCUUAAACCAUUACAUAAGGGAUGAGAGAAAGAGAAUACACCUUGGUUUAUAGGAUGAUGAUGAAGAUUUAAGCUUUCGUUGUUCAUCUUUGCUCUCAAUUCCUUCCAAACCAUAUAUGUUCUCCCAAUUCUCUCAUCAAUUCAAGAACCGUAAUUUCUUCAAUCUUAUUCUCAUUGCUCUUUAUAUCCUUUUCUAUUUGAUUAAACACAUAGUUUGAUAUAAUGGAUUGAAUUAUUAAAAGUGAGGUUUUGGUUGGCAUGGUUGAUUGUUCAAGAAGGGGGAAGUAAGGGUUUUUUUUUUUUUUUAUUAUUGUUAUUCUUGAUCGUUAAAGAGUAUGAGGGGAAGGGAAUGAAAAUUUUUUGAUUUCCUUUCUCCUAAUCUCUAUCUCUAUUUAUAUAGUGAAGAAAUCAUGGUGUCAAAUUGCUAAGUUGCCCCAAUUUUCUUCUGCAUAGCUAGUAACAUACCCUCAAGCUCUGAUUCUAAUUAGAAAGAUCAUAAUUAUGAACUAAAUGAUAUUUUAGAUUUUGGGAUACUACAUGAACGAUUGCAUCUUGUUGAAGCUCAUUUUGUAUUAAACCCUACUGGUGAAAAUCUUUGCUCAACCAUUUUACUUAUUUUUUAAACUUUUCUCUAAUACCAGUCACAAGAAAUUGAGUUUGAAUUGUGACACUUUAAACUUUUGGUUGAUUUUCAAUUGUGAAGUGAAUCAGAUUAGUCAAUUUGAAUUAUGUUUUAAAAUGGAUUGAAAAAUAAUAUCAUCUAUUCAUGUGUAAAUGUGUAAGAUCUAUCAAAAUAUGAGAGAUAAAUGAUAGAGAAUAUGACACAAGAAUGUUAUCGUUAUUCAUCCAUAGUGGGAUAGCCAAGUCUCCAUUGUAUGUGAGAUUAUCCAAUAUGGUGCUUGAUAUACCUUAUUGUUAGUCGAUAUAACGAUAACAAUGCAAAUCUACAGAGGGAUAAUUAGAUUCCCUAUUUAAAUACUUUGAUGAAACACGGUUUGAUAAAAGUUUUUCAGAUAUACAAUUAACUUUUGGAAACAAUACAAUUUAUUCCAAGUAUAACUAAUCAAACAAUGAUAGUAUGCAAAUUCAAUUUUAAAUAAAAGAUUCAUAAUUGAAUUAAUAUUACUCAAUCAAAAUUUAAUACAUGAGUUAAUUGUAGUCUCAAAGUCAAUCUCAAUCAACGCUAAACUUAUAUAAGUAUAAGUUAACAAAAGAAACAACAAAAUUUGAUCUAUAGCCAAUAUCAAAUAUAAGUAGUGAUUGAAUUAUCUAUUUGGUUUAUACAAUAAACUUAGAAAAAUAAAUUCAAAAUCAUUCAAUCACUUGCCAUAUAGAACUAUUAAUCUAAUUAACAAUUAUCAUAUAUCAAAUUAUAAAUGGAAAGAAAUAAAGAUAAUAGAUAAUAAAACGCUAGGAUUUAUAGUGGUUCUCCCAAUCGUUCUCGCUAUGGGGUAAGUCCACUCUUCGUAGAAAUUUUUUCGAUUGUCUUCCAGUAUUAUGUUGUUGAAAUUACAAAGUCAAUUAUAAAGAUUCUUAGAUUUACGAAUCUAGCCGAUCCUAAAUCUUAUAUGUUAAAUAACCACUCUAAACCCUCCGAUGUUUAAAUCCUUGAAAUCGGAUGUUCUAAAUCCUUCGAAUCUCACGCAAUCAUGCACUCCUUCGAUCUUAUAGUAUAAGAAAUCUUUAAUGCUAUGAACCUUGCUUUAAUUCCUUUAAGCUUUGAUGCCUUGAGAAACAACCCCCACAAUUACCUCUAGAGAUGACAAGUACCUACUUUUCUUAUAGAUCCUUGAUGCCCGGCCAAGAUCCUUGAGAGAAACCAAUCCUUACAAUAUCCUAUAACACACUAUAAACCAAGAUCACAAAUCCGGUGGAGUUUAUCAUGGCAAAGGAAAGUUGUUUCCCAUGAUGGGAAAGGCUAAGCAUGACCAUAGAUAUAAUAGUAUUAUAUUUCAAUGAUUGAGAUUGUUUACCUGAUAAUUGUAAUGACUUGACCCCACCAAUUCAUUAAAAAACAUUCUAUCAUUUUAGGUGUAAUUCAUAUAUUAUUAUUUAUUAGAUUGUUUGUUAUUUCAAAAACAAAUUCUUUUCUCAUCCUCCUUCUCUCUCUUUACGAAACUCUUCACCCCCUCACUUUUUUUCUUUCUUCUUCUCAAGACUCAACCAUGAAACCACAAUAACCAUUAACUUGUUUUUUUUUUCUUUUGAACAUUGCCACCACAAGUAAACUACUUUCUUCAUCUUUUAUAAAUUCCAUUCAUUUAUUUAAAAUUCGAACCUGGACUCAUUUGUAUUUGUCAAGUCUGAUAGUAAAGGGUAAUGAACCAACAAAAAUGAUUUAAAAUAAAAAUUAAGCCAUCUUGUCCAACCCCUUCUCCCAUCUCAGCCACAUAAUCUGGAAAACUUAGAACCCAUUAGAACGGAGAAGAAAUAUUUAAUUUUUAUUACUUCUGAAUUUGACUCAGAAGCUACUCUAAAGCUUAUCAAAAUUUUAAACUUUACAUCCUACUUGUUCUAACUAGAGGAUUCUUAUAAAUAAUGAUAUUUUAUCCAUUUGAGAGCAAUUUGGUAGCAUGAAAUUGAAGUCCAAAUUUAUCUACAAAAUGUUAAAGGAAAUAUCAGUAUAUAUGAUGGGUCUUUGUUUACGGCAUAACAACGAGUAAUUAUGACAAUUAAUGGGUCCAUACGACUAAUUGACAUCAAGGAACUCAAGGUAAGACUAAGAGUCAUACUCCGAUGAGAUUUUUGGGUGAAAAUGUUACCACCAACAUGUAAAUGAUAGAGAAAGGUUAUGCCCUCACUUCACUGAAAUAGUUCCAGAUCUAAAGAGAAACUAAAAAACCCAGCUCAAAGAAUGUUCUUUAUAACAAGCAAUGGAAGUUUGGAGAUUGAUCUUUAAACAAAGAUGACAUUUUUAAGAAAAGAUAUUAAAUUGAGAAGAUGGGUAGGUGCCGAUUACCUUUCAGAGAAAAUGGAGGUGUUUUUGUCAAGUUCAAUGUUGCAGACUUAAUAUAUUAUUAUUAAUUACUCCCCAUAUGAACUAUGAUUCGAAUCAUUGAUCCUCAUAUGAGGAUUGAUUCAAAUCACCAUUAUUUUGAUUCGAAUCAUCAAUUCUAGCGAAAAUUGGAAUCAAAAUGAUUCAACUCCUUUUCUCUUUGUAAAGAAUGAUUCGAAUCAUGCAAACUAGAUAUUAUAAGAUCAAAUUUAUUAGAUUCAGGAUUUACCUAGUAAAGUCUGAUUCGAAUCAAACUAUUGAAAAAUAAAAUUCUGAAGAAAGUUUGUACAGAACUUGUUCCCAAGGUUUUCAACUAAGGUUUUUAUGCAAAAAUAAGUUUAGAAACAUUAUAGUGUGCAUGUGACCUAGAGUGGGAAAGGGCGUUUUACAAAAACUAAAAGACAUGAAUCAAAACAAUCUAACAUAAUCUAAUCAAUCUAAGAAGCAACGGAGCAACUUCACUCAUCAACUUAUGCACCUUUUCUUUUUAUGGUCUACUCGACCUUACAAGUUUUGCACAUCCUCUCCAGACUUUUGCAAUCAUACAAUCCACCUUUACACUAUUAAAGAGGAUUAGUCAUGUUCUAACAACUAAGAUAAUAUGUUGUUUGCGAUUCUAAUCUCACAAUGAUUAACCUGAUCUCACAUAGUUCAAUCUGAUCUCACUUAUAAAGUGGAUCUAAACUACAAAUACACUUAUAGGAUUUAUACAAAGAUAUAGUGUAUGCACUAGUCUAUUUGAGAUUGCUUAUGAUGUAAGAAUGUGAUUCUGAAGUUGAGAUUUAAUUUGAUCUCAAAGUUCUUGAAAUUUGAUCUUUUAUUAAUAUGCUCUUUUUUCUGAUAUGAUGUGUGAGAUAUUAUUAUAUCCUUUGAAUGUGACCACUGGUUAGAUUAUGAUUAUGUAAAUGGAUAUAAUCAUAAUCUAACCAGUGGUCACAUUCAAAGGAUAUAAUGAUAGACCUAUUAUUAUAUCCUUUGAAUAAUACUUCCUUAUAUAGAAAAUAGGUGAGUCCAGCUUGUCUUCUUGGCCAAGUUUAAAAACUAAUCUUCGCAAAGUAGUUGUUUUCUUGUCCAUUGUUAAUUUGAAAUUUGCCUCGAUAACUAAACUUUUUCAAAUAGUGAAAGUGAUGCUUCUUAUUUGAUUUCCAUCUCUUGAUGCCCAAUCUGAUAUUUCAAUUCUCACCUGAGAUUGUUUUUCAUCAAAUAUUUCAUGCCUCUAAUUUUCGUUUACUUUCAACUUUAACGAACAAUCAACAAAUUAUUUCACUUUUUUUCCUUUAAUCUUCAUUUCUUUUAAUUUUUUUAAAAAAAUAAAAAUUUGUAUCUAACUUUUAAAAAAUUAGAAAUUAAUCCCUUUAAAGUUUCAAAAUUAAAUUUGAAAGUUUCGCCUCAAUUAUUCAAAAUUAAAUUUGCAAACUUCACCCCAAUUUUUCAUUUUUGAAAUUUGUCUCUCAACUUUUAGAAAUUUCAUAAAAAUUUCAUUAUUUUAUAAAAAAUAUUUAAAAAUAAAGAGAAAUUAAUAUUUUUGGGUGAAUUUCAUUAUUCAACUUAAAUGUGACACACAAGGUACAUUCUCUCUGUUGGAAACCCCGCCCCGGGCGUGAGGAGGUGUGUUGGUAAUCCCACCUUAAUUGUGAUCUUCCCCUAGUUGCCUUAUGUUGGCUUGUCUUCGAAGGGGUGGAUUUAGUCCCACAUCUGUUAGAUAAGAAGCUUGAUUAGAGUUUAUAAAUAUGAGACACUCAUCACCUUACAAGCCGGUUUUAUGCACUCAACAUAUUAAAACAUAAAAAAAAUUACUUUUUAACUUCAUUAAGAAAUUACUAUAUUUGAUAUGUAAAAUAGACAACCACAUCAAUUAUGUUUUUUUAAAAGAACAUAGUUAUUCAAUAAAUCUAAAAAUAAAAUGUUUUUUUUUUAAGUACUAAAAAAUAAAAUAGAAUAGUUUUUAUAAUUACGACCGAAAAAAGAAUGAAAAUUUACAUUGGACACUCCGUGGGGUCCUAAUACCAAUAACCGAAACUUGUUAUGACAAAAGAGUCAAAAAGAUGUGCACGAGUGUUGUGUUUGGAAGUUGAAACUGUCUAUAGGCAGCAAACUGAACAACGUGUUUGUAUUAUGUGGUAGUAAAAGAUAAGCUGCUAAGAAGCCAUGGCCGGUGUCUGCUCUUUCUUCUCUACCACUUCCUCUGACGUUGUUGCCAUUUCACAUUCUCUUACACCAUCACUGUCUCUCAACAACACUACACUUUCAACAACAAGUAAAAGAAGAUGCAUUCUGAGGAGGACGAGAACUGUGAGGCCUCUUGUUUGUGCAGCCAUCAACAAUCCAUUACAAUACCGGAAACUUGGUGACUCUGACCUUAAUAUCAGUGAAAUCACUCUUGGUACUGUAAGUUUACUUCUUCUCACAUUAUGUAUUUUCCUCUUUUUAUUCUUUUUCUUUUUGUUUGUUUACAAAUGUUGUUAUUUUGUCAUCUUUGUUGAGAGUCUCACGUAUUGAGUCUAACUUAGUGCAUGUUUUGUUCUGCGGUGACAAUAAUUGAUUUUGACUGAAUUGAUUUUGACUAACUGUGAGUUCAAAGUAAAGUGGUUUGUGUUUAGAUGCAUUUAUGCAAAAAUACUUUUUACUAUAAAUUUGUGUGUGAAUAUCAAUUCUAGAAUAAAAAACUUGAAAUCCUAGUUUCAACUAUAAUCAAUUCUGGAGGCAAAAUUAAUUAAUUCUCUUAGAAAUGGUGGUUGGACCUAACACAACCCCACAAUACCAGCUUGUGAGGUGAGGAUUGCCCCCACUUAUAAACACAUUGUCAGGCUAUCUCCUAUCCGAUGUAGGACUCUUAACAAAUUCUAUACAAAAGCAACCAAACAUGUUGGAAUCAAUUCUACAUUGGGCCCUUUAGAAGUAGAACAAAACAUAGUAUCAACCUUAAAAAAACCCGGCCUGUAUAACCCAGGGAUUGGCCUAGUGGUGAAGACUUGGACCUAGGAGUAUGCUCCUCUUUAGGUGUCGAGUCUGAAUCCUCCAGGUACCAACAAUUCCUGUGUUGGGCGAGUUCAUAUAGAGUUUUACUCUGACUUCAAUUGGGCCUCGCUAGUGCAUGAUAGGAUUGGUCCUCCGAUUAAUCAGUUCUUGGAUCGUAUAUCAAAUUUUCAAAAAAAUAGAUGGCUUGUAAGGUGAGAAUUGUCCCCACUUAUAAACUUAUGUUCAGGUCAAUCUCAUUCAAUGUAGGGCUUUAACAAUCUUGAUUUAAGAAAAAAAUUAAUGUUAUUAAGGGUAAAAUUAUAUUAAUGUAUUGGUUAUUGCUAUAUUAUUAUUGUUGUUUUUCUUGUUAUUACUAUUGAUCACUAUGAUGAUUUGAGUAUUGUGGCAUGUUGUUGAUUGAUUGGUGCAAUGUUUCAGAUGACCUUUGGGGAGCAAAACACAGAAAAAGAAUCUCAUGACAUACUCAAUUAUGCAUUUGAGAAUGGCAUUAAUGCUCUUGAUACUGCUGAGGCAGUAAGUUCUUGAAAUCUAGACUAGAUCUGCAUUUCCUUCAUUCCAUCUCAUUUUUACACUUGUACAAUAACGCUUUAUGAAAUUCAAGUAUUUCGAUUGGUUUAUCAUGUAUAAAAAAAUUAUAAUUUUGUGAUUAGAUGUAAUGCUUAUUUUGUUUUUAAGUCCAACAAGUUUAUUAGUCUGUUUCACAAUUCUACUUUUGUUUUGCUAAACCAAGUUAUCCCUGCACACAACUUUUGCAAUCUACUUCAUUUUUAUCUUGUGCUGCGACCGUGUGUUUUACAUGCCAUAUUGGAUUAACUAGUGAAAUUUAUGUGUCUGAUCAAAUUGCUGCUGUUUUGCACUUUGCAGUACCCGAUUCCAAUGAAGAAAGAGACACAAGGAAAAACUGAUCUCUAUAUAGCUAGCUGGCUGAAAUCUCAAUCUCGUGACAAGGUAUUAAUUGUUCAGGAGUUUGGCACAUUUUGCUACAUAUAACGAGCUAACCCUGAAGCUAGAUUGAGAUUUGGAUUUCAGUUAUUUUGGAAAGUUUUUCACUGACAGCACACUUUGUUGAGCUAACAGUUUGAAACUAUUUGUCUACCCUCUUUGUGCAUAGAUUAUCAUAGCAACAAAAGUUUGUGGUUAUUCUGAGAGAUCGAGUUACUUACGCGACAAUGCAGACAUUUUGCGGGUUGAUGCGGCAAAUAUCAAAGAAAGUGUGGAGAAAAGUCUUAAGCGUCUUGGGACUGAUUAUAUUGAUUUGUUGCAAAUUCAUUGGUGAGUUUACAGUAUGUAAGCAUUGGUGGUGUAUCUGACUUAAAUAUGGUUUUAAAACUUUAGCCAAGCAUACAUUGUUAAAAAAAUAUGAUUUUAUUGUUUUAGGUAUCUUAAGUUAGAGAUGAUGAACCAGAAAGCUAAACUAGUUUUUUAACUAUUAUAGGCCAGAUCGCUACGUUGCACUAUUUGGUGAAUAUUCUUAUGAUCCUUCAAAAUGGAGGCCUAGUGUGCCAUUUGUUGAACAGUUGCAAGCUUUUCAAGAACUUAUCAAUGAAGGAAAGGUGACUGAUUCAUAACAUGCUUCAUCUUUACUAUAUUCCUAAAGCAGUUUUGAUAAAAAAAAAUAAAAAAUUGUUUCGACUUAGAGAAGCUGAGCAGUGAGCAGUACUUUUUAUUUGUUAUAUAUUUGCUCGAACUGAAAUCAUGUGAUAUUUACUUUUAAGUGGUAACCUUCAAUCUGUACUAAUAACUACAUAUAAGAUCAUUUUACAACAUUUUGUUAUCCAUUUUAUUAUGUUAUGUUGCAAAUCUUAUACGUCCUUGUGAUUCAUAAGUCUGUGAAUAAAGAUCAGCUAUCAUAUGCCACACAUCAAUUAGCAUAAACUCACGACCUUCUAGUACAUGUGUAUGCGAUUCAGUUUCUUUGUAUUUUUGCAUGCAUCAGGUACGUUACCUAGGUGUUUCAAAUGAGACUUCAUAUGGAGUGAUGGAAUUCGUCCAUGCUGCUAAAGUUGAGGGACUUCCAAAGAUUGUCAGUAUCCAAAACAGCUAUAGCUUGCUCGUAAGAAGUCGUUUUGAAGGUAAGUACAAUUCUGACGUGGAUCAGAUCUCAUUCAUUUAUCACUUAAUUUUGUAUUGCUGGAUGUAAAGCUGCAGCUCGCUUUGUCCUUAUAGUAUAUGAUUUGUGUUGAAUCGAAAUGCUACUUUUCGAUGAAAAAUGCAAUGCACCAUAAGUUUAAAAAGUAAUACAUUAUUGAACCUAGAGAGUCCAAAAUAAAAAGGCUUUCUUGUAGAUCUUCGAGUACUUGGUCUCUCUUGUUAACGGUUACACUAUGCUGUAUCAAUGAAGACUUGUUAAACAAAUGAUUACAGAUAACAUGGUUUAGUUUUUUAGUAAAUAUGUUGCCAGAGGUCAAAUUUCUUUCUCACAAGGGUUCUCAUAAUGAGCAAUUUUUAGGCAUACUUGUCUCCUGCUUUUGGGGAAGUUUCAUACGCAAUUUGGUCCUUAAACUUCAAAAACGUCCAACGUGAUCCGUAAACUUUUAGUUUAUGGUUUAGUUCUUUUCAUUUAAUAUUCUGUCAAAUGUUAACAGGAUUGUUUUUUUCUGUAAGGUACAUGUUCAGAGUGCAGUUGAACCCUAACUUGGAGGGGGAGGGGGUAAAUUCAACUUUUUCCAUUAGGAAAUUUGCAAAAAUAUUCGCAUGAUUUGAGUGUGACGAAUUUCUGUCGGUGUUUGAUAAAGAGUUUCUGCAAUACGCUCUUUACUACAAAGUAUUGUCAAAUAGCAGCUGUAGUGGCUUUAUAGCUCCAUAGUGCUGUAGAAUUGACCUGACCGCUAUUUUCUGUGAUUGACUAUGUUACUGUUAUAAAGAUCAAAGUGCACCAUGACCCUAAGUUAGAGGGUGUAAAGUGUAAUUUUCCCAUUUUAAGCUUCUUCAAGUUCUUAGUUAGUUUAAUGUUUUUGCAGUUGAUCUUGUGGAGGUUUGUCAUCCAAAGAAUUGUAACAUUGGCUUGCUGUCCUAUUCCCCACUAGGCGGCGGAACACUCUCAGGAAAAUAUAUAGAUAUAAAUUCUAAAGCUGCAAAAAGUGGAAGAUUGAACCUCUUCCCUGGCUACAUGGAAAGAUAUAACCAAUCGAUUUCACGGGUACAUAAUACUUCUAGUUCUUGUAUUUAAAGUUUUGACCGUUUUUUUCAAAACCGAAUUAGACAUCGUACCAGCAUGACUUCUGGGUCAGGUUAAGUGACUUUAAACCACUCGGACAAAACCACAAUUGAACUGCUCAAAUAACUGAACCAUCCAGUUCAGUUUUUAUAACAUUGGUUCAGACUAUACUCUAAACCACGGUUAACAAGAUAACCAAUUAAUAACUUUCUUCUAUUUUUUCAUGUUUUUAUUUCAGGAAGCAACUAUUAAGUAUAUUGAGUUGGCCGAGAAACAUGGUCUAACUCCUGUCCAGCUCGCGCUUGGAUUUGUGAGAGAUCGUCCAUUCAUGACGAGUUCAAUUAUCGGUGCAACUUCUGUGGACCAACUAAAAGAAGACAUAGAUGCUUUUACAACAACCGAACGACCUUUGCCAGCAGAAGUCAUGACAGGAAUUGAAGCUAUCUUCAAGAGAUACAAAGAUCCUAGCAUCCUUUAAAGACUAUACCUUUGAAUUUUUCGGGAUAUUCUUAUAUUAGUUCCAUGGAUAGAUACAUAUUGAAUCGAUACAUGAAUACUAGGGUUUAUAAAACUGUCUGCAUUACUUAUGAAAACGUUACGCGGCCUUACAAACUUGGUAUUGUAUAACCUAUGUUCAGUUAUUGUCAAUGAUCACAUGCAUUUAUACAAAUAACAUCACUAUUUAUUUGAUGACAAAACAAUAUGUGAGAAUAGUUGCUUUGACAUUGAAUAAAAAUAUAUUGUAGUUCCAAUUUCUUUCAAAUUUUGGAAUGACUCGUUUCUGCAAAUAUGGAACAACCUUGCUCAUUUGAAUUCAUGAUUAUUUAUGAGAAUUAUUCAUGAUUAUUUGGAGUCUCUGCAAAUGACCAUUAUAGAAACAUUUUAUAGUUUGGUUAGAAACAAUCUAACCACAUUUUUAAUCGAUGUAAGUAAUGUUUAUUGGGAGUGGUUAUGAUGCAUAAGGAUUUCCUUAUGCACCAUGCAUAAUUACUUCAUACACCCCAACCCAUUUUGUAUAACAUUUGCAUGGAGCAUUUUACAUGAUAAGUAAGUGAAAACCAUUUUAAAUAUCUAUUGGUAAAGUAUAUGAAUUAAUAAGCUUUGCAAUAGAACUAGUAAUAAUAUUUUGAAGAAAUUAAACUAUUCUAAUUAAGAAAAAUGUAGUAGCAUGCAAUUUAGUUUUUAAAGCUAAAACCAUUAAUUUUCAAGUGCCAACAAGCAAAUUCAUAUUCCUAAUUGCAAUUACUAAAUACAAAGUGCCCUUGAGCAGGCAGGUCGGCAUGCAUGUUUCUCUUGUUUUUUGGUCCAACUAGGUAGUGUGGUUGUAUUUUCAUGUUCUUUAGUCACUAAGAAUAGCUUCUUAGGCUGUCCUAAAAUCAUUAAAUGUUAAUUUUUUUUGCCAAAUUGGUUGUUUUAUUUGGCUAUACUACAGCUUGUAAUCUCAGAUAAUAUCCUAGUAGUACAAAUCCUAAAUGCUUUAUAAUAAUGUAGGACGAAGAUUUUGUACUGCUCGGAUAACAAGGCUCAUGCUUUCGCUCUACAAAGGAGUGACUUGUGAACACUUCAAAAAGAUGAAUGGGUGUCAUGCUUCGUGAUAAAUGCCUUGGUCAAUUGCUUGAACUGGAAUCAACCAAAUGAAAAAAAUAACAAGACUGGUUACACCAUUCAUCAAUUAGGUAUGCAUUACAUUCCAUGAAUGUUAAAAGUUUACAUACUGUUUAGGUCUUUUUGGAAUUGAUUUUACUCAUUUUAUAUAAACAGGUUGAUAUGGAAAGAGUUUUGAAAAUUUCUACAGAUUGAUUGUUUGACUUAUAUGGUGUUGAUUAUUUUACUGAUGAAAUAGAUCAUGACGCCAGCACUAAUUGGGAAUCCGGGUAGUCAUUAUGUAUGCUUUGUUGUGAAUCUCAAGAGUCAAAAAUUACAAUUCAUGAACAACUUGAUCGGAGAGACAUUGCACAUGAAGAAUGGCGAAGCAACUAUGUACAAAAAGAUGUUUGAUGUAUGGCUGAAGGAGGUGGAAGCAUUUGUGACAGAAUUGCAUAAGAAAAGAAAAAUCAAAAUGUCUUUCCAAUUUAACACAUUUAAGUGGGAAACACCAAGGGUGCCUACUCAAACUGAUAAAGGCAGCUGUGGAGUCUUUUGCAUGAAGUUUCUUGCUGAAUGGGAUGGUGACAAUACCCAAAUGGAAUCUUUCAAAAAUUGGUCCAAAAUGAGAUAGCAUGGGAAGAAUGGCAAGAUUGAAAAAAUUGUGGAUUUGAGAAUUGGAAUAUGUUCCACAAUAUUAAGCGACUCAAGCAAUUGCAAAAGAAACUAUAUGGAGAAGGCAGCAACUUCAUACUAUGAAGAAAUGCUUCAAAAGCUAGCAUAUCAAACAUGAUAUGUAACCUCCGAUUAAGGACUGGAUUAGUUUUAAUGUUUUUUUUAUUGAGUUUGUAUAAAGAUGUUGAUGAAUUUCUAUAAAUGUUCUUAAAUCAAUUAAAUUUCUAGAUGUUAUUUCGAGUUUAUGAUUUCAGUUAAUGAUCUUUCUAAUGAAGUCAAAGUUGAUUCAUGAAGUUCUUUGCAAUCUUAUAUAUCUCCUCUUUUGUUCUCUAUGAUGUCUGAAUUUUGAUGAAUUGAAACAAACUUAGAGGUAUGGAUUACUGAAACCAAGAUAAUUGUGUAAUGGCUUUAAAUAAUGAUUAAGAUGUUAUACACUCAAAGCUUAAUGGUUAUUUCAGACAUCAUAUAGCACAAAAGAGGAGUUAUACAAGAUUGCAAAGAACUUCAUGAAUCAACUUUGACUUCAUUAGAAAGAUCAUUAACUGAAAAUCAUAAACUCGAAAUAACAUCUAGAAAUUUAAUUGAUUCAAGAACAUAUCCAGAAAUUCAUCAUAAACUUGAUACAAAUUCAGAAAUUCAUCAACAUCUUUAUACAAACUCAAUAAAAAAAACAUUAAAACUAAUCCAGUCCUUAAUCGGAGGUUACAUAUCAUGUUGGAUGUGCUAGCUUUUGAAGCAUUUCUUCAUAGUAUGAAGUUGCUGCCUUCUCCAUAUAGUUUCUUUUGCAAUUGCUUGAGUCGAUUAAUAUUGUGGAAGCGAUUCCAAUUCUCAAAUCCACAAUUUUUUCAAUCUUGCCAUUCUUCCCAUGCUUUCUCAUUUUGGACCAAUUUUUGAAAGAUUCCAUUUGGGUAUUGUCACCCUCCCAUUCAGCAAGAAACUUCAUGCAAAAGACUCCACAAUUGUCUUUAUCAGUUUGAGUAGGCACCCUUGGUGUUUCUCACUUAAAUGUGCUAAAUUGGAAAGACAUUGUGAUUUUUCUUUUCUUAUAUAAUUCUGUCACAAAUGCUUCCACCUCCUUCAGCCAUACAUCAAACAUCUUUUUGUGCAAUGUCUCUCCGAUCAAGCUGUUCAUGAAUUGUAAUUUUUGGCUUUUGAGAUUCACAACAAAGCAUACAUAAUGACUACCCGGAUUCCCAAUUAGUGCUGGCGUCAUGAUCUAUUUCAUCAGUAAAAUAAUCAACACCAUAUAAGUCAAACAAUCAAUCUGUAGAAAUUUUCAAAACUAUAUUGAACUGAGUCUUACAUAUUCUAGACUUGUAGGGUCAAUAGCCUUCCAAUCCAUGUAUUUGAACUUUUUCAGUCUCUCGAUGAAUCUUUUGCAUGCAAUUGGUUUCGUUAUAUAUAAGGCAUCACGUCUUUCCAUGUCAACCUGUUUAAAUAAAAUGAGUGAAAUCAAUUCCAAAAAGACCUAAACAAUAUGUAAACUUUUAACAUUCAUGGAAUGUAAUGCAUACAUAAUUGAAGAAUGGUGUAACCAGUCUUGUUAUUUUUUCAUUUGGUUGAUUCCAGUUCAAGCAAUUGACCCAGACAUUUAUCACGAAGCAUGACACCCAUUCAUCUUGUUAAAGUGUCCACAAGUCACUCCUCUCUGUCCUACAUUAUUAUAAAGCAUUUAGGAUUUGUACUACUAGGAUAUUAUCUGAGAUUACAAACUGUAGUAUAGCCAAAUAAAACAACUAAUUUGGCAGAAAAAAUUAACAUUUAAUGAUUUUAGGACAGCCUAAGAAGCUAUUCUUAGUGACUAAAGAACAUGUAAUCAUGAAAAUACAACCACACUACCUAGUUGGACCAAAAUACAAGAGAAACAUGCAUGCCGACCUGCCUGCUCAAGGGCACUUUGUAUUUAGUAAUUGCAACUAGGAAUAUGAAUUUGCUUGUUGGCACUUGAAAAUUAAUGGUUUCAGCUUUAAAAACUAAAUUGCAUGCUACUACAUUUUUCUUAAUUAGAAUAGUUUAAUUUCUUCAAAAUAUUAUCAAAGCAUUUUCACUUACUUAUUCAUCUGAUCUAUGUGCGAUAAUUUUUUUUGAAGAAAUUACAUUAGAAGCAACAAUGAGACCAUUAUAUAGCUCAACUCUUUGGAUGUCAAUACACAAAAUUUCAUAACCAAACACAGAAAUUCAACAACAAAAGAAAAACCAAACUCAUACUAUAAUUCACAAAUGUAUUUUUGAACAUACAAUCAAUAAUAGUGUUGUUACAUUAUCGGAUCUACCAUUUGAUACAAAAUGGUUCAAUUAGUCCACAAAGCAUCCAUAUAGAAAAACACUUGAAUUUAGUGUUGAUAAGAUAAAAAGCAAAAAUUUUUAAAAAAAGAUGAAAACUAUAUUUCUAAUACAUACAUGUAUGUAUCUAUUUUAUUUUAUUUUAUUUUUAUAUAAAAAAAAAAAAAAGAAACAAACCCAUUAUGGUCCAAAUCUAAAGAAACCAUGGUUCAACCAUUUCGGAUUAAGCAUAAAUGUCAAGUGUGAUAUAACCUGUGAUUUAACACACAAAUCGGGGCGUUGACCCACUACAUAGAAUGUCUUUGAAAUUGCAUAACUAUAUUGAUCUUAGAUGAAAUUUUUUUAAGAAAAAAUUGCAAUGAGGUUACUCACAAUUAGUAUCACCGUUAAGACAAAGACCUUUCAAAAGUGUAUUGAAGGUUACCACAUCAGGCUGAUGAUAUCCCACCUUCCGAAUCUUGUUGAACAGAGAAUAGGCAAAAUUCAUGGUAGAAAGUUCUGAACUUUUCCUGUCCAUAUGAUGUGAAAGGGAACUAACAACUGAGUAGUGGUUUUUGGUAUUACUCAUUUGUAGGAAGAUGUUGAGUGAGUGAACAGUGUCAGAAUGGUAGGGUUUUGAGAGUUGCAACGAGAAAGGUGAGUGCUGUGUGUGACGGCAUCUUAACCUAGAUGUCUUAUAAGCUCAUAAACUGAACAAAAAUGAUUAUGGAUCACAACGAAAUAUAGCUUGUGUAGAAGAUAAUUGCUCAUUAAACCCCCACAUUGCUACUAAAUUAUACCCCCACAUUGCUACUAAGCCUCUCAGUUUUCUUCCUAGUACGUGCAAAUUAGUUUUUUUUGUUUGUUUGUAAAAUUACACAAUUCGACUAUUAAUUUAAUUUCAUGUAAUAUUUUCAUCAUUCAUCUUUUUUUUUUUUUAAGUUAAUUCAUUAUGUUAUAAAAUAUCAACAUUUUUAUCCUUUUUUAUUAAAAGAAUUGAAAACUCAACAAAUUUAUAAAUAAACUCAUAUUUUCGUUAUAUAAACCUAGCAAUCCAGAUUUUAUUGAAAAAAUCUCAAACUAAAAAACUCACAAGUCCAUUUUUGUACAUAACCUUAAUCAUUUUCUUUCAACACAUAGAAAAAAAUCAACCAAAACCAAAAAAUAAUCAUAACCAAAUUUACACUUGAUGCCCAAAACAAAAAAAAACGAAGAGGAAAUGAUGGAAAAAAGAUGAUGUUUUUAUGUUGUUAGAAUGUUAGGUUGAUUGAUGACAGAGAAAAUGAAGAAAAUGAAGUUUUGAUGAUUUUUUUUACAUUUUUUUAUGAAGUUGUGAGUUUUGUGAUGGGUUUUUUUGUUUUUAAUUAAUUGUAUAGAUUUUUCAGUUUUUUUUAAUAAAAAAUCAUAAACUUGACGACCGACAUAUGGCUGCUUUAGACAAAGAAUGAGAAACUAUGUUUGCUUGACGUCGAAUAAACUUAACGUCAAAGUUGUAAUUUGAAGCUAAAAUUCUUCUAAUACUAGUACUAGAAACAAUGGAACUAAAGUCUGAAAUGCCUGCAUUUCUCGAGUGAAUUGCAUCAACCAAAAUCUGAGUCACAAUCAAAGAAAAUGUUGUUAUAUCCCAAACUAAGGACCCAAUUCAUAGCAUUACAUAGUCCCGUGGGCUCACCAUGAACAGAUAGCUUCGGAUUAAACUGUCCUGGCAGUGCCACGGAUACAGCAGCCAUUACUUGUCAUGUUUAUAGACCGAUGAAAACUUGCAUCAACAUUACACUUUAAUACUCCUGGAUCAGGCCUACAGCAAUGCAAUCUGUUGUUGUUUGCUGCUUCGGAACUGACUCUACCUCUGCAUCUGUGCAGAAUUCCAAUCAGCCCACUGUCGCUGCCCCUUAGAGCCAACUUGAAUAGUUUCAAACAAAGAAAAAGCUUAUGAACAAUGAAAUAUGUUAAAUUGAAACCACGUGGUUUAAAUGAUGGUAGUUAAAGCUGGACGUCGAUCAGAGAUCAGGUAUGCACUUAUCUUUAAAAACUUAGUUCUCAAGUUGGUAUCAGACCAAAAUUCAAGUGCCUUCUGCGGCAAACAUGAUUUUGUAAGAACAAGAAGACAGAGAAAUCUCCAUUGGCAAUAAAAUAGGACCUAAAACAGAAAUUCUAAAAAAUAAAAAUAAAAUAGGACCUCAAGUAUUUUUUUCACUUUCAUACUUUGAAAGAUCAACAUUGGCAGUCUUAGAUACUCUCUUAUUUCAAAGGAUGUUACUAUAACAAGUUAUGAAUGAGAAAUUGUAGACCAUUGUAUGGGAAUUCGGAAAUGGAACAUGGUACACUUGCAUUCAUUAAUGAAAACGAAAUUUAUAAAACUCACCAGAACAAUGUCCGUACCAAAAGCACAUGCAAUGUUAAUCUUUAAGCCAAGAUAAGAAUCAUCUAUGCCUUUAAUAAUAAUGCAGCUGCAUGUGUUGCUCUUGAUGGCUUGUGUGAGACCGCUGAAACAAUCGAGUGUAGGUGCUAUGGCACUACCAUCAAAAUAUGACAGGCAGAUGUACUGCAAUACUUGUGAUUGUUCAGCGCUUUCUGUUUCUCUUGUGCUGAUUGCCCCAUCACAUGCGUGAAUAAUAUUAAUGACAUUGCUAAAACUAUUCGUGGUUCACCGAUCUCAGUAUAACUUUAUUCAGAGCAUAAAACUCUAGACCUAAAGUUGAUGAGAAAUUUUCAGAUUCAUUACGCCAGCUUAAGCAUCUUGAAAUUCUUGAUCUCAGUAACAAUACCUCUACCAAUCCUUUCAAGUAUUCAUAUGUCUUGCAUCCCAAAGGUGAUGAAUUAUAGGACAAAGACAACCUGCCGUAAUAAGUUGUUAGGAGCUAAAUUUCCUCCUGUAACAUCCAUGCAAUCUACUAUUUGCAUUUUGAUCUAGUCAAGAAACCAUGUGUCUAGAAAGUUACCAAAAGUCGAAGCAUGGAAUUGUUAGAAUCCGAUGAAAGUAAGCAUACCUCUCUGAUCUAUGUGACAUUAGACAUAAAGGUAAGACUUAUAAGACUACUAGAAAACCAAAUACACAACAUAGAAGCUUGAAAUAUGAGCAUUAAGAAAUUAUCUUAGAUACAUAAUAAAAUCUGAUCAAUGUUAUUGCAAGUCAACCCUUGGAUGUACAUUAAGAAAUUACAUUAGGUAAAUGUCAGACAGCAACAAUGAGGCCAUUACAAAGCUCAAAUUUUUGGAUGUCAAUACACAAAAUUUCAUAACCAAAAACAGAAAAUCAACAACAAAAGAAACCUAAUUUGAUAUGGAACUAAGAUGUUUCAUUUUUUAUACCUUUCAAAAAGAAAAUAUUUGACGAAGACAUGUCUGAAACUAGUUUUUCUCAUACUUCUUAAAAAGAGCACAAUUAAUUGUCUCAAAAGUAACAUAUUUAGGAGUCAAAUUUAUAAAUAAACUCCAGUGAGGGAAUGAGUUAGGUGCUUAACCAAUAAAUGAUAAUAAUUCACAAUAAACAAAACAAGAUCUGAGAAUCACAAAGAUAGAGAUUUAUGAAAGAAUUGCCAAAGAAAAGGCCUAAAUGAGCCAGACGAGAAAUAUCAGAAACCUUAACACAUUUUUCACUCAGAGGAUGCAAACAAAAUAUGCUUAUGAUUUGAACUCAAACAGGACUACCAGAAAAUUGCAGUAAACUGAAUAAAAUAAAUCUACUAACUAUAAGAAAUAAUGAAUUACAGAGUAAAGACAAUCAUGUCAUUAUUUGAAACGCCAAAAACGACCACUGCAUGAUAAAUUCUUUUAAAGUUGAUAUAGCAGAUCAAGAAUACAAUGGGAAGAAAGAGGGUUAUUACUUCAAGACUUGAAAAAUCAUAGUGACCCUACUACAUUAUACAUCUUUAAUGUGAGUAACUAUCAAAAGAAAAAGACACUAGAUGGCAGCCAUUCAAAUCUAAAACAACAUGUACUCCCUCCGUUUCAAAAUAUAAGCAAAAUUUACUUUUUAGAUUCAUUCAUUUAAUGAUGUAUGUGGUACAUAUUAUGAACCAUAUACAUCAUUAAAUGAAUGAACCUAAAAAGUGAAUUUUGCUUAUAUUUUGAAACGGAGGGAGUAUCUGUAAAGCAUUAAAUAGACCUAUAGCAAACAUUGGAAGAAGAGUUUUCUCUGCUUAAUCAUUCUCACCUGUUUCAAAAAUGGAAGCAAAUCGUUCAUAUCUUCCAUUUUUGACAGCAAGUAAAAUGCUUCUUCAAAUAAACCCUCUUUACAAAGCACCCCAUUGAUCAUAGUCAUAUACUUCACGACAUCUUUAAUCAAAAGUUCUCAAAAAACUUAUUUAAGUCUUACACCUUUGACAAACCAAGCAUAUUAUGUGUACAAAUCCGGUUGAAUGCCUUGGUCUUUAAUUUUGCACAAAGUAUGUAAUAAAGAAUUGUAAACGAUGACAAUAGUUUGUUGACCUCCAUUAUGCAUCUUACCAACAAGCUUCCACGCAUAACAGAUUUUCUCUCAUUUGCACAAGUCAUCUAUAAUAUUGUUGUACGUUAUUAUUGCAUAAAGAAUCAAAUUUUUGGAAUACAUUUCUUCAAAGACAUUCACGAUUUCAUCCACUAUUUUAAUCUUACAUAAUUCAUUAAUCAUGAUAUCACAUCAGCUUCUUUCACCAUUUCAAGAUGCAAAAACACACUGCACAAUAUACUAUAAACAUUUGGGUUGAUAUUUUUCAAGAUCAUUUCAUUCAACCAAACAACAACUUCUCUCUACUUGACUAAAGCAUUGUUAAAUUUGUGCAUACUCUUCUGCUAGAAAAUGCUUUAUAAUGUGAAUUAUUUAGUUAAUUACACAUCUAAAAUACUUAACUAAUAUUUUUCAGCUGCUGAAACUCAACAACCAGCUGCUUUACCUAUUAAUGCUCCACUUCCCCCCCUUCCUACUAGGGGUAGAAGACCUAAUGCUAAUGGUAAUAGGAGAACCUCUCCUGUUUGGUUACAUUUUAACCCUUUAUCCAAUGAACCAGAACCUGUAGCAGCUUGUAAACAUUGCCAUAAACGAUAUCACUGUCAUUCUAAAGCACAUGGGACAUCCAGCAUGUUAGCACACACUAAAAUUUGUCUUCAAAAACCCUCUAACAUGUUAAAAUACCCUAGGCAAUCAAACCUUGUAAGUGGAAAGGGUGGUUUGCUAGUUGCUGCAAACCAAAGGUACAAUGCAAUAGAGUGUAGGAAAGCUAUAACAAAGUUUGUCAUCCUUGAUGAACAUGCCUUUAGGGUUGUAGAAGGUGAGGGAUUUAAGCAACUUUGUAAACAAUUGCAACCUCUUAUGACCCCCCCCCCCCCCCCCCAAGGAGGACAGUUGUUAGAGAUUGUUUCCAACUUUUUCUAGAUGAAAAAUUGAAACUUAAGGCAUUUUUUAAGUCUGAUUGUAGAAGUGUAGCCUUAACUACAAACUGCUAGUCUUCCGUUCAAAACUUUAGUUUCAUAACCAUCACUGCACACUUCAUUGAUAGGUGUUGGAACUACCAAAAGAGAAUCAUUAGUUUCGCCCUAAUACCAAAUCACAAAGGACUAACCAUUGGCAAGAAGGUUGAGGAGGUUUUGAAAGAGUGGGGUAUAAGGAAUGUGUCCACGAUCACCGUGGACAACGCUUCCUCUAAUGAUGUAACUGUUGGUUAUUUGAAAAAAAGACUUAAGAUCAAGAAUGGGUUGUUGGGUGAAGGGGAUCACUUCCAUAUGAGGUGUGUUGCCCAUAUAUUGAACUUAGUAGUCAUGGACGGGUUGAAAGAUCAAGAUAUGUCUAUUGCUAGCAUCCGCAAUGCGGUUAGGUUUGUGAGGUCUUCACCUCAAAGAGCUUUGAAAUUUCAAGAAUACAUUGAUAUGUCAAGGAUAACAUGUAAAAAACAUGUUUGUCUUGACGUUUCCACUAGGUGGAAUUCACUUUUCAUGAUGUUGGAUACCGCUGAAAAAUUCCAACCCGCUUUUGAGAAGUUAUUGCAUGAAGAUUCUGGCUAUGUUGAGUGGUUUAAAGAUGGUGGAUUUUCUACUCCUAAUGAUUGGGAAAAGGCUAGAGCCUUUGUUAGCUUUUUAAAGAUUUUCUAUGAUGCUACAAAAGUGUUUUCAUCUUCCCAACAAGUGUCUAUACACACAGCCUUUCACAGCUUGGCUUCUAUUUUGUGUGAGCUUCAAAUGGCAUGUAUGGACUUGAAUACAAUUGUGGCUGAUAUGGGAGUAGAAAUGAAGGCCAAGUACGACAAGUAUUGGGGUAAUGUUGUAAAAAUGAACCAAUUCUUAUACUUUGGAGUAAUAUUUGAUCCUAGGUAUAAGUUUGAGUACAUUGAGUGGUCUUUUAGUGAUUUGUAUGGUGCUGGUAGUGAAAUGGCAAAAGAAAGGGUUGGGAGUGUGAGUGAUAAUUUGUUCAAGUUGUACAAUCUUUACAAAUCUGAACAUGAAUCCUUUGUUGGCCCUUCGGGCAGCAACAAUUCCUCUGUUGAACAACCUGAUGUUCCCAAAAAUCCAUCCCUAAAUGCAAGGUCAGAUGCCUACAAAAAACACUUGAAAACCAAAGAAACCAUUGUUCAACAAAAUGACCUUGAGAGAUACUUGAGUGACCCUCCAGAAAACGAUGAUCCAAGCUUUGACAUUCUUACUUGGUGGAAGAAAAACUGUGUUCGUUACCCUGUUUUGGCAACAAUGGUUAGAGAUGUGUUGGCCACACCUGUAUCAUCAGUUGCUUCGGAGAGCGCAUUUAGCACCCGGGGAAGGAUUUUAGACACAUAUAGAAGCUCAUUGAGUCUGGAAAUGGCGGAAGCUUUGAUUUGUACUCAGAAUUGGCUGAAACCAUCUUUCGUCAACUUCAAAGAUCUAAAUUUGAGUGAAGAGUAUGAGCUGUUGGAAAAUGUUGUGGCAGGUAAAUUAUUAAUUUUUCAAUAAAUUCGUAUUUUUAUUAUGCGCAUUUGAUAUUGCUUAAUUAUUUGACUUGUUUCUCAUAUAUUGUUUUCCAUGCAUUUUAGAAAUUGGACAAGUCUUGAGUGGAGUAGAUGUUGGUCCUGCUACUGGUGUUGCACCAGCAACUGGGCUCUAAUUCCAUUUUAUGGUAAAAAACAUUAAUUUUUUACUAUUUUAUAUAUUAUGUAUUGCAUAUGUAUGUAUAUUUAUUUAGUGUAAUUUUAUGUACUGCAGGAGUGACUUUUCUUGGGAUAUUUUGGAGUCAAAUGUGACUUGUACUACAGAGCACAUGCCUAUGGUUUUUGAUAACGAAGUUGAUGUGGAACCUAGUACUUUUGCUUGACUCCAUGGUGUUGGCUUUGCUUGUUAAACUGGUUUACGCUUAUAUAUUGGUAUGUCCAUGUCUAACUGACAUGUUAUAAACUUGAUGCAUACUGACAUUGUUAAAUUUGAUAUAUACUGUUAUGUUAUUAGAUUUGGUGCAUUUUGACAUUGUCAAAUUUGAUAUGUACUUCUUUGUUAGAUAAUUUGAUGCAUAAAACAUUGUUAAAUUUGAUGCAUAAUGUUCUGUUAGAUAAAAUGAUGCAUAUUGACACUGUUAAAUUUGAUAUAUACUGUUAUGUUAUUGAGUUUACUUUGUUCAUUUAAAUUGAGCUUCAUCUACAUGGUUAUUGUUAGGAUUAAUAUAUGAAUUGAAGCUAUCACCUAAUGGUGUGCAUUAGAGACACAUGAUGUGCAUCAAAGAACAUUGAUUGGCCACGUAGAAGAGGUGCAUCAGCUAUCAUCCAAUGCUUGUUUACAUUAUCAUCGAACUCUAUUCUGAUUGUGCAAAAAGCAGGUUGGUUUUUUUACGUUUGUUCUUUCUUUCUUUUUUCAUACCUUGUUGCAGAGUUACACCAUGUUGAGCAUCAGCAUACUGCAGUUUUCAUAUUCAUCAUUGAAGAUGACUAAUUAUUUAAUCUUACAUUUGGAUGAUUGUACUAUAAUACAAUUAAUACUUGUGACUUAGUUUAAAUACAUGUUGGCUGUGCUGUGCUAGUUUGUAAUGUGCUUUGAAUUGAUGCAAGCAUAUUACAAUAGUAUUAAUGGCCUCGACCCCAAAGCGGUGUUCUAUAAUUAUUAAGGAAUAGCCUUAAAUAAAUGUUUGGUGAAUUACAUGAAUUUUAUGUUGAACUUUACUCUUAUUUUAGGAUAUGAUUAGCCCUCAAAUAUAGGUGAAUAAGACCUGAACUCAGGCCCAAAUUAGAAAAACUAUAGGCAAAUACUUGAAUUUGUGUUUUCAGUUUAGUGUAAAUCGACAGUACCCACCCGAUCUUCCACCUUAUCCGAUUAAACCGAAACCGACUAAACCAAUACAUAAAUUGUUCGGAAAUGGGCCUUGGGAUUGCAAUCGUGGGCUUUUUUGGUUUCAGGUUUUUAGACCGAUUUUCGACCGAAACCGACCGACGUCCAACUCUACAGUUAACUACCGCUGGAGGUAAUUUGAUCAUUUACUUGUGUCAAUAGAAAAAGAUUCUAUGUCAAAAAAGCAAUUUUCAAAAAACAAUUGUCUAACUGAACAAACUGAUUAUGGAUCACAACGAAACAUAGCUUGUCUAGUCUAGAUUAUAAUUGCUCGUUAAACCCCCCACAUUGCUAUGAAGCCUCUCAGUUUUCAUCCUAUUAGGUGUAAUCUACUUUUUUUUCCCUUUAUUUUUCAUUUUUUUUUAUAUAAAAUUACAUGAUUCAUCUCUUAAUUUAAUUUCAUGUAACUCUUUUAUCAUUAGUCUUUUUUUUUAGUUAAUCUUUUAUGUUAUAAAAUGACAACUUCUUUAUCUAUUUUAAUUAAAAAAAGCGAAAAUUCAUCAAACUUAUAAAUGAACUCAAAUCUUCGUUAUACAAACCUAACAAUCAGAUUUUAUUGAAAAUAUCUCAUAAACUAAAAAACUCAUAAGUUCAUUUUUGAACAUAUCCUUAAUCAUUUUCUUUCACGCAUAGAAAAAAAAAACAGCACCGCUAUUUCCAAUGAAUUAUUUUCUACGGGAAUCACGAAUUGUGCCGUGCACGUGAUUAUUCUUAUGUAGGUUCACUUCCUUUUUAAUUAAAAUUAAAAAGCAUAUCUUUUGUUUUAAAUUUUUUUUUUUUUUGUCUUCUUUUAUUUCUUUUUCUAAAACAGUCUAACCAAAAUAUAUGAUAUGAAAAUUCAAUAUGAAAUCUGUCUUCUCCAUAAUUGAUUCUGCUAUAGCCAGGUAUGAUGUGAAAAUUCUUUCAAGCAGCUUCAAAUGGUAGAAAAUGAUACCAGUUUAUCCUAAGAGUUGUCUCUAGUAUAUAAAUAACAUGCCAAUGUCACAACUAGUAUAUUGGAUCCCAAUAACGUUGGAAACCAAAAAUUUACUCCAUGGAAAAUCUAGAAGCUAAUCCAUCUAAAUUGAAGGACAGAACCAGAGGAAUACAGAGGAACACAGAAAUAGCGGUAUGACUCGACUUGUGGAGGAAAAUGGAACCAGGGUGAAUAUUUGAUCAACAACAAAGGUCUUUAAUUUUGAGAAUUGAAAGGAAAUCAAUAUAAAAUCUAAAACUACCUCUAUUUUGUGAUGGAUCUUGCAAGAACAGAACCAUGUUUAUGGUGGUAAGAGCUAUAGAAAAGCAUGGGAAAAAGACAGCUAGAGAAUAAAAGAAGAAGAGGGUGUUUACGUUUGGUAACCGUGUGUCAUAAAUGAGAGAGAUGGUAUUGUUGACUUAUGUAAUUUUCUCCACAUAGGAUACACACGUCAUUCGUGGAAUUCUUAGAAACUACUUUCGUAGGAAUAAGCAUUUCUUGAAAAAAAAAUCAACGAUAACCAAAACAAAAAAAUAAUCAUAAUCGAAUUCCAACUUAUACGCAAAACAAAAGAAAAAAAAGAAAGAAAUAGGAAAUGAUGAAAAAAGAUGAGGAUCAUUAUAUGUUGUUGGGAAAAUGAAGAAUUCCAACUUGUAUUAAUUUUCUUCAAAUUAAUACAAAAUCACGCCUAAUACAAUAAAACAAUCAAUUCAUGUUCCCCUAAAAAAACAUAUUCAUGUUAUUGUAUGCACAUUAGUUUCUCAUGGAAUCAAAAAAGUUGUUUGCUGGUGAAUGUAAUCUCAAAGUUUUUCUGUCUGCAUAAUUUAAUCAGUUCAUUACAUCAACAAUGUAAUCUCAAGGUGUCAUUAUCAAAUAAAUACAUCAAUGAUGAUUCAAAAAUCUAAUUUAGUAGUCAUCGAGUAACUCAUUGCAGACACUUUUCUUCUUUUAUGUGCAGUUUGUAGAAAGGUUUGUCAAGAAGACAUGUUAUUUUUUAAUUUUUUUGAAAGGAAAAAGAAGAAGACAUUUUAUGUUAUGUACUUAUGUUGUGUACAUGAAAAUUUUUAUACAUCAAUAUUACAAUAAAGCAUCAUGCAUAUAUCCUCAGCACAAAAACUCAUAGCCUGUUGUGUCGAAGGCUAUGUGUUUUUUUUUUUUUUUUUUUUUUUUUUUUUUUUUUUAUAAAUACAAGAAGUUGUACAUUCAUAUUUAAGCUGUAACAUUCAAAUAUUUCAUGAAUUGAGUUUGAUUGUAGUUGGAAGCAACGGCGGCAGGAGGUGUGUUCCCAGGGCACCCGCGCACUUGACAAGGAGCACCUUUCACCAUUACGCAAACACAUGUUUCGUAUAAUAUUGGACCACCAGGAUGACGACAAUAGUAGUGGAUUUCACCUAUGCCAACAUAACAUGGAAGACAAGUUUUCAUGCAUUUUGAUAUAUCUGGACAACCACCUCCAAUCCUAGUUAGCUCGCAUGAUUUCACCUCCGACAUUACUGUAAAAUUAGUAAUAAUAUUUACAAUAUUCUUUGAGCAAAAUAGUAUUACAACAUGCACAUGUUUAUUAUUUUCUAUCAGUAGAUCAUUAAAUCUCAUCAUAUUUUAUUUUAUUUAAUAGCGAGACUAUUGAUUCGAUGGUGUAAACAACCCUAAACAUGAUGUUAAACAUAUAUCCCUUGUCCAUCAUAAACUUGGCUUAAAAAAUAAUAACAAAAAAAGUACCUGAAGUGAAUAUAAGAAGGCCAAGGACUAUAGUUGCUGGCAGUGAUUGAGCCAUUUGUUCUUCGACUUACACUGACAAAUAAAUUUGGAAAGGCUACAACAAUUGUGAUUUGUGUGGACUGAAGUUGGGUAUGGAUUUUAUAUUCAACAAAAUUAUAAUUUGUUAUAAAGUUUAAAUACUUUGUAGUUAAUGUUAAACACUGCAUAAUAAACAACAUUGAUUAAUGUCUAAAAUCAAUGUCAGUAUUCAAACAUUGAAAGAUUUGUGAUAAACAAAUGAAAAAAUUAUAUGAAAUGUUUUUCUCUAUAUAUGACAAUAUAUAUAGGGAUUUGCUAGAACACACCCACUAGUUUUUAUGUAGAAGUGUUUUAACAAGCUACAUCUUAAGGUGUAUUUAACUACUUUUUAGUUAUAACUUGCUAAAACACACCUUCUAAAAAAUAAGUGGGUGUAUCCUAGCAAAUGCCUAUAGGAGUUGCUAACAUACACCCACUUAUUUUUUUAGAAGGUGUGUUUUAGCAACAUUCAGCUUGAGGUGUAUUUAACAACUUUUUAGUUAUAUCUUUGCUAAAACACACCUUAAUAAAAAUUAGUGGGUGUAUCCUAGCAAACCCCAUAUAUAUAUAUAUACACAUGUUGAGGAUUUUUUUUUUUUUUUUUUGUUUCUUUUGUCUUUCAUCCAUUAAGAAUUAAGACUACCUUUUAUAAAUGGAUAAAACAAACUAUUUUCAAUUGUUUCUUUUGUUUUUCCUUUUAAAAACAAUUGUUUCUUUUGUCUUUUAUCCAUAAAAGUUCUGCUUCAACAAGUUCAUUAUCCAUUUUCCAUUAAACAAGAGGUUUAAGGAAAUUAAGACGAAUAAAAAAAGAAGAAACAAAGGAUCCAAAUGUCAAGGAACAAGGUUCCAAUUGCAUUAGGUGUAAGUUUGUGUCCUUUAAAGGAACUAACUAAAUAGAGUAUUAUCUAAAUUCAAUGAUAAUUUGAAUGAUUUCUCUUCAAAUUUUUACUAUGUAGGGAUCAAAUAAAGAAAACAUCAUUUAAAAUUCAAGAUAUUGUUACACGUCCUCGAUUUUUCAAAUGUACAACAUAAAAAGAGCUUAAUACCAUUCUGAAAAAUAAUGAUCAGUUUUCAAUAAAACACACAACUCAGCCUCUUAAUCAUAUCAUAGGGAGUCAAAAUAAUUGAAAACUAUUCAGUUUUAACAAUACUAUGUUACUAGUGAAGAUCUUCUACAGCAUUGCAAGAGUGAAAAAAAUGUUGAGAAAUAGAGGUGUACAAUUUUGUAGAUGUGAAUUGGAGGCUGAGUUGUGUAUAGUAGAUUUGAAUUGAAACCCACUUUCAAUAAUGCAUACAAACAAAAAAAUGCAGAUAGAAUCAUAAGUUUGAAGUCCACAAGUCCUACCUCAACUGGUAAAAAAAAUACUGAAAUUACUAGCCUGGACACCGAGAGAAAUAAUGAGAUACUUUGCAAAGAGAAUGCAUACCAAAAGCGCCCGCGAUGUUAUCAUUAAGCCAAGAUCAGAGUCAUCUCUGCCUUCAAUAGCAAUGCAGAUGCACAUGUUGUUCUUGUCGAUGUUAUGGCACUGCCACCGGCAUAUGACAGCACAAACAUACUGCAUACUUCUGAUUUGUUCUGCACCUUUCUGUUUCCCUUGUGCUGAUUUCCCUAUUGCAUGGCUGAAUAACAUUGACAUUGCUGAAACUAGAAUGGUUGAAUGUGUAGCUCGGCAAUUAGGAGCUAGGGACAGCUUUAGUGAAUGCUCCGGUUCAAACCUAUGAUGCACUUCUGAUCCCCAUUUCUCCAUAUUUGGCCAUCGAGACGGCCUUUGACCAAAAACAACACCAGAAUCAUGUAUAGUAGACUGACCCUGAAAAAUAACCUUUGAUUGGAUUUUAAAGUAAGCAUGCCGCUCAAAGUCCAAACUUGUUUUAAAUUUCUUGACCAAUUGUUGUAAGAUCUGAUAUAUGUGAUUUUAGUCAUAAAUGUAAGACUUAAAUAACUACUUUAAACCAAAUACACAACUCAUAAGUUAAAACCUUAUUUAUAGCACCACCAUUUAUGACAGCAAGGUCAGUGUCUCAUCAAACAAGUCUCUUCACAAAGUCUACAUUUAGAUUCAGAUGAUUCCGAUAAACUCUAAAUUUAAAUUCACAUAAAUGCUUUGAAGAAAAUAUUGAAGAAGUGAUCAGGUUAGUAUACAAAUGGGAAGGACAACAGGCAGGCAACUCUGAUAGACGCACCAUUGAACACCGCAGACGUAAAAAAACAGUGACAACUGAUCAAAGUCAUGAAGAAUAACAAGCAAAGGCAAUGGCAAUGAACUCUGUUAAGGAAAAAUCAGCUGAGACAAAUGAUAUGGAAAACAUAUGCAAGUGGCAUGAAAUUCUGAGGAAGAACAAAUCUGAGAAGUCGAAGGAAGAACACCAAGAUCAUGAAACGCAUUGUACGUUACUAGAGGAAACUAGCUGAAAUGUUAAACAAAACUAGCUGCAAUGGCAUAAAAAGGAAGGGAAAAAAAAUCACAAACCUCCAUGCUUAGAGCAGAUGCGGCUGUUUCUCACAGUCGUAGCCAUAGCCAUUCUGCCUCCUAUUUCCUCAGUUGUGAGUGCAGCUCCCUGCAGUCUCUUAUGUUACUUUCCCUUCCCUCCCUUACAUUUUCCACCAAUCAAAUGCCAUAGAUUUCGGACUUAAAACGCAAUUCAACCCCACAAAACUGAUUAGUAAGGCAAGGGCUACUCAAGCCUUAUAAGAUCUAUUUAGGCCAUAUCCGCCAACACCUAGAAGGAUGAAGGCGAUGGACAAUACAAAGGAAGUACAAAGUUGCCGGAACCAAGCCAGAUUUGGGAAUACUGGUUUGCAACAAUAUCAUAUGUAAAGCUGCUACAAACAUCUAUAACACAUAACUUUGUAAGGAAUACCAGAGAAGAUCCUUGUAAGAAUCAACAUAGAUGGUUGGCUACAAUGACAAGGCUCAUCAUGAGUCAACACUCGGAUAUCGAUACAUAAAGAAAUUACAUUGAUAACUGAUAUCAGCAGCAACAAGGCCAUUACAUAGCUCGAUUCUUUGGAUGUCAAUACACAAUUUCUUAACAAAUCAGAGAAAUUCAACAACAGGGAUGAAAUUGAUACGGAACUAAGAUUUUUCAUCUUUUCUAUCCUUUCAAAAAGAAAAUAUACGACGAAGAAGUAUCUCAACCUAAAUUUUCUCAUAUUUUUCAAAAAUAGCACAAAUAAUAUCUCAAGAGUUGGACAGGAGAACCAUGAAUAGAUCUUUCUUCAAGAAAUCAGCUACAAAAUAAAAUUAUUUGAUUCUUUUUCACAAUUGUACUAUCUUUCAACCCUUAAAUAUAGAUACACUAUGAAAUUACAUUAGAUAACUGUGCGGUCAGCAGCAAUGAAGCCAUUUUACAGCUCUACUCCUUGGUUGUCAAUACACUAAAUUUCAUAUCCAAUUAGAGAAAUUCAACAACAAUAAAAAUUUCAUAUGGAACUAAGAUGUUUAUCCCGACCUAAUUUUUCUCAUAUUUUGCAAAAAAGAGCAUAAAUAAUCAUCUCAGGAGUUACGUAUUUAGGAGUCAAAUUUAUAACGCAAACAAAAUAUGCUUAUGGUUUAAAUUUUAUUAGGAUUAUAAGAAAACUACAACAUAAUUGAUAUAGUAGAUCAAUACUAUAAUCAAUGGCAAAACUAUAAUCAUAGCUACUCUACUACAUAGUACAUCUUUAUUGCUUGUAACUAUCAAAAUAAAAAGAGACUUCAGCCAUCAAUAAGAGUGUAGUAAGUUAUUCUAUUAGGAAUCAUAUUUUUGGAAUACAUUUCUCAAAGAGAUUCAAAGCUUCAUCUACAAUGUUAAUCUUACAUAAUCCAUUAAUCAUGAUAUAAUUGUCGUGAAUAAGUGUUACUAUCCUUAUGGUCAUGGUGUAACAUAUCUUUUGCCUUGUUCACUUCAUAUUGUAUUCAUACCUUUUUCUUUUCCACAACAAAAUGUGACUUAUGUAGAUUGUUUCAUUUUGGUUAAUUUCUUUUUCAUUAUACUUUCUUUUGAGCACCAUAUAAUUAAUAUUGAAUUUUAAAAAUAUUCGUGUUUUAUAUUAUAUAAUUCAAACAAAAUAUUUUUUUUCAUAUUGAAAAAAUACCAUUUCGGAUUAUAUAAUUCGAAGACGGAAAACUUCUGGAUUAUAUAAUCUGAAACCUAUAUAUAAAUAUAUGUUUGUUCAAAACUUGAUUAAAGUUCACUACUGUUUUCACUAAACACUCUGAACACCUUCAAAGCCAUCCCAUUUUUGGCAAAAAUGUGAUUUACAAAUGCAAUAUGACUAUAAUUUGACAACCUAGUUUAAAAUAUACAAUCUGAAACCUACCAAUACAAAAAAUUGUCCAAUUUUCCUCACUAUAGUUUUGCGUUGUCUCAGUUAUGGAUACUCUCAUUCAUGUCCUUUACUUUUGCAUAUGACAUUGCACCUCCAAUUAUGUUGUUAACUGUAUCAUUUCAAGUUUUGGAUGAUCCUAAUGCCAAAGUCAAGGUUCCUCCACAUGUAGUUGAGAAUCCUUCAAGCAAUGUGAAAGUGGAGGUUCCACCUCCAAUUGUUGCACCUCUAGUUAUUGCAACUCCAUUUGAAAAUCCUUCCGGCAAUGUUAAAUCCGAGGUUCCUUAUGUCGAUACCAACGUCGAGGUGGCACCACCAGUUGUUACAUUUUUAUUGAUCAUCAGGCACAAUUUACUACUACAAGAAGAUUCCAUAAGAAAAUAAAUGAGAUCAACAACCUAACUACCUAGCAAUUAUAAAAACAAUCUAGGAACUAUCCACUCAAUUGAGAAGAUUUCAUAAGAUGGUAACUAUUAAAUUGAUGCUAAUUUUUUAUUACAAAAUUUUCAUAUGGAGAACAAUUACCAAUCCAGAUGAUGAACUCCACAAAUUUUAUCCUUUAACUUCUAAUAUCUAGGAGGCUUUGUUUGUCUUCUGUUUUAAUUUCAUUUUUCUAUCUCUCUUCUACUUCACGUAUUUUUCAAUUGAGAGUAUGACAUACAAAUUAGAUUUGGAGUAGUCAAAUAUUGCUACAAAAUAUUAAAGAAAAAACUUGUUUUCUAAAUCGAUAAUUUUUCAAUAGAAUUUACAUGUGUGAUUUACGAUAAGGUAGAUCAGGCCAGACUUUUUUCUUAAAUAGAGAAGGCUUAGUUUUUCUAAAAGCCUAUUUAGCUUAAUAUGUCAGGCCACAUGCCAUUUAAAAAGCCUCUUAUGCCUAUUUAAAAUAAUAUGAAUAAUAUUAUUUAUUAUUAUAUUAUAUUUUGUACUUUGAAUUAAAAUAAAAAUGCGUUAAUUUUUUCAGUAAUUUAAGCUUAUUAGUAUAAAUUAAUUUUUUGCAUAUUUAUAUGUAUUAUUAUAAACUAUAAUUGAAAUAUGAUACAAUAUAUAGUCAAAUUUCCUAAAAACUCAUGUUGAUUAUCAAAAGAGAGUUUAAUAUAAUUGAUAUAUUAGUUCGCUAGUCUAUUUACACUUAAAUCACAUUGAUGAUUUAAAGAUGUUCAUAUGAAAUAGACUUUUAAAAAGGCUAGCAGGCCGUAUCAGGCUUUCAGAAGGCCAGGCUCAGGCCUAAAAAGUAAGCUUAUGACAGACCGCAAACCAGACUUAGGCCUUCAAAAGAAUUGGCAGGCCAGACUCAGGCCUUACAAAGCCUAGCUCGGCCUAGCCUAUUCCCAUCCCUACGGUAGAUGUCUAAUACUCCCUCCGUCCCAAAUUGUAUGUCACUUUAGAACAAAUAUUUGUCCCAAAUUGUAUGUCGCUUUACAAUACCAAUGAAAAAUUAAUGUUAUUUUUCCUAUUAUAUCCUUAACUAUUUAUUACUCUCUCUUCUUUCAAUUCCUUCAUUUAUCUUUCCCAUAUCAUUUAUUGAGGACAAUUUUGUAAAACAACUCAUAAUAUCUCUUUCCUACACAAUAUUAAUUACAUUUCUUAAUACGUGUGAAAUGCCAAAAACGUCGUACAAUUUGGGACGGAGGGAGUACUAUAAAAUAGGGAUACGAACACGGAUACCAGACACAACAACUAAUAAUUUGAGUUAAUCGCAUAAUUCAAUGUAAUAUGUGUUGGUGUCGUGUCCGACACCAUGACACACUUAAUUCGAAGAAUGUUCGUGCUUCAUAUACAGUGUAUAGUGUGUAAUACUCUCUCCGUCUCAAAUUGUAUGACGUUUUGAGCAUUUCACACAUAUUAAGAAAUGUAAUUAAUAUUGUGUGGGAAAGAGAUAUUAUGAGUUGUUUUACAAAAUUGUCCUCAAUAAAUGAUAUCGGAAAGAUAAAUGAAGGAAUUGAAAGAAGAUAGAGUAAUAAAUAGUUAAGGAUAUAAUAGGAAAAAUAACAUUAAUUUUUCAUUGGUAUUGUAAAGCGACGUACAAUUUGGGACAAAUAUUUUUUCCAAAGUGACGUACAAUUUGGGACGGAGGGAAUAUACAAUUAAAAAACAAAGUAAAGGUAAUGUUAAGUUAGUUGGUUGACGUGGAAGCCGUUCAAGAAGCGCGCCAAUAUCUCAUCCCCUUUCCUUCAACGAAACAUUCGCAUCUUCUCUUUCUCUCUCAAUUUCUCAAUCCAAUCUUGCUCAUCACACACUUGUUCAAGCAAAUCUCACACGUAGAAAGAAUGACGCUUGACCUUUGUCUUCUUCACUGGUUUCCUUACAAUUUCUUUCAGAUGGAAUGGCAGAUCCUGAACGUGAUAUUGAACAAGUUAGUAUUUUUUUUUUUUUUUUGUAGCUGGAAAAUAUUACAAUUUUUGUCAUAUUUGUUUGAUCAUAUUUGUUUCAAAAUAUGUGACACGACACUUAAGAUUGAAAGUGUGUCUGGUGUCUGAUAUAACACUGACACACAUGGUUACAUUUAAUUACUUUUAGUUUCUUAGAUUAUUACUUGUGUUUACGUGUCAAUGUAGGUCUCAUGUCCGACGUUUGUGUUUGUUUGUGCCGGUGUUUCAAGUGUUUGUUCUUCACUUUUCAAGUGUUUGUUUCAAUACGUUUCAAGUGUUUGAUCAUAUUUGUUUGUUUCAAAAUACGUGACACCAACAAUUUAGAUUGAAAGCGUGUCUAGUCUCCGACUCUGACACACGUUACAUUCAAGUACUUUCAUUUUGUCAAAAUUAUUACUUAUGUCUACGUGUCAAGGUAUGUGUCGCAUAUGGUGUUUGUGUUUGUCUGUGUCGGUGUUUGAAUAGGUUUUAAGUGUUUGUUCUUCAUUUUUCACUGGACAUCAUCAUUCUAGGGAUUAUGUAGCCAUUGAAUUUAUAUAGUAGUUUACAUAUCUGCAAUAUGAAUUUCAAAAUGAUUAAUAACUUGAUAUGAUAUACUAAAUAUUAUGUUGCUUAGGUGCUCCACUUACUUAAUUUUAUGUUUUUGUGUGAAGGCAUUCAUUACAUUAAAAAGAGGAACCCAGUUAGUUAAGUAUAGUCGACAAGGGAAGCCGAAACUUUGUAAUUUCAGGCUGUCACAGGUGAUUUUUUUUACCACGAAAAGUUUUGUUUAUAAAUUAUAUUGCAAGAAACGUACAUGUGUAUUUAUGUAUUAUUGUUGAGUAUUGCUCAUAUUCGCUAAUAAGCGAGCAGGCAAUUGAGAAUAGCGUAGCGAAGUGAAUGGAGCUGAAACUGCAACGAGCGUAGUGCAGCUAGAGUGCCUUCCGCUUAAGUUUGGCCCAUACAUAUGUUGGGUUAAGAUUAGGAGGGUUGGGGUAUAGUGGGCGAAGUCCCUCGCAUUGCAAUUUAAGGGUAAACUUGACCGUAGUAUUUAAACAUAACUUGUAAUCUGCAACUGCAAGAAUUUCAUAGUAGAAACUACAGUAGCCACUCUAUUGUCGGAGUCGUAGGCACACUUGCUCGAACUCUGUGAUCAAUCGCUAUGUUAUUGUGUGUAUAUUUAUCUCUUUACUUUAGAGCUGAAUUUUCUGUUAUUACUUAUAUGCAUUGAAUUUCAAGUCAUUGUACGGAUGGUUUCAUAUUUAGUGGCAUUAGCAGGAUGAAACAUCACUAAUUUGGAUUUCUCAUGGAAAGGAAAAGAAUCUGAAGUUGUCUUCGGUUUUGCGCAUCAUCUCAGGACAGAGAACAGUAAGUUAAUGAUGCUUGAUCAAUAUAAGAAGCUAGAUUUACGGUUAUGUUAGCACUAACUUAUACUUUGCAGGCUGUAUUUAGAAGAUAUUUGCGACCUGAAAAGGAUUAUCUAUCAUUUUCACUUAUUUAUAAAAAAGGCGAACGAUCACUUGAUCUGGUUAGAGAAAACGCUAACUCUCUAUGUUGGACUUGAUUUUGUCAAUUUCAUAUGAAUUUUUGAAUCUAUUCCAGUUUCAAAUUUCUAGAUCUGCAAGGAUACAGCUGAGGUUGAGGUAUGGCUUUCGGGCCUUAAGGCAUUAAUUUCUACUGGACAGCUUAGAAAUCGACGAACUAGAAGUGAAUUAACAGAUGUGAGUUGCAAUAGAUUUUGUUUAAAUGAUAAUUCAGUUUUAAACUUUUAUUAGUUUGCACAUUGUUAAAUAGUUUCUACUUUCUAUAUAUAAUUCAUGAAUUUUCUAUGGAUUGAUUUCUGAUUUCUUAAUUUCCUAUCGAUUUAUUUUGAAACUUUCCAUUUAUAACCAUUCUAAAUGACAGUCUUCUAUAAUCCUUCCACCCUACACUACACCGUUAUAGCUUUGACAUUACAGCUCUGGUUAACCAAUCCAAUUUGGAAAGUUUCAUUGGCAUUUAAGACAUCGUCUAAAUUUGACUAAUAUGUAGUCUUUCAUAGUUUAAUUACUUUAUCCUUACAUAGUUGAACACGUACAUAGUCUCUUUUACGUGAACUCUUGAAAGAUUACACGAAAUAAUGCUUUUCGAACUUAAAUGAUGUAUGACAGGCCUUACUCAUCUUAAAAAAAUAAUACGCCUUACUCAUGAUCUUAAUUUUCUUUUAAUAAAUCACCGACUUAGUAAUAUCAUAGUUCUCCUUAAAGCGGAAGUUGUUACUUGUUAGGCAAAGGAACAUGACUAUAAUUUUCUAUUUUUCAAGAGCAUUUGAAUGAAGUAAUUUAUUUUGAAUUUCACUUGCAGGACAGUAAUGACAUUUCUCCAAAUGAUCGUCCUUUUGGUGGAGCACUAGAGUUUACUGCAAGUAUUCCCAAGGGAAGGUUUUCUUUUGAAGCAGUUCCUCGUGAAUCCACAUCGAAUAGAAGAUCUGAUGCGGGGUCAGAGCAUACAAGUAUGGCGCCAGUAAGGACAAGUGUUGGAGAUGGUUCCCGUGUUAGUGUAUCAAGUACUAACUAUGCUAGUAGUGUAGUAUCAGGACCAGAUGACAUAGAGUCUCUUGGUGAUGUUUUUAUAUGGGGAGAGGUUUGGGCUGAAGGCAAUUCCUCCGAUGGAUUAGGGAGUCAAGUCCCUUCCAAGAUAGACAUGUUGAUUCCCAAGCCAUUGGAAUCUGAUGUUGUUCUUGAUGUUAAUUAUAUAGAACCCGGUGUAAGUCACAUUGCUCUAGUAACAAGGCAAGGUGAGAUUUUUACCUGGGGAGAGGACUCUGGUGGAAGACUUGGUCAUGGGUUUGAUAAAGAUUAUGGUAAACCCCGUCUUGUUGAUUCCCUAGCCAUUACUAGUGUGAGUUUUGUUGCUUGUGGUGAAUAUCAUACAUGUGCAGUAUCUAUAUCCGGGGAUCUAUACACCUGGGGUGAUGGUACACAUAACGCGGGAAUUCUAGGUCAUGGAACUGAUGUUAGCCACUCCAUACCAAAGAGGGUCACUGGCCCUUUAGAAGGACAUCAGGUUGUAUCUAUAGCAUGUGGUGCAUGGCAUACGGCAUUGAUAACUUCCAAUGGGAAACUUUUUACCUUUGGCGAUGGAACGCUUGGUGUCUUGGGGCAUGGAGACAGAGAGAGUGUGGCAUAUCCAAAGGAGUUACAGUUAUUGAGUGGACAUAAAGCUGUUAAGGUUGCAUGUGGAGUGUGGCACACAGCAGCAAUUAUAGAGGUUAAUGAUCAAUCUGGUUCAAGUUCAAAUACUUCUUCGUCAAAGAAACUAUUCACGUGGGGUGAUGGAGACCAAUAUCGUUUAGGUCAUGCUAACAAGGAAACUUACCUUCAACCAACUUGUGUGGCUGCACUUGCUGAUUAUAAUUUUCUACAGGUUGCAUGUGGACAUAGUUUGACCGUUGCGCUAACCGCAUCCGGUCAUGUUUUUACUAUGGGGAGCAAGGCGUAUGGUCAACUAGGAAAUCCAACCUCCGAUGGAAAAGUGCCGAUUCUAGUAAGAGAUAAAUUACAAGGAGAAACUGUUGAGGAAAUAUCGUGCGGCACACAUCAUGUUGCUGUAUUGACUUCAAGAAGUGAACUAUAUACUUGGGGGAGAGGUGCCAAUGGAAGAUUAGGGCAUGGAGACAUAGAAGAUCAGAAAACUCCAAUAUUGGUGGAAGCUUUGAAAGAAAGGCAUGUAAAAAAUAUCGCAUGUGGCGCAAAUUUUACAACUUGUAUAUGCAUACAUAAGUGGGUUUCAGGGAAUGAUCAAUCGGUUUGCUCCGGUUGUAGACAGCCAUUUGGUUUUACUAGAAAAAGGCAUAAUUGUUAUCAUUGUGGAUUGGUGUAUUGCCAUCCUUGUAGUUCAAAAAAGGCGCUGAAAGCAGCAUUGGCUCCAACGCCUAGCAAACCGCAUCGUGUUUGUGAUGCUUGUUAUGCUAAACUUAAAGGUUGCGAGAAUAGUAAUGCUUCCCAUUUCAAUAAAGAAAUUACCCGUCCUUCUAGUUCCGUGUAUGGAAGGGAAAAAACUGAGAGGGUUGAGGUAAGACCUUCAAAAUUUCUCCUGUCUUCUGCCACAUGUCUAGUGAAAUCCCUUGGAAGUACACAUGAAUCAUCUUCCAUGGCCGGAGACGCGUUACAAUUGAAAGAUAUCAUAUUUCCUGGUCCAUCAAGUGCAACGCAGAAAGCUUCCAGGGCUCUUAUUAUGCAGCAAAGCCAGGCUCCAACUCCACCUCCAUCAGCUAAUUCAAGACCAGCCUCGCCAUAUUCUAGAAGACCGCCUAGCCCGACACGGUCUGUCUCCCCUGGAUUUUCAAGAAGUCUUAUUGAUAGUUUAAAGAAGAAAAAUGAGCACCUGAAUCAAGAAGUUUCAAAGUUGCAGAACCACGUAUGUCUUCUGAAGAAACACUUAACAUAAUAGCUAAAUGUUUUUUGAAGAGCAACUUCUACACCUGAAUGUUUUUAAAUUUUUUUAUUAUUCAACUUCUUUAUAAACACCUUGAAAGCUUGUAAGUUUUAACGACUUUUGCAUACGUGAAGAACCAUAAACUUAUUUUAAUUGAAAAGCUUCUAGGAGUUAGAAGUUAAUCAAACUGGACCAUGGUGAUUAGUUAUUUUAUUCUCCAGGGAACCCAUUAAUAAGUUUUUUGGAUAUUUAUUUUCUUACAUGAAGAUUCGAAGUUUAAAGCAAAAGGGUGACAUGCAAGAUAUAAAGAUUCGGGAGCUUCAAAAAAAUAUCGAGGAAGCCAAUCUAUUGGCUGGAGAGGAAUCUUCUAAGCAUAGAGAAGCAAAGGAAUUCAUCAAGUCUAUAACAGAAGAGGUAUUUUGUUUCUAUAUUUUGACAUCAUGAUUGAACUUAGCCAUUUCAAAUAAAAUUCUUGCUUGCUUGAAACAAUGUCUUGACUAAUUAUUACUCUGAAGACUGACAAACCUUUAUUGUUUUUAGUUGAAGGAAAUAGCUUAACACUUGAACCAAAGACUUAUUGUAUGAAAUAUCUUAAUACUUGAACCUGAUGUGAAAUGAAAAGAUUAUUAAGAACAAUUUCGGGUUGGUGAUACUAAAUAGCUAAACUUGCUUCUACAUUUGCUGUUGUUUAGUUGAGCGAAGUGACUGAAAAGUUGCCACCAGAGAUUCCCGGCAGUGAAACCUUGAAAGUGAUCCAUGCUCAAGCUCAAAAUCUUCUCAAAGAAAAUUUAGAAUUUGAAUCUUCCUUCCAACCGAGUUUCGAGUCUGAGCAACAACGUGCGCCUGAUAUACCAGCAUCAGAUGGUGACUCUUCAAACCUGCAAGAGCAAAGACUGGAAGGAAACAAUGAAGUUUCUGAGGUUGUUCGAUCAACAAAUGGAGCAGAUGAUCGUCAAGAAAGCAGUAGCAGCUCGUAUUUAUCAACUAAUGCAGUCUCUCCACCAAACUCGGAAAAUAGUAUCAGAUCACAGGAGUCGUCCAGGCCUGUGAGAGAAGGAGAAACAUCGGUCAUUGAACAAUUUGAACGCGGUGUUUAUAUCACAGCCAUAGUAAUAGCUGAUGGCAGCAAAAUUUUCAAACGUGUUAGAUUCAGGUACGAGAGCUAGUUGUUAAUCUAAAAAAUUUCCACCUUUAUAUUUUCUGCAUGUCAAAAUAUAUCUGUGAACCUUUUUUGAGUUAGUAACUAAAUUUUGUUCUAUUUCAUAGAAUUUCUCGUUCUCAAUGUGGGGAGACAUCUAAGUACUUAUGCAUGUUCUUAUUUGAAUCCAUGAGAAGUUUCUAUGUUAUUUUAGAUUUUUAUAUGUUGGUUACAUACUUACAUUCAUCUUCUGAUUUGGUGACAGUUGGUUACUUUGUGUAUUGGUUUUCUUAUUACAGUUAUUUCUAUCUUUAACACAAUUUCUUUUCUUCUUUGUUAAUUUUUUUACUUUUCUGGGAGCAGUAGGAGAAGAUUCAGUGAGCAACAAGCAGAAGAAUGGUGGAGCAAUAACAAAGAUAGGGUGUAUAGAAGAUAUAACCCACCACCUAUAAAUAAUGAAAGUAUUGAUUCAUCUAGCACCCCACCUCAUGGCGAAAAAAAUGUUGAAGCAGCCUCAAUCAACCAAGUGUAGCGAAUUAGACAAGUUAGUGCAAACAAUAUCUCCAUUAUGAAGCAUUGAGACUGAUACAGACAUCAGACACAACACUGACAUUGACACGUACACACUGUUAAGAAAAUAAAAGUGAUUAAAUGUAACCACGUGUUGGUGUCUGAACACUGACACGGAUCGGACACAAGACAUGUCUUUAAUCUAAAGCUUCAGUGCUGCAUAAAUCUACGAAACAGUCAGGAAAUGACUUGCAAUAGAGGAUAGAAUAUGAAAUAGGAACAAUAUAGCUCAAGGUUUAGAGGUAGAAAACUUUUGUUUUGGACAUUAUUUGAUUUCAUUCUUACACUUUUUGUCCUUGUAACUCUUCCACAUAACCUUUGUUAUUGGUAUUGUACAUCACAUGUGUAAUUUAUCUCCAACAAGUUUAGAGAGGCUGGUAGUAUAUGAAUGAGGAUUGAGGAAUAAUGCCACUAUGACAUUUUUAACAAAAUAGAAUAUAAAUACAUUUUUUUUAUUCUGUUAAGUUUGAUUUACUUUCACUAAAAGCCAACAAUGUGAUAAUAAUCGUUACGAUCUUAAGUCCGUUACAUCGUUUUUGAGAUAUUGUCAGUUUUGAAUCUUGUGUAUACAUUCACAAUUUUGUCUUUUAGUUAAAAGGUGUCUCAGUGGCUUGAGAAGAGUCGGUGAUUAUAAACUACAUUUACCUUCAAUUCUUAAACAAUGUGCGAGUUUUUAACAUGCCGAAACAACAAUCUCUACUUAAGCUAAAUUCAUUUAUUUUGUCACAUGUGAUGUAGUAGGUUCUUGAGUAGGGUAGACAACAAGUCCUAAGCAAAUAUUUAAUGAGUUUCAACAGAAAGGGUAAAGUUUGUGUUAUUUUUUAUACUUUAUAGAUUAAUACCAUGUAAAUCUAUUAAACUUUUAGUUACUUGAUGAAAUUAUGGAAAGUAUAAAGUUUGUUAUGGCUAUCACUUUCCAAGCAAAGUGGAAGCAAGUGGCUGGUGGUAUGUGAGGAGUCACAAUCUUGUCUAUUUGACUGCCAAACAUAACCUAAUCAUACUGCUAAAUCUGAUUGGAAAAAUAUAGUCUAAACUUUCAAUGCCAGCUAGUGUUUGUCAUUUUUUAUUUGUCUAGUCAAUUCAAAUUUGUACAUUCAAAUUAUCAUUAUCUUCUUUUGAAAUUUAAAGCAAAUAUACACAUGUGGUUAUUUCAUUAUUGACUGAAAUAAUAUAUGCCAACUGCUUUAUAUUAAUACUUUUUUCAAAGUUAAUGUCUAGUUUGGUUAUUUUAAAAAAAAAUAUCUAGUUUGGUUGAAAUUCAAAUGAUCUUUUGGUUUCAAAUGGGUUAAAAUAAAAAGGUGGUGUUUGGCUUGGAACUUUGAAGUAUGUUCCUCCUCAAAGUCUCAAAUUCGAUUAUCUCAGAUGUCAAUUUAAGUGGGAUAAUUUAGCUUCUAAAAACAAAUGGGUGGUAAACUUUAAGUGUAAAUAAAUUUAUUUAAGAGAUUUGAUUUCGAUAGAGUUAUGAUUUAUAAAUACUAAAUAGUAAUUCAAAGUGAUUUACUAUGAAGUUUUGUGUAAAACAUCAUUAUGAUAUAUAAUUAUUAAUAGAUAAAAAAGUCUAUUAAAUAUAUGGUCAGAAGUUCAAUAUUUGAUCCCCAUGCAUGGAAUGGAAGAGUAUACGUCUCUCCGGAUGUUCACAAAGAAAAAUUAUUGUGUAAAAAUUUAUUGAUAAAUUUUCAUAAUUCAUAAUAAAGAUUAAAUAAACAACAUUAGUCAACUUAAUGUAAAUAUCAUACUCAAAUAUCAAAUGAAUAAAAUUUUAAUUUUUCUUCUCUUUUCUGUUAGGGGGAGCGGGGUACUUUUCAAUUUUUCAUUAAUCAACAUCAACUUGCCUAUACAUUAGGAAAAAAAUAUAAGAAAUGGACCCCAUAGAGACUCAUAAAAAAGUUGCAUCCAGGCACACACCACAUGGGAAAACCUAUACUUGUGGCCUUUACAGAAUUUAGCUUUCCUUAUUCUCACCAUACUUAGCAACCAAGGCUGCUUCCAUGCUGUCAAUUCUAUCAAAAGACAUAUGACCUUAGACUAAAAAAAUUACAUCUUUAUCAUUAAGAUUUCAUUAUGUUACAACUCAUGCCAUUUUGGACAAUUAAACGGUUUAAUAGAUAUGUAUAAUAGUCUCAUCAACAUAGUUCAGUUGGCAAUGACAAUGCAUUAUUAUAUAUAGAGGUUGAAGUUUGAACCUCAGACACCUCAAUUAUUAAUUUUGAAAAGUGAAUUAUAGCUGGCAGACUAUUUGACCCAAAAAAAAGAUAUGUAUAACAAAAAAUAAAAUCAAGUCAAAUUAUUUCAUACAAGUUAUAAGUUGUUUUUAUAAAUGCCUUGAAAAGAACUUGUUUUUAUAAAAUAUUCGAGAGAAUUUAUAGACAUAAAAACAACUUAUGAAGAUGUCAUAAACUAUUUUGAUUAGCUCUUUCAAAAAGUAUAUCACAAAUUUUUGUAUUAGUGUAUAAAAUCAAAUAAGUCAAAUCAAACAGAUUUUAUGUGGAUUAUGUUCCAAAUUAGAAAUCAAAGCAAUGGUCCUUAUGUAAUUCUAUUACCAAAUUAUGUGCAAAUUGGAUUAGACAAAAAAAGAAAAAAGUUAGUACCAACUUUUAGAACAAAACAAAGUGAGAAUAAUAUAAUAAAACUAAAAAAUAGGUAUCAAAGUUUCCUUCAUGAAAUUGAGAACCAUUUCAUUCCAAUAGGAAUAGCUUUUCCAUUAAGCCAUUCUUUCAACCCUUCUAUAUCAAACUCUUUCUCUCAUAUAUUCUCUUUUCAACCAAUCAUACCAAUUAAUUUUGUACCAAUUAACAUGUCACGUAUGAAGCUAUCAAAGAAACUUAAACCAGCCAAGAAAGCAUGGAAGAACCUCUCAAACAAUUUCCAAUCAAAACUCCACAAACUUAACAUAUCCAAAACUUUCAAAACAACCCUUCAACACAUUCUUUCACUCUUUCAUUCCCUCACUCAUCUAAUAACCUCAAAAACUAAAACUCAUCGUUCUCUCACUUCUUUUAAAUCAUCUUAUGCUGCUUCACCUUCUUAUUACCAUUUUCAACACAAAAGCUUUGCAGCUAUAAAUAUAAAUGAUCUCUAUUCUCAAACUCAUUCAGUUUCUUCUAUGAAUAGUAGUAGUAAUAUUCAUCAUGCACAAGGUGAAACAAGUAGAGACAUUGAAAAGGUACAUGUUGAUGACAACAAUAAUGAUGUAGAAACUAUAGAGGAUGCAUGGAAAGUAGUGGUUUCUAGGUCUCCAAUGUUGCAAGUGGAUCAAAAGGCUGAAGAAUUUAUCUAUAAAUUUCGUGAAGAUAUAAGGCUUCAAAAAGAGAAAUCAUUGCUUGAAUUUCAUGAGAGGCUAGCAAGAAGUACCUAAAUUUGAUAAUAUAUAGAUUAUAAUUUUCAUUUUUUUUAUUUCACAUAUAGUACAUGAUUAUGAUAUAUAUCAUGGCUUGGUUUCUGUUUCUUUUUUUAAUUAUUUUUUUUAUUUUGUUUUUUUAUACUUUCAUUUAGUUCUAUUGAGAAGCAAAGGGAUUUUUACUUUGCUUUGAAAUAAGAAGUAAAUAAGUAAUUAGCACAUGUAGUUAAUUGUUUUGGAAUGAUGUGUGAAGAUAUUCUUAAGAUGUAUAUGAAACUUGUGAGGAUUUUUUUUUUCUUCUCAUUUUCAUUAUUUGUAUUAAAAUUACUUGGGCAUAUUGUUUAUUAGUCUGGCAAUAAUAAAGUGUGUAUUUUAUUUUAUUAAAUUGGAGAUUGAAAAAAUUAUUAAAGUAACUAUAAUUAUCAUUUUGCAACCAUCUUGGAGUAAAUUUGAAUUUCAUCUCUUAGAAAUUAUAUGGUGAUACUUUUAUCAAUGAGCUAAUACCUCUUAAUCAUAAAGUGUGUAGCUUUUUUUAUGUAAGAAUGUUAUUGAUGCAAUGUAUCCACCAAUUUUUAUUGGUAUUGGAGGAUUUUUACUAUGCAUAAUUUUUGUUUAAAUGAUAGAGAUGACCAGUUGCCUAAUCUUUGGUGUUUGUGGAACCUUUCAUGGUCUCCGAUCACUAUUAUUAUUGCUUUUGAGUAGACCCAUAAUCGUGAAUAAUGCACCAUUGGAUUGAAAGUGACUUGCAGCUUGCUAUUCAGGCUUGCAUAUCUCAUUACAUUGUUCCUUGGGACCUUCGUAAUCGUUGGAGUAAUUGUUUCGGUUUGCAUAUAUUCAACUUCUAUUUUCUCAUGUUUUCAAGGGAGGGUAAGCAGCUUUGGAAUAUGACUGUUCUGAUUUGACUUGGUGGGAUACUGUUCCUCUCAGCCUUUUGUGGGACUUGUUUAGGGAUCGUUGUAAUCUCCUGAAUUUUUGCUUUUGUUAGCUUUCUUUUGUUUUUCAGGUUUGGGGUUUUCGCCUAAUCUCCCCCUUCUUGUAUUUAUUUUCUCCUUUUUUUAAUAACAUUCUUAAGUGCUUGGCAGAGGAUGAUGGACUCUAACAGGUAUCAAUAUAGUUGGGAUGUCUUACGGUCUCUUUGAUGCCAUUACACUCUUAAUUUCAAAAAAAAAAAACUAAUGUAUCCACCAAUUUAACCAAUGAUUAAUGUUCGAAAAACUUGACUUACCUUAUCAUUUUUAGUGGAUAGUUCCUACCAAUCACAUUUUUUUUACAUCAACAAGCCUCGAAUAUGAAACUUGUUUAAAAAAUUUGAGUCCAAAUUUGCUCGGGUCAAUGAAAAGUGUGUAUAAUGUAUUUAUUUAUGGUGAAUAAUACACUUGUGAGAGUUGCUUGAUAUUUUUGCCAUUCUUUCCAAAUCACGUCCAUCUAUCUCUAUCUAUUGAAUCACUUUGUCUAACUAACUUCAAUUAUUUUCCAUUGUUUUCUUAUAAAUAUUGAUUAUCAUUGGCUUUAUGGAAUCUAUUAAAUAUGUUUUUGUCCAUUCGUAAUACUCGUCAUCUAAUUGUAUUUUUAUAAAAAAAUAGUUUUUUAAGUUUAAGUUGUUCCUCUCAUUUUAAAAACUGUAUGUUUUUGUUUUUUCUGCUAAUCAAUAAAAAUUCAAGUCAACACUUCUCACAAUUGCUUUUUAAAUGAUAUAACGCUCAUGUGGCAGCUAAUGGAUAGGAAUUCAGUCCAAUCUAUACCUGGAAAUUCAGUACAAUUACAUUUUCUUACAUUCAUUUUGGUUUUGGAAUUAUGUGUGUGGGAGGAACUGAAAAUGAACUAACUUGUGAGGAAUUUUUUUCUUCUUCAUUUUGUUCAGUGACAAGGUGAUGAAUUAUGCAUAUUAAUUACGGUUAUGUUAACAAGUGUUCACAUUCAAUCGGUUGAUAUGGAUGUUUGGGAUGAUGGUGUCAUGCAAAAUAAGCCUAAGGCAGAUUGGACGGAUGAUGAUAAGAAAAAGAUUCAAUAUGAUUUAAAAGUGAAACAUGCUCAUUUCCACACUCAUCGUAAACGAGUAUCACUCAGUUUCAAAUUGUAAGACCGCUAAUGUAAUGUGGGAAGCCUUCGAAACCUUCCAUGAGGGUACCGAUGAUGUUAAGCAAUAAAAAAUUAAUACCUUCAUUCAACAAUUUAACCAAUUUUCACAUGAAGGAUGGUAAAACCAUCUCCUCCAUGAAAAUGAGAUUCACUCACAUUGUUAACAAAUUACAAUACCUAUGAAAGAACAUCUCAAACCAAAAUUGUACUAAUAAAGUUUUAAGAUGCAUGUCUAGAGAAUAGCAGUCUAAAGUCACUACCAUCAAAGAAUCUCAAAACCUUAAAACUCUUGGAAUCACCAUCCUAGUUGGAAAGAUUAAAGAGCAUGAGCACGAGAUCCUAAGGUUGAAAGCUAGGGAGGAAGAUAUCAAGAAAAAGGAAAAGAAUUCCAUUGCGUUGAAAUCCUCCUUGUAACACCCUCAAACCCCACAUGCAUUAUUUAAUGGCUAAAUUACUUUUUUGGUCCUCUAACUAUUUAAUUGGUAUCGGAUUGGUCCUCUAACUAAAAAUUGAUUUAUUUCGGUCCUCUAAGUUUCUCACCGUUACUACAUUUAGUCUUUUCUGUUAGUCUUAUUCAAAUAAACGUUAGGGUUUGUGUUAUGAGGGUCCUCUAACUUUAUUUAUUAGUAUCAUUUUGGUCAUAUGCCUUGUUGAGGUAUUAUGAUUAAAUAGUGACUAAUAUUAUUGGUAACUGUUAUGGUUCAUAUGUAUGUGUGAAACAGGAGGUCAGGCACCCACAUAACAUAAACCCUAACGUUUAUUUGAAUAAAACUACCAGAAAGGACUAAAUGUAGUAACGGUGAGAAACUUAGAGGACCGAAAUAAAUCAAUUUUUAGUUAGAGGAUCAAUCCGAUACCAAUUAAAUAGUUAGAGGACCAAAAAAGUAAUUAAGCCUUAUUUAAUAAUAAAUCAGAGAUAAAUACAAGGUUCAAGGUGCUACACCUUCAAUAAUUCCAAGCAUGCAUAAUUCAUUCCCUCAAAAUUCAUAAACAGUCGCAAGAGAUUUAUAAAAUAAAACAACAUCUCAAGGUAUAUCAUCAUACACAUCAUAAUUCUCAUAUAAAUCAACAAAGUAAAAUAAACAUAAAUCCCGACAAGGUCCUAAAUCUGGUCCUACAACUAGACUCCAAAGGCAAUCAAACAGAGAGAAAGCGUCGAGUUAUUCCCGAGUACUCACGCGAUCACGCGUCCUUAAUCCUGCACGUCUACACCACUCAAUAGAAUGGCAUAGCCCGAAACCUGGAAAAGGGUGAAAAAUACUCAACAUAGAAUAUCAUGAACAUACAAAUAAAUUCAAGGCAACAAUUAUCAAAUAUUCAACAAUUCAAUAUCUCAAGUAAUAUUCUCAUAUAAGUAGGCAUAUAAAUUCUCAAUUCACAAAUUCAAGACAUAUCAAGUAUUCACAUCAUCAUCUUAUCACCAAAUCAAUUAACAUCAUUCACAAUUCAACACCAUUUUAACCAGUGCACAAAGAUCACAAAGUAUUCACAUAAUCAUGUAUACAUCAUGACAAUAACCACAUGAUUAAAUUCAAGACUCUCACAUCAAUUCAUAUGCAUACAAUGUGCUAGACACAACUCUAUAUCUAUACGGUACCAUUCUUUGGAUGUCGAAGUUAUUUUACCGAUUGAUUCCAUCACCACUUCGGAUACUAAAUAUCUUAUUCACUACUUCGAAUGCUAAAACAUCAUAUUCAUUACUUUGGAUACUAAAUAUCCGACGACUCAUGAUGCAUGAACAUAUGGCUCACCAUAUGCAUAUGUUCAAACAAACAUCAUCAUUAUAAAUUCACCAUUAUAUAUAUAUAUAUAUAUAUAUAUAUAUAUAUAUAUAUAUAUAUAUAUAUAUAUAUAUAUAUAUAUAUACACUUCAUCAAGUAAGCAUCAUCACUUCAUUUAAUACAAUUAGCAUUUUGAGAUGAUUAAUCAUUUACACCUAACUAAUCCACAUUUCAAGUUUACAUAUCAGAUUAAAAUAAUCGGCGGGCGGAAUCCCAUAAUUAGCACAUAAUCAUUCUCGAGUUAUCAUGACAUAAAUCAAUAAUUUUCAAAGUCUGUCUAUUUCCUACUUUAUUCAAAGUUGGUUUAUUUUCAUGAUUUCACAACAAUCAAUCCAAUUCGUCCUAAGCUAGACUAAAUUCAUCAUAGAUGCUCAAUUAUACUUCAAUUAACUAAGUUUAGGUGUUUGAGACCCAUUGGUGCACUUUAAAAACUGAAAAACAACUAAAAAUCUGACUUCCCGUGCAGAGGAUAGGACACACGGUCGUGCCAUAAGAGCAGGGGCGGAGCCACAGCAAGCACUCUGUGGGCAUGUGCCUGCACAAAAUUUUCAUUUAAGUAUAUAGUGGUAUUGUGUUGUGCAACUAACUGCCCUUCUUUUUUUAGUUUUUUUAGUACCUGCCCUCAUUAUUUGAAUGUUAAAGAGAAAAAAAAAUUCACUGUAUCACAUCAAAACUAGUCCAAAUAUUUUUUUUUAAGGAAUCUAUUCCAAUUACUAUUUUUUUAAAAAGGGUAUUCCAAUUACUUAAUAUCUCAUAUAUUAUUUAUUGAUAAAUUGAUCAAUUGAUCAUAGUAUAUAUUUUGUGAUUAUUUGUAAUAAUUUAUUUUUUCAAAUUGAAUGAUAAUUUCAAUUUGGCUAAAUUAUAUCAUAAAUUCUUUAAGUUAUUUAAUUGUAAUAAGUUAAUCAUUUACAUUUUUUUCGUACCUCUUAGGUCCUUUAAGUUAUUUAACUGUAAUAAGUUGAUCUGUUAAGUUUUUUUUUCCGUAUCACUUAAUCUUUUAAGUUAUUUAACCGUAAUAAUUUGAGAGAUUUCAGAUCUUAGAAAUUUAAGUUUUUCAACGCUUACAAUUAAAUAACUUGAAGGAUCUAAGUUGUAUGAAAAAUACUUAAUUUAAGGACCAACUUGUUACAAUUAAGUAACUUAAAGAGCGUAAGUUGUACGAAAAAACUUAAAACCAACUUGUUGUGUAAGCCUUUCAAUUUUUAAUGCAAACUUUAUUACUUCCUCCGUCCUAAAAUGACUUAGUUGCAUGUUUCACAUAUUUCAAUACACAGUUUUUAUCUUUAAUACUUAUAAUCAUCUAUUAGCAAAAAUUAUAGAAAAAUAUAAUAUUUUGAAAGGCUAAAAUAUAAUUUUGGUCCCUGCAAAUAUCCCUCGUUUUGGUUUUAGUCCCUUUAAAAAAAAAAUUGUUGUUUUUGGUCCCUGCAAAAUAUUAUUUUUUUGGAAAUAGUCCCUGCAUGGACUAUUUCCAAAAACAAAAUAUUUUGCAGGGACCUUUUACAAAAUCAAAAGAUUUUGCAGGGACUAUUUCUCUAAUAAAUGGUUCAGUCAUCAUGUGCCACGUGUGCAAAUUAUCACAAAAGUGGAGCCAGGGACCAAAACCAAAAUGAGACAUAUUUGCAGGGACCAAAAACAACAAAAAAAAAUUGCAGGGACUAAAACCAAAAUGAGGCAUAUUUGCAGGGACCAAAACCAUAUUUUAGCCUAUUUUGAAAAUACUCAUUGAGACAAAUCCAUAUCUUAUAUGCCCCCACGAUCUAAAUAUUCUGGCUCCGCCACUGCAUAGGAGCGUAUGUUCGUGCCACAGGAGCGCAUGGUCGUGUCACUCAAUGUCGAGUGAUACGCACGGUCUUUCUCACCUUCAUGAGUGUCUAGUGGAAUUUCUAUAGCAGGAUAUAUUUCAAAUUUCAGUUUAACAUAUGCUAAAUUUCAUUCUGCAACUCCAACUUUUUUAUAUACCACAUCUUGAUUCUAUAAUAUUUUAAUAUUAAUUCAACGAGAGAAAUUAUUCUUCUUUAAAAAGUUGUCUUAAUUAAUACUUUAGUGGAUCCUAUAUGAAUAUAUUAUAUUUUUUUCUAUGUUCCUCCUUCCUUAUAUCUCUUUUAAUUUAAUAAUUGUAUAUAAGUAUGUCCUUAAGCAUCCGUUAUAACCAUAGUUGUCAUUAUUGAUCUUCCCAUUGUAUAUUAUGAUGUUCCUUUUUGAUUGACACUUUUCAUAAUUCCUCCAAAACUUUAAUUUCCUUUCUUAUUAACAUUUUUAGUUAAUUCUAAACAUUAAUUUUAUAUUUUUUUUGAAAUAAAAGGAUCAACUGAAAUACUUCAUUCAUAAUUUAUGUCUUCUUUGAUUAUUUGUAAGUGUUCUAUGUCACUUAUUAUUUUUUUUCCCUUUUCUGUAAGAUAAUUGGAUUAACUAAUUCUUAUAAUAAAAUUACUUAUACUUAGUUUUUUAGUAUAUACCUAAGAGUCAUACUACUAUUCACUCAUAGUAUUGUUCCCUAUAGUACUAUUUAUCCUAAUACUAUUCAUUUCUUAAAUGAUUUAUGAAAUCACAUGUCAUUGCAUGACUACAUUACUCGUUUAUCAUGGCUUCUUUUUAUUUUUCUUCAAGACACAUGUUCUUCACUUCACACUUGGUAAUAGCUUUUGGAUUCUUCUCAUGAAUGUUGCGAAAAAUCAUAAAAUUCUUCUUAAGUUAAUCCAUAUCAAUGUGACUAAUCAUUAUGUAUUGACAUUGUUAUUUUUUAUAUUGUUCUUUUCAAAGAGAUUUAAUGGCAAGAGAAAUAUUUUUUAAAGCAAAAACAAAGUGAAAAUGACAUACAUGACAUCUAAACUAUGUUGGCCUUCGAUAUGAUUAUAAUCUAUAAUUUGCAGCAAUGUAAAAUUAUUAUUAAUAAAUAAAAGAAAAAUGAGAAUUAGAAAUAUUUGAGUGAUUGGACCAAAACCCCAUAAAAGUUAACUAGGGAUUUCACCUUGUCCCUUAAUAAAAUUUUCUCAGAAAAACUCAUUAGAAUAAAGGGUUAAUAGUGUUUUUCACCCCUAUAAUAUAGGCCAUUUUCGUUUUCGUUCCUGUAAAAUUUUCAGUUUGAUUUGCAUCCUUGUAAAACUUUUUUUUUUCAGAAAACACUCUUCCCCCAUCCAACUCAGCAAAUUUGCUUACGUGACACUGAUUUGACAUUUUUUUUUCAUUUUUUAUUAUUUUUAAUUGAUCACGUGUAAAAAAAUAUUUCCACAUCAGAUUUUACUUUUAAAAUAUUUGAAAAUAAAUUUUUUUUAAAAAAUCAUAAAAAUAUUCAGUUUUUUUUCCAAAAAUUCAAAAAAUCGAUAAAUAAUUAUUAAAAAAUUCAGAAAAUAUAUUAAGAUUUUUUCCGAAAUAUAAAAAAACAGAAAAAUAGUCAUAUUUUUUGGAAAAAUCUUUUCAAAAAUUUAAAAAAUUAGAAAGAAAAAAACUAUUAAUAUUUUUUUCGAUUAAAAAGAUUCUGGAAUAUUUAAUUUUUUUAAAAAAAAUUCAAAAUAAAAAAAAGGUCAGAUUUUUUUAAAAAAAUCUGAAAAAAAAAUUAAUUUUUAAAAAUCUGGAUACAAAUUUAGAGGGUUUUAAAAAAGUCGUGGAAAUUCAAUUUUUUCUAGAAUUAAGCUUUUCCUUAGAGGAGGUAGAAAUCAUAAAUCAUAUAUUUGUGGAAUGAAAUGAUUUUUUUCCCAAUAUUUUAUUAAAAUUGUGGAAUAAAAUUUUCGAAUAAAAAAUCUGAAUUUUUUCUAUAUUUGUAUACAGAUUUUUAAAAAAAUUUGACCUCUUCUGUAAUUUUGAAAAUUUGCUUUUUUUUUAUUUUGAAAAUUGAAUUCCAGAAUUUUUUAAAAUAUUUUUAAUUUUUAAAAAAAUCUUAUUAUAUUUUCUGAUUUUUUAAAUUCUAAUUUUUUUUUUCGAUUUUUAAAUUUUUUGGAAACAAAUAUGACUAUUUUUUUGUUUUUUUAUAUUUCGGAAAAAAUCUUAAUAUUUUUUUUGAAUUUUUUAAAAAUUAAUUUUUGAUUUUUCAAAUUUUUGGAAAAAAACUGAAUAUUUUUUGGAUUUUUUUAUUUUUUAAAUAUUUUAGAAAGAAAAUAUGACGUGGAUAUAUUUUUUACACCUGGCCAAUUAAAAAAAUAAAAAAUGAAAAAAAAUGUCAAAUCAGCGCCACGUAAGCGAAUUUGCUGAGUUGGAUGGGGGAUGGGUGUUUUCUGGAGAAAAAAAAAGUUUACAAAGAUGCAAUUCAAACCGAAAAUUUUAUAGGAGCGAAAACUGCAAAUAACCUAUAUUACAGGGGUGAAAAGCACUAUUAACCCUAGAAUAAAAUCCGAGUACGGAAGAAAAGUACAUAGCAACUAAACAACACAAAGGUAACAUAAACAUAAAUCAAAGUGCAUAGGUUAUUAUUAAAGUAAGAACAUUAUUCAUACAAAUACAUUAUAUAUAGCAUAUAAUCAUUUUACAUAUUAAUGGUUACAACAAUUUCACGCAAGUACAAAUUGAGUUAAUGCACAUCGGUUUUUCUUGACGAUAGAUACACCUCAGAAUAUUGAUUUUUCUCCGACAUUCAAAGUGAUCUUUACAUGAAAUAGGCACUGCAAUGUCAAAUAAUAAUAAAGUAUUUUGACUAAAAGAUUAUGAAAUAUUAUGUCUAAUAUAAAUAAGAAAAUGAGAAAAUAAUGUAAAAAAUUACGUACGGCCAUCGAGUACCACGAGAUAUAUAGAAAGAAAGAUUAUCAAAGCAUAAACAAACUUGGAAAUGUGAUUCAUUUUUUCUUCUUCUACAAGUAAUCAGUAAAACAUGGAUUAAACAUUUUAUAAGUAAAGUUUAUUGCUUUGUUAACAUCAUUUAAAUACUUUUUUAACACUUGAGUUGAAAAAAUAAUUAUUAAAUUGAAGUUAUAUUGUUAAAUGUCUCUAAGGUAGAUCAAUGAACCAAGCUUGUCCGUUAGCUCAGUCAAUUAACUAUUUUUGCAUAAUAUUUUUUUUAUUCCCAUCAAACAUUCAUUAAAAUUUUUAUUUUUUUAGCCUAUCGUGAUAGAGAAGGGACAAAAUACCCAAAGAGAAUAAUAGUGAUGAACAAUGAAAAUCGAUGAGUGGCAACAAUGGCGGAAUGUUCUUCGAUGCGGUGGCGAUGAGUCUUCACGGUGGAAUGAAAGGUGUCUGCAGGCACGUUAUCAGUCAAAUGCUCAAGUCAGUAAUGGAACUGAAUAAGAGUGUGUAGAAAGUGUUGUGAAAAGUGAAUCAUACCUUGAGGGCGAAGCUAAGCCACCCUUAUAUAGGCGCACAUGAAGAUAACUACUCCGGAUUUUGUGGCGUGUGAUUAGGGAGCGGUUAGAGAACACGUUUAGAAUGAUCCACGCGCGGAGGCAUGCUUGGAUGCGAUACGGUGCACUAAAGUUUUCGUGUUCCUUCAGGCAUUAAGCCUUAAGGCGGUGCAUGUAUUGUCCACGUGUCAAUAGGGGAUUGGUCAUCUGACCAGUCCAAAACAGUUGCCCCCAAGUUCUUGACGCCUGUAUCGAGCAUUGAAUCAAGCGUUUGGAUGCGAUGGUCGUUCAACUUUCUUUUAAAAAUUAAAACUCAUCGUUCUCUCACUUCUUUUAAUAUAUUGUUUCACCUUCUUAUUACCCUUUUCAACACAAAAGCUUUGCAGAUAUAAAUAUAAACUAGUUACAAACCCGUGCGAAUUCAAUAAUGUAUUCGAUAAAAAAAAUCGAAAUAAGAGAUGUUAAAACGACGGAACAUUGUGAUUCAUCAUAAAAUAUGUAUGAGCUGAUUAAGAGAGAAUAUAAUUAGUUUAUGAGAUUAGGAAUUGACAUAAUAUUUAGGAUGAAAACAAUUGGAACUAAUAAAGGAAACAAUGAUGUGUGAUUAUGAUUACAUAUUAUCCAAAAUUAUAAAAAAAAAAAAAAAAAAAAAAAAAACGUUGUUGUUAUAGAGUUACCAAAAAAAGAUUGAUACCCAUAUUUAAAACAGAUGAAAUCAAGCAAAGAAGCAGCAUCAGUGAGUGAAGAUAAUCUAGUAUAGGAUUAGAAUUAAGGUGAUAUGUUGGGAAUGACUUGAAUGUGCAUAUUUUUAGGUGGCUUCUCUAGGUCAAAAAUUAGCUUAUCACCUACCUCUAACAUAUGUUCUCGGCAAAAGUUGAAUCAUUGGCCGCCUAAGUAUUUUUCGUAACUUGCUCUCUUUGCCGACACUUAUACCUUUUUCGAGCUUGUUUGUCGAUGAGUGUGAUUGUUUACCGUGUUCCUUUUAGAAAUGUCCUUGAUAUCUAAUUUGGAAAGUGCUAGGUACAAAACAUUUACCAAAACAUUAUAUAUAUAUAUAUAUAUAUAUAUAUAUAUAUAUAUACAUUUCUAAAACAUUUACCAAAACAUUAUAGAGAUUUGCUGUAGGAAAAGAACAUGUUCUAUUUUGUUCAAGAGAUUGGGAAAACAACAUUAUAAUUAACAUGAUACUAAUUGGAACCAAUUAAGGAACCAACAAUGUGCAGAUUAACGUUACAUAAUAGUUAGGUUUAUAAAAGAGACUGCAAGUGUCAUAGAGUAACCAAAAUGGAAUUUUUGCCCAAUAUUUACAUUAUACAAAAUGAAAAGAACAAAUGGCAUCCCAAAGUCAAUAUAGUUUACGAUUACAGUCCAAAGCGAUACGUCAAAAUAGUAGAAGUUCAAAUAGUUCAGUAGAAAAGAUCUACUUUGGAACAACUCGAACGUGCAAGUUCUUCGGUGACUUUUCGAGAUCAAAGAUGAGCUUACCACCUUCUUCCAUCACACGUUCUCUGCAGAAAUUGAACCAUUGCUCGCCCAAAUAUUUUUCAUAGCUUGCUCUUUCGGUGGUAAUGAGUAUAUUACAUGAACUCGAUCACCCUAAAUUCGAGAAAAAAACCAAAAAAUAUAAUUAAAUCAAAAUGUACACUAAUAAAUAACAUUGAUAAAUCAUAAAUAAAAUUACAACAAAUUUUAACUAACUCAUCUAAGCUUUGCAUCACAAAUAAUGAGCUUCAUAUGUUGAUUCUCAUUACUACCAGUCACAAUCCAAGAAUCCAACACUCCGAAUCCUUUUUUCCAAAUGUCCAAAUCAUUAUUGAGAUCCUUGGGGUAUUCGUAAUCCCUUGACAUGUAAGGGGCUAUAUAGAAAUACAAUAAUACAUCAUUUCAUUUUAUUUCCUUUGUUCAUUCUGAUAUCGAAAGAAGCUAACAUAUUUCUAUGUGAUCAAUUUGUAUCAUCAAAUCAACCUGAUCUUAAAUGCACAAAUUUCGGUAUCAUUAACUUUUUGGACUUCACUAAUAUAACCAAAAAUAAUUUACACCAAUCAACUUUCGUACGGCUCAAUGAUAUAGGAAAGAAUAAACAAAAUAUAAAAACUGUUACAACUUUAGGAUUACUCACAAAAACUAAAAUAACUCACGUGCAUCAAAAAAAUUCAACUACAGUACCAGAACCUAAAAUAAAAAAUUGUAUCAAAACCUUACCAUAACAAAGGAAGAUUUUUCUACAGCCAUGCAACAUAAUAAUUUCUGGUACAUCAUUAACAAUUGAAAAAAAAAAAAAAAAAAAACCUUAAAAUGAAAAAUCAUGAAAAAAGGAAGAAAAGCGCAUAUGAUGAAGCAAAAACUAAAACAGUGUCGAAAAAUGAACCCCUCAAGCCAUAAAAAUCAGUCAACUCAAAUCAUGCAUGGUCUCAGAACCAUGCAAAAAGGAAGAAAAUGACAUUUUAUGAAGAAGAAAGUGAAACAAUGUUCCCAGCUGAACUUAGAUACCGUUUGACAAAGGUUUUUUACGGUCUAAAAGUUACUUCAAAACAAAGUUAAAAUAAAGGUCUUUAAGAAAAAAGUUAAAGUUGUUUGUUUUCUUUGUUUUUUUAGUUUUAAAGCUACUUUUAAGUUAAAUGUUGUUUGACAAAAUAUUGUACAAACUUUGAUUUUUUUUAUUUUUUUUAUGGUAUCAGGGGUUCGAACCCCAGAUUUGGCAUAUAUUUAUGAAUUGUUCCUAUCAUCUGAGUUAAACUCACGAUGACACAACUUUGAAUUUAUUAUGAAUUAAAAUAAUAAAUUAAAAAAAUGUUAAAAAUAUUUUUUAAAGGCUAUAAAUGUUAAAAAAUAAAAGAUAUAUUUUUUUUACAAAGACAAUAUUUACGCAAUAAUGUUUAUUUUGUGUAACAUGAAUACAAAUAUGUAUCAUCAUAUAAAUGACUUGUUAAUUUUUUUUUUUUGUGGUGGCCGGAGUUUGAACCCCAGACCUUGCAUAUAUUAUGCAUUGUCCCUAUCAACUGAGUCAAGCUCACGAGGACACUUGUUAAAUAUUUGAAUAGGAGAAACAAUUUAAGGAGUCUGAAAUAAUAACAUAAAUAAUAUCAAAAUAGUUGGUUUUUUAUAUUUCAAUUAUACUCUAUAACUAAUUUCGUUAUAAGAAUACCAUAUUUUUGGUGUCUUUAAAAAAUAUAAGAAUUUAUAUUAUAUGAUAUUAUAUUUGUUACAUUGUUGGUGUCAUGGAAACAUAUAUGUUUGUUUUUUUGAAUAAGAAAAGAUAUGCAUAGUUUGUUAAUUACAAUAUAAAGGUGCAAAAUAUAUAUAUAUAUAAGUAAAAAAAAAUUAGGCAUCUAUACCUUUUUUGGAGAAAAGACAUCUACAAUUUUAUUUUUAAUUAAAAUCAAAAUUUUAUAAAAAUAAUUAUACGCAUUAUGCAACAUCAAAAAAAAUUAUACUUAUUAGCGUAACAAAAAAACAAACACGCAUAAAGUAUUACUCUAAACACUAAUGUGUGUGUGUAUAUUUGCGAGGUUGAAAAAAGAAAAUAAAAAUAUUUGGUAUCAUUAAAUGACAGCGUGAAUAAAAAUAUUUGUGAGAUUGUGAUGAUUAAACUAUAUUGAAAUUAAAUAUAUAAGUGAGAAAAGAUAAUAAAAUUAAAUGGAACCUCCUUAAAAAAAAAUUAAAUGGAACGGUUCAAAAAAAAUUAAAUGGAAGAAACAAACAUAUUGUAAUAUAAUAUUAAAAAAUAAUAGAAAACGUUCCCAACGUGAAUUGAAGAGAGAUGCUUGUGAAAUAAAUUGCCAAGAAGUAGUUUUUUGAAGUAGCAUAGAACAACUUUUGGCCAAAGUUCAUUCCAUUCAAUUUUAUGCAUUAAAAAAAUUACAUUUUUAGUAAGUACUUAAUUGAUAUUGUAUUUGGCGUAACUUCUCCUUAAAAAUGUAGAGAAGUUGAAAAAAAAACCCAGGUCAAAUGGUAUCUUAAUCUCCCACAACGGCAGUGUAGAAACAAUUGAAUUUGGGAGAAAAAAUUGGAAAAGAGUUAAAAAUAAAAAAAUUGGAAAAUAGUUAAAAGUUUUUAAAAAUAUAAAAAUUGAAAAAUAGUUAAAAAAAAAAAUAUAUGCAUUAGCGUAACAAAAAAACAGACAGACGGACAUCAAAUAUUACACUAAACGUUAAUGUGUGUAUGUAUAUUUGUGAGGUUGAAGAAAGGAAAUAAAAAUAUUUCGUAUCAUUAAAUGACAGCGUGAAUAAAAAUAUUCGUAAGGUUGUGAUAAUUAAAUAUAUAAGUGAUAAAAAGAUCAUAAAAUUAAAUGGAACCUCUUUAAAAAAUUAAAUGGAACGGUUCAAAAAAAUAAAAUAAAUUAAAGUUAAAUGGAAGAAAAAAAACAUAUUGAAAUAUAAUAUUAAAAAAUAAAAGAAAAGGUUACGGCGUGAGUUGAAAAGAGAUGCUUGUGAAAUAAAUUGUCGAGAAAUAAUUUUUUAAAGUAACAUUCAACAACUUUUGGCCAAAGCUCAUUCCAUUCAAUUUUAUGCAUUUAAAAAAAAAAUUAGUAAGUAUUUAAUUGAUACUUGGCCUAACUUCUCCUUAAAAAUGUUAAGAAGUUAGAAAAAAAAAGCCGGGUCAAACAAUACCUUAAUCUCCCACAACGGCAAUGUAGAAGCAAUUGAAUUUGGGAGAAAAAAUUGAAAAAUAGUUAAAAACAUAAAAAUUGAAAAAUAGUUAAAAGUUAUUAUAAAUAUAAAAAUUAUAAAAUAAUUAAAAAAAUUUGGUGAAGGGCAAAAUGGUAAAAUGCACCCAUAUAAAGGUGAGGUGGCAACAACCACAUCCCACCAAAUAGAAAAUUACAAAAAUGCCCCUCUUAGGGGCAAAAUUGUAAAAUCAUAGGGAAUUAAAUUUUAUAUAUAGUAAGUAGAUAUAAAUGAUCUCUAUUCACAAGCUCACUCCGUUUCUUCUACGAGUAGUAGUAGUAAUAUUCGUCAUGCACAAGGUGAAACAAGUAGAGAAAUUGAAAAGGUACAUGUUGAUGACAACAACAAUGAUGUAGAUACUAUUGUUGUUUUUGGAUUUCCAAACUGUUGUAUUUGGAUUUUCAAAUUCUAAAAUGAAUAUCUACCAAAGUUGUUACUAGGUUGAGUCACGACCAGGUCGCCCUCUUUAACACGUUUCGUGGCACUGUCCAAAGUUGUGCAAGACAGAUUAUCAACCACGCCGCCUCCAGGAUAAAACAAGCUCAUCUACAAAUGUGUGGUUAACUACUGCACUUUAGAAAACCAUUCGAGAUUACACCUCCAAUAUGGUACCAAGACCAUUAUGUUAAUAUUAAAAUGACUUUAAUAUGGUAUUGUUACCACUCUAUUAUGGUGCUGAGACCACUCAAAUAUGGUGUUAUCACCAUUCUAACUUUAAGUUCUCCAAACUAUCAAUAUGGUACUACGACCACUCAAAUAUGGUGAUACCACCAUUUCAAAUUUUUUAUUUCUCCUCAAAUAGAAAAAUAUUGAAAGAAUAUUUAUAUACUAUUAAGAUCAUUCUUAAUUCGGAAGGGACAUUAUUGUUCCGAAAAGAGACUAUGAUCUUAAAAGUACUCUUUAUUUCGAAGGGACAUACAUUCUCGAAUGGACUAUGUUUUCAAGACCUUUAUUAAUUGCGAAGAACAUUAUACUGAAUAGGGACUAAGGUCUUAAGAACACUCUUAUUUCAGAAAGGACAGAAAAAGGAGUCGAGGAGAAGAAUAGCUCGUCAACACAAGCUGGAGGGAGAAGAGAGAAAGAGUUCUCGACAACUUAAUAGAAACUCUUUGGUGUAAUUUUUGAACUAGGUGAGCUCUGCUUUUAUAGGGAGAGUUUGUAACUAAUUUGGAGAAACUUAAGAAUUAAGUAAACUUAAAAAUUAAGCAACCCACAGAUCAGCUCAAGAAACAAACUAAUCGGAUAAGUUCAAAAAGAAACAAACCCACAAGAUUAACUGAAAGAAACUAAUGAAGGAAAGAUAAGAAAUUCAGUUGGAUUCUCAAUCUUAUCACAACAAACAUAACCUAAAAUUAUGGAAAGUGAUAUUCAUGAAUAAAGAAUAAUAAUAAUUAUUAUUUUCAUCAUUAUCAGGUAUUUAAAUUUAAAUACCACUAUUUAAACACUACUAAUGUGUGUGUUCUAUUUUAUGUGGGACCUCCACACUCUAUUUUUUCAAUUCACACAACACUAGAUCAAAGUUUAGUUACUUGGUGUUUAAUCUUCCAACCUUGUAAUUUCUUUCCAUCUUCACACCAAUGUUCCAACAAUCCCUCACUGGAGUUUAAAAAAUGGUUUCAAUAAUAACGUCAAAACGUUUCUAUAAGGUCGCUAAUAAACAAAGGUGUCGCCUACAACUUGAACCUUUGCAUAGCGGAUAAUAUUCCGAUUUUACAAGAGUUGCUUACAACAUUGAACUCUAUCUCAGACAUAUAACCCACACACAAACCUUUUCCUAUAAGGUGUAUUCUAAAAGCCUGUGCGUUUAUGGCCCUGCACGUCUAUCCUAGUUUUAACGAACGCUCUAGUUAUUCUACCCUGAAUUCCAUAGGAUUCGGCCUCAGUUCCACAUUCGUAUAGGUGAGUCUAUCAAGAAUACUAAUGUAGUCAUGUACUCCACUCCACAUAGAGUAUAUACCUCAUUAAGAGUUUCUAUCAUCUCAACCUCCUAUCACUGCAGGAUUCAUGAUUUCUUACUUUUCUCAUAGCAUGUUCUGUCACUCAUGACUUGUUAUUACCUAUUGAACCUAUUUCUUGGGAUCUCCAAUCAUUUAGGUAGGGUUACCAUCACUCGUGAUCUUUAGGCAUUAGUCCCAUCCAAUUGGAUGUGUUUAGUAAUUUCUUAGUUAUUCCUUCCUUCAAAGGAUCAACUAAUUCUUCACCAGUACGUACAUGAUGUACGUUAGCUGUUACUUUUGAGAGUAGCUAACUCUCUAAUCCUCUAUGUAUUCGUGCCUUAAUUAUCGUCUCUUUCAAUUGUAGUAACGAUUCUCAAUUUUUGUAAUCGCUGCAGUACUAUCACAAUGAAUUAACAUUUCUGGCAAUGGUGUAACCCACUAGGGGUUCUCAACCAGCAAGCAUCUUAUCAACUUGCUUCUUCACUAGAUUUCUCUAGUGUUUUCAUCUCAGAUUCAUUCCAUAGUGGAUUGAGUCAAUGUCAUUUGUUUCAACAAACAACUUCUCCAGUUAUGUUCAAUGUACAAGCACUGGUCGCUUAAGACUCAUCUGAAGGAUGUUCUAUUUUGUAUCUUGUACCAUUCAUGUAUAAUGUGAUACUUCUCAUUUGUAUCUUGUCCCAUUCAAGUAUAAUAGGAUACUUCUCAUAAUGUAAUCCUAGAGUCAUAAUCUUCUUAAGGUACCCCAUGACUCUUUCAAUAACAUGGCAAUGCUUCUCAUUCGUCUACUAGUAAACUUGAACAAAAGUCUCACGACACGGUCAACGUCGAGUCAAAUACAUUCAAUGGCAUGUCUAAAGACUGCCAAUGAUGCUCGCAUAUUCUAUUUGUCUAACACCAUCUCAAGAGUUCUUGAAAAGUUUUACACUUGGAUCAUAAGGUGUGCUUGCAAGUUUACAGUCAAAUAAUUACAUUUCCUAAAAGAUAUUCUCAACUUUGUGAGAUUCAUCAAAAAAGUUUCUUUCUUAUCAAUGUUGUUGAUAAACAAUUAUUUCACAUAAUUCAUAACAUGAAUCUUUAAACUAAAUAUGAGCAAGUCGUCUUCAUAGAGACAUAUGUUCGUGCAAAUUUUUGCAAAUAAAUUUGUCACUUUCAUUCACUUUAUACUCAUUCGAUAGCAUUAGAAUGUCACAAUUUUUAUGUCAUUCCUUAAGAGUUUAUUUUAGACCUCACAAAGAAUUAUCUAACUUACAGACCUUGUUUCCUUGUUCAUGAAUCACAAAACUUUCAGGUUGGUCCAUAUAGAUUUCUUCUUCUAGUUCACCAUUUAAAAAGGCAAUUUUCACAUCCAUUUGGAGUACUAUCGAGUUAUGAACAACGGCUAAAGGCACUAGUACUCUUAUGGAUAUGAUUCUAAUGACUGGUGAAUGGGUAUCGAAGAAGUCUAUAUUUUUCUCUCUGUAAAACUUUUGACUAUAAGGAGAGCCUUGUAUUCAUCAACCGAACCAUCAAGUUUUAGUCAUUUUUUCCAAAAUUCAAAUACAACCGUUAGGUUGCAACCAUGAGGCAAGUCAACUAAGUGUCAUGUUUCAUUAGACCGUAGAGAAUCCAUUUCAUCGUUUAUUGCUUCUUUCCAUAAUUCAACAUCCAAUGAGGAUAUAACUUCUUUAAGGUUUAAUGGAUCUUCUUCCAAUUUAUAAACCAUAGGGUCCAUACUCUUUAGCAAAUCUUGCUUGCUAACCUCUUCGAGGUUCUUGCUUACUUAGUGUUUAAUCUUCAAACCUUUCAAUUUCUUUCCAUCUUCACGCCAAUGUUCCAAUAACUAUAGAGGAUGGAUGGAAAGUUGUGGUUGCUAGGUCUUCAAUGUUGCAAGUGGAUCAAAAGGCUGAAGAAUUUAUCUAUAAAUUUCGUGAAGAUAUAAGGCUUCAGAAAGAGAAAUCAUUGCUUGAAUUUCAUGAGAGGCUAGCAAGAAGUACCUAAAUUUGAUAAUAUAGAUAGAUUAUAAUAUUUUUUUUUAUUUCACUUAUAGUUCAUGAUUAUGAUAUAUAUCAUGGCUUGGUUUCUGUUUUUUUUCUUUCUUUUUUUUAUAUACUUUCAUUUAGUUCUAUUGAGAAGGAAAGAGAUUUUUACUUUGCUUUGAAAUAAGAAGUAAAUAAGUAAUUAGCAGAUGUAGUUAAUUGUUUUGGAAUGAUGUCUGAAGAAGUUCUGAAGAUGUAUAUCAAACUUGUUAGGAUUAUUUUUCCUUCUCAUUUUCAUUAUUAUUUGUAUUAAAAUUACUUGGGCAUAUUGUUUAUUAGUCUGGCAAUAAUAAAGUGUGUAUUUUAUUUUAUAAAAUAUGAGAAUGAAAAAAUUAUUAAAGUAACCAUAAUUAUCAUCUUACAACAGUAUUGGAGUAAUAAAUUUGAAUUUCUUCUCUUAGAAAUUACAUGGUGAUACUUUUAUCGAUAAGAUUAUGUUUGGAUUGAUGGAAUGUGAUGGAGUAAAAUGGAAUGAAGUGGUAUUUUAUGACAUUCUAUUAUUUAGAUUUGUAAAAUUUUAAUGGAGCAGGAUGGAACAUGAUGGAAUGGUAAAUUUGUUCCAUUCAAUCGUAAAAUACCUAAACAAUAAAAUGAACUCUCUAUUUGGUUUCAUUCCGCUAUGCUUCUUUUCAUUAUAUUGUGUUCUGCUCCGUUAUAUUCCAUCAAUUCAAACAAAACUUAAUUAAAAAUGUUAUUGAUGUAAUGUACCCACCAAUUUAACCGACAAUUAUUGUUCUUCUGAAACUUGACUUGCCAAUCACAUUUUUUACAUCAACAAGCCUCGAAUAUGAAACUUGUUUAAAAAAUUGAGUCCAUGAAAAGUGUGCGUAUAAUGUAUUUAUUUAUGAUGAAUAAUAUUCCCUCCAUCCCAUAAUAACUGAGUCAUUUUCAAUAAAAAAAUGUUUUAAAAUAACUGAGUCAUUUCACUUUCCAAUACAAUAUUAAUUACUUUUUUUCAAUUAUAACUCUAAAUAAUAUUACUUUCACCACUUCCAAUACAAUAUAUUCUACUUUACAUUUAUGAUAAAGAAGAAUGAACCAAUACUUAACAAAGACACUUAAAACCAUUUUUCUCUCUCCUUGACUAAUAUAUUUUUCUUAAUAAAUGUGAAAUGAGCAAAUGACUCAAUUAAAUUUGGACGGAGGGAGUACACACUUGUGAGAGUUGCUUGGUGUUUUCGUUAUUAUUUCCAAAUCACGUCCAUCUAUCUCUAUUGAAUCAGUUUGUCCAACUAACUUUUAUUAUUUUCCAUUGUUUUCUUAUAAAUGUUGAUUAUCAUUGGCUUCAUGGAAUCUAUUAAAUAUGUUUUUGUCCCAUCGUAAUACUCGUCAUAUAAGUUUUUUUUUUAAGUAGUUAAAUUAGCCCAUUUAAAUUGACACAGAAGAUAAUCGAAUCUGAGAUCUCGAGAAGGAGUACACUCCAAGUCACAAGUCAAUACACAAGACCAACCAAGUGGGUUAAAUAUUUUUUAAGUUUAAUUUGUUCCUCACGUUUUAAAAAUUGUAUGUUUUUGUUUUUCCUGCUAAUCAGCAAAAUAAUCAAGUCAACACUUCUCACCAUUACUUUUUAAAUGAUAUAACGCUCACGUGGCAGCUAAUGGAUAGAAAUUCAGUCCAAUCUAUCCUAGGAAUUCAGUACAACUAGUACAGUGAUCCCGUGCUGGCACGGGGAAAUAAAAAACUUUUUUAUCAUAUAUAUAGAUUUUAUAUUAUGUUAUCUUAAAGUUAUAACUGUGGUUAUAAUUUAAAUCGAUAUGAAAAAAAUAUCAUCUUAAUUUUAUAUAUAUUUUGAAAUAUCUAAACAUUGCAUAUAACGAUAAAAAUAUAUGGAUUAUUAUACUUGUACUAAUUAUUUGUAGUAUAAGAUGCACUCAUUGUUAAACUUAGCAUAUGUAAUUUUUUUGCAAAAUUACGCCGACGUACUGUGUAAUAAUAUUUGUUGACAAAAUGUAUUUUAUUAAUCAUAAAAAUUAAAAAAUAUGUAUUUUUUUUUUAUAUAAUAGUCAUUGUCACAUGCAUUCACGUAGUCGGUAAAUGCAAACGUUUAAUUUUUUACGGGUGUGUAUAAAUAUAGUUUGGGCUACAGAAACGCCGAUUGUUAUUUGUUUUUAAUUUUUACAAAACAAAUGGUCUAAUGUAAAUAUUGUAUUUUAGGGUAAUAACGAUGUAAAAAAAAAAGGUUCGGCGGAUUGUUAAACCUGAAAAGUGCAUGAAUUAAUAGUCAAUGCCAGGAGGAUCUGCUUAUAAAGAAAUUGCAUGUCUAUAAUGACCAGUACGCCUUACAAAGAAAUUAAAAAUAAAACGACUUCCAAACAAUAGGCAACUUUAGUUUUCUAAAUUAUAUCAACAACAAUUCUAAAACAUAACCAAUGAUCAUACUUUUUGAAAAACUUCACGAUACACAACAUUUGUGGUCUCCUUACAAACAUUAUUAUCUUCAUCCAGGAUGAGCAACUUCAGACCUUUUCUUGAAGUUACUCGAGAGACAACGACAUAAAGUUGUCCAUGCGUGAACACAGGCUUAUGAAGAUAAACCCCCACUCGAGAUAAAGAUUGACCAUGGCUUUUAUUUAUUGUCAUUGCAAAACAAAGCGUCAAUGGAAAUUGCAUGCGCCUGAAUUUGAAGAGUAGUCCUGGAUCACUCGGAAUAAGAUUCAUCCAGGGAAUGAAUACCCUGGUACCUGCCAUUUUUCCUGUAAUUACGGUAGCAGCUAUCGUGCUCUUCCCUAAAUGUGUAACUGUCAGCCUAGUACCAUUACACAGUUUAUUGGCCUAAUCGAUGUUUCUCAUCAGCAUAACUGGACAUCCCACCUUUAGUUUCAACCUGUGAUUUGGAAUUCCAGAGCUCUUAAUACCAUUAAGAAAUUCCGAUGUGAACCACUCGCUUUGGACAUCAGAAUUUUCACCCGAUCUACAAACAGAAUCAGAGCUUAAAUACUCUUUCUCUUCACUUGGAAUCAGCGACAUCAUAAAUUCGUUAACAUGCUCAACUGAAUCAAGCGUUGGUGCGAGUAUUCCCCUUUCUUGGCAAAAUAGCUGGGCACCAAGGUUAUCAUUCAGAUUGGGAUACACAAAGUCUAUAAGCGACAUCAACGGAUUUGUUGUGUCCGAUAUCAGCAAAUCUUCAGGAAUUUCUACCUUCAUUUCACCAUUCUCAUCCGAAGCGUCGUUGCCGUCUCCAAUUGAGAGUAUCCACUUGCCAAAAUUAGCAAUUUCUUCCUGCUCUGCAUGUACCGAAGCUGCACCCAAUCUCAUAUUAACAGUAAGCCUCAACACAUUACAAUAAGCCAAUAUCUUUGACGAAUUAACUGAGGCAUCAACAAUAUCCGGCCUCGUUCCUCCUAGGACAACAGGCAAUAUCUGCCUGAAAUCACCACGUAAAACUACUGUCAUUCCACCAAAAGGUUUAAGCGCGUUUAGGGGAUCAUUCUUGGACAUGAUAUCACACAAUGAUCAGUCAGCUGCCUCAAAACACCAUCGGUGCAUCAUUUGAGCCUCAUCCCAAAUUAUCAACUUUGCAGCACGCACCAGGUCUGCCCUAGGACUAUCCUUUUCCAUCGUAAGCGAUGAUGCCUCAUUACUCAAUAGGGACUGUCAGCGUCGAGUGCACGGUUCUUCCACCUGGUAAUAGAAGAGCGGCUAUACCGUUGGAUGCAGUAUUCAAUACAAUUAACCCAUUCGAUCUAACAGCAGCCGACAAUGUUUUCCAUAUAAUGGUUUUUCCAGUACCACCGUAACCAUAUAAGAAAAAGAAACCACCGUCGUUAGAACCAACGAACUCCAUGAUCUUGUCAAGCACACAUCUUUGUUCAUCAGUCAGCAUCAGUAACAUAUCAACGUGUGUCUUUUUCAGUUCAUCUUAGUUGUAACUUAGCUCAUCAACGAUAAGCUUGUUUGUGAAAGUUGGCAUGUCUGCUGCGUUUGGCCUAGGCAUAGAGAACAUCACAAAAAAAAAAUAUUAUGCAUAAACCAGAUACCAAUUUAAUAGUGACCCGUGCCAAGCACGGGAAAUAAAAAACUUUUUUGAUAAAAUGUAUAGAUUUUAUAUUAUGUUAUUUUAAAGUUAAAAGUGUGAUUAUAAUUUCAAUUUGAUAUAGAAAAAAAUAUCAUCUUAAUUUUGUCUAUAUUUUGAAAUAUGUAACCAUUGCACAUAACGAUCAAAGUAUUUGGAUUUAAACUUAUAUUAAUUAUUUGUAGUAUAAGAUGUACUCAUUGUUAAACUUAACAUAUGUAAUAUUUUUGCAAAAAUACGCCGACGUAUUGUAUAUUAUUAUUUGUUGACAUAACAAAUUUUAAGCUAUUAAUGUCUAAUUAUAGUUAUAAAAAAAUUGAAUUUUUUAUUAUUAUUAUAAUUAUUAAUCUUUGACGGUAAAGAGAAUGUCCUCAUUAAAAUUAAAUUUUUUGUUAUAUAUUAUAAUGAGAUGACUUAUUUUGAAAACUUCAUUACUCAUUAAGGAGAGUACGCAUUAAAACUAAUAUUUAUUGAAAAAAUUUCAAUUUGAUAACUUGUUUAGAAUGUUUGUAUCACAAUAAUAUCAUUUAAAUUGCUUCUCAUUCUCUUAAAUAUUUGUCUUCCUUCAUAAGUUUCUUUUAUGAAAUAAAAAUUAUAUAAUUAUAAUAUUUUUUUUAGAAAUAUAAUUAUAAUAUUUAAAAUCUUAACAAAAUUAUUUUAACCAUGCAGUAGAUUAAAAAUGAUUUAAAUUUAAAAAAGAAUCAAAGUAUUUUCCUUUAUACUUGUUCAACAGAUAAAAAAUUAAUUUAGUGGUACAAUUAUUAAAGUAGAUGAAUGUUAUUUCAAUUUAUUUAUAAAAAAUCCAUGAAUAGAAAUUUGAGAAGGAAACAGAAACUGUAACAUUGGAAAUGGAAACAGAAUCAAUGCAGCAAGAAUUUAUGAAUACUGAUACUCCACUCCAGAUUACCCUUGAGGCCGCAGAGGGAGCAGCAAGGCUCGGUGCAGCAACAUCUCCCAUCCAGGGGGACGUUUCCAUUAAUCAUUCAGAGAUUAUAUCAUCAUCAAUUCCGACACCGGUGGUAAUUGAUACUUAUCAUACUCCUAUUAUUAUUAAUAAUACAUGCAUGGAACUUGAGAAUGAAUCCGAUGAAAUUGUUAGAUAUGAUGUAGAAGAAAACCAUGAACAUAUUUUAUCUUCCGUCCGUGAGAAAUCCUUAGAUGUCAGUAGCAUUGUGGCUCCGGAGGGAGCUCCAAUACAUCCGGUUCUACAAAAGGAUUUAAAUUUUAUGCAAGAUUGGUUAGCAAAGGCUGCUGUUAAUAACGAGGUGCUAUUUACUGCGGUAAUUUCAAAGUCAAAAAAAAAAAUGUGCAAAAGGUUGCAUACAAAACCCGCUCUCAGGGUCCCCGCCCACCGUUUAAAUGAAUAUAUUUAUUGGAAUAUCAGGGGGACUCCUAUAGUGCGGUUUGUUCUCAUAUCUUUCGGGAAGGGAAUUGGUGUGCAGAUGGCCUAGCAGCCUUGGGGCAUGAUAUGCAAGACACUUUGUGGUUCACUCUGUUGCCUCCCUCUUUAGGGGCAGAUUUUUCUAGGGACAUAAAUGGGAUGCCGAACUAUAGAUCUUUUUAGCUAUUUCUGUUUCUAGUUUUCUGUAAAUAUUUUUUUUUUUUAGAGGGUAUUGGCUUAGUCCCCCCUCAUUGUAAUUUUUUUCCUUUUUUUAAUAAAAUAUACGUAUUAGAAAGGCGGUAGAGGAUGGAGGUGUCUGUUGGGUGCCAACCUAGUUGGGAUCUUUCAGACUCUCCCGGAUGCCCAACCUUUCUCUUGGCCUUAUAAAAAAAAAUUAUUUAUAAAAAAUAAGAUUAAAACAAUUAUAUCUAUAAAAAAAUUAAAUUUUCAUUUUUAAUUAUAAUUAUUAAAUUUUUGUGUUUGGUCCAAUUAAUGCAUACAUAAUGAGCAAAUAAAAAACCUUAAAAUAGUAAAAGUAUUUUAAUGCAUACAUCAUGACCAAAUAAAAAAAGUAUCAUCAAAAAAUAACCGUCACAAAUGUCAAAUACAUGAGAAUGUUUGGUUUGGUCCAUGGUGUCGUGUGUCAAGAGUAAGCUUUGAAGAACUUUGUUUUCAUAUAUAAUAUAGACAGUAGAGGACUAUGUCUUUUUGUUGUUGUUUUCACAAAUGUCAAAUACAUGAGAAUGCUUUGUUUUCAUCUAAAAAUUCGUUUUAAAAAAAUAUCAUCUUGUAUUUUAUUUAUUAAAAUUAAAAUAUUAACAGUGUCUGAAAGUAUAUGUAACACUUCAAGCGCAUUAAAAGUUUUGGUCAAUGAUAAUGUCUGUUUUUUUUUUUUUUUUGAUAAAUGGUCAUUGAUAAUGUCUAUUGAAUGGUGAAUAUUUACUCAUUAUUCCUUUCCUUGGAAAAAAAUAUUACCUUUAAAAGUUAUGGUUAACAAUAAUGCAAUAAUAGUGCUUUAUUAUUUUAUUUUUUUUAAAGGAAUUGUGCUUUUAACUUAAGAUGCAAAGUCAAAUGGCUAUAUUUUUAUUGCUAAAUGGAUAGCAUGGCCAUGAGAGAAAAAUGAGCAUUUAACGUGUACCAUAUAUUCGAAAUGAACUAUCAAUAUCAUUGUGAAUAAAACGGUUCGACAUAAAUAGAUGACACAUUUUAAUUCAACAUAAACGGUUUAAUAACUUCUUUUAUUGGCUAACAUUAAUUUCAAGAAUAUUUCUUGAUAAAAUCUAAGGGUGAUUAUUCUGCCAUGUCAUUCUUGAAAUUUUCUUGAUAAAAUCUUUCUUGAUAUAUAGCAUUACUCUUUAUUUUAAUGCUAGUAUUUUACUCCUAUCAAUAAAGAUUAUUCCAAAUGAAUCGGACAAAAUGAUAUGAAGAAAGAAAAAAAAAUUAAUCUUGGUAAUUUUGAUUAUAGAUGGAACAAUUUUUAAUUUUAAUGUCAAAUCACCUAUAAUGUUACUAAAAAAUUCAAAUAUUAAAAAUCAAAAUUGCAAGACAAUCUUUUGAUUCAUUAAAACCAUUUCUAAAGAUUAAGAAAAUUGGUCUAUGUUCAUAUCCCACACACAGUCAUAGGGCGAAGAAUUUGAACCACAAUUUUCAUUGUCUCUUAAGAAGAUCUAUAAUUGUAUUUUGGUGCUCAUUAAUUUCAUUGAAUAACAAAUUACAAAGAAGCAAAUAACAAAUUUCUAUAAUAUUCAAUAAGAUUUUAUCAAUAUUAGAAUAUUAAAAAAAAUCAUAAUAAAUAUAUGACAGUUCUUACAAUAUUUUUUCAUAGAUGCACAUCAAAUUGAAAAUACAACAUAAUCAAUAAUCUAUAGAAAUACUACUAUUUGGAAUGUAAAAUAACAAAUUGUACAAAAGAAUAAUUAUCGCUUAAAAAACUAAUAAAAUACAUUCAUUCUAAUCAAAGUGUAUAAUCCAAUUUCUUCAAUUUUCACACCAUCUGCUGAUUCUUUCAUCAUAUUUGUCGUUUGAGAUGCACUUCUACAACAACUAAACAAAAGGUGAAUAAAGAUCAAGAUGAAUUGACAAAGAAAAUAUUAGAAAUUGAAACGGUCUUAAGAAUUAGAUCUAAGAAAAAAAAUGAGAAUAAGAAGUAAAAAUGAAUAAAUUAAAAGAAUGAUCUCGAGAAAAUUAUCAAAAUUUCAGCAUCAAGCUCAAAAUUGAGUGUAAAUUUGAAACCAAAAAGCACAACUUAUAACAAUGAUGUGAAAAUUAUGAGUUAUAUAACUCAAAAUGAUGUGAAAAGUGUGAGCCUCAAACACAAUAUUUAUAACCAAUAUGUAUGAAGCAAUCACAAAAAAUUUCCCUUAAUUUUUGGAUGUAGUAAUUGAAGAUAAAUUGGUACAUUAAUUAUCAACAAUUAGUAUGAUUAAAAUUAGAAAGAAAGAAAAAAAGUACUCAUGAUUUUUUUCAGGGGAAACAAAUACUCAUGAUGUACAUUUCUAUUUAAUUUUUUUUAAUUAAAUGUGUAAAAAAAUUGUAAAUGUGUUCAAAAACCAAAUGUAUAAUUCUUUUUAUAUAAAAUGUAUUUAAACACUUUUUUUUUUAAUAUGUAUUUACACACGAAAAAAUAUGUAAAUAAAUCAACCUUUGAUUCGACAAUUGAUACUCCAAAUUUCAUGAUGUGAAUGGGAGAUAUCGAAAACGAAUUCAAUCGGUAUCAUUUUUAUAGAUACAAAAAUAAAUGAUCUAAUAUAAUCGCGGAGAAAAUAAUAUAAAAAAAAAGACAUAAAAAAAAAAGAGGUAAACAAAAAAUUGGAGUCAAACAACCUUAUUGUCCAUUAGAAUAAUUUCAUGAUGUAAAUAAGCCAAAUAUGUAUAAAAUAUGUAUUUCGGUACUAUAUUUUUUUAAAAAAAAUUUCAGUUACCAUCUAAAUGUCAAUUUUGGUUCCAAAAACUUUUUUUUUUCCGGUCAAAUAAAAAAGUCACACAUCAUAAGUAAAUAAUAUCUUUUCCAAUCAGUCAUGAUAUUAUUUGACCAUAAUUUAAGCAAUCAACCAUUAUAAAUCAUCUAUGAUAUUUAUUUGCAUGAUUGUUAUUUUUUCUGCCCUUUUUUUUUCGGUUACAUAAAACUAAAUGGAUCCAAAUUCGUUUUUCUUUUUUCUUUGAGGGGAAGGUUUUUCCAUUAUUAAGGAAAAUCGAAUCAUAUUGUGUUUAAUUGUUUUAAUGCCACUUUGAAUAAAAUAUCUUUGACAUAAUUACAAUCAAAUCAAUUGUUUCACAUCAUUUGUAAAAAAAAAAAAUUUUGUCCAACAUCAUGAUUAUUAUUAUUACAAAAAUAAAAAUUAAGAAAUGUAUAACAUUAUUUUUGUUUUUGUUUUGAAUAAACACUAUUAUACAGUAUUAUUACUAUACAAUAUACAUUUGAAAAUAGAAACAAAAGUAUAUUACCUUAAAAAAGAACAUAUUAAUUCAAAUUAUAUAAAAAAUUAAUGGUUAUUACCAAAUCUAAAUAAAAUUAUUUUAAAAAGUUACACCCUUAUCAAAUCAUAUUUUUAUUAUUUGACAUAUAUCAAUUAUUUAUUCUCUUUGACAUUUAAAUAAUUAUUCCAUUACUUAUUUUAUUUUAAUCUCUGCAUUCAAAUAUUUUAAUUUAAAUUAUUUGUUUAUUAAAAAAAUUAAAUUAUUUAAUUAAAAUUUGUAUUUUUUGGAUUCGAAAUAAUUGAUUUCUAAAAUUUAAUCUCAAAUUUAGAAAUUGAAAUUGUAAAACUUCCUUUUGUAUAUAAACACUAAAUACAAAUUUGUGAGGAUGAAUGUGGUGAGAGUAUUUUGUGAGGAUGAAUGUGGUGAGAGUAUUUGUAAAAAACUUCCAUUAUGUUAUUGUGCCACAUGUCAAUACCAUAAGAAGAGAAAAACAUUUCUAUAUAGGGACAUGAAAUAGGUCCUAAAUUUAUAUUAUAUAGAUUUCUUUUUUUUACAUUCAUUUUGCUUUUGGAAUUAUGUGUGUGUGAAGAACCAAAAAUGUAUAACUAACUUGUGAGGAAUUUUUUUUCUUCUUCAUUUGGUUCACAGUGAAAGGUGAUGAAUUGUGCCUAUUUAUUGGAGUUAUGCUAACGAGUGUUCACAUUCAAUCGAUCGAUAUGGAAGUUUGGGAUGUUGUCAACGGACGCUUGAAUUACAAAUAGAUGUUGAUGGUGUCAUGCAAAAUAAGCCUAAGGCAGAUUGGACAGGAUGAUAAGAAAAAUGUUCAAUACGAUUUAAAAGUGAGGAACAUACUCAUUUCCACACUGGUCGUAAACGAGUAUCACUGAGUUUCAUAUUGUAAGACCGCUAAAGCAAUAUGGGAUGCUUCGAAACCUUCCAUGAGGGUACUGAACACGUUAAGCAAUCAAACAUCACUACCGUCAUUCAACAAUUUAAGCUAUUUCACAUGAAGGAUGGUAAAACCAUCUACUCCAUGAAAAUGAGAUUCACUCGCAUUGUUAACAAAUUACAAGACCUAUGAAAGACCGUCUCAAACCAAAAUUGUUCUAAUAAAGUUUUAAGAUGCAUGUCUAGAGAAUGUCGGUCUAAAGUCACUACCAUUAAAGAAUCUCAAAACCUUAAAACUCUUGGAAUCACCACCCUAUUUGGAAAGACUAAAAAGCAUGAGCAUGAGAUUCUAAGGUUGAAAGUUAGGGAGGAAGAUAUCAAGAAAAAGGAAAAGAAUUUCAUUGCGUUGAAAUCCACCUCCACAUGCAUUAUUUAAUAAUAAAUCAGAGAUAAAUAUAAGGUUCAAGGUUUUACGCCUCAAUAAUCCCAAGCAUGCAUAAUUCAUUCCCUCAAAAUUCAUAAACGGUCGCAACAAAUUUAUAAAAUAAAACAUCUCAACAUCUUAAGGUAUAUCAUCAUAUACCUCAUGGUUCUCAUAUAAUCCAACAAAAUAAAAUAAACAAAAAUCACGACGAAGUCCUAAAUCAGAGCCUACAACUAGACUCCAAAGACAAGCAAAAAGCGAGAAAGAGUCAAGUUAUUCCUGAGUACUCACGAUCACGCGUCCUCAAUCUUGCACGUCUACACCAUCCAAUAGAAUGGCAUAGUCAAAAACCCGGAAAAAGGUGAAAAAUACUCAACAUAGAAUAUCAUGAACAUAUGAAUAAAAUAAUAAGUGACAUAGAAAACUUACUAUGGUACAAUUUCACGUAUGCAUGUACACAUUGAGUUAAUGCACAUCGGUUUUUCUUGUGGAAAGAUACACCCUACAAUUUUAACUUUUCUCCGACAGUCAUAGUGAUCUUUACAUGAAACAGGCCCUGAAAUGUCAAAUAAGAAAGUACUUUGAUUAAAUGAUUGUGAAAUAUGAUGUCUAAUAUAAAUAAGAAAAUAAUGUAAAAAAUUACUUACGACCAUCGAGUACCACGAGAUAUACAGACAAAAAGAUUAUCAAAGCAUAAACGAACUUGGAAAUGUGAUUCAUUUUUUCUUCUACAAGUAAUCAAUAAAGCUUGGAUUAAACAUUUUAUAAUUAAAAGUUUAUUGCUUUGAUAACAUCAUUUAAAUACCUUUUUAACACUUAAGAGUUGAUUUUUUUAUUAUUAAAUUGUAGUUAUAUUGUUAAUUUCUCUAAGGUAGAACAAUGUACCAAGUUUUGUCUGUUAGCUCACUCAAUUAACCAGUUAGGCAUAAUAUGGAUCUCAAAUAAAUACUUUUAUUCCCAUCAAACAUUAAUUAAAUUUUAAUUUUUUUAGCCUUUCGUGAUAGAGUAGGGACAAAAUACCCAAAGAGAAAUAAUAGUGAUUGAUAUGUCCGGUGAUGAUGGAUGAGAGGCAAUGGUGGCAGAAGAUGCUCUGGUAUGACGACAAUGGUUUCCGGUAUAGUGGCGAUGAGUCUUCGCGGUGGAUAGAAAGGUAUCUGCAGGCACGUUAGCACUCCAACGCUCAAGUCAUUGAUGGAACUGAGAAAGAGUGUGUAGAAAGUGUGGUGAAAAGUGAACCAUACCUUGAGGAUGAAGCAAUGCCACCCUUAUAUAGGUGCGCAUUGGGAAUAAAUCAUUCCGGAUUUUGCGGUGUGUGAUUAAAGACAGUUAGAGGACACGUGUAGGGUGAUCCUCAUGUGGGGGUGUUCUCAUAUGUGGUGCGGUGCAUUAAGUUGACGAUAUAAUGAAUUUCAAACGAUAAACUCUAUACAUAUCAAAAUUUACCUUGCAUAUAUUAUCUAUUACCACAUGUAAAUUUAACACAAACACAUCACAUAGGAAAUAUUUAUCCAUAAAUUUCUAUAACAUAUAUUCAUGAAAGAAAUUUGUUUACCGUUCACCAUGGACAUGGAUGAGAUUGUGAGAGUUCAUUUUUUCCAACUUAACAAAGUCAGAAGUCAUUUCUUUCAAUGAAGGAGACAUAGAAAUCGAACCUAAAGAUUGUUAUAUAACUUGAUUUGGGAGACUGCUGCAAUAGCUUGACUGAGAAGAUGAUGAAGAUGAACAUAAUGAAGUGUAUAUAACUUGAUUGUUGGGAAGAUGCUGCUGCACUUGAAACCUGAAAAAUUUAAUGGUUAUGCAUGUAAAACUCAGAGCGCACGGGGUUGCCACACUAACCUUUAGGUUCGAUUCGCCCCCACCAAUAACUGUAUAUUUGAUGCAAAAUGAAUGACUAGCGAAUACCCUUCAAGAUACUAUGAGUUCCUUGAUGUGUAUUGCACAGCCACACCAAGCGUAUUUCCUAACAGUAUUUUACAGAUUUAUGGUUUCAGCAAUUCACUCAUGCAUUAGAGAAUUGAUGGAUGAUUUAAAGUAAGAAAAUGAGUAAGAAAAUGAGGGUUAAUGUAACAAAAUUCUUGUUCUUGUUGUGUCCAAAUUAAUGCCCAAAUGUCAAACAUUUAUAGUGCAUUAUAUGACCAUUCACAUGAGUGAAAACACCCUUUUGACUUGAAUCAAUGAUAUGGUUCAUUAAGCACUCAUUUGCCAAAUGUUAUGAUCAUAUACACUUGAAUCAAUGCUAUGGUUCAUUAAGUAUCCAUUUACCAAAUGUUAUAAUGUAUAUGAAUGAUUCCCAUAAAGAGUUAUAACUUUUGGUUCUAAAGUGAUUCCAUUAUUUUAGAAAUCACCAACAAAACAUUCAAGACACAUAAUCUAGAAAGAGAAAUCAACAACUCGAAGAAUAAUAUACUCCCUCCGUCCCAAAUUGUAAGACGUUUUGGACAUUUCACACAUAUAUUAAGAAAUGCAAUUAAUAUUGUGUGGAAAAGAGAUAUUAUGAGUUGUUUUACAAAAUUGUCCUUAAUAAAUAAUAUGGGAAAAAUAAAUGAAAGAAUUGAAAUAAGAGAGAGUAAUAAAUAGUUAAGGUUAUAAGAGGAAAAGUAACGUUAAAGUUGCAUUGGUAUUGUAAAGCGACAUACAAUUUGGGACAAAUUUUUUUCCCUAAAGCGACAUACAAUUUGGGACGGAGGGAGUAUUGUCUAGUAAAUGAAAUGCAUCAAUGCUAAUCAAUAUUGAUCCUAUACAUUCAUGACUAAUCAAUGCUAAUCAAUUUACACUUAAUUUACAAUAAUGAUAUUCUAAGACUUUUAUAUAUCCCAACGGGUAUAAUAUAUACCCCAAUGGGUAUAUAGACUAAGGCCCCGUUUGGAUUGGCUUAUUUUGAGUUUAUGUGGGCUUAUCUACUUCCAUAAGCUUUUUUAAAGGUGUUUGGGUAAAUAAAUAAAAAUAGCUUAUCAUAGUUUCAUAAGCUGCUUAUGCCAUAUUUUAAUAAGCCUGAAUUUUCAGCUUACCCUCCGGCUUAACAAGGAGCUUAUGAAUUUAUGUAACCUCCUUCGAUUCUCUCUUGAUCCACUUUUUCAAAACAUAUAUAUUUAUUUUAUUUUUUAGUUUUUUUUUAUAUUUUAAUUAUAAUGUUAGUUAUCUUUGGUUGUGCAUGAGUAACAAAAUUGCUAUAUACUUAUCUUACUAAAGUAACACACGUAACUAAGAUUUUUUUUUUUUAAGGAUGAUUUUUAUUAUUUUUUUGUUACGUAACAAAAUAAAACUGAAUAAAAAAAAUAAACUUAACUUGUCUUUUUUUGAUAACAAACUGUACAUUAAUAUCUAUAUAUGGUAAGUUUACAAUCAUAAUUUCUCAAGUUUAUAUUUAUAUUAUUAUACUUUUUUUUAAAAGAAAGUUUAUCAUAUAUUAUUAUACUUGUGUAUAAUGAUGUUUAGACUAUUUAUUUACACCUCGAAUGUUAAUUUUGUCUUAUAUGAAUAUUGAUAUUUUUUUAAGGACGAAUAUUGAUUAUACUAUAUAUAUAAUUAUAAUUAAUAUAUUAUAAUAUUAUUUUUUACAUCUUGAUUAAUUUUAUCAAAAAAAAUCUUGAUAAUUGUGGUUCGAUUCUUUGAUUUUUUUGUUAAAUUAAAAAUAUUUAAAAUUUUGAGAUAAUUGCUUAUGUAAUGUCACAUCCAAACACUUCAAUUUAUGUAAGUACUUUUUAGUGUACAUAUCCAAACAUAAAUAGCUUAUCAAGUAUAAGAGCUUAUGAUGUAAGCUAUAAUGUUAUAAGCAUCUAUAUAAGCUGUUUAUCCAAACGGGGUCUAAUAAGUAUCAAAGACUAUUAAAAAACCAUAUAGUCAACAAAUUUAUAUGAAAGCUUAUUCAUUCAGAAGAUGAGCUAUGUAUUGGAUCUUCUAGUCACAUUCUUUGUCAUAUGGUCAUCACUUAAUUUCAAAUCAUUUGAAAUAAGUUUACCAUUCGGUCGAAGAAAUGUCUCUGAACGAUUAAAGUUAUAUUCCAUCCAAAGCAUCAAUUUCAAAAGCUAGGAAGAUUUUGUAGAUAAUCACAUGACAGAGUUUUCAACAAAAGAGUUAGUUUUAUUUUAUGUAAAAGAUAAUGUUAGUGAGAUUCACGUUAUAGCUCUUCAAAAUUCACGUUGAAUAUACACUCGGUAGAUAUUCCCACAUAAAAUGGAUCCUAAAGAUAGUGUUAGUGAUAAUUGUUCAUAGGAACAUUAAAUAAAGUGGUUAUAAUAUUCAUAACUUUGAAGGUAAACAUGACUAUUUAGUAAAAUAUAUGCAUUAAAGUAAAGACGGGAAUCAAACCAAGUUCAAAGAAAACUUUAAAUCUAAUCAAUAUUAAUGCAGUUUCUCUAGACAUAGUCGAACAAAAUAAACACGAAUAUAAAAGAGAUGGGGCUUAAGAAAACCAAACAAUAUUCUUAAAAAAAUUAAAAAAAAAACCAAAAUGUAACACCACAAAGAUAAUUUUAUACGCCACAGAGAGUUUAACACCUACACACGACGCCCUUUCUUGUUUUUUAUAUCUUGUCAGUCUCUGUUUGUCUUGAGUGGUGACCUGGUUAUUAAUAAAUUUAGUUGUUCAAAAAAGUGAGACUUAUUAUAUGGGGGUGCAUUUAGCAUAUGAUAAUGUGUAACUUGCAAAGCCCACAAGUGUGCUCUCUUGGCUUGCAGAAGCACAAAAUUGGUUGCCUUACUUCAAGAGCACAUAAGUGAUUAUGUAAAAUAUGGUCUUUUUGUUUAAGCAACAUGACACUAACCUAAAUCACUUUUAGUAAACCCUAUUCUUUCUGAAACCCUGAAACUAAACCCUCUUUCCUCUUUCUAAGUGUUCAUCAAAUUAGCUAGCACAAUGAGUACAUGAGUUAUGUUAGUGUAGACUGAGUAAAAACAUCGCUAUUUUUCUUUUCUAAUGGUCAUCCUUACACUUGAUAAUCGUAUAUUCUAAAUUUAGAAGUAGAAUAAAUAAUAAAUAUUUUUUACCAAUGAAUAAAUAAUAAAUAUUAAUAAUGAUAUAUUGACAUUAUUAAUUAAAGUGAAUAAUAAUUAUGUACUGACAUUGUUAUUUUUAUAUUGUUAUUGUCAAAAAGAUUUAAAGGCAGGCGAAACAUUUUUUCAAGAAAAAACAAAGUGCAAAUGACAAACUUGACAUCUAAACUAUGUUGGCUUCCCAUUAUUAUAAUCUAUAAUUUGCAGCACUCUAAAAUUAUUAUAAAUAAAUAAAUGAAAAAUGAAAAUUACAAAUAUUGAGGGGACUAGACCAAAACCUAAUAAAAGUUAACCAAGUGAUUUUAGAAUGUCCCUUGUUAACCUAUUGGGAUAAAACCCGAGUACGGGAAAAAGGUACAUAACAACUAAACAACAUAAAGGCAACAUAAACAUAAAUCAAAGUGCAUAGGAUAUGACAUGAAAAUAAAUUAUAUGUAACAUAUAAUUAUUUUACAUAUUAAUGGUUAAUAAUCCAACCACAAACAAAAUAAGUUAACGCACAACAAGUAUUGUUCAGGAAUGUUACACCCAAUUUUGUGGUUAUUUACUCGACAAUGAAUGUGACUGUUGCAUGAAACAAACACUGCAAUGUAAAAUAACAUUAAAGUAUUUUUAUUAAAAGAGUAUGAAAUAUUGUGUCUAAUAUAAAUAAGAAAAUGAGAAAAUAAUGUCGAAAAUUACUUACCGCCAUUGGUUACAUGGAGAUAUGUAUAAAGGAAGAUUAUCAGAGCAAAAAAAACUUUGAAAUGUGAGUCAUUGUUUUGAAAAAUUUUAAAGAGAUCGUUUUUGUAAAAUGAUAUGAACUUGGCGUGAUUUUGUGAUUUCAUGGAAUUGGCCUAGGAUACUUGUAUGCCUAAGAUACAAUGGAUUAACCAUUUUAUAAGUAAAAGUUUAUUGCUUGAAUUGACAUCAAUUAAAUAAAUUAAAGCUAUUGUUAAAUGGCUCUAAGGUAUAUCAGUGUGCCAAGUUUAUCCUUUAGCGCACUCAAUUAACCAGUUAAGCAUAAUAAAGAUCUCAAAUAAAAAAAAAUUAAGCCCAUAAAAAAUUUAGUAGAUUUUUUUAUUUUUUAGCCUAUCAUGAUAGAGAGGGGACAAAAUACCCAAAGAUAAAUAAUGGCAAGGUAAUUAAAAUCGGAUCGAACCAUCUGGUUUAACUAGUUGAACCGGGAACCGGACCUAUGUCUGGUCUGAAAUAAAAAGAAAACGGGUGUUGCAACGAACCGGGAAACCAGAUAAUAAAGAUUUGUUGUGCAUAAAAAUUAAAUAACAGUAAAUAAAUAUUGUUUGGAAAAGUUAUGGAGAGAGAUGAGACUAGGUCUUCCGAAUCAUUUGAUUUUCCUUAAUUGGUACACUACACCUACUUCUCAUGAAUAUUUUUUUAGUUUUAUGAUGAUUAACUAAAAUAGCCCUAAUCAAUCCCUUGACUUAGGACCCUCUUCUCAGAUUACAACCCCUAAAUCCUUAGGUGAUCUAAUAUUCUUUGAAGGUUUGAAGAAUGUUAACCUAAUAUCACAAAUACUUGAUUGAGGUGUAUUGUUUUGAAAAAUGUCAAAAAGAUUGUUUUUGUAAAAUGAUACGAACUUGGCGUGAUUUUGUGAUUUCUUGGAAUUGGCCUUGAAUACUUGUCUGCCUAAGCUACUAUGGAUUAACCAUUUUAUAAGUAAAAGUUUAUUGCUUUACCAACAUCAAUUAAAUAUAUUUUAACACUAAAGAGGUGAAAAAUUGUUUACUAUAUUAAAGUUAUUGUUAAAUGGCUCUAAGGUAUAUCAGUGUGCCAAGUUUAUCCUUUGGCGCACUCAAUUAACCAUUUAAGCAUAAUAAGGAUCUCAAAUAAAAAAUUUAAACCCGGCAAAAAUUUAGUAGAUUUUUUAUUUUUUAGCCUAUCAUGAUAGAGAGGGGACAAAAUACCCAAAUAUAAAUAAUGGCAAGGUAAUUAAAAUCGGAUCGAACCAUCUGGUUUGACUCGUUGAACUAGGAACCAGAACUAUGUCUGGUCUGAAAUACAAAGAAAACUGGUGUCGCAACGAACCGGGAAACCAGAUAAAAACUGGAUGAACCGGGAAAACCAGCGGGCUACACGGUUUGGCAGGUUGAACCGCAUUUUACAAUUUUUUUGAAAAAAAAUCUCAAACCAGAUUUGUUAUGCCAUAAGUCUGAACUAAGAAAAGUUAUGGUGGUUUUAUAGCAAGAAGACAUAAAUCUAAGUAGAAUAAAAAUAUAGAGGAGACCAUGAAAUGGAGAUCUUGGAGAAAAAACGAAAAGGAUAAUCAUAGUUGGUGGGUUGCGUUGCUGCUAUUUAGAAAUUAGGGUUAGUGUGACAUUUAUACUUAUAAUAACUGAUAGACUUUUAGAAGGUGUACUAAAACUAUUGAACUAAUACAAUUAAUGUUGUUUCCAUGAGAACAAUAUUAAUCUCAAGUAAACGAUAGCAUUAUGAAAUAGGAUGUGUAAAGUUAUUUAGUGCCUGAGACAGUAGAUUUGUUGUGCAUAAAAAUUAAAUAACAGAAAAUAAAGAUUGUUUGGAAAAGUUAUGGAGAGAGAUGAGACUAGGUCUUUCGAAUACUUUGAUUUCCCCUAAUUGAUACACUACACCUAUUUCUCAUGAAUAUUUCUCUAGUUUUACGAUGAUUAACUAAAAUAGCUCUAAUCAAUCCCUUGACUUAGGACCCUCUUCUCAGAUUACGAUCCCUAAUUCCUUAGGUGAUCUAAUAUACUUUAAAGGUUUGAAUAACGUUAACCUAAUAUCACAAAUACUUGAUUGAGGUGUAUUGUUUUGAAAAAUGUCAAAAAGAUCGUUUUUGUAAAAUGAUACGAACUUGGCGUGAUUUUGUGAUUUCUUGGAAUUGGCCUAGGAUACUUGUAUGCCUAAGCUACUAUGGAUUAACCAUUUUAUAAGUAAAAGUUUAUUUCUCUAUUGACAUCAAUUAAAUAUAUUUUAACACUAAAGAGGUGAAAAGUUGUUUAUUAAAUUAAAGUUAUUGUUAAAUGGCUCUAAGGUAUAAUAAUGUGUCAAGUUUAUCCUUUAGCGCACUCAAUUAACAAGUUAAGCAUAAUAAAGAUCUCAAAUAAAAAAAUUUAAGCCCGUCAAAAAUUUAGUAGAUUUUUUUUAUUUUUUAGCCUAUCAUGAUUGAGAGGGGACAAGAUACCCAAAUAUAAAUAAUGGCAAGGUAAUUAAAAUCGGAUCGGACCAUCUGGUUUGACUAGUUGAACCGGGAACUGGAACUAUGUCUGGUCUGAAAUACAAAGAAAAUUGGUGUCGCAACGAACCAGGAAACCAGAUGAACCGGGAAAACCGGCGGGCUACACAGUUUUGCAGGUUGAACUGCAUUUUUAAAAUUUUUUGAAAAAAUAACUCAAACCAGAUUUGUUAUGUCAUAAGUCUGAACUAAGAAAAGAUAUGGUGGUUUUAUAGCAAAAGGACAUAAAUCUAAGUAGAAUACAAAUACAGAUGAGACCCUGAAAUGGAGAUCUUGGAGAAAAAAUGAAAAGGAUAAUUGUAACGCCCUAUUUUAAUAUUUAUUUAUUUUAUUGAGUUUAGGUGUCUUUCCAUAAUUUAGUCGAUUUAUUCUGAUGGGUGAUAUUUUGUUAUGUUAUAUGUUGGUAUUUAUUAGUAUAAUAUAUAUGUUAUUUGGUGUAGAAAUAUAUAUAUAUUAUCUGGUGUAGAAAUAUAUAUGUUAUUUGGUGUAGAAAUAUAUAUAUUAUCUUGUGUAGAAAUAUAUAUGUUAUGUGGUGUAGAAAUAUUAUGUUAUUUGGUGUAGAAAUAUAUGUUAUCUGGUGUAGAAAUAUAUUUCUUAUUUGGUGUAGAAAUAUAUAUAUAUAUAUAUAUAUAUAUAUAUAUAUAUAUAUAUAUAUAUAUAUAUGAGGGCAAAUUUAGAAAUAAGAGAACAUAAGUAGGUUAAUGAUUUUUAUAAAAGGGCAGAUUUGGAAAUAAGAGAAAAUAAGUAGGUUAAUGAAAGUUAGAAUUAGAAAAUAAGGAUUACGUGAAACUGCUUUUGAGAGAAAAGCGUGAAAGUGAGAAGUCAAGAGAAGAGAAGAGUCAGAGAAGAGAAAGUGGUAGAAUCUUGUAGAGUCCGAUCAUCUAAUCUAAGGUAAGGGUGGGACUAAAUUUCUCUAAUUCUAAGUUGUAUAAUUCUGAAAUUGAGUUUAGCAUGUUGUAGGUUGUAGUUAUGGAAAUUUGGGAAUUAGGUUUGAAGUUGUAAUUGGUUGUUAAUAGAGUAGAAAAUCCGUUGAAUUUGUGUAGAAGUGAUGUUUAGAUCAUGGGUUAUUUUUAGUGCAAUCUUUUAUAUGGUUUUGAGUGCCUUAACAUGUAUAGAAAUGGUUCGACAUGUUUUUUGGAUCAAAUUUGGGCAUAGGGAAGUUAAAAUUGGGAUUUUGGGGUGAAAAGUGGGUUUUUCCCGAGUUGCUCUCUGACAGCACGUCCUGUUUCAUGUUCUUGCGUCUUUUUCACACGUUUCUGUUUUGAAUUGGCCUUUGGUGUAAACAUGAAAGUUGUAGAUAAUUGAGUUAGCUUUCCAGUGGCUUUGAUUUGACGAGAAAAUGAUUUUUGGUUCUUGAGAUAUGAUGAAAAUACUCCAAGGAGGUUUUAGUGAAAUCUUAUGAAAAUUCAGCAUAACCGUUUCUAAUUUAAUCCAAAACUUAAGGAAUAAUUCCAAACCUCAAAACUAGAAGUACUAUGAGUUCAACUAGGGUGUUUAAGAUUAUUUAAGCUAUGUUGUGAUGGAUCUAAUUUGGUUUGACGUGAAUAUCUUUGUUGGAUAAUUUGAAAUACAUAUAUUAUGUGAAUGUUGUUGUUGAAUAAUUUGAGUUACAUAUAUUUAUGUGGAAAAGGUAUGAUAUAGAAAAUAAUGUUGUUAUACCAUUCAAGUUGUUAUUAUUAAUGAUGCUAUGUUGUGAAGUUGGUGUAUGUGUUUGUCUCUACUGUAUUGAUUAUUAAAUCAUUAAGUUGCAUAUGUUGGUCAAGUUGUUAAAGUUGUAAGUUGUUGUCAAUGUAGUUAAAGUUGUAAGUUGUUAUCGAUGUCGUUGAAGUUGUUAGUUGUCGUUGCAUUAGUUGUUGAGUCCAUGCAUACUCAUUUACGUUGAGGGCAUGAUGCCAUGUGAGCUUUUGCUCUUUAAGUUGAGGGCUUGAUGCCCUGGGAGUGUAUUUAUGCUCAAUACGUUGAGGGCUUGAUGUCCUGUGAGCUUUUGCUCUUUAAGUUGAGGGCUUGAUGCCCUGAGAGUGUAUUUUUGCUCAAUAUGUUGGGGGCUUGAUGCCCUGAAUUGGUACCACAUGCAUGAUUAAGAAGUUGAAGUUGCAUAUGUUGAGUUUAAGUUGUAGAAGUCGCAUUGUCGUUGUCGUUAAGUUGUCAUUUGUCAAUGAGUUGUUAAUAAAGAACUAAGCGAAGUAUUAAUAUUUAUUAAUCGUUGUUGUUUAUGUCGUUAUGAGAUGAUGUUUAUGAUGUUGUUAUUUAUGUCGUUAUGAGAUGAUGUUUAUGAUGUGUUGUUUAUGUUGUUAUAAGAUGAUGUUUAUGAUGUGAUGAUUAUGUCGUUAUAUGAUGAUGUUUAUGAUCUGAUUAUUAUGUGCUAUAUGAUGUUGUAUAUAAUGUGAUGAAUAUGAAGUUAAUAAUGAUUAGAAGUUGGUUGAGUUAUUAAUGAAGUAUUAUAACAAGAGUUAAUGUUAUUAAUUGAUGAAGUUUAAGUUGUUAAAUGCUUUUGAUGAAUUAUAUGCUUAUUAUUAUUGAAUGUGAAAUCUCACCCCUUCUGCUUGGAAAUGUUGCCCUCACAAUUGGGUAACUUGCAGGUAAUCUAGAAUAGUUGUGGUCGUGAGUGGACUCUCUCACGUGUCAUCGUCUUAAGUGCUCUGAUACGUAACGGGAUGAGAAUUUUGUUGUUGCUCUUUGUUCCUUACGUAUUAUUUUAUGAAGUUUUAUGAACAUGUUGUUGGAAUAAUUUUAUGAGAUUUUACCUUGAGGCCUUUGUGUCAAGGUUGUUUUAAACGUUAAAAUAAUUUCCGCUACAAUAAGAUUUAAUUUGAUGAUUGAGAUAAUUAGUAAUUUUACUAUAUUCAGAUUUGAAAGAAGUGUAACAUCCAGUUUUUAGUUGUUUACUCUGAUAUAAGUGAAAUUUUUCAAGUUGGGAAAACGGGGUGUUACAAUAAUCAUAGUUGGUGGGUUGCGCUGAUGCUGCUAUAUAUUCAGAAAUUAGGGUUAGUGUGUCAUUUAUACUUAUAAUAACUGAUAGACUUUUAGCAGGUGUACUGAAACUAUUGAAGUAAUACAAUUAAGUUCUUUUCCAUGAGAACCGUGUUAAUCUCAAGUAAACAAUAGCAUUAUGAAACAGGAUGUGUAAAGUUAUAUUAGUGCCCGAGGCAGCAGGUGCAUAAAAAUUAAAGGCUAAAAUAUGGUUUUGGUCCCUCAAAUAUGCCUCGUUUUGGUUUUAGUCACUGUAAAUUUUUUUUGUUGUUUUUGGUCCCUGCAAAUAUGCCUCAUUUUGAUUUUGGUCCCUGGCUCCACUUUUGUGAUGAUUUGCACACGUGGCACAUGAUGACUGAACCCAUUUAUUAGAGAAAUAGUCCCUGCAAAAUCUUUUGAUUUUACAAGGACCAAAAACAACAAAUUUUUUUUACAGGGACUAAAACCAAAAUGAGGCAUAUUUGCAGGGACCAAAACCAUAUUUUAGCCAAAAUUAAAUAACAGAAAAUAAAGAUUGUUUGGAAAAGUAAUGGAGAGAGAUGAGACUAGGUCUUUCGAAUCAUUUGAUUUUCCCUAAUUGGUACACUGCACCUAUUUCUCAUGAAUAUUUCUCUAGUUUUACGAUGAUUAACUAAAAUAGCCCUAAUCAAUCCAUUGACUUAGGAUUCUCUUCUCAUAUUACAAUCCCUAAUUCCUUAGGUGAUCUAAUAUACUUUAUAGGUUUGAAGAACAUUAACCUAAUAUCACAAAUACUUGAUUGAGGUGUAUUGUUUUGAAAAAUGUGAAAAAGAUCGUUUUUGUAAAAUGAUACGAACUUGGCGUAAUUUUGUGAUUUCUCGGAAUUGGCCUAGGAUACUUGUAUGCCUAAGCUACUAUGGAUUAACCAUUUUAUAAGUAAAAGUUUAUUUCUUUAUUGACAUCAAUUAAAUA
rnacentral:lncRNA from 1 species